UUUUUUUUUUUUUUUUAUGAUUUACUUUUCUGCUUUAGUUGGUGAACCUAAGCACAUGAAACUUCCUUGUUAGUGAACCUAUCAUCGUCAAUGGCCCUGUCAGCGUGGUCUACUAAGUAACACUUUUAUGCAUUGUUUAUUCCUUACUCUAAGCUUGAUGCAAGUUAGGUUAGACCAUUGUCGACAUUUUGCCGUGUUAUAUUGAGGAUGAGGAAUCAAAUCAGAAUAUUUCAUAAAGAUGUGCAUGACGUCAUUUUUGGAGUUAUUUAAACCAUAUUACAAAGGGAUGUCAUCGAAAUACCAUAAGAGAUCAAGUUUACUCAACAGUCAACACUUGAUCUUGAUGAACAGACCCAUUUUCGCUAGUCCCCCAAUAAGAGUACCAAAGGAACACAAAUUAGGAGAGUGAAACAUGCUAACCAAAGCAAACCAAAACUUUCAUAUAUGAUACCUCUAAUCAAGUCCCCAAGCACACUAACAACAAAGUCUAAAUAUACUAAUACAAUCACGAUGCAUACAAUGUCUCAAUAGCUUAUAAACAGUGAAAGUCAAAUGGGGUAAACAAAGAGACAAAGUACUCAAAAUCAAGAGCAUUAAGAUCGUGUAACCGUGCAUAAAUUUAAAACAACAAUUUAGAUUUCUAAAUGGGCUUAAAUGUCAACAUAGUCCCUAUGUUUUACUUUAUUGGCCAAUUUAGACCCUGUGUUUUCAAUUCAACCAAAUUGGUCCCUAUGUUUAUAUAUGUUAGCCAAUUCAAGGUAAUCCGUUAAAAGACUGUUAAAAUUGACAUGUGCCAGACACAUGAGAGGACAAAAAUAUAAUUUUAUUGUACACCCACUAAACAGAUACAAUGCAUAUCUUUAAGAAUUGAUGCUUCGUUCGUUCAGUUCACUUGAUUACUAUGUGAUUUAGGGUUUCAACAUCCGUCAGGUCAGAAGUUGUGGGGUUGCCAACUGAGAUUUUGGUGAAUACUCCAGAGAAGAUGACAAGUCGACGAAUUGAACCAAACAACCAAGGUGACGAUCGCGGCUUUCAAUAUUGUUGAGACAAGGCCAAGUACAACCCCAACUUCUUUGCAAGCUAGGUUUCCAUUGCCUCAAGUAGUCCCAGGCUCUAGUAUAUACAUGCCUAGAAUAUCCAGGCUAAGCAUACAAACUAUGCCUUCAACUUCAAGUACGUAUGGAACUUCACAUUCAUGGAAACCACCUGGCAAAGCUGUUCAUACAACGAACGCAACUACAAGUUCGAAGAAAAAUAAUAUUUGAUUAUAGUUUGAGUUGUUUUAGUUUUUCUUUGGCAGUAGGGAUUCUGUUAAGUUUUAUCUAUGUGACGAAAAAAGACCAUGUAGUACUUGUUUUUGGUGGAGUUCAAAGCAACUUCAUUUUAUAUUGUUUGGAAUUAAAGCAUGGGUUUUAUUUUUUACGUUUACAAAAGCAUGAAAUUAGUUUUCUUUGUGAUCAUGCUAGAGUUCACUUUGAAGUUGCUUUUUGUUUUCGUUUGUGCAUAUAGGAAUAUACUUGUGAUCAAGUUUAUGUGUAGAUUUAAUUGGAACAAAUGUAGUCUCAUUUAUACUGAAAGCAAACAAUAGUCAACAAUAAUCUCAUAUUUAAAAUUUAAAUGAAUGAUUUUCUCUAUUUAUGUACUUGUGACCAAGUUUAGUGGUUGUAUAAUAAAAUUACAUUUUUGUCCUCUCAUGUGCCAAGCACAUGUCAAUUUUAACUUUCUUUUAACUAAUUGUCUUGAAUUGGCUAACGGAUAUAAACACAGGGACCAAUUUGGCCAAAUUGAAAACACAAAGACUAAAUUGGCCGAUAGAGUAAAACACAAGGACCAUGUUGACAUUUAAGCCUUCUAAAUAUAGCCUAAGGGUAUAUACUCGGAAAAAAAAAUACAAAACACAUCUUUAAAAUUAGGCUAACACUGUCACUAGUACUGCACUUGUAUGAAGGUUUUGGAUUCGAUUCUCACUAAAAGCAAAUUUAAACCACAUUAUUGCUAGCCUAUUGUGAGACUUAUCCCACUCUUCACCCUUUAGUAUAGAUAAUAUCGUUUGCUCAAAAAAAAAAAAGGCUAACACAUUAUCAUAAAAGUAAGAAAGCCAAUAGACCUGGAUUGAUAUGCAUAAACUUCAUGAUAAAUCUAAUAAUUGAUGACAAAUUAAAUUGGAUCUAUAUCUAAUUAUCUCGUGGUUAGGCGUGGAUUUAAGAUGGACCUUAUUUGAAGUAUAAUAGUGGUAAUUAAGAAUGCUUGAUCGUUCAAUUAACUAGCUAAGACGACAUAAUGCAACAUAGGGCACCAAUUUGCAGUGUAUAUAUAAAUUGUUCUAGUUGUUAUAUACAUACCAGCAGUACGUUAAAAAAAAAGGAUCCAAAGGACUAAUUAAAAUCGAAUUAUAUAUAUACUAAUUAAUUGAUUCAUUAGAUCUUAGACUUCAAGAAGCAGAGUUACAUAGAAAUCAAAGGGGAUUAGAAGUUGUCUAGGAAUCGCCUCGAUGAAAUAAUUGUGAAUGUGAUGAUGUGAGUCAACUCAAGCUCAAGAUAGCCUAGGCGGUAUAUGAAUGGGUGAUGCAUGGUUGACAUGAGGCAUUUCGUGUCAAUAGUACAAGGGCAAGUUGGGGUGGGGUCGGGAGGAACAAAGUGUUCGGCCGCACAGAACUCUAAAGUUUAAGAAAAGCUUUUGUUAUCUAAUAUAAAUUGCAACAUUAUAUUUGAAUAUGACUGAAGAAUAAAAUUACAUAGUUAAACACGAAAAAAAUAAAAGAGAAAUUCAAGACCUACACUUACCCCUUUAACAACUUUCCCAUUUUUCGGAAAAAAAAAAAGAAAAAAACUUUUCCACUUUUUUUUUUAUUUUUUUAACAAUUUAAUAAUACUUUAGUGGGCCUUACAAUUAUAAUUUAAUUGAUAAUUUUGCACCAAAAAAUGUACGGAUAUUCAUCUUUAAGUGAAACUUUAAUGUUGUACUUUUUGCAGGUUUUGUUUAUUUGGUCUUUUAAGAUUGAACUGAUUGUUGAUUAUUUAGUAAUGAUUAUUUUUGUAGCUUUCUUUACUUAUUAUGUAAUGAAAUUUGGAAACUCAUAAUUAGCAUGAGUUUUAAAGUUUGUUUGAGUUUUAAUUAUUGCUCUAUGGUAUCAAUAUAAUAAAUAUAUUUUCUGUCAAUAUACUGUAUCCCCACUUUGCGUCUAAGAAAACCUGCGGGUGGUGUGCCCAACGAAGCAGACCUUUUCUGUUUAAUGGAAGUAAUUUUAAUCUUUUGUGUGCUAGCGUUAAGGUAGACCUUUUCUAUUUAAUGGAAACCAAAAUAGAUGCAGAGAAAGUCCAGGUAAACUUUUAUGGAAGGUUUUUUUUUAUAAGAUGUUUAGUUGUAGCCCUACUGGUAGGGCUGGUGGUCUUUGUUUAGUUUGGAACUCGUGCAAAGUUGUAGUUGCUGUUAUCACUUCUACUUCUCGUUAUUUGCAUUGUUUAGUGAAUGAUCCUUGUUCUAAUCAAGAUCAGUUUUUGUACUUUUGUGUAUGCUUUUCCUAAAAAACAGUUACAAUUGGAAUUGUGGAAGGAUAUUCUUAAACUAGACCCUAAGAAUAAACCAUGGUGUUUAAUGGGGGAUUUCAAUAAUAUAUUAGACAUAACUGAGAAGAAAGGUGGUUGCCAAGCUACAACUUCAUAUAUGACCAGGUUCAUCAAUUUUUCAAACAGAGGAAACCUUUUAUCUCUAAAUGCUUAUGGUGUCCCUUUUACUUGGUGUAAUAACCAAGUUGAUAUCAACAGAAUUUAUGAGAGACUUGAUAGGCUUUAGCUAAUACCAGUGGUGGAUCCAGGAAUCUUACCCCAAGGGGUCGCAGUGUAAAAGUUCAAAUAAAAAUUUAGGAUGGAAAAACAUAUUGAAAAUGAAAUCAUAGUACUUUCAUUCAUAAUUCAUAAUGGAAACAAUAUUACAAACUAUAAUUGUCCACGACGAGGUUUCAUAUUUUGAAAACGAAGCAUUAUAGCUUCAUUUUCAAUACAAGCAAAAAUAUCUCUCUCAAUAUAAACAAGCAAGCUAUCACUCAACCAUUGAUCUCCCAUUUUGUUCCUAAGUGGACCCUUAACAAUAUUCAUAACAGAAAAUGCUCUCUCCACUGAAGCAGUUGCAACUGGUAAAACUAAAGACAAUGAAAUGAGCAAAUAUACAUAAUUGAAUACUUGAUGCAUUCUUGUCUCCACCAUUUUUUUUUGCAAGAUCACCAAUCCCUUCCAAUUGAGAGAAAUCACUACUGGAACACACAUAAUGAAUAUAAAUCUCAAGUUGAUCUUCAAGUGCCAAACGAUCUUCAUCCGAAAAGUCUUGAGGAUAAAAUUGAGCAAGACGAAGUAACUUUGGUUUAUCAAAAGCUACAAAUGAAUCUUUCGGACUCAAACAUGCCAUACAAAUAAGCAACUCGGUAUUUACCUCAUUAAAGCGAUCCUCUAACUCCGUAAUUUGCUCAUCAAUGACAUAAAUAAAGAGCUCCACACGAUAAUGAUGACGAUUUGUCUUUAUUGGAGCAUAACGCCUUGACCUCCCUGGAAGUAUAAAUGCAUCUUCCAUGUUAGGAACAUCAAUAUGAUGUUUUUCACAAAAAGAAGAUACUUCAUCAACCAAUGCAUCGAACCCAUUAUUCCUCAUCCAAUAUAGCUUUUCCUUGCAUGAUUUCACUAAAGCCAUUGCAUUCACAAUUUCUUGAUCUUUCCUUUGCAAUGCUUAUGACAAAUCAUUUGUGAGUCCCAAUAUGACUUUCAUCAAGAAAAGGUGAAACACAAACUCAAAAGUAAGUAUCACUCUCAUUAACGUAUUUGCUUCACCCGCACUUUCAUUGGGAUUAUCAUCAAUAACCAUUUGAAGCACAUGAACCACGGAUGAAAACAUAGAAAUGAUGCUAAUCAAGGUACCAUAGUGUGAGUUCCAUCGUGUGUCACCGGCACGUUUGAGACUUGUUUCUUGAUUUAAGCCUCGCCCCGUUAUAAGACAAUCAUUUUCAAAAGCUAUCACAAGCUCUUCUUGAAGUUGCCCUCUAAGUGAAUCACGCCGCUUACAAGAUACUCCAACAUGAUUAACCACAUUAUUAGCCGUUGCAAAAAAAGAGGCAAUGUCUAUAUUAUUCUUUGCUACGGCAACAAGAGCUAGUUGAAGUUGAUGAGCAAAGCAAUGAACAUAAUAUGCACAAGGUUGUUCUCUCAAUAUCUUUGUUUUAAGGCCAUUCAACUCACCUCUCAUAUUGCUAGCACCAUCAUAACCUUGUCCUCGUAGCUUGGAAAUGCUCAAACCGUAGCGAGAAAACAAUGUGUCAAUAGCAUCCUUUAGUGAACUUGAAGUAGUGUCGGUAACAUGUUGGAUACCCACAAAUCUUUCAAUUACAUGCCCGUUGUCAUCCACAUAACGCAACACCAUAGCCAUUUGCUCUUUCACAGACACAUCACGUGCUUCAUCCACCAAUAUUGAAAAGAAUCUAUCUUUUAGACCAUCCAUGAUAGCAUCAAGUGUUUCAAGGGCACAUGAAUUCACAAUUUCUUUUUGAAUGGAAGGAGCUAGUAAUUUGAGAUUCCCCGGAGCAUUUUCCAUCACAACUUCUCUAACUUUAUCAUUAUUAUAUGCAAGAAAUUGCAAUAACUCCAAGUAAUUUCCCCUAUUGCUUGAAGUGGCACUUUCAUCAUGGCCACGAAAAGGAAGACCUUGUCGCAAUAAAAACUUAGUGCACUUGAUUGAAGCAAUCAAGCAUGUGCGAUAAGCCUUACGAGCUUGGUCAGAGUGUUUGCUCACUGCCGUUUCAAUAUGUGUAGCUUGAUUCAUCAAAUUUGUAGCAGCUUCUCUAGCCUUAUUAUGAACACUCCCAACCGGUCCAACAUGCAUCUUAAAUCUUUCUCUCCCUUUCUUCCAAUUCUUAAAUCCAUCUCCAGUGAAAGCUUCACUACCCACUUGUUCAAAAUUGGUUUUAAAGAGAUAGCAAUAGAGACAAAAUGCCGCAUCUUUAGAUACACUAUACUCCAACCAAUCAAACUCAUCAAACCAUUGGGGAAUGAAGCGUCGAUUAAUUCCCGACAUAUUAGUUAUUGGGAAAUUAUGACCUCUAGGUUGACAAGGUCCUUUUUGUAGAUAUAAUCUUCAGACUUUAUCUCUCAUAUUAGCGUCAUAAUCUAUUAUUCGAGUUCUUAAUCCAGGAUCCGCUUGAAGAUUACCCAAAACAUCAUCUAACUGACUUUGUCUUGAACUUGGAGUUCUUGAACUACCGACAGUAUUUGAACUAUCAACAUUAUUCGAACUACCCGAACCCGAUGAUGACUUUCUCUUAAAAAACCGUUCCAUAAUAAUGCUACAUAUACAAAAUAUUCAAAAUAAAUACUCACAAUAUAAACAAACCAUAAAUAUAAUCAAAAUAAAUAUGAAUUGGAUUUCAAUUAAAUUAAAUAUCUCAUCUUGCAUUCUACAUAUACAAAAUAAUGAAAAUAAAAACUCACAAUAUAAACAAACCAUCAAUAUAAUCAAAAUAAAUAUGAAUUGAAUUUCAAUUAAAUUAAAUAUAUUCUACAUAUACAAAAUAUUCAAAAUAAAUACUCACAAUAUAAACAAACCAUAAACAUAAUCAAAAUAAAUAUGAAUUGGAUUUCAAUUAAAUUAAAUAUCUCAUCUUGCAUUCUACAUAUACAAAAUAAUGAAAAUAAAAAAUCACAAUAUAAACAAACCAUCAAUAUAAUCAAAAUAAAUACUCACAAUAUAAACAAAGGGAGGAGAUGGAGUUGGAGCCGCUAGCAGGGGAGUAGCAAGGGAGGAGAUGGAGUUGAGGGUUUGGGGGCAGCAGCAGCAAGGGAGGAGAGGAGUUGAGGGUUUGGGGGGAUUGAGUUAGGGUUGGAGGAAAAGAAAUUGGGGCUUUUGAUUGUAUAGAAGUCGGGUAGGAAGGCUGGGAUUGGGGGGGGACACGGUGGGAAUUUCUUUUUUUUUUUUGUUUGUUCGGCCUGGCCCAAAACGACGCCGUUUUGGCCAGGUCAUUUAAAAAAAUUUCCUGGGCCAAAACGACGCCGUUUUGCCCGUCUGUUUUGAAAAAAAAGAAGCGCGCGCGAGCGCUGCUUCUUCUUCCUCUUCCUGCCGAGUCUUGGUUCAGGAUUUUUGUCGAACAAUUGGCGUGCGAGUCCGACCCCGACGACCCCGACGACCCCAGCUCCAAGAGGUCGCAUAUGGGAGCUUCAAGGUUGUUUCCAUGGUUUCCAAGGGGUCGUGCGACCCCGACGACCCCACUGUGGAUCCGCCACUGGCUAAUACAUAUUGGUUAAAUGAGAACUCGAACUAUAACCUACAUAACUACCGAAUUUAUGGGUCUGACCAUGGACCUAUUCUCUUAACCUACAACUUAAAAAAUUGUUAUAAGAAUAGAUUUGAAGGCUGAAGCUAUGCGAUUUCUUCAUCCUGAUUUUAAGGAUUUUGUUAAAGAAUGCCUGGUGGUGAAAUGGAGUGUUUGGCCCUAUUGAAACUUUUAAGGCAUGUGUUGGGACUUUUAAAUAUAUGGUUAAGGUUUGGAAUAAAACAACUUUGGUAAUUUAAGGGAAUGUAAGAAAAAAAUCCUUGGAGACCUUACUUUGGUGCAAGAAACCAUCAUGAAAAACCAAAAUGUUGAUUCAGAGAUUGGUUUAGAAUUAAAGCUUAGUGAGGAACUUAAUUCAAUUCUAAGACAAGAAGAAGUCAUGUGGGCGCAGAAAGCUAAAGUCAAUUGGCUGCAAUUAGGUGAUAAUAACACAAGGUAUUUCCAAAUGCUGGCAACUGUUCGAAAAAAAAAAGAGAAAUGAAAUUAGAAAGAUUAAGGAUAGUUGUGGGUUUUGUUGGAAUGAGGGUGAGGGUCUAGAACAAGUUUUUGUGCAUGACUUUAAACUGCACUUUUCUUGUGAUAGUCCCCCUGUUCUCAUAGAUAUCUCUUCAAUUGCAGAUAUUAUUGAUCCUUGUAUUCACAACCAUCACAAUGAACUUUUACUCAAGCCUGUUGAAGAUAUAGAAAUUUGGGAUGUAGUUAAAAGUAUUGGUGCGUUGAAAGCACCAGGUCCUGAUGGAAUUGGUGCAAGUUUUUUUCAUGAAUACUAAGAUACAAUCAAAGAUUCGGUGAGUGCUAUGGUUAAGAACUUCUUUGAAAAUAGUACUACCUUGAGCCUUAUUAAUCAUAUCAACAUUGCCCUCAUCCCAAAAGUGGAAAAUCCAGAGGUGGUAAGUAAUUAUAGACCAAUUAGUCUUUGGAAUGUGAGCUAUAAAAUAAUCACGAAAAUCAUCAUUAAACGGUUAAAGCCACUUCUCGACUAUUGCAUAUCUGGAAACCAAGGGGCCUUUGCUCCGGGACGUUCUAUUCAUGAUAAUAUUUUGAUUGUGCAUGAAAUGUUUUCUAGUUUUAAAGGUAAGAAAGGACGGAUUGGAACAAUAGGAAUAAAGCUGGAUUUAGAAAAAGCAUAUGAUUAUCUUAAUUGGGAGUAUAUCAUGUAUGUGCUUCUUAGAUUUGAUUAUGCGGAAAGAUGGGUGAGUUUAAUUAUGGAAUGCAUUACUUCAACUUCCUUCUCGGUUUUGAUUAAUGGUUCUACUCAUGGUUACUUUUAUCCUAAGGCCAUCUUUAACCGAAGGGUCCAGAGGGCCAGAGGGUCGAAAAUAACCCUAAAACUGUCUCCAACCGAGGGCUAGGCCAGAGGGCUCUGGAAUCUGGGAGGGCCCCACGGGAUCGGAGAGGGCUGGAAGGCUGGAGGGCUGGCUGCUUUCGGCCAGCCAGCCAGCCCUGGGCUGGCUAUUUUUUUUUUUUAAUGUUUUCCUAUUGCUGUCGGUUAUAACCGACAGCAUUAAAGAAGAAUUUUUAAUACUGUCGGUUAUAACCGACAAUAAUAGUUAUUCAAAGGCAAAAUUUUUAUUUUUAAUUACUAUUAGUGUCGGUUAUAACCGACACUAAUAGUUUGAAUUUUUUUUAAUAUAACGGCUAGUAGCCGUUGUAUUAACUUUUUUUUUAUAUAUAUAUAUGAAUUUAAACUUCUUUUUUCCCUUUUUUUUCCUUUUCAUAUGAAUCAAAUUUUGUUUCAUAUUUUUUUUCAAUUCUAUUUUACAAAAUUUGUUUCAAUUUUUUUUUAAAUUCUAUUUUUUUUCCUAUAACUUCUAUUUUACAAAAUUUGUUUCAUAUUUUUUUUUAAAUUCCAUUUUUUUCCUAUAACUUCUAUUUCACAAAAUUUGUUUCAAUUUUUUUUAAAUUCUAUUUUUUUUUCCUAUAACUUCUAUUUUACAAAAUUUGAUUCAUAUAUAUUUUUUUUUCAUAUAACUUCUAUUUUACAAAAUUUGUUUCAUAUUUUUUUAAAUUCCAUUUUUUUUCCUAUAACUUCUAUUUCACAAAAUUUGUUUCAUAUUUUUUUUCAAUUCUAUUUUUUUUCCUAUAACUUCCUAGGCCAUUUAUACAACAUUAAAUUAAAUUAAGUAACAUGAAACAACAUUAAACAAUAUGAAACAACAUUAAAUAACAUUAACCAACAUACAAAUUAUACAACAUAAAAAAACAUUUAGCCGUUAGAUUUGAAUUUAAAUUGUAGUUUUUAAAUAAUAAAUUAUGUUUGGCCCUCGGUUGGAGACAGUUUUUUGUGACAGUGCUAAAACGAGCCCUCUGGCCCUUUGGCCCUCGGUUGGAGACGGAGGCCAAUAUGGCCAUGUACUGUUCAUUAAAAUAUUAAUAUCUUGGGGAAUCUUGGAGGGCCAGAGGGCUAAAACGAGCCCUCUGGCCAGCCUUCGGUUAGAGAUGGCCUAAGAAUGGAAUUAGGCAAGGGGAUCCUUUAUCACCUUAUAUUUUCAUUCUUUGUAUGGAACCGUUGAUUAGACAUUUUAAUGAAAUGGCUACUACCUCUAAAUCGCAUGUUGGUAUUUUGUCCUCUCCUGGUGGAUUUAGAAUAUUAAAUCUAGUUUUUGUAGACGAUUGUUUGUUAUUUGCUAGGGCAACUACAAAAGGUGCUAGGAAUGUACUUCAUGUUCUUAAUAUGUUUGCCAAAGCUUCAGGUCAAAAGGUAAAUUUCCACAAAUCCUCGCUUUAUUUUUCAGAAAAUACUAAUGCUCAAACUAGAAAUGCUAUUGUGAAUGUUUUACAUAUUCAACAUAAAACUACCAUUGGCAAAUAUCUGGGCAUUCAUAAUAUUGUGUUUUGGAAAGAUCCAGUGAAUUAAUGUGAAUUAAUCAAAAGAGUCAAGCAAAAGCUUGUUGGGUGGAAGGCUAAUACUCUCUCUAAGGCAUGAAGACUAACCUUCAUUAAGUCCAACUUAUCUAGUAUGCCGAACCAUAUCAUAACUUGCUUUAAAUGUCCUACUCGAGUAACUAAGAACUUAAACAAGGAGUGUAGAGACUUCUUUUGGGGGAGAGAUAGGAAGUUAAAACCUAUGGCUUGGAAAAGAAUGUGUACUUCUAAGGAUCCACAAGGGGGGUGGGGGGGGGGUUCGGCAUAAGAAGAGUGGAUCAUUUCAAUAAUGCAUACUUGUCUAAGUUAGGGUAGAAAGUUUUGAAGGAUGAAAACAAUUGGUGGGUGCAAAUUGUUAAAAGAAAGUACUUAAAGAAAAAUGAUUUUUUUAGUUGCAAAGUCAAGCAGAACCACUCUUUGGCCUGGAAAGAGAUUUUGAAUAGUAGACAUGUUAUUCACAAGGGAAUUAGAUGGGUUGUGGGUAAUGGUGAGGAUAUUCUUUUUUGGACCCAUCAUUGGGUUUUUCCUUAUCCAUUGUUCAGCUAAUUCCUGAAAAUUAAUGACAGAACAUAAAUUGGGACACUAAAGUGAGUGAUUUUAUUGAUAGUAAAAGUUAGGAUAGAGUUCGUCUCUCCCAAGUGUUGGACCUGGAUGUUGUGAGGAAAAUUUGUCUGGUGCCUAUUUCCCUUCAAAAUAAAAGGGACAAUUUCGUGUGGGAACACUCCUCUAAUGGUGAGUUCUCAAUCAAGUCGGUGACUUGGAAUCAAAGUAAUAAUAAUCCAGAAGUUAAAAGGCAGAAGCUCCUUAAGAAGAUAUGGAAGUUAAUGAUACCUCUGAAGGUAAAAAAUUUUGCAUGACUUUUUACUCAUGAAAAACUGCAUACAGGAUGAGAUUGAGUAAAUUUAUUCAAAAUAUUGACAAAUUGUGCCCUAUGUGUGGCAAUGAGGAUGAGACUCAAAAUCACAUUUUUCUUAAUUGCGAGCAUGUUAAAGAAAUGUGGAACCUCUCUCUGGUAAGUCCUUGGAAGAAUAAUUUGACUCAGUUUAAUAAUGUGUUAGAUUGGAUGGAACUAAUUGACAAUGUUGAAUGCAAUGAUUUGAGUGAUCUUAGUAAAGCGAUUUUGAAUUGUUGGCAAAUAUGGAAUGAUAGAAAUAAUAAAGUUUUUAGAAGUAUGAUUCCUAAUCCGACUAGGAGUGUCUCCAUUGCCGCAAGUGUAGGCUUAUCUUUUUUUAAGGUUAGUAGUAAGAAGAUCUCUAGGGAUGAUCCUUGCCACCAACACCCCAUUUGUUGGCAUCCUCCUCCCUAUGGCUAUGUGAAAUUAAUCUUUGAUGGGUCGAUUAGUUUAGAUCGUUCUGCAACUGCUUUUGUUCUUAGAAAUGAGGAAGGGCAACCUGUUGGUGGGCAUUGAACCUUGAUGGUACCACCAUUUCGAUUGUGGAGGCCGUUGCUUUAAAGGAAGGGCUUUUUUCGCUAGGCAAACAUGUGUGAAGAAACUGAUGGUGGAAGGGGAUUCUAAGCUUGUUAUCCAAGUGGUGCAAGAUGUUUGGAUCCCCCUGGCCUCUUAAGACUAUCAUAGAGGACAUCAAAUGGUUGACUUCUAAAUUUCAACAUAUCAUUUAGAAGCAUAUUUAUAGGGAGGCUAAUUUCGUGGCAGACGCAUUAGCUAAUGUGGGCCUCACUGUUGCCAACCCAUAUUUUUUGGGAUUUUUGUCUUCUGAAUUCGGCUAUGGAGUCUUUUAAUUUUGAUUGUAUGGGAAAUGAUUGUAUUAGAGGUUUUAAGCUUUAAUAAAUUUCUUCUUCAUAAAAAAUAAAAAAAAUAUAAUAAAUAUUGUAAAAAAAAUUAAAAUUGGAAGACUAUCUUAACUUGCGAAAUUUCAAAGACGGCCGUUUCUUAAUUGUUACCACAUAUUCUACUUUUGUUAUUGGGUUAGCCAUACACUUUACAUGUUUCUAACGAUUCAUAUGACAUCAUCAAAUAAUACAAGUCUUGGAUAAGAAUAUACAAUGCACUAGAACGCCCUUGUUGGCGAUCCUUGCAUUAAAUGAACGGAAUGUCACCAUGUAGAUUUACCUAUGCCAUACAAGUCCCUUCUUAAGAUAAGGGGGCAAAUGGAUCUAUUUCGAGAGAAAUAUUAGAGAGAUGAGGUUAUAUCAUCUCCUUAAUAAAGAUGAAAUCAACUUGCACUGUGAGCCCUAUUUUUAUUUCGAAAAUAAUGUAAUGUGGUCCACCAAAAUAUAAUCCCUCUAACAUUUGCAGCUUGCACGACUAUUUUUUUUCAAAUAUGUAUUUUUCUAGUGGAGGAAAGAGGCAAACCAUAUCACUCUAAAACAGUCUCGAGAGCGAACCGAUUUUCAUCGGCAAAAUUUGAAAACGAUCGCUGUAUUACAAGCAUCCACAAAUUCUCAACCCUCAAGCAAGAAGCUGCUCCAAGUGUCGCCUUCGACAAAACAUGAAUAAACUAAUCGGUAGUGACAUGCUGUAUAUAAAUAAGAAAAAACUAUUCUCCCGCAUUUGUGAACAGCUCGGUUCAACUUCUACUUCCACAGGCAACAGCUUCUUCCUCCACACUGUUGUAAAACAAGCUCAAUUUACUUAUCGCAACAGCCUCUCCAAAUAGUGAUGUUCUUGUUGAUUUCAAUAUACGAACUUCAACAUAAUCACCCACUACGGGAUUCCUUUCCUCAUUUGAACCAGCAUCUCGAUGUGGUAACAGCACGUUAACAAAAGAAACUCUAUGACCUCUAUCACUUUUGCCCAUGAGUUCUGUAUCUGGAGCUUUCUUAUUAGGUCCUUCUACUAAGACAAGUUGGGUAGUUCCCACCUGUGAGUCGUAGCACUGACCUGUGCUCUUAUGGAAAGCCUUGAUAAGUUCCGCCAGCCUCCUCUGCUUCACAUCCUCUGGAACAUCAUCAUCGUAGUUUCUAUUUGCAUGGGUUUUAUCCCUCAUGCUAUAUGCAAAAAUGUAAGCCAUAUCGUAGCCAACAGCCUUUACAAGGCUCAGUGUGUCGUCAUGGUCCUCCUCUGUUUCCCCACAAAACCCUGUAAUAAGGAACAAACAUGUCAGUAGGGAAUACAAUACGUUUAAAGAGAAACGAGAUAUUGUAAGCUUCCAAUUAUCUGGUAAAGGGGCAUAAGAACAUUCUUGAGCAAAGAAGGCAUGCUAAUAAAUACAUGUGGAAAAUUAAUAUGAAACAACAAUUCUGCUUUUCGGUUCAGAUUUAAAAUCCAGAUAACAAACUGAAAAUAUAUAACAACUUUAUGUAAGGACAUUGAAAAAGUGAGAAUGCGAUGCAAUUCCCGAAUUUACGCAGUAAACUAAAAAAAAAAAAAAAAAAAAGUAGCAUAAUCUUGCGAAAACUAAAAACAACCGACAUGAAAUUAGGACAAACGUAAUCAACAGGUUUGUGGGUAGGAUUCAUCGGUUGCGGAUAGAUGAGUAGCUCAGAACUCUGAAAUUUAGUUUAACAAACAUGAACCCACAGUUAAACAUCAAAAGGAAAAGAGGAAUGCACAACUCUAAACUGAGGACGAAGGAUCAAUUAACCAAUCUCAUGCUUUGGCAGCCUUCUCAAAUAAAAAAAUCGAAGUUGAUCAUAAAAUUCUGGUAUCUCUAACAACCUUUGAAGAGAGAAACUAGAUAUUUCAAGUAAAACCUCCUUCCAAGAAUAUUUGAUCACUACUAUUACCUUGUACAAGAUUUCCACUGGGUACCACAAAUCAACAUACAGAAAUAUGGUGAAGACGGAAAAACAGAAGCUAAGUUCCUUCUCACCAAAAGUUGAUUGCAAGUUUUAUAAGCAAGAUUACCAGAAUGUAUAGAAUAUUGAUAAGAACACUUACCGCAUAUGAAAUCACUGCUGAUGCCCACAUCUGGAAUAAUUCUCCGUAUCUUUUGCACAAGAUCUAAGUAUGCCUCACGGGUAUAGCCACGACGCAUUCUUUCUAGCACAGUGCUACUCCCACUUUGUGCAGGCAAAUGGAUACUUCUGCAGAUAUUAGGUCUGUCUCGCAUUAAAUACAGCAACUCAUCAGGGAAAUCUUUAGGGUGUGGGGAUGUGUAUCGAAAUCUCAUCUCUGGAAAUUCUGUGGACAGUCGAUCCAAGAGAUCAGCAAAACGUGAACCAACUUUUUUCACCUUGCACAUGCUGGAGAAGCCUUCGCUGUAUCUCCAAUUAGUUCCUGCUUCAACUUCCUUUUCAUUCUCAGAGGCAUCAUUGUAGCUGUUUACAUUCUGGCCUAGCAGUGUUACCUCUUCACGCCUUCUUCCCAAAGCUCUCCCACCUCCCGCACAAUAGAUUCCACAGAACGCGAGCGCUCUCUGCCUCUAGUGAAAGGAACAAUACAAAAUGAGCACAUAUUGUUACAUCCCCUCAUAACAGAAACAAAAGCACUAAUUGAAUUUUUGGAGAUUCGAACUGGGCUAAUAUCAGCAUAAGUCUCUUCCAGCGAAAGAAGAGUAUUGAUUCCUUUCUGACCAUAGUCCACAUCUUCUAAUAAUCUCGGCAAGUCUCUGUACGCAUCAGGCCCACAAACCACAUCAACCAUUUUGUCUGAAUCGAGUAUCUGGUCCUUUAACCUCUCCGCCAUACAUCCCAAAACUACAACUUUUGGAGGACGUUUGGACUGCGACCUCCCUAUUUUAACAUUGUCCUUCCAUUCCCUCUUAAGAAACCAAAAAUAAUUAAGCCGCUGCCACACCUUCUGUUCCGCAUUGUCCCUGAUAGCGCAGGUGUUAAUAAAAAUAACCUCUGCAUUCUCAGGGACAUCAACGACUUCACUAUACCCAGCAUUCUUCAUAAUAGACAGAACAAUCUCCAUGUCAUUAAUAUUCAUUUGACACCCAUAAGUCUCGUGAUAGAUACGUCCUAUCGGAGCAACUUCAGUAGCAGUCAAAUUCACAUCCCUACACAUAAAAAACAGGAAGAAAAAUAUAAAACCAAAGCUAAGCAUGGGAUACAGUCUGCACAAUAUGAAAUCCGGGUGUAAGAACAUCGAAAGACGUUGAUCAAGAGUUGUUGGAUUGUCCUUUUAUGUUCAACUUUCGUCUAUGAUCUAUCCGGAAAAUUUCUCCUACAAACAUGGCAAAACAUCACAGUAACAUUUUGGACCAUAUGCACUAGCAUUGCUCAGAUAAAAAUUUCAACUUGAACUUGCAUCUCUUAUAACUCAACAGCCAGCUAAUUUUGGAUGUUUAAAAAAGCUGCUUCUGUUCGGUCGGUUAUACAACAAAGGUCAUUACUUUAAACCUUUCCUGAGACAACCCAAUUCGAAUUAUAGCAUAAUUUCCCCAAAAACUAACAAAAUACAUUAAAACUAAAAGAAUUUACACUGUGUGUGGGUUUGAAGCGUGGACUCACUGGGGCUGAGCUUCAGCACCGGCGAGAGCAGCUUGAGCGACAAAGUGGCGGAGGCUGGGGCCACCGGACUGGCCGGAGAGAGAAGAAGUGUUGGGGCUAAAAUUCGAGAAGCUUCUGGAGCUACUGCGGCCAAGACUCCUCCUUUGUGGCCGAGGCUGCAGCUGCUGGCGGCGGUGGUAGCAUCGGGAACGGGACUUCUCCGGUCCCCAAUUGAGGAACCCGAGAGUGAAGCAGGACGGCCUCUGGAACUUCAGGCGCAGCGCGCAGUGUGGGUUGUUCAGGAUCGAGGACAGGGACGACGAGAGCGACGUCGCCAUCGGUGAGAUUGUGUUCGCGCUUCUCAGCUUCUCUACGUCAGAGAGAGUUGGAUAGGGGUAACGAUUUACGACUAUCAGGAAAGAAACCCGGUAAUAGUGUGAGAGACGACAUGUCGUUUUUAUUUGGGCCGGCCCAAUAACGCUUCUCACUAAUGUUAACUAUGGGAAAAUAACACAAAUGGCACCUGAACUUUUCGGUUUUCGUGCAAUUACCAUAUGAACUAAAUCCUUUUACAAUUAAACAUUCAAACUCCUUCUUCUGUUAUUAUUUGCCAUCCAAACUUCUGAAAGGAAUGCUCCCCGGAUCCCUUCCAGCUAAGCUUUCUUAUCAAACAAUCUGAAUCUUUAAAAUUUGAUCCAACAGCUAAAGACAAUGGCUCACUUUAAAAAUUAUAAUAACUUUAGCCGUUGAAUCAAAUUUUAAGGGUCUGGAUUAUUUGAUGAGAAUGAUUAGAUUGAAGGGAUCCGAAGAAGAUCCCUUUCCUCAAACUUCUAGCUUUAAAAGAAAAGUCAACUAUUUUCAUUUCAUUUAUACUAAAUCUCGUCGAAUAUCUGACAUGAAUGUGGACAUUGAUCAAGAGAAACGAUGACAAUGACGUUAAAAAGUUGUAUUCGUUAUAAUAUAGAUAAUAAAAGUUAUUAAUUAUGGCAAACUUGACACGUUUAAACACCACACGAUUCUAAAAUCGCACGGUUUAAAACAUGAUACGAUUUCAUGGUUACUCUUAGGAAUCAACGGUUAUGAUGAGGAGAGGAAAAGAAUACUUGUAGAGGAUGUUAAGAAUGUUGACUUUCCAAGAAUAUAAUCAGACAUUGGAAGAUUGAUUUCCCAAUGGACAAAUUAUCCGGGAACAUUUCCAUUAAUCAAGGCAGGAAUAUGCUAACCGUAAUUAUGUCCAUAACUUAGAGGAAAAGCCAACUGAUGACUUUACAAAUUGGUUUUCUUUACUUGGUAGAAAUAUUCAAAGAUACUGGUCCUUUGGGGUGUUAUUAGGAAUUGGAUCCACUCUGGAUUUUAAUGUCUGGAGCCUAAAGAUCAAUCCAUCUGGGCAGCUGAUUGGUGUGUAAAAUAAAUCAGAGUUGUUGGUUGUGUGUGGUAGGCUAAGAAAAUGAGUUAAUUAAGAUUAUUGGAUUCAAUUUGUGUGACCCAUAUUAGUUGAUCCUUAUGCUCCGGACAUUAAGGUCCGGAGCGGAUCCAAUUCCGUUAUAUUAUAUUAUUUUAGUGGUAAGGUAUUCAGUUUUUAUUUGUGCGUCUGAAAUUCGAAAUCUUUUAUCUUCUAAAUUAUUGUAAUAGUUUUGAACUCUUUCAUCUCUCAUAAUAUAUUAAUUGGAUAUGUUGAAGGAUUCCGCACGUUUUACCUAACCUACUCUUACCGACCGUUAGAACUGCGCUAAUACGAGUGGCUUAAAGAAACUAAAAGCAGUUAUCGAGCAUAAAGUUGCCUCAGCUGCCAUUUAGUUUUGAUUCGGUUUUUACUUCGGCCGACCAUGCAGACUCAUCGUUACAACAAUAGUUUAAAAACCUUAAUAUUAAAAGAGGUUCAAAGCUCGAACCUUCCAACCGCUGACAAUAUAGUGGAAGGAUCAAAUUCUUUACGAAAGUCACUUAAAUAUUCAACCUAAUCCACCUAGUUGGGAAAGUGGAACCUUAGUUCAAAGGUGCAAACUGCCUUUCGGCUUUCACUUUCUGGAGCUCUUCUUUCCAAGCAGUGGCCGACGCAUAUACUGAAAAAAAAAAUAAUGAAGGCAAAGUGCUUUUCUUCUCUACUGACGGAAAGUGAAGGCAAAUAGAAGGUUCCUACACAAGCAUGAACCUAUCAAGAUGCAUAGAUUAAGAAGGCAUUUACCACUUAGCACUACAAUGUCGGAUAAUUGUUUUAAUUUGUAGUGAUAAGUUACAUGUUGAAUUUUUGUAAAUAAGUUCAAUACUAAGUUAUUAUAGCUUAUUUGUUUUGUGUCUUAACUCAGGUCUCUUACAUUUUAGUGUAAUUUUAUCAUUAGAGCAUAACAAGGAAGUGUUUGCACUAGCUGUUGUGAAUUAAGUUAGUUACCUUUGUAUAUCCGCUCCUUUGCACUAGAGAAUCUUGUGUACAAAUGGCGCUCUCAAUGUAUAUAAAACAAAAUAAGGAAAACUAAUGAAGUGGCUUGAAAAGUUUUAGUUUUAAUUAAAAAUCAUGUUAUAAAUUUUGUUUAAUGAUUAGUACAAGGCACAUAUUAAAGUAGUCCAAGUAAAAAUGGCCUAACUAUAAUAAAUUAUGAUUUGUCGAUUUUACCCCUAACUUUUUUAGGUUGAGUUCCAGAUUUUCGUCGUUAAUGGAGUUCAUUGUUGUUUUGCAGACCUUCUUCUUUUUCUUUGAAACAAAAUUAUAGAUCCUCAUGCUAUUUAAUUUAUAUUUUGUAUUAUUUCGUUGAAACGUGAUUGUCGUUAUUAUUCAUAAAGUAUUCGAAGUACUGUUUUUCAAUUUUUCUUCGUUAGUGGAGUUCAUCGUUUGUUUAUUCAGAAAAUAAAUUUGAGAUCUGCAGGUUAUUCAAUAAUAACGACGGGUCACUGUUUCUGGACUGUAAAAAUAAACUGUUUCUGGAUCCAAAUGAAAUAGACACACUGUUUCUUAAAUGUAAGCUAGAAAAGAAAUAGUGAAAUUCAUUGUAUUUGGAUUCAAAGCAAAAUAAGUAUCUUGUUUCUUAAAUAUAAUCAAUUGAUGCAUGAAAAGAAACAAUCAAAGGUUAAAACAUAGAUUGUUUCAAGAAUCUAAGUCACUGUUUCUGGAUUUUGGAUACAAUGUUUGUUUGUGCAUAAAAACAAACAAACAUUGUAUCUGUUUUUUUUUUUUAUAGAAACAGUGUUAUGUUUUGGGUUCUCCAGAAACAGUUUUAUGUUUUGGUUUUUUUUUUUCUUUCCUAUUUACAGACGCCUGACAUGUACGUACAUCAACGGGACCGUAGGUCCUUAUUGGAUCUGAUUGGAAUAUAAUACUAGCACUAUAAAUUGUUUGUGGUGCAGAUAAGAGGAUGAGGAUGAGGACGAUGACGAGGAAAAGGAGGAUAAGGGCACGAAAAAGGUAGACAAUAGUUUUGGAUGGUUUUUUAUUAAACUUUGAGUCAUUUUGGUUAAAUAACUUUUUAGGAUAGUUUUUUAUUAAAUAUUUGUUGGUCCAAACCCUUUUCAUUAAAGCUCCCAACAAAAUAAGUUUUUGCGUUUAUUUUUAUUCAUUUUAUAUCUAGUGGAAUUUUACGGUAAGCUCACAUAACGAUUUGUCAUAAUAAUUACCUAUCAAACUUAUCGAACUGAAUUUGAAGUCUAUUCUUUCAACAAGUAAAGAAGGUUAAAACAAGGUUUUUUAGCCAAAACAGUUAUUGAGAUUGACAUAACUUUUCAUUUUGGUCACUGAGAUUUAAAAUCGAUACAAUUGAUUUUUGAGUUUAUCUACCGUUAAUCAUUUUGAUCAUUCUGUAAACGAAAAAUCUCUGUUAAAUAAGGAGAAAUGACCAAAAUAUCCUCAAUUUUUGUCAAAUCAUUUUGGCCUAUUGUUUAUUAAAUUAAGGGUAUUUUUGUCAUAUUGUUUGUUCUUUAAUAUAAAAUUUUCACGGAAUGACCAAAAUAAUUGAUGAUGUACAAACUCAGGAAAUACUUGUAUCGAUUUUAAAUCUCAAAAUCUAAAGUGAGAAGUUAUGCUAAUAUUAAAGACUAUUUUUGCUUCCAAAAAAAAAUAAAAAGACCAUUUUAGAUAAAAUGCCAAACAACAAUUGGUAGGAUCUGAAGUGUCCAAACACUUGAAAAAGUCCGACAACCACCAUGACAAAGUCAAAAAUAAAAAAACCAAAGAGAGAGGGACGGUGUGAUGGUAGACCAAAGAGGCGACGACGUCGUCUACCGAGGCAGCACCUUGGCAAAGAUAAAGAAUAAAGAAAAUAUAAAAAUAAAGAAAAUGGAUAUGGUGGGGAGCACCCAAUACCAGUUGUGAAAUCAACCGUGCCCUCCCCCUCCUCUCCCUUUUGUCCCUUUCCCCCUCUCCCUCUCUCGUCAACACCUCCUCCAUCCUCACAUUCUCUCUCUAAAACUCUCUCUCGACCAAUUUCCUUUCCGGAGAAAAGCAUGACCAGCUCCUCCGCCUCUGGCCGCAAGGUUUGCCCUAAUUUCACACCCAGUCACUUUUUCCGUGCAAUUUCUGUUUCUGGGUUUUGAUCUUUUUAUUGGGUUUUGAUUGUUGAUUUUGUUGGGUUUUGGAAUUUGUAGACUUUGAGUAAGAUCGCUUGCAAUCGGCUCCAGAAAGAGCUUCUGGAGUGGCAGGUCAAUCCUCCGGUGGGCUUCAAGCACAAAGUCACCGAUAAUCUCCAAAGGUCUUCUCUUUUUUUUCUUCUGCUCUCUGUUUGUUUCUCGAGAAAAGAUAAUUCAUUGGAAUUGGAGGAAGAGGAGAAUUCAGAAUUUACAUAAUCUUACACUUAUUGGGUUUUCAGUUUAAAUUACCCCUUUUUGAAUUUUUUGUUUAGGGAAAUUGAAAUCCAACUGUUUAGGGUUUAUGAUGUGUAUUUUUGUCCUUCAAUGUUCGUGCUUUUCGGCUUUAGUUAAGUUGGUUCAAUUUUAAUUGUUGUGUUUUGGUAUUUGUGAUCCAAAAGGUGGGUGAUUGAAGUCAAUGGUGCUCCUGGAACUCUCUAUUCUAAUGAGACCUUUCAGCUUCAGGUUGAUUUUCCUGAGCAUUACCCGAUGGAAGCCCCGCAGGUCUGUGCAAAUUCAUUAGAUUGUGUGAUAUGACUUUGCUUCAAGAUAUAUGUUACGAACGAUAUUGUGUUGGGUAGAUUUUGAUUUUCAUGAAGCACUUAACCGGUUUUGGGUCUGUAUACUUGUGGCUGGUUUGAACAGGUUAUAUUUGUCCCUCCAGCUCCACUACAUCCUCAUAUUUAUAGCAACGGUCAUAUUUGUUUAGGUAAUUUAUGGGUUUCAGUUAAGCGUUUGAUAUCUGAUUUGUAUUUAGUUACAGCACGAAAAUGUUUCUUUUGCUUGAUUUGCUGCAUUUGCUCAUUUGUUGAAACCUGAAAGUGAUACUUGUCUUUAUAAUGGGCUCACGUCUUCCUUUGUUGCUUCUUCUUGCUUCUUCUUGCUUCUUCUUUCUUUUAACACACAAUUUUAUUAUCAUUGCUUAAAACAUGUGGUAAGUGUUGCCUGAAAGUAUUGUGCUUUUAUCUCAAUCUCUUGCUGAAAAGAUGUAGUUUUCAGCUAGCUGAUACAAAUUUUGUUUGAGAUAAUAAGGCCUUCACUCCUUUAUCAGCUAUUGUGAUGACUUUCAAGACCCUAUCACAAACAGGGAGGAAUAAACUGAGGAAAAGAGAGGAAAAAGUGGGGUGGGGGUUGCCUAGUAAAGCUGGCCUUGGAAAUCCUACUGAAUGUGAUUUAUGUUGUCUGUCGACUAAGCUAAAUUUAUCUUUACUGGAGAUUUGAAUAAUUGCUAGAUAUUAGAUGCUAAACUGGGGACGCUAUACCGCUUAACAACAGAUUUAGGUUGUCAUUACUUACUGUGUGCUGUAUCAAACAAUAUCUUGAUCCAUCAUGAAUCCACUGACUGAAUUUUAGUUAUACUGUAUUAGAACAAUAUAUUGUUUCAUUUUACUCUCACGGCCUCAUAUUAUGUGAUCUAUGGUUGAUAUGGGAUUUUGUAGAUAUUUUGUAUGAUUCAUGGUCACCAGCCAUGACUGUUAGUUCCAUCUGUAUUAGCAUUCUCUCCAUGCUAUCAAGCUCGACCGUGAAGGUUUGUGUUCCACUUCAAUUUUUUCAUCUUUGGUGAUUUCAGUUCUUUUAACUAUCAAGCCUAGAUCAUGUCCCAUCAAUUUAUUCUGCUAAAACUUUCAAACGAGGAAAUGACCGAUCAUUAAUUUGUGAAAGAUGGACAUUCCCUUGUUGAUUAUCAAUUCAAUGGUAUAGUAGAUUCUAAAUGUGUUGGGGAUGUAUAUCUGAAGCCCUUUUGUAUAUGCCUGCAGCAACGCCCAGAAGAUAAUGACCGGUAUGUAAAGAACUGUAGAAAUGGCAGAUCUCCCAAGGAGACGAGGUGGUGGUUCCAUGACGAUAAAGUGUAAAAACCAUGCACUGUCUUCCUGUUCAAAGGAGGACGAAGACGAGAGAAAAAAGGCAAUGAUAAAAACUGGGAGUUGUUCCAAUUGCUCAGUAACUCUUAUAAAUUGACAAUGCUCGGUACUUGUAAAGCAAAGGGAACAAUUUGUGUUUCUAUCGAUUCGUAAGGAACAAACUGAGGUCAGAAGUUGCUAUAAGCUUAUGAUUUAAGUCCCUUUUCUUCCCAAGUGCUCACCUCCUGUAAGGGAAGUGAGUGCCUGGCUUUUAAAAUUUUCGUAUAUCUUCAUCCGUGCAAUGCGAUUUUCAAGAUAUAACAUUGAAAAAAAGGCAUCCAAUUUUUCAAAUCUAGUGCACGUAUGUAAAACUUAUCUGUAAACAUGACAGCUUCACCAAGUAUGUGUUCAUGUUGAGUGAUUACGUACCGGCAAGCUCAAAUGAAUGAUAUCAAUUCUAAGAAAAUUGUCCCAAACAAUUAAGUAUUUUAGUUCAUCUUUAUUUAUGACAUUGCAUAUUUUGGUAGUAAGUAAACACGAGUUUUUUUUAACACGGUACAAAAAAAUUAUAACAUCACGAUGUGGAGUUCAUUUCUAUAUAUGACUGCCCAAGUUGGGAUAGAAAAUUUUAUGAAGGCUUACAUCAUACAACAAUAUGAAUUGUUAGUCCCUGGUUUCCUAGUUGUUACUUUCAUUGAAUUGAUAUACGGCACAUCUCCAAUUCUUGGUUAAAUAUGAAUUGUUAGUCCCUGGUUUCCUAGUUGUUACUUUCAUUGAAUUGAUAUACGGCACAUCUCCAAUUCUUGGUUAAAACUUAAAAUUUUAGGCUUUAAAUUAGCUUCUUCAAAUGUCUGAUCUUGUGCUUGUGUAUGUUAGGCUUUGAUAAAUCUAGCCCCGAUUUUGAGAGAAUUAACUUAAAAGUCCACAUAAAAUCUGUAGAAGAAAUUGGAACAACAAGACUAAUCUAGCUUAGAUUUCAAGAGAAUUCACUUAAAAGUCGACAUGGAAUCUGUAGAAGAAAUUGGAACAACAAAACGAUAUUUUCAUUUUCUGUGGAUGAUUCCAAAAUAUCACUAAGUUGAUGAUGUUAUUUGGAGAUAUAGUUUGUGCAUGAUAACACUCCAUUUAAAAUUUCACAGAAUUUUAUUCCAAUACACCCCUAAGCCUAUUUCAAAAUGAAACUAAACAUAUUACUUUAAUUCCCUCAAAUAUCUUACCCGAGAAUCUGAACUAAAUCUACGACUCAAAUAUUUUCAAAAAUCAAAAUUUUUUGUUUGAAAACUUUGUUCUUGUGCAUUUGUGGUUAACUAUCACGUUAAAAUUUCACACAAAAAAGAUAAAAUUCAUGCAAAAAGAAAUGAAAGUCGUGUUCAUAACAAACUAAUUUACUUUCACGUAGUUAGCAUGAAAUGUAGUGCGCAGUGUAAUUUUUGAGGGUAAUGAAAUAUGAUAAAAAUAAUUUCUUCCAAUGUAACACAAAGAGAGCGAAAAUCCCAAUCGUCUUACGGUUCUGGUUUAUUUUUCUGGGUAACUCUGGAAGUGAAAUUCUAUGAAUCUCUUUCGUCUUUCAAGGUUUACAAUUUGUCUUGAAUAUGCAAGACUUCGGGGAAAGUUGUUCAAUUUAGCACACAUUGAGCACAAUGCCUUCCAACAACUCGAGAAACGCAUCAAACAGUAGCUCCUAGUUGGCUCUCUACCAUGAUCCUUCAGCGCCCAAUGUUGGAUUCUCGAACGCAGAGAAACCCCAGAAUGUCUUCAAAGAGUAGGGCUGAGAAAUUGUUACGCCUUCUUCGGUGAUUUUAGCUAUCUGCAAUUACCAAGUUUAAAAUGUGUCAUCUUACUGGUACCGAUGCAUGUUCAAGGGUGACAAUAAAUUAGUAGGAAGUCCUCAAUUUACCAAGGAUACUAAUUUUUGAACGCAAAGACUUUCCCACCACAGCUAUAAUCAUUUCGAAAAGUGUAAGAAAGUGUGGAUAUGUGUAGAAAUAAAACAAUUGUAUACUUCCUACCUCAAUCUAGAACACUUCCUACGCUAAAAAAUGAGCGCAGACAAGGAGGAAGCAUACCCCUAGUACUGUAGAUUGUCUCACAUAACUACAGAAUGACAAAUCUUUAAUAAAAAGAAGUAUUUGGACGUGAACACGUGUGUGAAAGACAGAGAGAGAUAUUGGAACUUACAUGGACAAUAAUAGCAAGGUUUAUAAAUUCCGAAAAACAUCAAAGACGACAGACAGGCGGAUUCUAUGCCAUUUAAAGAAAAUAAACCGAUAGACAGAUAAGAAUUCCCACAGGAAUUGCUAGCAAAAAGAUCUAAGGUUGUUCUUAACAGCCUAAAAACUAUGAAAUCUGUAACUUAUAGCAUUGUCAUUAUUAUAGGGUGCCAAAAGACAGAGAAAAUAACGUUUAAGUUAUCACUACCUGAAGCUUGUUCACAGCAGACCGAUCUCGAUAGAGAAGGACACGCAUGCACUUCUCCAGCAGCUUUACAGCCUCUUCGAAAGUCAAGUUCUCAUGCCACUCAUCACGAAGAAUAGGCCGUGCAAGGUGAUUUCCAAAUCCCGUAGCCACAUGAUUGUCCUCAAAAUUUACACCUAUCAUGCUAACCUGAAUAAAGAUAAAAAGUAUGACAAGCAACUAAGUCCCCUGAUUCAUGAUGCACACAGCACACUGCAAUGUGUUAAGGGAAGGAUUAAAUGAGGUUUACCAUGCCAAGGUACUUCUGUCCAUUUUUCACUCCACCGAGGACAAGAGAGUUCCACAAUGGAUUGAACUUGUUACGCCUAUUGUACAUCACACGGGUCAAAUAGUUGUGCACCUCUUUAGGUCCCAAAGAGUUCCCAUCAUCCCACAUGUUGUCAUACAGGCUACAACCAGAAAAUCGAAAUGAAUAAUCCUAAACCAACUGUUUCAAAUAAUACAAAGAAGCAUAGAAAAAAUCACAAUGGAAACAUUAUAGAAGGUAGCCAAACGCUUAUCUUCAUAAUUUUUCUUAUCAAUAAUGCUUACACGAGUUCAUCAAGAUAACGUAAGAGCUCCUGAAAGUCGCUUAUUUCUCCACUUGCACCAAGAAGAGAAUGCUUUCCGAUUGGCUUCAUUCUUUCCACACUCUUGUAUCGCAGGGUAGAGCCAUAAGAACCUAUCAAAACAUCCAUUCUUUUGAUACUGUUAAGAGACCUCAACAGACACAUAAAAAGAACAUACAUGGGCGUCUAACUUUUGAGUCAUGAACAAUAGGAUCCCCGACGCUAUAAAAAUAUAUGAUGUCUAUGACUGAUAAAGCGAUAACCAUAACGUAAAAAUAGGAGAUACUGUAAGAAAACCUCAACAGACACAUGAAAACCACAUUAGGUGAUCUAAAAAUCCAGUCUGACCAUUAAGAGCGGCCGCGGGGCGCCAUACAAGAACACAAAAACUAAUGUAUCUAACUUUGAAAAGACUCGCAUUUGAAUUUUGAACUGUUUCUCCUUCAGAUAAAGUGAAACAAAUACGACAAGCCUACACGAACAACUCCAAAGAUUUCAUAACAAUUUUCGCUACAAGAAGCUAAGAGAAAUGGCGGAAAGAAUCCCACUUUUUUCAAACACCAGAAACAAUAUAUACUCCGCAUUAACAUCAAAUCUUAAUUUCCCGUAACCAAACAAGAAGCUAAAUAAAAUAAUGGACCAAAAAAUCAAAAUCAAAACUUGUUUUUGUGACGCAAGGGUAAUGGAAUUGGAAGCUAACCUCCCAUAUCAGCAGCCAUCAAAAUUCCAUCUUUAUACUUGAGAGCCACAACAGAUGUACCAGUUACAUAUGGGUACCUUCAAUCAAACAAAUUAUUAAAAUUUAAAAAAAAAAAAAUUUAAAAAAAUUAAAAACACAAAUUAAAAAUUAAAGGAUUGAAAUUUUCAUACAAAAAGUUAAAUCCGCAAAACCACAGUUACCCAAAUCCCCAUACAAACGAAAAAUGCACAUAAAAACUUAAAAAUCAAACAUUAAGAAAGCAUACAGGGUCCUCUGCGAGCCUUCAGGAUUGCACAGUAGGCCGGGUUUGGAUUGGUUCGACUCCAUUAACUACUCAAAGAUAAUUAGAAAGUUAAAAUCAAAGUAAUUAAAAAAUAAUCUGGGAUUUGGAAAUCGAAGGGUACUCGAAACUUACACUCGUUUUUGUUUUCGUAGAGCUUGAAAUCGCAGCUUUUAGUUUCCAGCACCUCCGUUCUCUUGUGUUUUGCUCCGGCCUGUGAUGUGGGCUUCUUUCGUAAUUUUGAAUGAGUUUCUGGCCAGAAAAAAAAAAGAACAAAAAAAGAGAGGGUACAAAUAAAAAUUUUAAUUUUCUUUUCGCUCAAGAAAUUGCAAUCCGAAUCAGUUUUAAGGUUUGGAAAGCCCAUAUGGAAACGCACUAAAUUUUAGGCCCAAAGGUAAUUAAUGACCAUCAGCCCAGUUCAUUGAAAAAAAACGAGUCUGUUGUUUUAAAAAGUAAUAAUAUGUGAGCCUAUGCCACUCGCACUUCUGUAUGAGUUUCACUUCUGUAUGAGUUUCGUUCUUUUAGUCACUUGGUAAUCAAUGAUUGAGUUUCGUUCUUUUAGGUAUCGUUUGAUAUGCAGACGAAACGGAAUGGAACAUGAUGGGAUGGGACAGGACAGGACAGGACGGAACGGAGAAUGAGCAAAUAUGCCCUCGGAUGGAAACAAGAAGGAAGAAGAAGGAGACGGAGAUGUUAUAAUUUUGUGUUCAUUGGAUGUGGAACGAGUCAUUCUAGGGAGGUGAGGCGGAACGAAAAUUCACCCAAGAUUCGUCCCGUGGAACAGCGCGUUCCACCCGUUUUAGGCGCACCAAACGUGAGACGGAACGUCUCGUCCCACUCUGUUCCGUCCCAUCCCACGUACCAAACGGUACCUUAGUCACUUGAUAAUCAAUGAUUGAGUUUCGUUCUGGUCAUUCACUCUUUGACUUUAAUAUAAACGGUAGGAAUUAAAACAUUAAAAAGAACAUGUCACCAGAUCCAUUACCGAACAUCUUUCUUAUGCUAAAUAUUUUGUUUUAAGUCAUAUUUGGGAAGGAUUAUGUUACUUAGUUCGUUUUGGUUAAUCCUCGUAUAUACUUUCCAGUUUCGUGUUGUUUUCUUGUUUCUGGGAAGUUUCGGUUUUCCUUGACGCAUAAGGAUAAUGGUAACUUUCUUUGUCUUUCCUAGUUGUAAUAGUUCUUGAGUUUCAAUCAGGAUUUGGUUUUAGUUUUCCCUUUCCAGAUUAGGAUUUGAAUUUGAGUUUCCUUGUGUAGCAAGUAAACAAGUAGUGGGUCUUUUUGAGUGCCUAUAUGUAGAGAGAGAAUCUAAACCUUUCUUUCACUUGUACUCUGAGCAUAGUGUUGGUUGUAUGUCAACAAUCUGUGAUAAUUUAUAUAUGCUAAUAAAUAAUAAAUGCAAUAGGAAUUAACAGAAUAUAAACUAGAAUACGAAUUAUAAAAACAAACAACUUGAAGAUCGAGGCUUGCGUACCGCAAUGUCCUUGAAACAGAAAUUUCGUCCCUACUCUGUGCUUGUAGUUCUACGGAUGUCUGCUUCACCAGGAUUCAACGAUCAAGUUAAAAUUCCAGCACCGGAAAAUUUAACUUCUGGCGAAUUUAGUGUGGUUCUCUCAGUAAGAAGGUUUAGGAAUGUAGAAGAUGAAGUUGAUUAUUUUCUGUGUUUUAGAUGCUAUGCAAAUGAAUGUAUAUAUAGCAUAUGGAUGCCUUUUUGCAACAGGUAUGAGAAUGGGGUGUGACUGUUGGGAGACAUCUCUUCAGAGGGGUGCUUUGCUCUGUGUUCAAAAAGAACUCUCAGACUUCAUCUGAAAGGAUGAGUCUUUUCAUAAAAAAUAAAUAAUUAAUUAAAUUCGAAUUUAAUUAAAAAAUAAUUAAGUAAAUCUGAAAAAUAAUUAAUUAAAUAAUUAUAUAUUAAUUACCAAAUAAUUAAUACACCCCAAAGCCCAACCCCAAGGGUGAGCCCAAUUUUAGUCUCCAGGCCUAUUACUCCAAUCACUUUCUUUAAAGGACAAAGCCUUAUAAAGUGAUAAAAUCUUUUGGGAAUGACCAAUGUGGGACAAGAAAAUUUCUACUCAAACUACUCAAAUUUCCAACACAUAGGAGCACAGACACUACCACUCAAGCCUUGCUGUGUCCGAAAAACCCUUUGGGCUCUGACCAUGCCCAAAUUCGCCAAUGCUUUUGCUCUGUUGGGCGAGAGCGAAAGUGAAGAUGUCAAGGAACUCAUCGAGGUGGUUGAUGAAAGGGCAGAUGUUUCGCUUCUAGAAGCCUUGAAGAAGAAGAAUGCGAUUGCAAAGAAGGAGGCCGAUGCAAAGAAGAAGAAGGAGGCAAAGGAGAAAGAGCGUCUGCAACGCGAAAUCCAGUUAAAAAAAUAAAAAACCAAAUGUGAACCGAAGUCUUCGUAGAUAACUAAAGAAGAAGUUGGAUAGAAACCAAGACGACAACAAUGCGGCAGCUGCUGAGGUUACAAGUGCUGCUGUGAUUGUUCCUGCUGAGAACAAGUUUUCUCCAUCGUACACUUUGAAAGAGUAUGAGAAGGAGGGAGAGAAUGACAAAUCCGCCACUGUCGAGCAGCCCCAGAAGCCUAAAGAUCAGCUUAAUAGGUGGAUUGAUAGUCUCCAAUGCAGGCAAGGAUCGUAGAUGGCGCCGAGAUUGGAUGAACCAUCAACCUGAUGCCAAGGUUUAUGUCAAUUGUUCGCAGCAAGCGGAGGUGGCAGAGCCGCAUAUUUCCUGAAUGCUGCGGAAUUUGCAGUCCUGUAACAAAUUGUAUUAAACUUUCCUAGUUCUUACUUGAACUAUACUUUUUUGCAAGAGAAGGGUCAUAGAAGCCCUAUUUUCUUUUAAAAAAAAAAGAGGACACUGGUGGCAAACCACGGUUAUCCAACUUACCUAAACACAUGCAUGCCGCAUGAUGUGUUUCUUUAGCCAAAUUCAAAUAAUACCAAAUCCAACAAUAGUUGCAAGAAACAAAAGUAGACUAGGCAUAACCUAGUUGGUUAAUAAUUCAGGAGUUUUCUUAAAUGAUAAAGCAAUGUUACACCUGAAUUCUCGCUCUCUUAUUUUAUGGACAAAAUUAUAUUGUUUUAAGGCAAUGUGAUCUCUUCAACAAAUCUUUAUUCAGUUUUUGUAUAUAUGACUAAAAUUUCAUGAUUAAACGUAUUAUCCAACUAUACAAAUUCCCUCAUUUAAUCAAUAUAAAUAGGUCAUCAAAUCAUACAUAGAGUUUGACAUAAACAUUGCACAAAGAAUUGGAUCGAUCAUGAACCUUUGAUGACUAUAACAAUAUAAAUACGCUCUACCUAGUUCGCCUGCACAUGAAUUGCAGACUUGGAUAUUGUUCGUGAUGGCUAACUCUCAGUUUGUACCAGCAUGUAUCAUGUUCAUUGCCAAUAUUGUCAUCGUCAACAUUGGCGCGGCAAUAGGCGGAUGGCCUAAUGGGCAUGCAACAUUUUACGGUGAUAAGCAGGGUGGAGGAACCUAAGUUUGAUUGUGUUUAUAAAGAAAUAAGUUAUUACUCGAAAUAUGUACGUAUAAUAUUAGUCAAUCCUAAACCUAAUGCGUACGUUUUUGUAUUAAUAUGACGACUAUAUAGUAAUCCAAAUUUAUCUGUAGUGCUUACUAAUUUUGGAUCUUUCAUGCAUUCAACUUUGAUUAGGGGGAGCUUGUGGAUACGCUGAUACCAACAAACAAGGCUACAGGGUGGAAACGACAGCCCAAAGUUCUGCUCUCUUCAACAAUGGCCAAACUUGCGGGGCUUGUUUCGAGGUUACGUGCGUGGAUGAUCCAAAAUGGUGCCUACAAGGCACCAUCAAAGUGCUUGGUGCAAUCCUCCCUCAAAGCACUUUAAUUUGUCCCAACCAAUGUUUCUAAAGACUGCAAAAUUCGCGGCCGCCGGAAUAGUCCCCGUUGGCUUUCAACUAGUGCCAUGCUUUAAGAGGGGAGGGAUCAAGUUCUAUCUCGGUGGGCGCCCUAAUUUCCUACUUGUGUUGAUACACAACGCUGGAGGGCUGUUGAAUUGGUCGAUGUAAAAGUAACAGGCUCGAGCACUGGUUGAGCACUGGUUGGAUACAAAUGACGCGUAAACUGGGGAGUGGGGACAAAACUGGCAGAUUGGAGGAGGUUUGGAAGGAAAAAAAUGGUCUUUCCAAGUAACAACUAGUGAUAGAAGGACGCUGGAGUCUCUCAAUUUUGUGCCUGCCAAUUGGCAAUUUGGACAAACAUAUGAAGGGAGAAACUUUUAGUUAAAAAUUCUUGUGGAACAUUAGUAGACCGUGAAACAAGUUUUCUGUUUGAGUACAAGAAGAAAGGAGAGAAUCACAAAACCGCUGCUGUCGAGCUACCCCAACAGCCUGCAGAACAGCUUACUGAGUGGAAAGGGAGAUUCUAACUUGAGUGCGAAGAAACAAGCACAUUGCUCUAGCCAUCUGACCUAAAAGUAUUUCAGAAUAUUUUGCAGAAUCUUCAAAGCUGCCUACGAGGUAUAAUUAACCCAUAAAAACAGAGCAAUCAUAAGAUUAUUAUGUACAAAAUAGUUGUUGACUGGGUGCUAAACCAAUAAAUUUGGGCCAGCUCAAAUUUUUCAUCUUUGACUAUUACACUAUUGCCCUCAAAUCAACCGACCGCGACAACCUUUUGAUGACUAAACAGUUCAAUUAUGUAUAAAAGCAUCUUCAUCAUUCUGCAGGCAGUCAAAAAUCUCUCUCUCUCUCUCUCUCUCUCUCUCUCUCUCUCUCUCUCUCUCUCUCUCUCAACCAUGGAUUUCAUGAUAGAUGUGAAUCACCAGAGGAUCCAAACCAAUGGAAUAUGGCUUCAUGUAGCCAAAAAAGGGACAGGUCCUCUGGUUCUCUUGCUUCAUGGCUUCCCAGAAAUCUGGUAUGCCUGGCGCCACCAGAUCGAAUACUUGGCGGAAAACGGCUACCACGUGGUGGCGCCAGAUUUGAGAGGUUACGGCGACUCUGACGCUCCUCUCAACCACAACUCCUACACCAUCUUCCAUAUAGUUGGAGACCUCAUUGGCCUACUUGAUCAUUUUGGUCAACAACAGGUGACAAGCUUUUUCUCUACAUGAAGUGAUUUCCGCACGACUUUAUUCUCGCAUGUAUAUUUUACACAUUUGGUUGAUUAAAUUAAACCGAGGAUUAAGGGCCAAAAAUAAGUAGAGCCCAAAGGAGAAAAGAGUUGUGCGGAAAUCAUUUUCCUUUCUUGAACUGCAAUCAAAGAAUUUAAAACUUCAUAUGAACAUAUCCAUGUUGUUAUGUAUGUGAGGGGUUUGGAUUUUUGAAAAUCUAAUGUAAUGGUUUGUGAUUUGAGAAGGCAUAUGUGGUGGGACAUGAUUGGGGAGCAGUUGCUGGUUGGAAUUUGAGCUUGUUUAGGCCUGAUAGAGUGAUAGGGCUGGUUAACCUAUCAGUUCCAUACUUUCCAAGAUCUCCAACAACCAAAACUACCGAAGCUAUAAGACAAAUUUUUGGUGAAGGAAGUCAUGUGAUUCAAUUCCAGGUACUUCCUCUCUCCAGAUGUUUGUAUCAAAAUUAGUAGCCACACGAGAUGUUUAUGUUGUCCGACUGUCACCGAUGGGGUUCUUACCUGAACGGUGUGGUCCAAAUUCACAAUCUAACAAUAUAUGUAUGCAUAUGUCACUUAAUUAUUGUUUCUUGGCUGAGAAGGAACCGGGAAGAGCAGAGAAAGCGUUUGCGAGGUAUGACUGUAUGACAGUGAUGAAGAAGUUCCUGCUGGUAACUAAUAAUUUGAUAGCUCCUCCGGACAUGGAGCUUAUCGAUUACCUGGAGACACAAUCAUCAUUGCCGGCAUGGCUAACUGAAGAGGAUAUCCGGGUCUUCGACAAAAAAUUUGAGGAGUCUGGAUUCACCGGUCCUUUGAACUACUAUCGCGCAAUGGAUCUGUAAGUUUAUAGAAACUUUACUGUGUAUUCCCAAGCUAAAAUUGAUUCAAAAAUAUGCCUUAGGUACAACCACCAUAUGCUUGAAGACUUCUAAUCCGAAUUGUACUUAAAAUAUACUCAAGUUACCAGCUUCUAUAUCCAAGAGAACCAUAGAAUAUUUUUUUGAUUCGAAGGAUAUUCUAAUCUAAUUGAAACUGAGAAAAGGGGGAUUCGAACUUGGUGUAGAAGGGGAAGCCACCGCUCUAACUGACUUGUCUACGCUUAAGUCUGUAAAAAUGCAUGGAGCCAACUCAACUGUCCUGCUUUUUUUUUUUGGUCGUUUUUAUUAGUCGGUUGAUGGUGAUGUAUAUCAUGUUAAACAGGACUUGGGAGCUGCUUGCGCCCUGGCAAGGAUCGAAAAUCAUGGUACCCGUGAAGUUCAUGAUCGGCGACAAAGAUCCAGGGUUUAAAUCCGGCGGAACAAGUGAAUUUGUGCAAGGUGAUGAGUUCGGAAGCCUUGUCCCGGACCUUGAGGUGGUUAUCGUAGGCGGCCACCAUUUCAUCCAACAAGAGAACCCUCAAGAAGUCUCCAGCCAAAUACUUUCCUUCCUCCGUCAACAUCCUGCAGAUCAGUGAAAUUUUCGUGUUAGAGUGUUUCUGUAUAAUUAUUGUUCUUCUUAAGACAUGUUGGAAAUCUGUUUAUAACCUCAUGUGAUAGCUACUUGAGAAGUUUUCAUGGAAUUGAAGGGUAGGGACAACAUUGAUGCGGAUCAUAUCAUCGAGGAUGAUACCGAUCAAUUUUAUGUUAAGGGCCAAAGUGAGGAAUUCUGUAAACUUCAAAAACCAGUUACAAUAAAAACUCAACUACUUUGUUUGAGGAAGCAUAUAGGCCUUGUUCCGUAACAGAAAUCUAGAAACUCGACACAUUACAAUACAAUCCAAUACAAUUUACCAUAGAGGUACAAUCCGUGAUACGAAAACCAAAUUCAGAACAAGAAAGGAAACAAUAUCGUCAUGUAAGCAGAUGUUGCGUUUCCAAAAUAUAAUCACAAUGGCACGGUGAAACACAUAGAAAACCAUAUACUAAAACACUUUUCUAUACAAGACAGAAGCAAAAUUCUUGGAAGGCAGUUUCCAGGAAAAUGACAUGGAUAAGCACUAAAAUUUAAUUAAAUGAAAUCAUCCAGUGAAUAUUAGUAUAUUCUUUCUACAAGAUGAUAUUUUAAACUACAUUAAUUUAUUUGAAACGGAAUUCAAACUUAUAUACAAGAAGACACAUACAUUAACCACCCAACUGGUUUAACCCCAUGUACUUAAAAAUUAGUCUUUAGGUCAACAAAUUGUACUUUUCUACACCGUACUCGUAUUGGAGCAUUUGAUACGUUACCCUUCUCUGGCCCGAUUCAAACUUGUCAUCUUUGACUGUUUGACAACCAGAAUUUUCAAGUCACAACUUCCCAAUCAUUUUCUGCAAAUUAUACAUAUAAAAAUGAUCUCUCUCUCUCUCUCUUCUCUCUCUCUCUCUCUACCAUUCACAACAUUAAGCACCAGCCUGAUGCCGUUGCGGAUGAUGUCUUUUUACAGAGUGUACAAAUCGAUUGAAAUUUUAAAAUCCUCCAUUAUUACAAGAAUAGAGAUUUGAAUUUGAGUGUGAGGACGUUAUCGCAUAGGUCCGACCAACUAACUUAAACACAUCCACAUGGUGUAUUUCUUUAGCCGUUCUAAUAGUACAAAAUCCAAGAAUAGUUGCAAGAAACAAAAUUAGACCUAGAUAUAGCCUAGUUGGUUAAUAAUUCAGGAGCUUUCUUAUAUUAUUUUACACUAUAUUAAAAUACAUAUGGCUCGAAUAAAAGAAUUAAAAUUAAUGAAACAUAAAAAAUCUAUCGCCUACUUAAAUUCGAGUAAUAAUAGGGAUAUCAAAAUUUUAAAACAAUGUAUCAUCUCAUGUGGCAAAGUGAUGCAUACAACUAACAUUUAUUUAGAUAGAUUAUUAAUUGACGUGACAAGUACACAUCACUUACCACAUUAGAUGGUACACCACUAUCAUACAAAAAUGUUACCUCUCUAAUAUUUUUUCCCUUUAAAUUCAAAUUUUAACAAUUAGACAACAAAAAUGCUAUUUUUUUUUUGGUUAAACGAUAAAUUUUGUUAUAUUAGAUAUUAGAUUAGUCACUGACAAAGUUCGAACUCACGCCGCCAUGCAAAGACUCAACUCUUUUCCAUAAUUGUGGUAAAAGGCCACUUGCACAAAAAUACUAUUCUUAAUUAUCAUCUAUUUUUACUAUAAUUUGUAUUAUAUCUCUAAUAGAAAUAAGACCCACAUGCGUUGGCGGGCCUUAUAUCUAUUAGAAAGAUAACAUAAAAGAUAAUACAACUAGAUAGUAAGUGUAGCAUUGCUCAUUAGACAAUACCCUUUGCGUCAACUAAUUGAAACAUGAAGUCUUGCUACUGAGUUUCAUUUCGUAUAUUGUCCAUUCAAUGCGAGGGCUGGUAUUAUGUUAAGGGUUUAAAUAAAAAGGCAAUGUAAAUCUCUUGAACAUACGUUAAUUCAACUACAAAUUUCAUGAUUAAACGUAUUAUCCAACUAUACAAAUUCCCUCAUUUAAUCAAUACUAGCUGCAUGCGCUCAUGCGCGUGCAUAAUGCAUUUUCUGAAUCACGACGUGCUACACGCGACUUACACCUUGUAAAUGUAUUUAUAUGUGUGAAUUGCUUCAAUAAUUUUUUUUAUGACAAAAAGAAAGUGAAAUAUUUGAAGUAAAUGAAUAAUAUUAGAUCAUGUUAAAAGAAACCCCUCAUAAACCAAUCAAAGCAGCUGAAUCCACCCCUUAGUGUAGAUAACAUCAUUAGUUAAAAAAAAGACCAUUUGACAACUAAUUGAAUCACAUUAUUGUGAGCGUGUGAAAACCUUUUUUUUUUAUGGAAAUUUGGAAAAAUAACCAAAAUUUAGACCCCAUGUAGAAUUAUAGCCACAAUUUUAAGUUUAUGAUAAUUAUAACAAAAAAUUGAUAUAAAAAUACUAAUAUACCCUUAAAUAGAAAUUAACAAAUAGGGAGAGUGUUUGAAUACAGAUCCAAAAAAACUCAAGCACAAGGAUUUUCUCAGUUUGAUUUGUGCGUGAUAAACAAAACUUGUUAUCUGGUUAAGAUGGUGGGGAUGGUUAAUUUGAUUAUCCAGACAUCUUGCUCUUGUUUUCGAGGCAGAAUGUCUUGAAUAAAGGAUUGAACAUCAUGGGUAUCCUAGUUUUCUGGACAUGAUUUUCCUCUCCUCGUUUCGUGUUUGCCCAGUGAGAGGGUUAUGUUUGUGCUAGUAGCAUUUUCAUUGACAUCGCUCAAGCACAUCCAGUUCACAUCGAGUCAUUUAUCCGGCAACACCUAUCGAACAUCAUUUGUUUCCGCGAAUGCCUCGUGGACAACUGAGGAAGAUUGCUUCAACUGUGAACACUCAUGUCUGAUACCUCUUGGAGAGCAUGUCUAUAUAGAUUUACUACGGCACCACCCCACCACACACAUUGAUUCGUUUACAUUUCGCAAUUUUUUUUUAUAAGUUUGGGGCAUCUAACUAGCAUAAAAAAGAAGAUGAUUAUCUAUAAGCUGGGUUUUGUCGAUUUCGAAUUUUGUAUCUGUUGAUGCACAAAACCGAAAGUCUUGGAACAACGUAAAUCCAACCGUGAAUCUGCAAGAAAUGUAAAUAACACAAGAUGUAUCGUGGUUCACCCCAAGGUUUGGGCUACGUCCACACUGAUUGUAUUUAUCUGAGAGUAUUUGUGAGGGAGAGAACCUCUGAAUAUGAGAGGGGAUGUGAGAGGGGUGAGAAGGCUCCAGAAUUGGCUUCCCUUAAUUGUGAGGGUGAGAAGUCCUUUUAUAGAAUAAUGACUCCUCACUUAUUGCAUAUUUGCCCAUUCCUUUAUCACAUAAUUACAUUUAAGUUCCCCAAAUAUUUGUAUGAGAUCUAAAUACGAGGCCCCAAAUAUAGUAUAAACAGUAUCAUUUUUUAUUUGGCAUUAUAUGAUUUUGGUAUGUUUUGUCUUUGAACUUGCAGUGGAAAUAGAUUUAAAUAUCCAUUUUUUGAGUUUUUAUUUUGAUACAAUUAUUAUGUAAAGAUAUAUUAGUACUUUCAUAUCAACUUUUGGUUAUAAUUAUCAUAAAUCUCAAAGGAUAGCUAUAAUUCUAUUUGAAGUCUAAAUUUUGGUUAUUUUUCCAAAUUUCCCUUUCUUUUUUCUUUAUCAUCGGUAAUACGUGUCUCUUAAGAUGUUUUAAACGUGUUUAAAAAUAGAGAAAAUAAUAUUUAAUAAAUAACUGAUUGAAUCACAUUAUUGCUAACCCAUUAUGAGACUAAGCUCACCCCCCUCUUCCUUAGUGUAGAUAAUAUCGUUUGUUUGGAAAAAAACACAAUCAUUUGACAACUAAUUGAAUCACAUUAUUAUGCGCGUAUGAAAUACCUUUUUUAUAACCGACACUACACGCUUCUUAAGAUGUUUUGAAUGUGUUUAAAAAAAGAGAACAUAAUAUUUAAUAAACAACUGAUUGAAUCACAUUAUUGCUAGCCUAUUGUGAGGUACUAAAAAAAACUGUACAAAAGGAAUUAAUUAUUAAAAAACAUUGUUUAUAUGACAAAAAUACCCCUGCAUUAUUUUGGACUGUUUUUGAAUUUUUUUUGUUUUUUUUUUGGGGGGGGGGGCAUAUUUUUGUUAAAAAAAAAAUUGUGAAGCCCGUGACCUCAAAAGGAAUUGUUGGUUUUAUAUAUAGAGAUAAAUAGAUUAUCAAAUCAUACAUAGAAUUUGACAUAAACAUAUGUUGCACAAAGAAUUGGACAGAUCAUGACCAUAACAAUAUAAAUACGCUUUACCUAGUUCGCCUACCCGUGAAUUGCGUACUUGGAUAUUGUUCGUGAUGGCUAACUCUCAGUUUGUACCAGCAUGUAUCAUGUUCAUUGCCAAUAUUGUCAUCAUCAACGUUGGCGGGGCAAUCGGCGGAUGGCUUAACGGGCAUGUAGCAUUUUAUGGUGAUAAACAAGGCGGAGGAACCUUUGAUUAGUUUGAUUGUGUUUUGUGAAGAAAUAAGUUAUUAUUCGAAAUACGUACGUUUAAUAUUAGUCAACCCAAAACCUAAUAAGUACUAGUCCAAUUUUAUCUCUAGUGCAACACUGAUUUUGGAUCUUUCAUGCAUUCAACAAUGAUUAGGGUGAGCUUGUGGAUAUACAGAUACCAACGAACAAGGCUACGGGGUGGAAACGACAGCCCUAAGUUCUGCUCUCUUCAACAAUGGCCAAACUUGCGGGGCUUGUUUCGAGGUUACGUGCGUGGAUGAUCCAAAAUUGUGCCUACCAGGCACCACCAAAGUAACAGCAACCAACUUGUGUCCUCCAUCCAAAAAUGCUAGUGCAAAUUGGUGCAAUCCUCCUUCAAAACACUUUGACUUGUCCCAACCAAUGUUUCUAAAGAUGGCAAAAUUCGCGGCCGCCAGAAUAGUCCCCAUUCACUUUCAACGAGUGCCAUGCUUUAAGAGGGGAGGGAUCAAGUUCUAUCUCGGUGUGCGCCCUAAUUUCCUGCUUGUGUUGGUAGACAACGUUGGAGGGGCUGGUGAAGUGGUAGAUGUAAAAGUGAAAGGCUUGAGCACUGGUUGGAUACAAAUGACGCGUAACUGGGGACAACAGACUGGAGGAGGUUUGGAAGGAAAAAGUUUGUCUUUCCAAGUAACUACUAGUGAUAGAAGGGUGGUGGAGUCUCUCAACGUUGUGCCUGCCAAUUGGCAAUAAGGACAACAUAUGAGGGACAAAGGGAGAAACGUUUGUUAAAAUUCUUGUGGAACAAUAGUAGAUUGUGAAACUGAACACUGUAUUUGACAAAGUGUUAGUGGGUUAAAUAAAAUUAAUCUACAAGCAACAAAGAUCAUUUUGUGCGUUGCUUAAGAAAGAUCUAAAUGUAUGUAAUCUAAAAAUUCAACAAAAAUAAAAUUAUCUUCGUUCCUUAUCCAAAUUUGUCCAUUUUGCACAUGGAAUAAAGUCUUUUAUGGUUCUCGUUGGGGAUGAAACCGACUAGUGUGCGUGUGUGUGCGCCCGCGCAGAGAGAGGCCAAACCCUUCUUCUCAUGUAUUCUGAUCUUAACAUGAGAAACACUACAAGUCAAGCCUUAUUGAGCCCUCUAUGGCGAAAUUCACCAAUGCUUUCAAUCUGUUGGGCGAGAAGAAACUCAUAAAGAUUGUGGACGAGAAGGCAGACGCGUAGCUCCUAGAUGCGCUGAAAAAGAAGGCGGACACCAAAAAGAAGGCAGAGGAGUAGAGGAGGAAGAAGAGCAUCUGCAGCGCCAAACUGAUCCACUAAAUAAUAAACCAAACGUGAAUGGAAGUCUUCAGAGAAAACUGAGGAAGCAAAGGCAUAAAAACCAAUAUGAAAACAAUGCAGCAGAUGCCGAGUUUACUAGUACUACCGCGACUGUUCCUUCUGAGAACAAGUUUUUGGUUUCAAUCACUUUGAAAAGAGUACGAGAAGAAGGGAGAGAAUCACAAAGCCGCCACUGUAGAGCAGCCCCGACAGCCUGCAGAACAGCUUACUAAGUGGAAAGGGAGAUUUUAGCUUGAGUGCGAGGGAACAAGCACAUUGUUCUGCCCCGGAAAGUAUUUCAAUAUUUUGCAGAAUCUUCAAAGGCUGCCUAUAUUGACUUUGGCUCCACAUCACUAGGGUACUAAGUGUAAUUAACCCUUAAAAACGGAGCAAUCAUAAAGAUUAUAAAGUACAAAUAAUUGUUGACCAAAGUUUUUUUAGUGCUAAACCAAUAAAUUUAGGCCGGCUCAAAAUUUUCAUCUUUUACUAUUACACUAUUGCUCUCAAGUUUACCAACUACAACGACCUUUUGACGAUUAAACAUUUAAAUUACGUAUGGAUAUAAGCAUCUUCAUCAUUCCGCAGGCCAUUGACCAAUCUCUCUCUCUCUCUCUCUCUCUCUCUCACACACACACACACAACCAUGGAUUUCAUGAUAGAUGUGAAUCACCAGAGGAUCCAAACCAAUGGAAUAUGGCUUCAUGUAGCCGAAAAAGGGACAGGUCCUCUAGUUCUCUUGCUUCAUGGCUUCCCAGAACUCUGGUAUUCCUGGCGCCACCAGAUCGAAUACUUGGCGGAAAACGGCUACCACGUGGUGGCGCCGGAUUUGAGAGGUUACGGCGACUCUGACGCUCCUCUCAACCCCAACUCCUACACCAUCUUCCACAUAGUUGGAGACCUCAUUGGCCUACUUGAUCAUUUUGGUCAACAAAAGGUGAGAAGCUUUUUUUCGACAGAAGUGAUCUCCCGCACGACUUUUUUCUCCCAUGUAUAUUCUGACAUUUCGAUUGAAUAAAAUCAAACAAAGAACUAAGGGGCAAAAAUAAACAGGUACGGCAGAAAGGGAAAAGAGUUGUGCAGAAAUCAUUUCCUUUCUUGAACCCCAAUUAAAGAAAAUUUAAAAUUUUAUGUGAACAUAUCCAUGUUGUUAUGUAUGUGAGGGGUUUAAGGAUUUUUGAGAAUCUUAUGUAAUGGUUUGUGAUUUGAGAAGGCAUAUGUGGUGGGACAUGAUUGGGGAGCAGUUGCUGGUUGGAAUUUGAGCUUGUUUAGGCCUGAUAGAGUGAUAGGGCUGGUUAAUCUCUCAGUUCCAUACUUUCCACGAUCUCCAACAACCAAAACUACCGAAGCCAUAAGACAAAUUUUUGGUGAAGGAUGUCAUGUAAUUCAAUUCCAGGUACUUCCUUUCUCUCCAGAUGUUCGUAUCAAACUCUGCACCCACCCGAAAUGUUUAUGUUGUCAGACUGUCAUUGAUUGGGUUCUUACCUGAAUGUGUGGUCCAAAUUCUCAAUCUAACAAAUAUAUGUAUGCAUAUGUCACUUAAUUGUUGUUUCUUUGCUGAGAAGGAACCAGGAAGAGCAGAGAAAGCGUUCGCGAGGUAUGACUAUAUGACAGUGAUGAAGAAGUUCCUGUUGAUAACCAAUAAUAUGAUAGCUCCUCCUGACAUGGAGUUUAUCGAUUACCUGGAGACACAAUCUUCACUGCCGGCAUGGCUAACUGAAGAGGAUAUCCAGGUCUUUGCCGAAAAAUUUGAGGAGUCUGGAUUCACCGGUCCUUUGAACUACUAUCGCUCAAUGGAUCUGUAAGUUAAAGAAAUUUCUCCGUGUAUUCCCAAGCUGAAAUUGUUCCUCAAAAAUAUGCCUUAGGUACAACCACCAUAUGCUUGAAGACUUGUUCUAAUCCAAAUUGCUAUUAGAAUAUACUCGAGUUACCAGCAUCCAAGAAAACCAGAGAAUAUUUUUUUUUGAUUCUGAGUGAUAUUCUAAACUAAUCUAAACUGGGGAAAGGGUGAUUCGAACUUAAUGUAGACGAGGGAACACACUGCUCUAACUAACUUAUCUACGCUUAAAAUGAAGCCAACCCUCCUGUCCUGCCUUCCUUUUUGGUCUUUUUGUUUUGUUGGUUGAUGGUGAUACUACUUACCAUGAUAAACAGGACUUGGGAGCUGCUUGCGCCCUGGCAAGGAUCGAAAAUCAUGGUACCCGUGAAGUUCAUGAUCGGCGACAAAGACUUCGGGUUUAAAUCAGGCGGAACAAGUGAAUUUGUGCAAGGUGAUGAGUUCAGGAGCCUUGUCCCGGACCUUGAGGUGGUUAUUGUGGGCGGCCACCAUUUCAUCCAACAAGAGAACCCUCAAGAAGUCUCCAGCCAAAUACUUUCCUUCCUCCGUCAACAUCCUGCAGAUCAGUGAAAUUUUCGUGUUAGUGUGUUUCUGCUUCAAUGACAAUUUCUGCUUUCUGUAUAAUUAUUGUUCUUCUUAAGACAUGUUAGAAAUCUGUUUAUAACCUCAUUUGAUUGCUACUGGUGAAAUUUUCAUGGAAUUCUAGGGUAGGGACAACAUUGAUGCGGAUCAUAUCAUCGAGGAUGAUAUCAAUCAAUUUUCAACGUUGAAGGAUUAAAGUGAGAAGUUUUGUAAACUUCAGGAAUCAAUUACAAUAAAAAAUCAACUAGUUAGUUUGAGGAAGGAUACAAACCUUGUUCCACAAAAGAAGUGAAACUUGACACAAUACAAUACAAUCCAAUCCAAUUUACUGUUCAGUAUAAAUCAGUUCAAUGCAAUCCUAUAUGGCUGUCUUUUUAGUCAAAAUAGUUCAUGAGAUUGAUAUAACUCCUCACUUUGGUCCUUGAGAUUUGAAAACUAUAGAAGUGGUCCCUGAGUUUGUCCACAAUCAAUCGUUUUGGUCCUUCCAUGAAAAUCUCUGUUAAAUAAAAGACCAAAAUAACAAAAAUACUCUCAGGAACCAAUUUUAUCGAUUUUAAAUCUCAAGGAUCAAAGUGAAGAGUUAUACUAAUCUCGAAGGCCAUUUUGGUUAAAAAAUCAUCCCUUAAUCUAUACACAAAGAGAACAAUCUGUGAUAUGAAAACCCAAAUUAAAACGAAAUAAGAAAAAAAUAUUGUGAUGUAAGCAGAUGUCGCAUUUCCAAAAUAUAUUCACAAGGGCACAGUGAAACACAGAAAAAACCAUAACUAAAACACUUUUCUAUACAAGAAAGAAGCAAAAUUCUUGGAUGGCAGUUUCCAGGAAAAUGACAUAGAAAAGCACUAAAUUUUUUAUUCAAUGAAAUCAUCCAGUGAAUAUUAGUAUAUUUUUUUUACAAGAAGAUAUUUUAAAUUAUAUUAAUUUAUUUAGAGGGGGGUAAGGCUAGCCGACAUUCACCUCUCCCAGACCCUGCGUAAAGCGGGAGCCUUGUGCACUGGGUACGACCUUUAUUUAGAGGGGGGAUUCGAACUUAAAUAUAAGAAGACAUACACCGACCAACUAAUCUAACCAUAUUUAAAUAAAAUUAGUAAUUGGGUCAACAAAUUGGGAACCGGAUCCCCUCUGGAUCCAUAUAUACUAAGCUUGCUGAGCAGGUGAUCCGGGUUGUUAAAAUUUGAUCUAACGGCUACAAUUAUUAUAACUUUUAGAGGAUCCAUGUUUGUAGCUAUUAGAUCAAAUUUUAACGGGUCAGAUCGCUUGCUCAGCACACUCAAUUUUAUUGGAUCCGGUUCCAACCAAUUGUACUUUUCUACACCAUAACUCCCGUUCUUUCUCCCAAAAAAAAAAAAAAAAAAAAAAAAAAAACACUCACGUUGGAGCAUUUGAUACGUUACCCUCUCUGGUCUUAUUCAAACUUGUCAUCUUUGACUGUUUGACAACCAGAAUGUUCAAGUCACCAACUUCCCAAUCAUUUUUCUGCAAAUUGUACAUAGAAUAGUGAACUCUCUCUUUCUCUAUCUCUCUCUCUCUCGCUCUCUCUCUCUCUCUCUCUCUUUCUCUCUCUCAGGAAAUAUGAAUGAUGAGGUGACUCACCAGAGGAUCAAAACUAAUGGAAUAUGGAUGCACAUAGCGGAGCAAGGGACAGGGCCUCUGGUGCUUCUCCUCCACGGCUUCCCGGAAAUAUGGUAUUCGUGGCGCCACCAGAUCAGUUUCUUGGCUAAGCAUGGCUACCAUGUUGUUGCUCCUGACAUGAGAGGCUAUGGCGACACCGACGCCCCUCUCAACCCUUCCUCCUACUCCAUUCUCCACCUCGUCGGCGACCUUGUUGGCCUCCUUGAUCAUUUUGGUGGACAGCAGGUUUCUCUCUCUCUCUCUCUCUCUCUCUCUGAUUGUUUCUUUUACUUAACAAUUGUCGUUCAUGAGAUUUGAACUACGAUCUAACAAAGCGGAGAGUUGGGUUUUUAGCAAGAGAGUUUGAUCGUUUGUGUCUUGUUGGAAAAGGCAUUUGUUGUGGGACAUGACUAUGGAGCCAUUGCAGCUUGGCACCUGAGCCUUCUCAAGCCCGAGAGAGUCAAGGCCGUCGUUGCACUAUCUGCUCCAUACUUCGAAAGGUCUUCAAGCACUAGGAAUUCCGAUUCGAUGAGGCAGCUGUUCGGCGAGGGGUGUUACGUUCAUCAGUUUCAGGUUCUUUUACAGCAAAACACAAACAUGUAGAAAUUGUGUUUUAACAAAUGUGUGUUUUUAUGAUUGGAUUUUCUAUGGCGUAGGAGCCAGGAAGAGCAGAAAAAUCGUUUGCGAGAUACGAUUAUUUGACGGUGAUGAAGAAGUUCCUGCUGUAUAACAAGACAGAUUAUCUGGUGGCUCCUCGUGGAAUGGAGAUAAUCGAUUAUCUGGAGACACCGGCGGUGUUGCCGCCAUGGAUUUCUGAAGAGGACCUCCAAGUCUAUGCUCAAAAGUUUGAGGAAUCUGGCUUCACUGGUGCUCUCAAUUAUUUUCGUACAAUUGAAAUGUAAGUGUAGCCACAUUGGUCUCGUCUGUGCACCUAAGUUCAAAUCUUCCACUCCGAUAUUUAGAUUAUUCAACAUAGAAAUAGGAACAUGUCACGGGCUUGGUUUACCUGUUGCACCUGUCUCUUUGAACGUGACCUGACCUAAUCUCUCUUCACGCGGUUUGGUUUGGUGUUGGGGCUGGCUUAAUUGCAAUUGUCAACCCUAGAGAAUCUUCAAUGGCUUUUAGGUUUUGAUUUGGUGAUUUGAUGCUACCAACCAAAAUGGGUCGGAUUUUGGGUCGGGUUUACCCUACUAACCGAAGGGCUUGGGUGUGCUUAAUUCGAAAUGAGAUCCACUCCUGAUCUUUUUGUUCGGAGGCCGUAGACCAAAAGAUCCAGACCGUUCAAGAGAGAGAAAGAGAUCCAGACUAUUCAAGUUUUUGGAUUUUUGUAAAGUGGACCAGUGGAAUGGACUAAUGAGAGUCGUAGGAUUGAAAUCGAGUGGUCCGGUUCUCUCAAUCUGUGGGCUUCAGACAUAGAAAUCAACUUUACCAAUCACUACACACGCUUGAUUUAGCUUGCACAAUACUGUUGAUAUGCUCAAUCACUUUAAUACUCUACUCAGUCUCACGUCAUAACGUUCGAUGGUAUUCAAUGGCUUUUGCUAAUUUUUGACAGCUGUUAACUUUGGAAAUGGAAACAGGUACUGGGAGCUCAUGGGACCAUGGCAAGGUUCAAAGGUUAAUGUUCCAGCAAAGUUCAUUGUGGGUGACAAAGACAUUGGUAUUGAAGUUCUGGGCACAAUGGAAUAUGUAAAAGGAAGUGUUUUCAAGAGUCUUGUGCCGAACCUGGAAGUCGUGAUCUUGGACGGCCACCAUUGUAUCCAGCAAGAGAAAGCUCCAGAAGUCUCCGACGAGAUUCUUUCCUUCCUACGCAAGUUUUCUACAGAAAAGAGUUUGCCAGUCUAAAUGAGAGUUUUGCCUUACCUAUUUUUCAAUGUUAAUACAAUGUAUGACAUUUGCAAGCAUUUGUCCGUGAGUGAUACGAUUCGCAACUAUUUACAUGCUUUUCCAAAAAUACCUUCCGAUACUCUUUUAAGUUAUGAAAUUUCAACUGAGAUAAUGUUUGAUGUAGAAAGAGUACUCAAAAUUGAGGAUGAAGAGAAGAACCUUACUCGUUCGUUCUAGCCAAUUUUAGAAAUUUCAGUACAUUUUCGUAUACAAUAAAAGUGAUCGAAGAAGCAGGAACAUUUUUCAGAAGAUUUGGUGUGAUUCCCUUGUAGAAACCUCGAAUGCCCUCAAACCUACAAGCCGCAGCAGGAAAAUAUGGAAAUAGAGAAGUUAGCAUCCGAGACAAAAUCAAAGGGGAAUUUAUCAAAUAAGAGCAACUUAAUGCCUUCAAUAACUAGUCUUCUGCUUUCAUACGUUAAGGGUAAUUGUCAUCCUUACCGUGCAGUUUCCCUUACUACAUGCCAGCUAUCCAUAUAUCUUGGAAUUCCUUCGCUACUAGGUCGUUGCUGACAAAAUGAGACAUUAGAAAGUUCCAAUCAUCAAUAAGGAAUACGAGCGAAUAAAACAUGUAGAAUCACAAAGGGCAACUUCCUGAACCCAUCGUGAUAAUAAAAGCUCAAACUGUUUCAGACUGGAGAAACUUGCACGUAUUGAGACCAUGUAAAGAGGAAAAAUAUAUGGAUAUACCAACCUGCAAUCGAGAUCGUAUCACCUGAAAAAACAUGAAAAGAAAAAACCAGGUCAUCGAAACUGCAUAAGUAAUAAUCUAAAAUUGAAAUGAACAUCUAAAAGAAUUUUACACCAGAGCUAAUAAUAUGUAUUUAUGCGUGCCUGGAAUGGAUAUGAUAGAAGAAUGGCCGCAACUUUAGAUGAUCCACCCAAUGCUGCAUAGUCAACUGAAUUCUGUGCAGAAACCAUUGGGCCAUAAGAUUCCGUAAACAGGCUGCUUAAUUGGCAAAAGAGCAACAAACAUAUGUUACCGUGCAACAAAUGGUGGUCUACAUUGCAGUAGCUGUGCAAACACUUAUACUUCUCCUAGAUGCAUCGUCAGGAAUUUAAUAUGCUCAAGUAAAUCAAUAAAGCAAAAGUUCCAAAUUCUUCAGAUGAACUAAAGUGGACAAAAAAUUGAACGACUGUUCCCCUGUGAGUGCAAGUGUAGAUGAGAAGAAAUUAAACUGAUGAUGAUUUGAUAAGAUGGAUUCCCAUUUGUGAAACAUGUAGUGUAUAAUCCUACAGCACUCUUUAACAUGCUGCGAUGUUAAUGCCAUAGAUAGAGGAGAUGAACAGGCACAAGGAAUGUGUGCUUUUCUCAAUCAUGAAUGGGUAGGUAUAUUGAGCAGAAGAUGCGUACUAUAGUAUAAUCCAAAUCCUGUUAUUACCCAAAUAUCCACUUUUUUUUUCCUUUCUCUUUUACGAAUUUGUAGAACAAAUCUCAUUUCCCCACCAAUCUGGGAUUUCUUCAUUUGGAGCAGUAAAUCCUAACCAAUGACUAGAGGACAAAUUUUCCAACAUCCGAAAAGGACCACUAUAGCGAACUAUACAAGAUAUGGGAAUGUAAGUAAAAAAAUCCAGAAAUUCUCGAUGUAUAGACGGAAAUAGAGCCAUUCUAUAAAUACCAGCACUGUAUCAGCACUUCCAGAAUGCGUUCUGCGUCUUUUAGACUUGAAGUCAACAACGAUUUUACGGAGUUCUUCAUAUGCUGUGAAUUGAAUAGCACCAUGAGAAACCUGCUGAAACAAUAAGAAGACUGUAAGCUGCAAAUUCUAAAGCAUGAAAGACUGGAAACUUUUGGGCACAAUUGAGACAUGUGUAUACUCUAAUGCAAAUGCACUUAUAUGGUCUUAACAUACAAUUAAAUUUAGAAAUACAAAAUAAUCGCCAGAAGCACUUCCAUCUCUCCGCUCGGCAUUGUAAAUCAUUAGAUAUGUCAGAUACUCCCAUAUUUUUCCAUAACAAAUUCUUCACAUGUUUCUUCAGUUUCCUUUUGCAUUGAUUAACUCAAGUAUUUGACAAAAUACAGAGAUCAACUUGAGUAUAAAUUUCGACAAUCAUUUCAUGACAUCACAACUAUGAAUAUGGUUUUUUUUUUUUUUUUUUUUUUUUUUGUAGUGAAUUAGUGAUGCAUACAAGCUGUACAGAGAGGCUGUUAGUGUCUGUGGGGAGACAAGAAAGUAACCCCAAAUCCUCUAUACAAGCUGUACAAAGAGGGGUCAUAUUAAAAACACAAAAAGAUCAUAGACAAAAAGCAUACCAGAAAGAGACUGGGAAGAAGACCUUUAUAAAGCGCAGCCCACCCUUCCUCUCUGAUUAUGGUUCUUAAGGCAUCUGAGAUAUGAAAAAAAAAAUUAAAAAGCAAAGUAAAACAAAGGUUAUGAACAUAAGUACAUGAAGAAAAUUCUCUAAAACAGACACAUCACAGAUGAUUGAGCAAAAGUUUUUAGGUGAUAGUUAUUGCAAAUUCCCUUGAAUCGGGAAGUUUUAAGUUUGGUAUAUGCUUGAUAUCAUUAUGCUCAUCUUUCUAAAAACAAGUUAGCGUUAAAGCAAAGCAAACUUCAUUACAAUUACAAUCCUGUCAUAUUGUCUAUGUCCUACUUUAUAGCCAAUCAGACCAAUCUUAUAAAAUAGGUUAUCUUCUAAUUCUAGAAGUCCUCAUCAAUAAUAGUUUAUUUUCAGCACAAAUUAACAAAUAAGGAAUAUUUAGCAAGCAACAAACUAGUAAGUGAGCCGAACAAACUAAAAAGGGGAUAUUGCAGUCAUUCCUAUCAAGUUAAAGUAAGAUAAGAAGCAGACCAUAAAACCCAGAAUAUGGUCGAGUUUGAUGGAGAGGAGUCUGAAGCUGCAAUCUUGUUUUUACAAGCCAAAUAGGAUUUGUGCACAAGGAAACCUGACAAAAUCACAACAUUGCUAUCAUCUAUAGGCAACCAUCCACUAAACUUCUGGCUACCUUCUAAAAGUAUUGGAAAGAAACAGAAAGUGAUUUAUUAUUCCUCUAAACACUUCAUAUAAAAUUUCAAAGUUUGAAACAUAUUAAUGUGAUUUCCUAACUUCCCACCCUCCAACAGUGUCUUGAUUUCAGCAUACAAAAAGUUGGAUAACUAGCAAUAAUAGGCACGAUAUGCAAUAUGCACAUAGAACUGACAAGCAGGAUUGCAUAAAACUUUGAUAAUUAACAACCGAACGUUCCAUUAACAUUUUCUACAACCAUAUUAUUCGAAGGUAGCAGAAGACUCACCAAAGCACCAGCUUCUGCCGCAGAAGCAAGAUGAAGGCCAGCGCUCAGCUGCUUUUCCCUGUCCUUCGAAUACCUUUCUUUUGCUCUUCCAUAGCUACAUACAACAGAAGUUUUCGGUUCACUCAUAACUUCCUUCUGAAAACAAUGAAAAGACCAAAAUUGAAAGCAACCCAAUUUCAACUGCAUUGCGAAAGUCGAACCCUUUUGAUAUCUCAAUAUUUAUCAAAUAAAAAAGCUCCAAUUUUAUACUAGAAAAAACCAUACAUUUCUACUUACAAGAAGAAAUAUAAACCCCAUGAAACAGUGGAGCCUAGAACCGCAGGAGAGAAGCCUGCGUAGAGUCCUCUCAGGCCCUGUAAAACACAAAGCAAUGUGAUCCCAAAUCAUCAUCUGACAAAAAAAAAAAAAAAACCCCUGGGGCGUUUGCAGGAGGAUAGAUUUUUACCUCCAAUCGAGCAAUGGUAAAAAUGGCGUGAGCCGUGUUCUUGUAAGUCGGAAGAUUCAAGACUCGACCGUCGUUGACUUGAAAUCUGGUCCGGACAACGUCGAGGGGAUGCAUAGCGGCGACGGUGGCGAAUCCUGCGACGGCGCCGGCGGUGGCGGUUUCCCACUGCCACCGCGACGCUGACGACAUUUGUAUUUCACGACAGAUUUAGAAGACGAAUUGUACUCUUUAAGCUGUGCAGCUCUGAGUUCUGAAGAGUGAAGCGAGCAGGCUUUUCUAGGCGAUCGACCGCGACGUCGUCGUUUACGAUUUUAAAUCGAACCGCCAGGUAUUUUACCGGUAACGACUAACGAGUAACGAAGUGGCGGCUUUGCCUCUCGACUCUUGAGUGCCCUCAGCUGUGACCCAGACCGUGCCGUUGUGUGUGCAAGGUGCGUACUUGGUGUUUUAUAAAACUGGUAUCUUUCACAGUUUUUGGUGGAAAAAAAAAAAAAAUGUGAAGCAAUAAAAAAAAUGUGAAGCAAUAAAAAUAAACUUAUUUUCACAGCACAGUAGAAUUAGUUUUUUUUUUUUUCAAAACACAGUAAUAUCAAACCAGCUCUUAUACCGGUUUGUUAUUGAGGUGCUUUUUAUAAAAAGUGGGUAUCAAAAAAAGCUGAGCUCAAAAAGAUGUUUGGUAAACACUUAAAAACAAUUUAUUUUUACAACUUUUGGUGAAAAAAAAAAAAACUAAAAACGUGAAGCAGCAUAAAUGUUGGAUUAUAUGUUGAAUGUUGGAUUAUGAUUUCUUGUUAAACGUUGGAUUAUAUGUUUAAAAUAAAGUUUAUAAAUAUUUUUCUUUUAAAAAUAAAGUAUAUUUAGUAAUUCACUUUUAUUUGUUAAGAAAAUUAAAUUAAUGGCACAUCUAGUAUUAUACUAUUUUUUGUCAUUACACACAAUCACAGCUGUUUUACAUAAAAGUUUACCAAACACUAUAAUACUGCUUUUUUCCAAAAGCACUUUUACAAAAAAGUUUAACAAACACUCUGCUGCUUUAUUUCACAGCUGCAUACUCUCACAGCACAGCAGAAACGGUUUUUUAUUUCAAAGCACAGCAAUACCAAACUAACCCUUAAACAGUGUCGUUGGAAAGUGUCUAGACUAGGCUUAUUUUCAAACUAAUUAGGUCCUAUCCUUCGAAGUGAAAUUAGUCACCCUAGGAUAAUUCAAGUUUUGAAACCUCAAUAGAUUUUGGGAUUCUGAAUUUUAACAUACAUUUCAAUUCUAAUACAAAUUGUCUCGAAAGUUUUUGGCAUACGAGACUUCGGAUGUCAAAUUUGAUUCGGAUAACGCCAAAUUUGAAAGCUUUCGUAUAAAAACUUAACCAAUUCAAAAUUGUCUAUCCAACUUGCACUCCAUAGUUCCCAAUUUUUCUAAUACUCAAGUGCAACUAGGGUUUAGACCGACGAAUAUUAUAACUGGUCCACAAAUUUCAAAUCCUGGAUCAAAUUUUAAUCCAAACCCUGAUUGAACUUAUUGCAUCGGAAGAAAAAUUGCUAGUUUCAACUCAUCGUAUUUGAAUUCACUUCGUAGUAAGUAUGGUAUAAAGAUAUGUUAAAUUGAUGAUAAGUAAGCCCGAACAGACACAAGAAAGAGGCAUAGGUUCGCACUACGGAAUUCGCAAUAAUGUCCCUCAUGAUCUCCCACCAUUCACAAGACAAGAACCUGCAGCCUCAUGCGCUGCCGCGCUAGCCCAAGAAGACAUUGCAGCACAAGGAAUGCCUGAACAACAACAAGAACUUGGACUAAGUUGGCUUUUUGGAUAUUCUGUACCUCCUCAUCUCCUGCCACCAGUAGCAAGCCUUCGACACUCCAUUCUGUUGAGUCCCACGUUGGCUAUACAAAAAGAGAAAUAAUAGUUUAAAUAUCAUAACUCUACUCCAACUAACACUGAUGUCUUUUGUGAUAAAACUCCACACCUGACGGAUUGUGCAGGUAAUAAUUACCAAGUUGGGGAUAGUAUUGGUGUUGUUGGAAGUGGGCUCUUGGCCCGUUUCUCGGAUAAUUCUACACAUUCAGUUUCAAGAACCUGCUGCCCCUCAUGUCUUGCAAGCCAGGAAAGCCAUUGCAACGCAAGAACUAGGGCCAGGUUCGUACUGUGAAACUCAGAACUCUGUACCUAAUGAUAUCCCAUCGUUUCCAAUCCUCAAGAAUUCAAUUCAACUUCAAAAGCCUGCCUGCUCCACAAGCCCAGCAAUCCCAAAAAGCCAUUGCUGCUGCACAAGAACAUCCAAAACUGGAACCGGGAUCUUAUUAUAAAAACGUCAACUACGUGCCUCCUGAUAUCCCACCGGUCCCAAGCAUCCAACACCUGAUUCAAAUAUGCAGCAAGCCUUUUGAGAAGCAGUUGGCAAAAAACGAUGUGACGCGAGAGUUAAGGCUGAAGGAUUGUGAUGUGGAAACGCACAUCUUGCCGUUGUUGAACCCGUCUGAGGACCCUAAACAAGGAAUCUGGAUCACAGUAUACGACAUCGCUGGUAGUGAGUACAAGAUGAUGUUUAAGGCCACAAGAGUCCGCAAUAAUAUUCAAGCCCUUACCAGUGUAGGUUGGAAACAUUUUGUUGAACAUCAUGGCCUGGUGAACUGCCAAGAUUUUGUUACCCUGUGGGCGUUCAGGAAUGCACAAACUGGAAAGCUAUGCUUUGUCAUCUGUUUGAGAUAUGGACUGCAGCAUGAAAAGGUCUAAAAAUGUCGAUGAAGUUUCAUUUGGUUCCGGUUCCAUCGACUUGUAAUUUUGAGGUGUACACAUGGAUCAAGAUCAUUUUUGUGAACCAAUUUAUCAAAAUGCUCGGUGUAACUUUAGCAAAGUAGAUAUCAUAAAUUCAACUUUGUGAAUCAAUUUACGAAAAUGCUAGGUCUACAACAGUUGGUAAAGUAAACGUAAUGAAGUAGAAGAUAGGACUGAAUGUAACAAAUCGAAACAAAACUUGUGCAGAUACAUUAUUCUUACUCAAAGAAAGAUGAGCAAAGCAACUGUAUCGAUGAAUGCCUUUCAAAAAACGAAUGCUUUUCAUCAUGAAGAUCUCCUAAUAGACUCGGUUAACUGCACUUCCACUGUGAUGAAUCACUAUUUUGCUACUCUACAUUUUAACAAUCCUUGCCACCUGAAACUUGAACUUCUUCAAGCAUCUCUCCUCCUGGAGAGUCACCAAAAGAAAAUAUAAACCAUUAGGUACUGAAGUUGCAUAACCACAUCAAACCAGAAAAGAGUGCAGUAACGUGCAACGAUAACAAGUGCUGUCAAAAACCAUUUCCUGAAACCAUUGACAAGUGAUUUGGCCGAGUGGGUGAUACCAUUGUGCACUUAUGUGUACUGCAAAACUGACGUGUAGCCGUAUGCACAUUCGGACACUCAAAUAAUUUCCGAGGUAAACACAGAUUUUCCUACUAAUUCCUCUAUGACAUUCUCCAGCUCCCCAACAAGGUCAUGCUAUAAAGCCCUAAAUACCAAGGAAACCUAUUCACUAUUUAGAGACUGGAUGAACACUGGAUUCGGGACACGACUCAAAACUCAUAGUACCUAUAUAACAUCCCUAAAUUCUCAGUAACCUUUACAUAUGAACAAUAAAUAGCCUAAGACUAGCCGUUAAUCAUACUGAACAAAGCUGGAAUUCUAAACCAGCAUGCUACGAAAACUUUCCGGGUUACCGAUCCCUGAAAAACAACGAAAAAGCUCAAAAAGGGUUUAUAGCUCCUACAGCCAAACUACAAUGCACACCAUACAUUCAAACUUCAGUUCACAAAACGCAGGAGCAGAAUUCCAGAAUUUACCUCACUCCAUAGAAACUUUGGCACCAACUUCCUUCAUCUUGGCAACAAUCGAUUCGGCCUCCUCCUUCGUAACCCCCUUCUUCAACAGCGUAGGCGCCUUCUCCACCAAGUCCUUGGCCUCCUUCAGCCCCAAAUCCGUAAACGUCCGCACCUCCUUAAUCACCUUGAUCUUCGCCGCAGCGUCGAAAGAAUCGAGCUUUACAUCAAACACCAACUUCUCCGCCUUCUCCUCGCUUUUGGCCGCCGCCGCGCCGCCCUUUCCGGCCCCCCUCAAGCCGCCGAAUCCCAUCCCGGGCAUCAUCAUCACCAUCCCCGGCAUCUCCUUCACCCCCAAUUUCUCCCUCAGAACCUCCGUGAGGUCCGAGACUUCGAGCAAAGUCAGGCCCGAGAUCUCGUCCGCGAUCGCCGAUACCGAUUCGGACGGCGGCGGCGGCGUCUGCUCCGGUACAGCGGUGGUGUAAUUGCACACUACAUGAGAGAAAAUCUGGGGUUUCGAUUGGAGAGACGAAAUGGGAAUAGGAUUUGGGGGGUUUAGGGUUUUUUUAAUGCAGGAAAAAUGUGGGGAAAUGAAUCGUAAAUAUCUCAUUUUUUUGGGUUCGGGAAUGCGAUUUUAGGGAAUUUGAGGUAGCUAUCUGGGCAUGGCGGUUGUCGUCGGAGCAUAGAAUUUCAGAAGGUUGGUGGGUCCAUGGCUUUGAAGCUCUCAGAAAAAGAGUGAAGAGUGAUUGGUAUGGCGCGAGUGGGAGUAACCCGCUGAAGCCUGCAGGCUUAAACCCUACAGGGACGAAGGGUUAUGUUUUGGGCUUUGUGAAAUAAAAUCAAUUAUGAGCCCAAAUCCGUUUUGGGGCCCAAGAACACCAUGUUCUUGUUUGUACAAAAUAUCCGUCGAUGUGGUGUCAAAUAAGUAGUGGAUCAAGAGUAAUGGUAUUCUUACCGCAAUUUUAUAUUACAUUUAUUUACCAUCUUAGGUGGCAGAUGAGUUGGACAAGUUACAUCAUUUAAUUUCAAUCUUUUUAUUAAUUAAGGCGGUGUAGUCAAACUUGGAUUUGAAAGGAUUUAAAAGAUUUUAAAAUCCUAAUCUAGUCAACUAAUGGAUUUUAAGAAUCCAUAUAAAUCUAGGUGUAGUCAAUGAAGAUUUUAAUAGUCAGUUUUAAAGUUCACCCAAAUCUAGAUGUAUUCAAAAAUUAAAGAUUUUGUAGGAUUUCAUUAAGUUGUGGAUUUUGUAUGAAUUCAUUAAGUUGUGGAUUUUGUAGGAUUUGAGAGGAGGAAGUAUAUAUAACAAAUACCAAAUAGAAUCCUACCUCACACCAUAGGAUUUUAAAUCCUAGUUAAACGACUCCUCUUCUUCUCAUUGCCAGUCACUUUCUUUGCUGUAUCUUCUUCCUUCAUUUUUGCAAUAUUUUCUUCAAUUUUUGUUGUUGGGUUGCAUCAUUUUAUGCAAUUUUUUCUUCAAUUUUUUGUUGUUGGGUCGCAAUCUUUCUUCAUGUCCGCAAUGUUUUCGUUGCUGCUGGACCCUCAUGCUAAUUGCUGCUACGUGUGCGGCAUGGGUUCAUGAAUGAAUAAGGUGACAACGAUUGAAUUCGUUUCUUCAUGUGUGCUUAUUUAUGCUUUUUUUGUUGUUGGGUCGCAAUCUUUCUUCAUGUCUUCAUGUCUACUUAUUUAUGUUUUUUUUUUUUGGGUACCAUGAAUGAAUUCGUUUCAUUAAUAAAUAUCAAGAAUAAAUAAGGUGACAACGAAAGGGAUAAGAAUAAAGUGAGGGAGGAAGUAGGAUUGGAAAUGGGUGCACUGGGGAUCUUUGAGGAGUUAGGUUUAUGUGAUAAUCUUGACUUCUUUUUUUUCGGCUCCAAGGGAUGCAGCUCCAGAUCAUGAACAGUUUCAUUUGAUUAAAUUUACCUAGGUACAUUUAUCACCAUUUGAUUUAUUUGAUGGUUAAGAUUCAACAUUACAAAAUCUUUCAUUAAAAUCUUCUCAAAUCUUCCAAAAUCUAUAGGAUUUUGUAGAAAUCUAUAUAAUCCUAUGAAAUCCAUCACGUAUCAAAAUCUAUUAAAAUCCCCUCAAAUCCAAGUUUGACUACACCCCCCUAAAACACUUAAAUAAUCUUAGGUGGAAGAAGGAGACUUCUUGUAUACCAUAAUCAUCAUUUAAUUAACAAUCUUUUUAUCAAUUAUUGAUUAACAUUUUGAAAUUAAAUGCUAAUUAAUUUAGAUGAUAUGGCUGUCCACAUCAAAUGACACCUUAGGUGAUACAAAAUUAUGGUAAGAAUAGCAUUAUUGGUGGAUCAAACUGUUUCAUGUGAGUUUUUAUUUUCAUGUCUUAAUAUAGAAGACUAUGUCUUGGCGCUAUAUGAAAUAUGAAUAUUAAUUAAUAAUAGCAUGACACUUCGAAUUCGAUAUGAUAAAUUUUUUUAAACCCUUAAAUUAUGUAUCGAAAGAGUAGUAUGAGAUAAAAUGUAUUUCCGAUUUUAUCUAAUCUAUCUGGAGGCCUAUUUUAGUGUCACAAACUUUUUUUGUUUUCAUGCCGGGAGGCUUUUAACAAUAUUUAGUGUAACAUCUCACAUCGCCCAGGGGAGUGAUCCUUAAAUGUAUAUUCUCAUCCUUACUUAGCACGAGGCCUUUUGGGAGCUCACUGGCUUCGGGUUCCGUCGGAACUCCGAAGUUAAGCGAGAAGGUGGCCAGAGCACUCUCAUGAUGGGUGACCCACUGGGAAGUUGCUCGUGAGUUCCCAGAAACAAAAUCGUAAGGGAGUGGUCGGGGCCCAAAGCAGACAAUAUUGUGCUAUGGUGGUGGAGCGGGGCCGGGAAGUGAUCCACCCCGGGCCGGGAUGUGACAUUUAGGUUAUGAAAGAAUAUGAAAAAAAAAAAAUCUUGUUAUUUUAUUUGAAAAAAAAAAAUAAAAAACUUUGGGUCUCAGUUUUUUAUUCCUAACUCAUAGCCUUCAAGUGAUUUUUCUUCAUUACUUAUAGGCGCUUAAUAUCGACACAUAUUUAACUGUUAAAUUUAAUUUAAUUAUAGAAAUUAAAUGACCAAAGACAGUUAAAUCAAAUACAACGGUCAAAUAUGUGACUAGGAACGGAAGAAAAUUUCCAAAAAGCCAAAUGAAUGAAGAAAAAUGGUGCAAUUUCCAUUAAAUUUCAUCAAGUGAUGCCCAUAAUUUAUCCUUGAAAUCACAAAAUACACACACACACACACACAAAAUGCCCACAAUUUAUCCUUGAAAGCACAAAAUACACACACACACACACACACAAAAAGAAGAAAAGCGAACUCCAUACAAAUUUCCAGCACCCUCAUAAGCUAAGAGUUAACCUUCCUGCAGCUCUUCCUAAUCUCUCCCCUCGACCCCGUAAUCGGAGAAAUAUUCCCCAUCUUAACCAUGGACUUGGCAAACUGCUCAAAGAAAAGCUCAUUGUUCUCUGCAUACUGCUGCACCAACUGCUUUGACACCUGACUUUUCGUGACGAGAACUUCGUCCGAGUUCAGAAGCCCCUUGAUGGCCAGCAGGUUCUUGAAGUAGCUGUUGUCGAACUUUGUAGGGCUCACAAAGUCCAUCACGAACAGGUUCUGGUCCCCGCCGGAUCUCGGGCACCUGGUUCGAAGCUGGGCGGCGUAGGACUGGUCGAGGGUGAAGUCAGCCAGACCGUUGCCCGACUGGUUGUAGAGCCUCUGCCUGAAGGAGGUGCACCUGGCAUUUCCAAUGGUGUGGCUUCCUGCAUGAACACAAAGUUUAGCGCAUGUUAAUAUUUGGGUAAUUUUUAUUUUGCAUGUUGGAGUUGUGUGGCUAGAUACAAGUUAAAUGUUAGUGAUUACUAAUAGCACCAAAGUCUUUUGAGAUAGUACCCGACGGAUUUGGAUCCUCUCCGAGGUAACUGGUCAAGAUCCUCCUGACCAGUAUUCGUGAACCGUUGGAUUUUUAUCCAACGGCUACAAACAGGGGACCCUCUAAAAGUUAUAAUAAUUGUAGCUGUUGGAUAAAAAUCCAACGGUCCACGAACACUGAUUAGGAAGAUCUCGACUAGUUGUCUCGGAGAGGAUCCACUGUCAGACUAGGUGGGCUCCAACAUAGUGCAAAAAUUGGGAAAUUAAUCUCUUGGUGCUAAUUCUUAUAAAGUUCAUCCACUUUGUGAAAAUUAACCUAUUUCACCCUAGUGAAAAUUGGCCCACUCCACCUUAAUAACAUCGAACAAAGUUAAUCACUCAACAAACAUUGACUGUAAAAGGAUAAAUUAUAGUCCACUUCUAUGAAAAUUCUUGGUUUUGCCCUUGAAGGUUAAAUUUGAGAUUAAUAUCGGUGAUACCCACACCGAUUUUCUGUAAAACAAGGUAGUAUAUAUAAAAUGGUGUGUUGGGAAAAAAUUUACCAGAUAGUGCAACAAGAUCAACAAUGUCGAGCUUUUUCAAUUUGAACUUGGUGAGAAUAGUUUGGAAUGUGUUGUUUGGGGCAGGAAUGUUGUUGUUGGAGCCACUCAAACUUGCUCCUCUUGAAUCCCUUCUUCCAAGUGGGACCUCCCAGUUUGGCCCACCAGUCUGAAAUUUUAUGCAACAAUUGACAGACAGCAUAUGUUAGAAUUUAGGCUUUUGUCACACACCAUGCAACUUACAAAAAAAGCUAAAAUUUGUAGAAGCACUUACCAGAACAGUUGAGUCUCUAGCAGCAAGAGCCAAAAUGUCAGCACAAGACACAGUGCUGGGGCACUCAUUCUCCAGUGCAGACUUGAUUUCGUCAAUCACUUCGAACCCUCGCGCUGAAUUCUGGUUCGGGACAGACCUCUUUUCGGUGAUUAUGUUCUGGCUGCUGUCCAGCAGAAGUGAUGCAUCACAACCCUGCAAAAUAGGUAGCAAGUAGCAAAACAAUCUUAAGUACCUCACUCACAUAGAUGUACGUGUAACUAGAAGUAACUGGGACACUUUUUGUGAUCGUAUACCUUCACGAAACAGUCAUGGAAAUGCAGCCUGAGCAAAGAAGCUGCCAUUCGGGUUUCCCUAGCAACUGCUUUCGCAACAACGGACUUGACAAUCUCUUUGGCUCUGGGGCAGGAGCGGUCAUAAAACUGUGGGUAGAGAUACCCACCAGGAGUUUUGUCACAGAAACAUAGUGGAGAAAAUGCAAGAAGAGAAAGAGCAAGAAGGAAGCUCAAAGAGUUGGCCAUAAUAAUGUGGUUUCUUGGAGAAGAAGACUUGAAAUUUGAAGACUUUGGUUUGAUGAAUCCUUUGGUUGGAUUGAUGAAAUUUAUAGAGGGGACUUUGUCGGGGGAGAGAGAGAGAGAGAGAGAGAGAGAGAGAGAGAGAAGCUGCAUGGAGUUGGUAGCUUACGAUUGCAAGCUGCUACACCAGUAGACAGGAUCAAAAGAGAAGGUUGGAGUGGUAGCUUUCAUGCUUUUGGCAGAUGACAAAUCAUAAUUAUGGUAACUUCGUUUCUAAUUAAGAUGAUAAUAAGUUAGAAGGUCUAAGCUUGUUCUAGAGGAACAAAUCUUUUUGACUCACAAUGCAAAACUGCUAGACAUAAAAAAAUUUACAGUGUGAUUAUGAAAAUUUUAUAGUGUGAUACUGGAAUACAAUCAUGUGGUAUAAUCAGUCUACAUGUCACAAUAUAAACUAACCACGGUUCUUUAGAGUUGAAUGGCUACAGUAUCAAUCAAAUAUUCAUGAUACCAUAACACAUGAACUGGCUAUACCACACGGUAUUUUAGAUUUGGAAUCCGAAAUCCAACUAGAUUGACAUGUAAUCAUUAUAAAGAAACAUUAAAGCCUCUUUCACUUCAUUAGGAGAUUGGCAUCUUUUAUAUUUUCAAAAUGAGAAUACUUCAAUAUUGGUGUUCGAUCACAUCAUUCAUAAGUACUCUGAGCAAAAACGAGGAACUCCAUGCAUUUAGUUUCACCUGAUCCCGAACUAGUUCCGCCUAGUGUAAAAAUUAAAUGCCCAAGUUCCGGCUCCCCGAAUAUGCUUGUAUCAAGGGAAAAAAAACCUAGUAUACAUGUCUUGUAUUAUUGUUUGCUUUUGCCUUCCUUACUAAUUCAUGAGUUCACAUUGAUUCCAUUAGUUGGUUAAUCAUUAAAUUUUUCCGUUAUCAUGAAGCUUAUAUGCUCGUGGCUUUCUGAGAAUCAAUAAUUUUCAUAGAUAAUUGUUGCGCGUUCAAUGUGUUGUCCUGUUACAUACUUACACCUGUUUGGGCAUGUUAGAAAACUUGGAUUAAUCCAAAGAAUAUGAUAACGGGAAUAUUAGGUUAAUCUGGACGGUCCAAAAUCUAUAAUAAAGAUAUCGUAGGCUUGGUAGGAGAACUACUUCUAUAAGCAUCCCUUAAUUGCAAAUAAAAGCAUAUGCCAUUACAUAUAGCAAGUAUAUCCCUAACAUUGCACUUGACAUAUUAACGAACAAGCAUAUGACUAUUUUGUCUAGUCGCAUUCAAUUUUUACUUUGUUAAAGAAGAUUCUAAUUUCAAAGCUCAUAAACGAUAUUUGUUAAUUAAAAAAAAAACAUGAUAUGAAUUGAAUUCGUUUGACUCACAAUAUCACCGUGCUAUGACAAUUUGAUCUCGUUGAAAGACAAACAUUUUGCAGUGAAACUUCUAAACCUUUGUGUGUUAUACUAGUACAAGUUAGCUGAUAUUCAGCGUGCUAUGAAAAUUUGAUCUCGUUGAAAGACAAACAUUUUGCAGUGAAACUUCUAAACCUUUGUGUGUUAUACUAGUACAAGUUAGCUGAUAUUCAGUGUCAUGACGGUCAAAUUGCACCAUAUCUUCUUUCAUUGGGCCUCGGUGUUCCUCGAGUAGGAGUAUGAGAAGGUGAACGUUCCCAAGAGGCUUCACUGGCAAAGGCAGUAUUAAGAUCUUCGUGUCGGGUGUAACUUUGCCUUGUGUCACUCACCUAUUUUUGUAUCCCCAAAUUAAGAACCAUUAGAAAGUAUACAGUGGACAUGGGCACUGAUUAAGCUCAGUUGCCUUGUAAGGUUUCUCUACAAUUUAAAACUAAAGCAUCUUGCAGCAGGAUCUAUUUGUUCCUAAGAAUUCGAGUCUAACAAAGAAAUGUUCUAGGACAAUGCAGGGAAAUUGCCGUCUUAACAAUCAGAAAAAAUCAUGAUGAUUGUCCUCAUAAAACCUAUACAUUUACCUAAGGAAUGGUGCCCAACAUGCUUCAGUUCCCCCCGGGCUUAUGGUUGAGCCCCUUAUUGCAUGGUCCGCUUUACGUUUUUAAGAAAGCAAAGAGUACUCAUCAUAAGAAUAUUGUUGAUUAAAUAAUGGGCUCGUUUGGAAGGGUUUUUAAAAUGAUCGAAAACGCGUUUAAUGAAAAUGUUUUUGGGUUCGAAAAACACUUGAAGUGCUUCAUUCACUUGCAUUUUUAGUAAGGAUUGGUCUCAAAAUCAUUUUAACAAAAAACGUUUUCAGUUAUUUAAAAAGUACUUCCAAACGAGCUUGAUAUUAUAUUUCGGCCACAUAAGUAGUUUAAAUUCAUUAGCCUCUCAUAUGCAUAAGUCAUAAGGCAACCAAUCAUUUGCUAAGUCCAAGGCAUACAACAUAAAUCUUAAUGCUAGUGAUGUAUGCUUACAGUUUCUAAACAAGCAGAUAUAAUUUGUCAUGCCCGGCAAUGCGUCUAUCCCACGCUGUAUGUGAUCAAGCGUAAAUAUUAAACAUAUAACUGAAGACAUACCAAUUGAGCCUACGAUGACAAACUGGAAAUUAAAAAACCAUCCAAGAUAUUGAAGCCAAAGAAAUAAGGCCUACCUUCUGUUCAACUCGAGUCUUGUAUAUAAUGUUGGAUAUAUGUCAACAAUCUAUGAUAAACUUGCAUAUACUAAUAAUAAAUAUAUUACAGAGAAUAAACAAGAUGAAAUAUUAUUUAAGCAGAGAAACAGAAGAUCGAGGCUUGCGUACUGCAAUGUUUUUGAAACAAAAAUUUCGUCCAUACUCAGUGCUUGUAGUUUUACAGACGUCUGCUUCACCAAGAUUCAACGAUCUAAGUUAGAAUUCCAACACCGGAAAACUAGACUUCUGGCGAAUUUGUUUGUGGUACUCUUAGUAUGCUUGGUAUAUAAGGAUUGAUGAUUUUCAGUGUAUUGAAUGAUAUGUAGAUGCAUGUAUUUAUAGUGAGCAUAUGUCUAUUUGCAACAUACAUGUUUUUAGGAGGCGACUGUUCAAUGCAAAUGGUGUGUUGCUUCAUGUGUUUCUCAGAUAUGUUCAUAGGCUCUCAGACUUCAUCUGAAAGGAUGAGUUUUUUCAUAAAAAAUAAUUUAAUUAAAUUCGAAAUUAAUUAAAUUUUUUAAUUUUCAAAGCCUGGCGAAUUUGUUUGUGGCACUCUCAGUAUGCUUGGUAUAUAAGGAUUGAUGAUUUUCAGUGUAUUGAAUGAUAUGCAGAUGCAUGUAUUUAUAGUGAGCAUAUGUUUAUUCGCAACAGACAUGUUUUUAGGAGGCGACUGUUCAACACAAAGGGUGUGUUACUUCAUGUGUUUCUCAGACAUGUUCAUACACUCUCAUACUUCAUCUGAAAGGAUGAGUCUUUUCAUAAAAAAUAAUUUAAUUAAAUUCAAAAUUAAUUUUCAAAGCCCUCCCCCCAGGCCCAUCUAUUGAUAAUUACACCCCAAAGCCCAACCUCAAGGGUGAGUCCAAUUUUAUUCUCCAAGAUCCAUCACUCAAAUUACUUUUUAUAAGGGACAAAACCUUAUAAAGUGAGGAAAUCUUGUGGUGGUGAGCAACGUGGGAUAAUGAAAUUCUAUUCAAAAUUUCUAACAUAUAAACCCUCCACAACAAAACAGUGUCGAUGAUGCAGUGAAUCUGAUCUGAGACAGAUCGCUCAAACAUCAACUUCAGCUAAAAAUAAGGCUAUACUGGAUUGAUUAUAAGGAUGUGUAUGAUAGACCCCCCACCGUCCCUCGCAAAGCGAGGAACCUUGUUGGCUUUGGGUCGCCUUUUUAAUCUGUUUGUUGCCAUUGAAUGCCUAUACAGCAUACGAUGCAGUUGCUCACAUCACAUGUUUUAGUUAUCGAAUUUUAUCAUGGCAAUUGAUAAAUAUUUGUAGUAUGGAUAUUUUUCAGUAGGAACUGGCUUACUUGCAGGAUACACUCCAAAUGUAGCCCAUCCCGUUGUAAUCUCUCCACUUUUGCGCCUGCCUAUGUUCUGCGAUUGAGCAAACCAAGCUCUUUCAGUUGAUAUUAUUACAAACCACUACUGGUAUCAAUUUUCAAGACAUUUACCCACUCAGUCAGCCAAUUACAUUUCACCAGCAAGUUCGACUGCAAGAAGUGUCGCUUUAAUACGAUUUGGCACAUUGCAUCUCCAGAACUUGUUCUCUUAAGAUAGGUUAUGUUUCUCCACAGUUUGAAACAUGAGAGUUUUAAGAGAGCAAUAUGAGCUUACCGCACAUUUUGGCAAGCAAAAACUGGAUGGGCUCAUAACCCUCCACUGGGUAGUGAUAUUUAACUUCAUAUGGAGUAUCACGUGCCCUUUCACCUGAAAAUUACAAAUAGGAAUUAAGAAGACGUUGUUGUAACUUGUAAGGGAUAUCAACACCCACUGCAGUAAAGAUACCCUUACAUCUCCAUGCAACAGUUGAGAUUGUGGGUGAGGGUGACAAAGUUGGAGGGGGGCUCCCAGUUGCUCCCGACCCUAAUAACUUAACAUCCAGGCCAUUUUCUGGUAAGACCUGCAAAUAUUUAAUCAAACUGAGGACAGAUAAUUUGAACAUUUUAUUUACUUAUAAAUGGUUUUGCAUGCAUCAAAGUGUACGGAAGCCGAGCACCUUAAUAUUAGGUCUUUGCACCAAAGUGGAAAAGGAAGCAAUAUUGCAGCCAUAGAAAGGGUUACACGUCUCUGUUCGGUCCCAAAGCUGCAAAAUGCACUUUAUAGGUCAGAUUGAUGGAGGCUACUUUUUUCUUUUCUGGUUUAGGGGAAGGAGAUGUUAAACGACUCAUCCCAUACCUAAACUCGCAGUGAGACUUUUCAUAGCCUAAUUGAGUCAUGCCAUCGUAAACCUGCAAGUUCACAAAAGAUACAUAUUAGUCCCCAAGCUAACAUUCAACAUGCAGCAUGUGUUGGAUAAUUAGGUGAUGCAUAUUCUGUCCACUUCACACAUUUUCGGUGUUCAUUCAUCUUCAGAAAAAUAAGAUCAAAUAUUCAAAGUUGGCGCAAUAUGUAAUGAUUGCCUCAACAAAUAUUUAACGUUACAUUUUACCAUAAUGAAUUGACAAUGAAUUGAACUGUGGAGGAAUUAAACUUUGAAUUUUUGUUCAAGCUGUUUUAUAUAAUAGUAAAGGGGUGUGCUAUUUACACACAUUUUUUACUUCUCACACAUCCCUUAUUAAUUUAUGUUCUUUGAUCUUUUUCAAUUGAUCUGAUCUGGUGACCGAAAAUUAGAAGAGUGUGUGAGAAGUAAAAAUGGGUGUGUGGAUAUCACACCCCAAUAGUAAAUGAGAAAGCUUAAAACUUUUUAAAAUAAUGCGAGGAUAUAAUGGGUAAAAGGUGAAUUGGUGAUAAAUUGUUAUUCAAAAUUAAGAGCUAAAUUUAUGGCAACAAUUGUUAUUGUCACUUUAUCAUUGACUUGUUUAAUACAUAUUUGAUAAUUAACCAUGUCUGUAAUUUGAUUAGUUUAUUUUGUUUUUUUGCAUGAUUAUUUUAAAAUGUAUAUAAUAAAAUUAUGUUAAAUUCAAAAAAUUUUAUUGUUAGAAAUUCAACAGCCUAGAAAUAUAGCAGUUGAAAAUCCAACGGUUCGGAACAUACCAAGUCGCCCCUCUCAAUCGGGUGUGAGGGCGUCUGCCAAGCGGGCCUCGCUACCUACUUUUGGUUGGCCCAAAAACUUGAACUCUUGCGAACCGCACGUGCCUGACCCAAAAUCUCACCUCAAACGGACAGGCGCGUGAGAAUGGCCCGAUUGUUAGGUCUGGGGGGUUGGGCCCGCUGAAUGGCCCCAAGGUAGGCUGGAGCUGUUUUUGCUGGAGUGGGAGGAUUGACUCACUCAAUUGCAAGGGCAAUUCAAAGAGGUGGAGGUGGAGUUGCUCCAACUACUCUGCAGACCAAAAAAGGGUAGAGAAAUUUUCCAAAAGUAAAAGAAGAAAAAAGAGAAAAGUGAAAAUUGAUGACAACAACAAACAAGUGUUAAAAAUUGGAAGAAAAGGGAAAAAGGAAAAAAAACAACCCAAAAAUAAAAAGCCACAAGAAACCAUAUUCCAAAAUGCAAAUUCCAUUCCAUUUUAUAUUUUUCCAAAUUCCUAAAACAAACAAAAAUAAGGAAAAUUAAUAAAAAUAGUUUGAAAACUUUGUGUUUUAACGAUAAAUAUAAAAUAAAAUGUAAAGUAAAUAGUAUUAGAAUUAACCUUUUAGUGUAAAAAUAUAAUUUUUUAUUAAAAUGAACAGUACUGGAAGAUUUUCGUUAAAAUUUAAAAAAAAAAAAAAAGCAAAAAAGCAUUGAAAAUUCCAAAAAACAAAAACAAAAAGGCCUCCAAACACUCCCACACACAAUAGAGAGAAGCAGCACCUCUCAACCUCGAGCUCCGCGCUCCGCGCUCCGAUUCUCUGUAAAGAAACACAAUCGAACAGAAGAAUUACGAUCAAAGCUUCAAACUUUCCCAUUAAUUUCACAAAAUUUGAGCGCCAAAAUCCAUCGGAGCUUCGGCAAAAACCUGGAAACUAUCAUUAUUUACAAGCGUCUUCAAUCGCAGAGAGCCAAAUGUACGAACCCCACCGGCCGCAGUCGAAAACCCAAACCCUAGAACUAUGCCGCCGGGACUCGCAGUGACGGAACUUUCAAACCCUAGAAAUAGCCAAGCAUUCCGUGGGGUGGGUCGCGGCGCAGAAGCGGUGGCUUCUGGCUUUUCUCGUCAUGGUCUCCCUCUCUACCAUGAUCGCCUUCUUCAUCAGAGCCGCGUUUGACACCUGCGAUCGCGGCGGCCUCGACGUCGUCGAUAAGAGGGUUCCGCUGGGGGCGCCCAUUGGAACCAGUCCUAGCCCCCUCAGCUUCAUGAAGUCCAAGCUCGUGCUCUUGGUCUCCCACGAGCUUUCUCUUUCUGGUAAUGUCUCUGUCUCCAUUAGAUUGUUCAUUUUUAUGAAUUUAAUGCAUUUUUUAUAUUAAUCGUGUUUAAUUAGUUGUGUUAAGUUUUUAAUGACUUAUUAGAUUAUACAAACAUAGAAAGUUAGCAGCUUUAGAUGAAAAGCACCACUUGUAUCGGUGGAAUCUGUGAGCAUUAACUGGUUUUCGAUAACCCAUUUGACAAUAAGUCCUUUCCUGUCUCGCAUUAAAUACAGCACCAGAAACUUUGGCACCAACUUCCUUCAUCUUGGCAACAAUCGAUUCGGCCUCCUCCUUCGUAACCCCCCUUCUUCAACAGCGUAGGUGACACGCCCCGAUCCCGAUAUUUCCCCGAAUACUAGGAUAGGCACGUGCUGGCCGACACCCGAGGGUGACGAAAGCCAUUUAUUGAGUGUAAUUGCUGAAAAUAAAGGAUAGAUAAAACUUAUAAAUGUAAAAGAAUAAGGAAUAUGCAUUUAAGGAACGUGUUCAGAGCAUACAACUAACUAGAACACUAAAGAAAAUAAUAUGAAAUUAGAUGAACAAAGAAAUGGGUCCUACAUCGAGAGGACUCGAAGAUACCGAAGCGGAAGUGCCUGGAUGCCGGGAUUGUACGCCUCGAUUCUAAGUCCUGAAGGGGGCGCAAAACAAACAUGAGUGGACCGAUUUGAUAUAAAUAUAAUAAAACAAUUAACAACUUACUAACCCCCAGGUUUUAUGAAAACACAUAUAUAAUGAUAAACAUAGGUUUUCCGAAACCUAGCAUGAUGUGCAGUAUCUCAAAUCAUAACUCAUAUAUAAUAAUCACUAGUGAAUUGUCCGAUAUAACCUCCAGGCCCCAUGCCGGCUCCCCGUCUCUGAGCAGACAGUCAGAGGAAAAUACACUUCAGGCCCCAUGCCGGCUCCCCGUCCCUGUGCUAAAUAGCCAGAGGAAACAUACUCCAGGCCCUAUGCCAACACCAAACCGUCGCCCGGGACGGACCGGAAUCUAUCCCUACGUCCCGUAGCGGAAAGGACCACUAGGUAGGUACAAAACCAUUGAACAUAUAUAUAUUGAAAAACAACUUCAUAGUAUAAAGUCAUCCAUCAUCUAUACUAUAAAGAGGUGUUCGAAACAUGUUCUAAAUAUCAUAUCGUCAUCCAUCAGAUAUUCUAUAAGAACACGGGUUAUAGGAAAAAUAGUAAUAAUUCAAAAUAGCCUCAGUAAGCAUGUUAUCUCACAAAACGUUUCAUAGAACAUAAUCAUCAAAUCAUGUUUUUCAUGUAUGCAUUUCUACUAUUAAAACAUGCUUUUGAAGGGGUCCACUCACAGUACUUAGCCGUCGAAGAGCCACGCAAACUAACGAACAAGAAAACGUCACCAAUAAUUGCCCCUAAGCACAUAAAGGGUCCAAUUAAUAAAACUCUAUUUUAACAAUUGAAUUUGGGAAAACAGACGUUGGAAACGGAUUCAGAACGUCGAAUUACCCUAAGAAGGGUCCCGGACAAAAACCCGAAAAGUCAACCCUAAAGUCAACGUUGACCGGGGUCAACGGUCAAAUUAGGUCUAACGGGUUUUAGGCUUGAAAUCUGGAUUAAGGUUUAGGUUUAGGUUAAAUAGGAUUAGGAUCUAUUGGGUUUUGGAAUUCUAAGGUUUUGGGUUAAAAGGGUUUUGGGUGAAGAAAUGUGGUUUGGGCCUAAGCCCAAACACAUACACACCACAAACACACAUACACAUGCACGGCAUGCACAUGCAUGCAUGGCAUGCAUAUACACACACUUAAACACACACACACAAACUCACACACUCACACAGCACACACACACUAAAUAUACAUACACACACACACGGGUACACACUCACACACCCACACAAUCUAAAACACACACACACAUGGCCCAAAGGCCUCACAACCAAAAGGGUUGGGCUCAGAGGGAAGCCCAAAGGCUUGGUUGGUGGGUCGCCGGACCCAAUGGGAGAGAAAGCCGAAUUCGGCCGGAAANNNNNNNNNNNNNNNNNNNNNNNNNNNNNNNNNNNNNNNNNNNNNNNNNNNNNNNNNNNNNNNNNNNNNNNNNNNNNNNNNNNNNNNNNNNNNNNNNNNNNNNNNNNNNNNNNNNNNNNNNNNNNNNNNNNNNNNNNNNNNNNNNNNNNNNNNNNNNNNNNNNNNNNNNNNNNNNNNNNNNNNNNNNNNNNNNNNNNNNNNNNNNNNNNNNNNNNNNNNNNNNNNNNNNNNNNNNNNNNNNNNNNNNNNNNNNNNNNNNNNNNNNNNNNNNNNNNNNNNNNNNNNNNNNNNNNNNNNNNNNNNNNNNNNNNNNNNNNNNNNNNNNNNNNNNNNNNNNNNNNNNNNNNNNNNNNNNNNNNNNNNNNNNNNNNNNNNNNNNNNNNNNNNNNNNNNNNNNNNNNNNNNNNNNNNNNNNNNNNNNNNNNNNNNNNNNNNNNNNNNNNNNNNNNNNNNNNNNNNNNNNNNNNNNNNNNNNNNNNNNNNNNNNNNNNNNNNNNNNNNNNNNNNNNNNNNNNNNNNNNNNNNNNNNNNNNNNNNNNNNNNNNNNNNNNNNNNNNNNNNNNNNNNNNNNNNNNNNNNNNNNNNNNNNNNNNNNNNNNNNNNNNNNNNNNNNNNNNNNNNNNNNNNNNNNNNNNNNNNNNNNNNNNNNNNNNNNNNNNNNNNNNNNNNNNNNNNNNNNNNNNNNNNNNNNNNNNNNNNNNNNNNNNNNNNNNNNNNNNNNNNNNNNNNNNNNNNNNNNNNNNNNNNNNNNNNNNNNNNNNNNNNNNNNNNNNNNNNNNNNNNNNNNNNNNNNNNNNNNNNNNNNNNNNNNNNNNNNNNNNNNNNNNNNNNNNNNNNNNNNNNNNNNNNNNNNNNNNNNNNNNNNNNNNNNNNNNNNNNNNNNNNNNNNNNNNNNNNNNNNNNNNNNNNNNNNNNNNNNNNNNNNNNNNNNNNNNNNNNNNNNNNNNNNNNNNNNNNNNNNNNNNNNNNNNNNNNNNNNNNNNNNNNNNNNNNNNNNNNNNNNNNNNNNNNNNNNNNNNNNNNNNNNNNNNNNNNNNNNNNNNNNNNNNNNNNNNNNNNNNNNNNNNNNNNNNNNNNNNNNNNNNNNNNNNNNNNNNNNNNNNNNNNNNNNNNNNNNNNNNNNNNNNNNNNNNNNNNNNNNNNNNNNNNNNNNNNNNNNNNNNNNNNNNNNNNNNNNNNNNNNNNNNNNNNNNNNNNNNNNNNNNNNNNNNNNNNNNNNNNNNNNNNNNNNNNNNNNNNNNNNNNNNNNNNNNNNNNNNNNNNNNNNNNNNNNNNNNNNNNNNNNNNNNNNNNNNNNNNNNNNNNNNNNNNNNNNNNNNNNNNNNNNNNNNNNNNNNNNNNNNNNNNNNNNNNNNNNNNNNNNNNNNNNNNNNNNNNNNNNNNNNNNNNNNNNNNNNNNNNNNNNNNNNNNNNNNNNNNNNNNNNNNNNNNNNNNNNNNNNNNNNNNNNNNNNNNNNNNNNNNNNNNNNNNNNNNNNNNNNNNNNNNNNNNNNNNNNNNNNNNNNNNNNNNNNNNNNNNNNNNNNNNNNNNNNNNNNNNNNNNNNNNNNNNNNNNNNNNNNNNNNNNNNNNNNNNNNNNNNNNNNNNNNNNNNNNNNNNNNNNNNNNNNNNNNNNNNNNNNNNNNNNNNNNNNNNNNNNNNNNNNNNNNNNNNNNNNNNNNNNNNNNNNNNNNNNNNNNNNNNNNNNNNNNNNNNNNNNNNNNNNNNNNNNNNNNNNNNNNNNNNNNNNNNNNNNNNNNNNNNNNNNNNNNNNNNNNNNNNNNNNNNNNNNNNNNNNNNNNNNNNNNNNNNNNNNNNNNNNNNNNNNNNNNNNNNNNNNNNNNNNNNNNNNNNNNNNNNNNNNNNNNNNNNNNNNNNNNNNNNNNNNNNNNNNNNNNNNNNNNNNNNNNNNNNNNNNNNNNNNNNNNNNNNNNNNNNNNNNNNNNNNNNNNNNNNNNNNNNNNNNNNNNNNNNNNNNNNNNNNNNNNNNNNNNNNNNNNNNNNNNNNNNNNNNNNNNNNNNNNNNNNNNNNNNNNNNNNNNNNNNNNNNNNNNNNNNNNNNNNNNNNNNNNNNNNNNNNNNNNNNNNNNNNNNNNNNNNNNNNNNNNNNNNNNNNNNNNNNNNNNNNNNNNNNNNNNNNNNNNNNNNNNNNNNNNNNNNNNNNNNNNNNNNNNNNNNNNNNNNNNNNNNNNNNNNNNNNNNNNNNNNNNNNNNNNNNNNNNNNNNNNNNNNNNNNNNNNNNNNNNNNNNNNNNNNNNNNNNNNNNNNNNNNNNNNNNNNNNNNNNNNNNNNNNNNNNNNNNNNNNNNNNNNNNNNNNNNNNNNNNNNNNNNNNNNNNNNNNNNNNNNNNNNNNNNNNNNNNNNNNNNNNNNNNNNNNNNNNNNNNNNNNNNNNNNNNNNNNNNNNNNNNNNNNNNNNNNNNNNNNNNNNNNNNNNNNNNNNNNNNNNNNNNNNNNNNNNNNNNNNNNNNNNNNNNNNNNNNNNNNNNNNNNNNNNNNNNNNNNNNNNNNNNNNNNNNNNNNNNNNNNNNNNNNNNNNNNNNNNNNNNNNNNNNNNNNNNNNNNNNNNNNNNNNNNNNNNNNNNNNNNNNNNNNNNNNNNNNNNNNNNNNNNNNNNNNNNNNNNNNNNNNNNNNNNNNNNNNNNNNNNNNNNNNNNNNNNNNNNNNNNNNNNNNNNNNNNNNNNNNNNNNNNNNNNNNNNNNNNNNNNNNNNNNNNNNNNNNNNNNNNNNNNNNNNNNNNNNNNNNNNNNNNNNNNNNNNNNNNNNNNNNNNNNNNNNNNNNNNNNNNNNNNNNNNNNNNNNNNNNNNNNNNNNNNNNNNNNNNNNNNNNNNNNNNNNNNNNNNNNNNNNNNNNNNNNNNNNNNNNNNNNNNNNNNNNNNNNNNNNNNNNNNNNNNNNNNNNNNNNNNNNNNNNNNNNNNNNNNNNNNNNNNNNNNNNNNNNNNNNNNNNNNNNNNNNNNNNNNNNNNNNNNNNNNNNNNNNNNNNNNNNNNNNNNNNNNNNNNNNNNNNNNNNNNNNNNNNNNNNNNNNNNNNNNNNNNNNNNNNNNNNNNNNNNNNNNNNNNNNNNNNNNNNNNNNNNNNNNNNNNNNNNNNNNNNNNNNNNNNNNNNNNNNNNNNNNNNNNNNNNNNNNNNNNNNNNNNNNNNNNNNNNNNNNNNNNNNNNNNNNNNNNNNNNNNNNNNNNNNNNNNNNNNNNNNNNNNNNNNNNNNNNNNNNNNNNNNNNNNNNNNNNNNNNNNNNNNNNNNNNNNNNNNNNNNNNNNNNNNNNNNNNNNNNNNNNNNNNNNNNNNNNNNNNNNNNNNNNNNNNNNNNNNNNNNNNNNNNNNNNNNNNNNNNNNNNNNNNNNNNNNNNNNNNNNNNNNNNNNNNNNNNNNNNNNNNNNNNNNNNNNNNNNNNNNNNNNNNNNNNNNNNNNNNNNNNNNNNNNNNNNNNNNNNNNNNNNNNNNNNNNNNNNNNNNNNNNNNNNNNNNNNNNNNNNNNNNNNNNNNNNNNNNNNNNNNNNNNNACUCAAACUUGCUCCUCUUGAAUCCCUUCUUCCUAGUGGGACCUCCCAGUUCGGCCCUCCAGUCUGAAAUAUUAUGCAACAAUUGACAGUCAGCACAUGUUAGAAAUUUAGGCUUUUGUCACACGCCAUGCAACUUACAAAAAAAGCUAAAAUUUGUAGAAGCACUUACCAGAACAGUUGAGUCUCUAGCAGCAAGAGCCAAAAUGUCAGCACAAGACACAGUGCUGGGGCACUCCUUCUCCAAUGCAGACUUGAUUUCGUCAAUCACUUCGAACCCUCGCGCUGAAUUCUGGUUCGGGACAGACAUCUUUUCGGUGAUUACGUUCUGGCUGCUGUCCAGCAGAAUUGAUGCAUCACAACCCUGCAAAAUAGGUAGCAAGUAGCAACACAAUCUUAAGUACCUCAUUCACAUAGAUGUACGUGUAACUAGAAGCAACUGAGACACUUUUUGUGAUCGUAUACCUUCACGAAACAGUCAUGGAAAUGCAGCCUGAGCAAAGAAGCUGCCAUUCGGGUUUCCCUUGCAACGGCUUUCGCAACAACGGACUUGACAAUCUCUUUGGCUCUGGGGCAGGAGCGGUCAUAAAACUGUGGGUAGAGAUACCCACCAGGAGUUUUGUGACAGAAACAUAGUGGAGAAAAUGCAAGAAGAGAAAGAGCUAGAAGGAAGCUCAAAGAGUUGGCCAUAUAAUAAUGUGGUUUCUUGGAGAAGAAGACUUGAAAUUUGAAGACUUUGGUUUGAUGAAUCCUUUGGUUGGAUUGAUGAAAUUUAUAGAGGAGACUUCGUUUUUUUUUUGGGGGGGGGGGAGAGGGAGAGAGAGAGAGAGAGAGUGAGAGAGAAGCUGCAUGGAGUUGGUAGCUUACUAUUGCAAGCUGCUACACCAGUAGACAGGAUCAAAAGAGAAGGUUGGAGUUGGUAGCUUUCAUGCUUUUGAGCAGAUAACUAAAUCGUAAUUAUGGUAACUUCGUUUCUAAUUAAGAUGAUAAUUAGUUAGAAGGUCUUAUCUUGUUCUAGAGGAACAAAUCUUUUUUACUCACAAUGCAAAACUGCCAGACAGAGAAAAUAUAUUAGUACAAUGAACCUUAUAGAAAUUUAUUAGUACAAUGGACCUUGCAUCCUUAGUACAAUAUUUUGGUACACUAAUUGAUUGCAAGACCAUCAGAUCUUGAAAAAAUUUCAACGUAAUACUUGAAUACAAUCACGUGGUAUAAUUAAUCUACGUGUCACAAUAUAAACUAACCACGGUUCUUUAGAGUUGAAUGGCUACAGUGUCAAUCAAAUAUUCAUGAUACCGUAAUACAUGAACUGGUUAUACCACACGGUAUUUUAUAUUUAGAAUCCGAAAUCCAACUAGAUUGACAUGUAAUCAUUAUAAAGAAACAUUAAAGCCUCUUUCACUUCAUUAGGAGAUUGGCAUCUUUUAUAUUUUCAAAAUGAGAAUACUUCAAUAUUGGUGUUCGAUCACAUCAUUCAUAAGUAUUCUGAGCAAAAACGAGGAACUCCAUGCAUUUAGUUUCACCUGAUCCCGAACUAGUUCCGCCUGUGUAAAAAAUGCCCAAGUUCCGGCUUCCCGAAUAUGCUUGUAUCAAGGGGGGGAAAAAAAAAACCUAGUAUACAUGUCUUGUAUUAUUGUUUGCUUGCCUUCCUUACUAAUUCAUGAGUUCACAUUGAUUCCAUUAGUUGGUUAAUCAUUAAAUUUUUCCGUUAAUCAUGAAGCUUAUAUGCUCGUGGCUUUUUGACUUGAGGAUUAAUCCAAAGAAUACAGUGACAUAUUAGAAAAGUUGGUUAAUCCAAAGAAUAUGAUAACGGGAAUAUUAGGUUAAUCUGGACGGUCCAAUCUAUAAUAAAGAUAUCGUAGGCUGGGUAGGAGAACUACUUCUAUAAGCAUCCUCCCUAACAUUGCACUUGACAUAUUAACGAACAAGCGUAUGAGUAUUUGGUCUAGUCGCAUUCAAUUUUUACUUUGUUAAAGAAGAUUCUAAUUUCAAAGCUCAUAAACGAUAAUCGUUAAUUAAAAAAAAACAUGAUAUGAAAUGAAUUCGUUUGAAUCACAAUAUCACCGUGCAAUGAAAAUUUGAUCUCGUUGAAAGACAAACAUUUUGCGGUGAAACUUCUAAACCUUUGUGUGUUAUACAGGUACAAAUUGCACCAUAUCUUCUUUCAUUGCAGGAUCUAUUUGUUCCUAAGAAUUCGAGUCUAAGAAAAAAUGUUCUAGGACAAUGCAGGGAAAUUGCCGUCUUAACAAUCAGAAAAAAUCAUUAUGAUUGCCCUUAUAAAACCUAUACGUUUACAUAAGGAAUGGUGCCCAACAUGCUCCAGUUCCCCCGGGGCUUAUGGUUGAGCCUCUAGUCCGCUUUUCUUUUUAAGAAAGCAAAGAGUACUCAUCAUAAGAAUAUUGUUGAUUAAAUAAUGAGUUCGUUUGGAAGUGCUUUUAAAAUGACUAAAAACACAUUUAAUGAAAAUGUUUUUAGGUUCGAAAAGCACUUAAAGUGCUUCAUUCACUUACAUUUUUAGUAAGGAUUGGUCCCCAAAUCAUUUUAACUAAAAAUGUUUUCAGUUAUUUAAAAAACACUUUCAAACGAGCAUGAUAUUAUAUUUUGGCCACAUAUGUAGUUUAAAUUCAUUAGCCUCUCAUGCGCAUAAAUCAUAAGGCAACCAAUCAUUAGUCAUUUGCUAUGUCCAAGGCGUACAACAUUAAUGCUAGUGAUGUAUACUUACACUAUGUUUGGAUGGAGAAUUUCUAAAUUUUCAUAGAAUUCUAAAUGACGGGAAUUACAAUUCCCAGUAAUUGAAAUCAUGUUAAUUGAAAUUUCAGUGUUUGGAUGUUGGAUACAUGGAAAUUGCAAAAUGAAGGGAAUUACAAUUUUCAUUGUUUGGAUAUUCCCUAGAAUUUGUAUUCCAUAGAAGAAUACAAAUUUGAAAAAAGAAAAAUGUUAAACUGUUAACAAAGUCAUCAAUGAUAAAGGUCAUCAAACCCCCAAGAUUGGGGCUGCCAAACCCGCACUAAAGGGAAAACUGUCUAAAUUUUCCAGCAAUUAAGAACUUAUCAAAGGUUUGCAAUAAUAUUUCAUUGGAAAAAAAUGUUUGCAAUAAUAUGAUAAAAGUUGAUUGAAGUAGGAAAAUCCCUGUAAAGCACACUUGCAAAUAUCAACCAACAUUCGUGACAUGCAAGACUUUUAUUCUAACUAAUGUCUUACUGAAAAACACUAAAAUGAGAAACAUAAUGAAAACAAUCUUAUGCGCCUUGUGAAGUAAGCAAUAAUACCAUAUUCUUUUUCUUCUCAAUUGGGAGAGUCUUCAACAUGAGAAAUUGCUUGUCAUUUUCGAUCAACCAAGCACAUGCUUUGAUUUGUUCUUCUUCACUGAGAUCUAGUAUUGCAUUUACUUCAUCAUAUACCUCUGUUGGAUCAAGUUUCUUUGUGUCUGCAGAAAUAUAGUCUUGAAAUGAUGAAGCCAUCUUGGCAAGUGAAUCUGCAAUCACAUCUUUAGGCGUGGUUGAUUUUCUUUUUGUAUGAGGCACAUCAACAAAACUUGCUGCCUUUCUCUUGCUUUGAGUCUUUUGACCAUUGGUUGAACUAGGUGAAAUCUCAUUAAUAAUUUCAAUAUCUUCUAAACCUUGUGCAUCACCAACCAAAUCUACAUGAUCAGGUUCAUUAUGUGGAGGAGUCAUAAUCUCCACGGCUUCUACACCUGUUUCAGCACCCUCACCCGUCGCUCUAUCUUUGCCACAUAAAUCCACUAUAUCAUCCCAAUUUGGAAUGACCUUCCAACGAAAGCUUUUAGCACCAACAUGUGACUACCAAUCAAAACAUAAAAGAUCAAAAAGCAACAAUUAAAAGAAUUUCACACACAAAAGAAAAAUAAUGAAUUUGUUACCUUCACGUACUCUUGCCAGGCAGGGUCUUCAUCUACACUUAUCAUCUUUUUGGUUGCAUCCCAAUUAAAUCCACUUUGACUUAGUAUAUCACUCACUAUUGCAUAAAACUUUUUCCAAGACUUCACACGAUUUCGAAUGUUAUCUGCAAUGCCAAUGUAUCACGAAAUGCUGUCCAUUCGACUGUAGCUUGAACAGAUGUAAUCCCAUCAGAGUUAUUUUCAUUUUCCUCUCUUGUUGAACGAUUUAACAACUCUGAGUCGACAGAUGCUAAAAAUUGUAAAUCUUGAGCUUCUAAAACUGGAUCAGUAGCUUGCUCGGUUCUAAUAAAAUUAUGUAAGACACAACAUGCAUUUAUAAUCCUAACUUGUGUUUUAAUGUCGAAAAAGGAUGGUGUGCGUAAUAUGCUCCAUCUCUUUUUUAACAAUCCAAAUGCCCUCUCAAUAACAUUCCUUGCCCUUGAAUGACGCAAAUUAUAUAGUUCUUUGUAGUUUUCAGGUCGACGGUUUCCAACCCAUUCUUUCAAGUGAUAUCUAGUUCCACGGUAAGGUGCUAAAAACCCGGGUCCAUUAGUAUAGCCAGCGUCCACAAGAUAAUAUUUAUCUACAAUAAAAAAUUUAGAGAACAAAUUUAGAUAUAUUUUUAAGUUUUUUCUUUCUAAUAUAAAGCUAAUUGGUAUCAUACAUUACCAUUUGGAACAUGAAACCGGUUACUCCUAUGUAAAGCAUCACGCAAAACACGAGCAUCAGAUGCAGAGCCUUCCCAUCCAGGUAACACAUAAAAAAAUCUUAAAUCUGGACCACAAACUCCUAACAUAUUAGUGGAUAUAUCACCCUUUCUAUCUCGAUAUCUUGGUCUUUCCUCAGCCGUUAUUGUUACUGGUAUGAGAGUUCCAUCAAGUGCUCCAAGACAAUUCUAAAAAAAAUGUCAUACAAAUGAAAAAAGAAAAGAAAAGAUAAGUCUAAAAAGCUAAUGAAGAUAUCAAACGAAGACAUUUAUUUGGUAUAGUUGUUGAUUGAUUACCUCAAACCACCGCCACUUCUCUCUUUCAGAAUUGCCAAUAACACAUGGCUGAUAUUUCACAUAUUCUUGAAUAACACAUGGCUGAUAUUUCACAUAUUCUUGACUUAUUUUCAUCAUUGCAUGCAACACAUUGUGAAAUUGCCGACUAAUUGUUUCCUUGGAACGAUAAUAAUGAAAACCGAUGACUCUAAACUUCAAGUUGUGGGCAAGUAUAUUCAAAAAAAUUGCAACAGAUUCUUCAAUGGACACAUUUCUCGUGCGAACUAAUCCACCAAUCCCUUGUAAAAUUUCACAUAACUGCUUAAAUGCACUCUUGCUAACUCGUAAUUGUUCAAUGCACGUUGAAUCCUUUCCAUCGAACAAUCGGCCAAGGAAAGAUUGCCUUUCUUGAUCCCAAUCAUUUGAAGGUUCUUUGAGAAGAACACUCGUACUAUACCAAUGCAUGACCAUGACAAUAACAUAUAUAAUUGUGCUGACAAUAAUUUUCCUUUUUUUCCUAUUUUCCUCUUCAUUUAUAGCACGCUUUCACUUUAACCUCAUUAGCAUGUCUACAAUAUGAGUAUUUUCCAUACCUGUUUGAAUGUAUGAACAAAGAUAUAUUGUGAUAUAUGAAUGUAAACACACAAGGUUUUUUAGGCAAGAAUGAGGUGAUGCAACCAAAAAAACAAAUGAACUAACACCAAAGGCACAACAUUUGAUCAAUCUUGGCUAUUGUUAAUGUGAUCAUCGUAAACUUAUAUAUUUGAUAUAGAUGGGAUCUCUGAAUCCCAGUAGGACUAUACCAAUCCAACACUUAUUUAUAUUGCUAAAUGCAGCAAUGAAAGUCACGACUUUAAUCAUACUAGCAUCUGUAUUUUAGUUUUUUGACAGUUAACCUUCAAAAGCACAAUAUCUAUAACAAGGAACUAACACCAAAGGCCAUCAAAAACUAAAAAUGGGCUCAAUUGAUGGUGGUCAAAAACCAUGUGUAUGGUCAUCUCCCCAAAGAGGAUGUAAAAUUGACAUAAGAAAGCAGAUCUUCUACAACAGAUCGUUGAAUAUGAAGAAUAUUGUUGCAGAAGGAUUUGAUAUGGAUUACACAUUGGCACAGUACAAGCCAGAAAUCUUCGAGUCUCUUACAUACAAUGGAACUAUCUAGAAGUUGGUGUACGAUUAAGGAUACCCUCGUGAGGCUUGUCUAUUCUGUCUCUUACAUUUCAAGAAGAAAUUGAUAUUGCUAACAUAUCAGAUAUUCAAUUAAUCUGGUUUAAUAUUGCAAUUAAUCCAGUAGUGUUAGUGCUUUUUAAUUUCAACACUUAGCAUACAUCAUUUACUACCAUUUUAAAUUAUGAGCAAAUCAUUCCACCCUUCCUAGAUAAGGUUACAGAGCAAAUAGACAAUUCAAUCGGAGAAAUAAAACAUAAUAAGAUCACACCCAAAUGGCAAUUCAAUCGGACAAUUCACCCUUCCUAGAUAAGAUAGCACCCAAAAAUACAUGAUGCUUACAGUAAUAAGAUCGCAGCCUAAAAUACAUGAUCGCACCCAGAUAGGGAUGGAAUGAAACCAGAAAUACAUGAUGCUUACAGGAAGAUCGUACCCAAAAAGCUAAAAAUAAUUCAAGAUAGAAGAGAGUAGAGACGCUGACCUAGAACAAAGGAAGAAGAUGAUUCCACAAUCGAAAAUCCCUUCGAAGAUUGGAGAGUUAACAGAGUGAAGAUUGUGCAGCCCUUUUGUUGUGAAAUUUGGCGGUAGAUAUCCGAGUUUGGCGCCCUAAUCCUGAAGUUUGGCGCGCACAAAAUCUCCCCGCGGAUGAAUUCGGGAUUCUCAUCGUUGUUGGAAUUGUGAAAUUACACCUCUUUAGGCGGAAAUUAAACUCGGAAUUCUUCAUCCCUAAUUUCCACCUUUUUUUCCCGUAGAAUUUGCCGUUUCUCGCGCUGCAAGGUUCCCAAACGAGGGAAAACUGCUUUCCCAUCCUAAAUUCCCUAGUUUAAGUCAAAUUCUGUUUUAUUUUACCACAUCCAAAUGGAGUGUUACAGUUUCUGAACAAGCAGAUAGAAUUUGUCAUGCCCGACAUGCUUCUAUCCCACGCUGCAUGUGAUCAAGCGUAAAUAUUAAACAUAUAACUGAGGACAUACCAAUUGAGCCUAUGAUGACAAAUUAGAAUUAAAAAACCAUCAAAGAUAUUGAAGCCAAAGAAAUAAGGCCUACCUUCUGUUCAACUCUAGUCUUGUAAAUAAACCCUCCACAACAAAACAAUGUCGAUGAAGCAGUGAAUCUGAUCCGAGACAGAUUGCUUAAACAUCAACUUUAGCUAUAAAAAUAAGGCUAUACUGGAUUGAUAUAUAAGGAUGUGUAUGAUAGAUUUGUUUGGGUUAAUAUUUAACACUGGACUUAAUGUAUUGAGGCCCAAAGAUGUCACAACGGAAUGUGGACUUGCCCGAAGCCCAUCAAUAAAGCCUGAAAUAAAGUGAAGCCUUCUCAGCCAAGGUGCUAGGAUUAAAAGCACACCACAAAGUAGCAUACAAAUGUCCUAUUGAUUUUCCUUAUUAACACUAAGAUUUGUCAAUUGUAGCAUAUGAAAAUAAGAGUCUUUCCCAUAGAAGAUUGUUUUAUCUAACUCCUUAAUAUGUCACAAAAAUUGGGCUGAUGUCCCUACUGACCAGCCACCGAAAAAUAAUUAUUAGACUGACUUACACUUAUCUAAAGUCUACAAAAUUUUAUAUGCAGACACUAGACACAGAGAGAUACACUCGUACAAAGUUUUGGGAUUUUUGGAGUUGAUUUUCUAUUUAAAUUAAAUCAAACAAAAAUAGAACAGAAACAGAUUUUUAAGUAGUUCACAAAUUAAUAAAAACGAGUUAGGGGAAUUGCUAUCCACCACAAAAUAAUCAUGCAAACAUGUUAUGUUUCAUUCAAAUUUCUUUUAUUUCUGGAUGAAGAUACUCAAGUUGGCUCAAUGUUAAAACUCAACCUAUUACUCUUUCUUAUGUAGUAUGUUAAGAGAAUGGCGUUUUCAACUUAACUUAGUCCCUAGCAUGCAAUCGAGAAUGACGUGUUCAUAGAUUUAACAAGUAGAAAUCAUUAAGAACAAAAAGAGUUUGAGUCAUCACAAGGCAUCGUAAGUACUGGCGUUGUCUUACAUAUCAUAGAAAUUAGUUCACACGUUAAUCGCAAUUAACAAGUACUACUUUAUAACAUAUGUAGGUCCUCAUUCGACAAGGGCAAGCACACACAUAUUCAUAGCAUUAGAAUCCUAGAUAUGCUUACUAAGUAUGCAUCCAUAGAAAACAAAUAAAGAAUUCAUCAAUGAGACAAGUAGUGAACCGAUUUUCAUCCAUUCAUAAAAGUAAUUCAAACAAAAUGUCAUAACAAACUUACAAUCAUAUUCGGGGCUUGAAAACAACCCCUAACUACUAAAAAUUUAGUUACACACAAUUCCUAAGUUAAAACAAAAGAUAGACACGAGUUUGAGAAGAUAGAACCGAAAGAAAUCGACCGAGGCCUCCUCCUUCCUUUCCUUCAUUCCCCAACGUUGCUACCUUGCCUUUUCCUUCUGUUCUAUAUUUUUUUUCUCCUUAACUCACCCACUAAUAGCCAUUUAGUGAUGACAAUAAGUGAGAGGAAAUGGUAAAACAAUUGUAACUCUUUGGGUAGCAUUUAUGCCAAUUACUCCCUCUUAAUCCUCAUCUUUAAUUUCACUCCCUUUUAUAUUUGAAUAAGUGUCAGCUAACUUGUUCUUGGCUGCAUCAGUUUUGGCUGCUAGAUUUAUUAUGUUUACUGCUUUCAUUGCAAUUACAAACUGCUCGGCCUCUUGGUAACCUUUCCGUGUUAAAACGACCAUAACUUCUUCUAGAAAAAUGAUAUUAACAAUCCGUGAAAUACUCCAGAAAAUAGACAUCCGUAGCUUUCCAAGCAUAUAAGGCUCAUUCUCUAAUUAAUUCUGAGCUGUUUGCAAAUUGCUUCCAAAGUCAGCUGAUCUACACAUGCAGUUUUGACGAAUUUGUUACUUAAAAUCCCACUUGUGUUAUUUUUCCUUUCUUUGCUUGACAAAUCCCACAAAACACAAAAACAAAGUAAAUAGCUCAAAAAUAUAAGGAACUAACUAAGAAAAGACAAAUGAAUUUGAUGUAAAAUAUAUAAAAAUAUGAGUUUAUCACAAGGCAUAAGCCAUGUGCCUAUGACUGAAGUGACAAAUGACAGAGACCAGCUCACUAUCAGCCAAAAAGCACUUUUUGAUGGCAUAAAGGUGUAAAUACAAGAUGACUCACUACCCCUAAGGACCUUCGGCCAAGAACAAAGCUAAAGCAGUCGGGCCAAAUCGCUUAUAAAAUGGGAAAGAGACAUCAGAGACAAGGACACUCAACCAAUCAAACAAACAACAUACAAACUCUGCUCUCAAGCUAGAUUUGCAUCCAGAAAGCUAAAACUCACCUAGAUUCAGUCCUUUUAGCAAUAAUUCCCUUAGAAAAGUCAUCUUUUGUCUAGUGUAAAAGCUCUGCUACCUUCCCUAGUGUUGUAGUAUCGAUCCCUUUGUAUAAAACCUAUUUACCAUCCAUCCUUCUAGCAUACAACCUCUGUAAAUUCAAAGAGAAGUGGCUGCAAGAAGUUCAAUCUUGCCCGACAAGGUGAAAUCUUGCCCGAGUCUCUUUGUUUGUACUUUAGCUUAAUAGAUCUGUCGCUUAAAUGUACUUUUCAGCAUGUAUUCAAGUUUUUUUCCAACAGUUUUCUACCUAAUAGUCCUAUUUGCAAUCGGAUCUGAUUAAUUUAAUAGACUUCUUUUUAUUAAGAACAAACUGAGAUCGAGGAAAUGGUGCAAAAGGCCUUGAACUUCCUUAAUUUCAAACAUACAAGAUUAUGAACUAAAAGUCAUUGUUUACAAGGCAAGAAAAAGAACUCAAUGCAAACAUAACCCAUCUGUGACAAUCCUUUGAUAACAAGAAGUUUAAGUAACUUGGGGUGCAAGUAAUCGACUUAUAACACACUUAUUCUACAUCGGUUAUACUUAGAUAGCGGUGACACGUCUAGCACAUUGUUAGUUUUAAUUACGAGCCUCAAGGCCUACACCUAAGGCCCCACUAAGGCACCUUUCAAAUUAACUUUAAACUUAUCUUGCAGCAUAUCAAACAGUAAGAGCAUGCCCGACUACAAAACCUAAAGUGCCAUCCACCAUUGGGGAGCUGUGUGAGGGGUCAUCCUGUUUGCCUUGAACAAGACCUUUUCUCCACCGUCCUCGCAAAGUGAGGAACCUUGUGUUAAAGUCCCACAUCGGUGGGUGCAAGAAAACCAAAUGGGUUUAAAUAUGAUCACCUCACUCUAACUAAUACCGAUGUCUUUUGUGAUAAAACCCCACACUUGACGGAUUUGGCAGUGGUAAAGUUAAGGACAAUAUCAGUGUCGUUAGAGUGAGGCGGGCCCGACGAUAAUCCAACAUGGUAUCAGAGCCCACGGUUCGGGCCCGUGCAAGCCAAUGAGCUUGUCACAAAGAAGGAAACAAAUAUGAACUCUUAACAUAGAGACGACCACUGAGUUCCAUUGAAAAUAAGUGGCCCCAACAUGAGCCGACCUCUGAGUUUCAAUUACCUGUAUGGAUCUCCAUGUGUGAAACACUAAAUGGGGUUACAAAUGAGGGGGAGUGUUAAAGUCCCACAUCGGUGGGUGCAAGAAAACCAAAAGGGUUUAAAUAUGAUUACCCCACUCUAACUAAUACUAAGGCCUUUUGUAGUAAAACCCCACACCUGACAAAUUUGGCAGGUGGUAAAGUUAGGAACAAUAUCAGUGUUGUUAGAGUGGGGCGGCUCCGGCGAUCCAAAAAUCCAACACCUUGUUGGCUUUGGAUCACCCUUUUAAUAUGUUUGUUGCCAUUCAAUGCCUAUACAAAAUAUGAUGCAGGUGUUCACAUCACAUGUUUUAGUUAUCAAAUUUUAGCAUGGCGAUAAAUAUUUGUAGUAUGGAUAUUUUUCAGUAGGAACUGGCUUACUUGCAGGAUAACACUCCAAAUGUAGCCCAUCCCGUUGUAACCUCUCCACUUUGUGCCUGCCUAUAUGUUCUAUGAUUGAGCAAACCAAGCUCUUUUAGUUGAUAUUAUUACAAACCACUAUUGGUAUCAAUUUUCAAAACAUUUACCUAAUCACACUACUACAAAAAAGACUAUCACUGACGGUGGAAAAACCGACUAGAAACCCCAAUUACUGUCUUAUUUUUACCAAAAAUCUGACAUCAAAUCGUGCAAUGUCGGAUUGGAGAACCGAUGUUGUUGCUAGCGUCACGAAAAGGGUAUUGACGUUGGUUAAUCCCCUUAAUCCGCCACCAAGAAGCAAAAUAAUAUAAAAUAAAAAAGAACAACAGCGUCGGUUAAAACCGACACUAAGUCUCUCCAUUCAUUUCCUCGUGUAGAACAAGUGGGAAUUUUCCCGCCUAAUAUUUCAAAUUAUUCGACCAAUGCCGUCGGCUAAAAGCGACAACAUACUAGUUUAAAAAAAAAUGUUUAACCCAAAGAAAAAAAAUAACCAGCUAUUUUGUUUUUGUGUUAUCUCAUAUAACAUUUUAGGAUUUUAAUAAAUAAAAUUUAACUUGAAUAAAAUAUGUAAUAAAAAACAGAAAUAUAAUUUUAUUAUAAAAUAUCAUCACAUACUAAUUGAAAUAUAGUCUAAUUAAUACUUAAAAUACAUGAAAUAAUUAAUAUAUUUAUUCCAAGUCAUCAUCUGUUAGGUUGUCAUCAGUAUUGGCAUAAUUAAUGAACUCAGUAGGUAACGGUAAUGAUUCAUGAAAAUGAGUCUCUUCCACGCCAACCCUUGUAACAAAAUUUUCAUUGUCAAGUAUCCGAUCAUCCAAAUUUGCAUCACUAUCCUCUAAUACGUCAAACAAAUCCCUCAGAUGCGUUUGAACAACUAAAUGCCAAUCGUUUUCAAUUGUGUCCUCGAUGUAAAAUACUUGUAAUGCUUGUGAUGCUAAUAUGAAAGGAUCCUCUUUAAAUCCCAAUCGAUUGAAGUUCACCAUAGCAAAUCCAUAUUGAUCAGUCUUCAUUCCUUGUUGACUUUCACUGACACACCCGGACCUAGAUCGAGGCAUGCUGGUCGUCACGUGAGGGCGACGUAGCCAUGUGCACAACGCGGAAGCAAUAAAGAUAUAAAGAAAUGCGAAUAAAUAAAAACCAACUAACUAGGGCACUAGAUAAGAUAAGGUGCAAGUGCGAUAUUAAGUGUGAGUUCAUAAUCAGAGCAUGAGUAGCCUAAAUGCAGUUCAGCAGGACAAAUACUAAUUAUGCAACACCAAAGAUAAUCCUACAUUAGUGAUAAUCUGUCAGAGCUGCCGUGAAUUCCUCGUAAGCCACCGACAAGCACUCCUAACUAGAACCUGGAGGGGUGCAAAACAGAAAGUGUGAGUGGGCAAAAAUAAAGCUUUUCAAAACCAUUUCAUUUAUCAAAAGUUCUACCCCUUGCCGUAAAACCUAUAUAAUUUCCCAAAAAAAAGAAUAAAUAUAUACAUAUCUCAAAACCAUGCUUAGAAAACGAUAUUCAUAAGUAUGUCAUGCCAAUAAUCUCAAAAUAACUGAAUAAGUAACUCAGGUGAAAUAACAUAUCAGCCGGAUCCACCUAAAGUGGCAUGUACGGCUGAAUCUAUAUCUCAACAAGUAUGCCUGCACACGAAUCGAAACCACCUAAAGUGGUUUGUACGACAUGACUGGGUGUAAAUAAAUACGCUCUAGUGCUACGAUCAUGUGAAGACUGUGCGAAUAAUCACGGGUCACCUACGAGUCAAAACCACCUAUAGUGGUCUGUACGACAGGAUUGUGCACCUAACUUGGAUCCAAGGUGAGUGUAUGGUACGGAAGGUGAACAUCACGUGAAGGCAUGUGCCCUAGCCACGGGUAGGAGCACUAACACUGGGGUGUAGGUUUAUGAACUCUCAACACAUCUCACAUAAUCAUCAAUUCACAUAUAAACAAUUUACAACUUACCUGGUACUUACCUGAGUGUCCACAGCGUCAAAUCAUAUUUAUGCAUACUAUACUAAUUCAUAAUCUAAGCAUAAAUCAAUAGGCAUGGCAUUUCAAAACAUAAUUUCAUUUAAACGCAUUUUUUGGGAAAAAUACCAAGUAUAUAAGUAUAUUGAAAACCAAAAGCCCACUCACUGAUAUGUGGAAGGGUAGUAACCCCCGAGCCUUGCUUGACUGCGCUCGUCCUCAGGAUAGGUCUCAACUAUAUGCAAAACAACUAUAUAAACGUUAUUUUAAAGCACAUAAAAAAACUAGGUAAUAACUUCUCAUACAUAGCUCAAUUAGGGUAUUUGAAUAUACUACCAUGACCUACUCAAUCUCAGGAACACCCAUAUUUUUAAAAAAAAUUCCCGAGCACCCACGCGCCCUCACGCACCGGCCAAGGCACGGCCAGACGUUCGGCUCACGCUCAGGCACGUGCCUGGCACACUGACAGAUUCCCUAACGGCAUUAGGGAAUAUUUCGUUAAAAAUCAGUAUAUACCGUUAAAGAUACCUGACGCCGUUAGCAUAUUCCGUCAACUUUGAUAGAAUAUUCUCUUCCUUCUUCAUUGGCUCGCCAGAGUCCGAUUUCGGUGCUGCUGCUAUCGCCGGAAACUGGAAAAAUCUUAGAACUUCAAUAUCUCAUCCAUUUCUCAACCAAAAUCCAUGAAAUUUUCACCAAAAUGAAGCUUAGGAUGAGAGGAACGAUUCCUUACCACUUGUAGGACCUAAAACCUGCAAAAAUCUCAUCGGGAAAACCUCGAUAUUCCUGCCACCACUACAACUUCGCGAACUGGGAUUUCUCGACGUCCAAAACCCUUCAAAACUCUUCUAAAAGCUUCGUGAAGACGAUCUAAGACUUCCAAAAAGCUUAAAACUUCAAGAAACACUCACGAUCACGUCGAGAUCACUGUGCACUUCCUCGGAACUUCUUGGUUCUUAAAUUCCCGACGUCCUCACGUCCAACCAACGCUAUGGUUCGACUUUUAGUCUUGCAAGGAUUCCAAAAACACCAACUACAACCUCGAUCUGCGACUGAUUGAGGCUGGAUGGUCAAUGGCCGUACGAUUGUAAGGACAAAUAGAGAGAUUUCGACGAAGAGUGAGAGAAAGGGUUGCAUGUGUGAGUAUGUGUGUGUCCGGAUUGGGCACCCAUAAAAAAAACUUAAGUCCUAAAUGAGCCCAAAGAUUUAGCAUAAGGAUUUUAAAUGGUCAAAAUAUUAAGCUCAAACACACAACACAACUCAACGUUCAAGGGUAAAAUCGACAUUUCACACUAGCGAGGAUCGAAUAAAUUAUGUUUCAAGACAAGUUGUCACAUUCAUUAUUAACCCAUUCACACUUAAAUAACAUCACAGCUCGACCCCUACCUUUUGCAUCAGUAUGACCACAAUAUUUAACCUCGAAAAUAUCUACAACUCUGCCAUAACAAUUCACUUGCCCAAUUGCACCAGGAACAUUUGCAGGUACAAAGACACCACAAUUUUGAUUCUUAUGCUCAUCAUCCACAAAUUUUAUGCAAAAUCUGAACCCAUGAACAAUGUGACUUUUAUAUCUACUCACAACCUUACUAGGAUAAUUAUCUAGCCAAUGCAAGUCUUGAGAUAUCAACGUGUUAUUAGGAUGACAUCUUGAAUUCAUUUGUAAUACGAAUGAAGAUAAAAGUUGACAUGAUAACUAUAAACAUGUUAUAAUUAAAAUGUAAAAAUAUAAAUAAAUAAUGUGAUUGUUAUAUCAACUCACAUGUUGCUUGAACGAUUCUGUAAAUUCUUUCUUGCUUAGCUCCUUAAUUUGUGGCAUAGUUAACCUUUCUCGAUGAUGUUUAGUUUUCAGGAAUUCCUCAUGUUGCCUGGGCAAUUAUGUCCAAAUUUAGAUAAUUAAUUUUUCAAAGUUAAGAAAACCAAUAAAACAUUAAGACGUAUGAUUAAACGUUCUUACCUUCUAAAUGGGUUAACUUCACCACAAUUAUUUAGAAUGUAUAUAUGACACUUAUCAAGAACAUUUAGAUCGAGCUCCACAUUUUCUCCUGAACCCAUAUAACAUUCUUUGGAGUCAAAAAUUGAUAAUCCACCAGAUACUCCAUGUCCAAUACCAUCUUCAUUUCGGCCUCUACAGGUGCGACGAGACUCGACAUCUCUAAGAUACAUCGAACAGAAGGACAAGCACUCGUCCACCAAAUAUGCUUAAGCUAUAGAACAUUCAGGACGACCCUUAUUACAAACAAAAUGCUUUAGUAUUUGCAAAUACCUACAAUUAUAAAAUGCAACACAAAUUAUUAUAAUUAAAGUUAUGACUACAAUUGUAAAAAAAUUAUAAAAAAUUUGUUAAUUACCGUUUAAUUGUAUACAUCCAUCUAUAUUGAAUAGACCCUGCAAGAGCUGCUUCAUCUGCCAAGUGAAUUGAGAGGUGCACCAUUAUAUAAAAAAAUGCAGGAGGGAAUAUUUUUUCAAGUUGACAUAAUGUCAAUGCAAUUUUUAAAUUCAAUUGCUUGAAUCCUUCCUCAGACUCAUUCCACACGCCUUUUGUAGUAGUAUCUGUUGAUACACAAAGUCGGAGGUCUUGGAACAACGUAAAUUCGACCGUGAAUCUGCAAGUAAUGUAAAUAACACAAGAUGUAUCGUGGUUCACCCCAAGGUUUGGGCUACGUCCACAUUGAUUAUAUUUCUGAGGGAGAGAGAGUUAUGAGAGUGAGAGCUUUGAGAGGGGGUGAGAGGGCCUAGGAAUUGGCCUCCUUGAAUGCACAAAAUCAGUGAGGACUUUGGUACAACAGAAAAUGUUAAGUUUGUGACCUUCGCUAGAUUGCUCCGGUCAUUAGUAUGGAUAAGUAUGUAAAUGGAUAGAGACAGGGAAACAAACACAAGAUGUACGUGGUUCACUCAGAUUGGCUACGUCCACGGAGUAGAUGAGUUCUCAUUAAUUGUGAAGGGUUUACACAAGUACAUAGGUUCAAACUCUCCUUUAGUGAGUACAAGUGAAUGAUUUAGUACAAAUGACAUUAGGAAAUAUUGUGAGAGAUUGAUCUCUAUUUAUAGAAGAGAGUUUCUAGUUUCAUUCUGACAUUGACACGUGUCGUGUUGUGAUUGGCUUCUGAUGUUGACACGUGUCGCGCUAUGAUUGGCUUCUGAUGUUGACACGUGUCGCGCUAUGAUUGGCUUCUGAUGUUGACACGUGUCACGCUGUGAUUGGCCUCCUGGUUGGAGGGAAACUCUUCUGGGUCCUUGACGGUAUAACGUUGAUCGGUGCACAGUAGUUUCGGGAUUGGUUAAGUAUGGUACAAACAGUAUCAAUCAGCCAAUUACAUUUCACCAGCAAGUUCGACUGCAAGAAGUAUCGCUUUAAUAUACGAUUUAGCACAUUGCAUCCCCAUAACUUGUUCUCUUGAGAUUGGUUAUGUUUCUCCACAGUUUGAAACACGAGAGUUUUAAGAGAGCAAUAUGAGCUUACCGCACAUUUUGUCAAGCAAAAACUGGAUGGGCUCAUAACCCUCCACUGGGAUAAUGAUAUUUAACUUCAUAUGGAGUAUCACGAGCCCUUUCACCUGAAAAUUACAAAUAGGAAUUAAGAAGACGUUGUUGUAAGGGAUAUCAACACCCACUGCAGUAAAGAUACCCUUACAUCUCCAUGCAACGGUUAACAUUGUGGGUGAGGGUGACAAAGUUGGAGGGGGGCUCCCAGUUGCUCCCGACCCUGAUAACUUGACAUCCAGGCCAUUCUCUGGUAAGACCUGCAAAUAUUUAAUCAGACUGAGGACAGAUAAUUCGACCAUUUUAUUUACUUAUAAAUGGUUUUGCUUGCAUCAAAGUGUACGGAAGCCGAGCACCUUAAUAUUAGGUCUUUGCACCAGUGGAAAAGGCAGCAAUAUUGCAGCCAUAGAAAGGGUUACAUGUCACUUCACACAUUUUCGGUACUCAGCUUCCAUGAUAUGACAUUCAAUAUAAGAGGGGGUCUUGAUAUCUUAGCUGUUCAUCUUCAGCAAAAUAAGAUCAAAUAUUCAAAGUUGGCGCAAUAUGUAAUGAUUGCCUCAACAAAUAUUUAACAUUACUUUUUACUGUCAUGAAUUGACAAUGAGUUGAACUGUCGAGAAAGUAAACUUCGAAUUUUCGUUCAAGCUAUUUUAUAUAAUAGUAAAUGAGCAAGCUUAAAACUUUUGAAAAUAACGUGAGGAUAUAAUGUGUAAAAGGUGAAUUGGUGAUAAGUUGUUAUUCAAAAUUAAGAGUUAAAUUCAAGAUAUUGUAUGAGACUCACUUAUGUUUUUAUUUCCCAUAUAAUUGUUAUAUAUGUCAGUGUCCAUUUAAAGAUUAUGUAUGCAAAAUAAUCAAUCCAAUUAAAGGUCACUUCAUCUUAUUUUAAAAUGUAUAUAAUAAAAUUAUGUUAAAUUCAAAAAAUUUCAUUGUUAAAAAUCUAGUGGCCGAGAAAUAUAACAGUUGGAAAUCCAACGGUCCAGAACAUCCCACGUCGCCCCUCUCAGACGAGUGUGAGGGUGUCUGCCAAAAAAUAUAAAAGACGUCGCUGACGUCAAAUGGGGGGGGUGGUUGGGCCCGCUGAACAGCCCCACUGUUUUUCUGGAGUGGGAGGAUUGAAUCACUCAAUUGCAAGGGCAAUCGAAAGAGGUGGAGUUGCUCCAACUACUCUACCAAAAAAGGGUAGAGAAAUUUUCCAAAAGUAAAAGAAGAAAAAAGAGAAAAGUGAAAAUUGAUGACAACAACAAACAAGUGUUAAAAAUUGGAAGAAAAGGGAAAAAGGAAAAAAAACAACCCAAAAAGAUAAAGCCACAAGAAACCAUAUUCCAAAAUGCAAAUUCCAUUCCAUUUAUAUUUUCCCAAAUUCCUAAAACGAAAAAAAAGCAAAAAAGCAUUGGAAAUUCCAAAAAACAAAAGCAAAAAGGCCUCCAAACACUCCCACACAGAGAGAAGCAGCACCUCUCAACCUCGAGCUCCGCGCUACGAUUCUCUGUAGAAGAACACAAUCGAACAGAAGAAUUUCGACCAAAGCUUCAAAUUUUCCCAUUAAUUUCACAAAAUUUGAGCGCCAAAAUCCAUCGGAGCUUCGACAAAAACCUUGAAACUAUCAUUAUUUACAAGUCUUCAAUCGCAGAGAGCCAAAUGUACGAACCCCACCGGCCGAAGUCGAAAACCCAAACCCUAGAGCUAUGCCGCCGGGACUCGCAGUGACGGAACUUUCAAACCCUAGAAAUGGCCAAGCAUUCCGUGGGGUGGGUCGCGGCGCAGAAGCGGUGGCUUCUGGCUUUACUCGUCAUGGUCUCCCUCUCUACCUUGAUCGCCUUCUUCAUCAGAGCCGCGUUUGACACCUGCGAUCGCGGCGGCCUUGACGUCGUCGAUAAGAGGGUUCCGCUGGGGGCGCCCAUUGGGACCAGUCCUAGCCCCCUCAGCUUCAUGAAGUCCAAGCUCGUGCUCUUGGUCUCCCACGAGCUUUCUCUUUCUGGUAAUGUCUCUGUCUCCAUUAUAUUGUUAUCAUUUUUUAUGAAUUUAAUGCAUUUUUAUAUUAAUCGUGUUUAAUUAGUUGUGUUAAGUUUUUAAUGACUUAUUAGAUUAUACAAACAUAGAAAGUUAGCAGCUUUAGAUGAAAAAUCACUUGUAUCAGUGGAAUCUGUGAGCAUUAACUGGUUUUCGAACUAUUGGAUGGUUUUCGAUGACCCGUUUAACAAUAAGUCCUUUCCUGUGCCUCAUUACUUUUAAAUUUCCUGUUUUAUUCUAGUAUUUAUGGAGAGGGUAGCUUGUUCCUUAGUGUGUUAAUGCUGUUUGAUAUAUUUUCAUCUCAGUUGAGUUUAAUUUGUUUGUGAAUUUGGAAACAUGGUCUGGUGCAGUUGCAUGCCCUUCAUUAUGUUCGAGUUUAAUCAAUGAUUUCAUUGGGGAUUUAUGUGAAGUCAAGAUUAUAGAGUGGAAGAACUGAGUACGUUACUUCUCUGCGAUUGUUGAUUCUUAUAAGACGGCAUCUGUAUUGUUCUACUAUUCACGUAUUUUUGUAACUUAAUUAAUUCAAUAACCCGAUAAGCAGGGUUGUUUGAAUUAUUUGUCCAUUCUGUGUACUGAUGUGUCAUUUGAAAAUAUUACUACUCAACUUGAAAAUGUUUGUCGUCUUUUGAACAUUAACCUAUUUAUUGGGAUAAUCUUGUUCUCGAGCUGUCAUGCAUUUUGUAAUACAAUGUGUUCUUUGAAGAAUGCUCUUUUUUUCAGAUGAGAAACUUUUGUCCUUGGUUCGAGAACUUAUUGAGUCAAUAUUCUUGCCGGCGUCAACAGACUAACGUUUUCUAAUGUUGAUGCGUUCUUUUUGUUAUAUUUACUUGCACUUGUCAGCAUAUUGAAAUAAAUGGAGUAGUACCACAACUGAUGAAAGCUAUCUUCCUCCUUAACCAGAUAUCUGGUUGAAGAGUAUAUUUUAUCCCACCAAUUUCUGCUCUUUAUAUCUUACAAACGCUACUGGAGGGAUAAUAUAUUGAACAUUCUUCCAGGUGGACCUUUGUUGUUGAUGGAGCUAGCAUUUUUAUUGAGAGGUGUUGGCACUGAAGUUUAUUGGGUUACAACCAUGAAAUCGUCAGAUACAGAUGCUGUAACAUACAGUUUGGAGCAUAAGAUGUUGGACCGAGGAGUGCAGGUACAAAUUUCACUUUUAACUUUUUAAGAGAUUAUUUUGGAAGUCUUCUUUUGCAGUCUAGUUGUUGUCUUUGUUCUACAUAGUUAUUUUUAUUAUCUCAAUAUUUCAUGAUAUGGAAGCAUUCUGUUGUCCAACUGUACUAUAUUGGCCACGUGCUAAGGAAACUAUGCUAAGUAAAUCUAGCUUCCCAUCUGAUUUGAUCUAUACUAUGGCCUUGUCUGGCUCGGUCUUCUCUGCGUGUCAUUUCCUGUUUUUGAUAGGUUAGAUUUCUCUGUAACUUCUCCAUGUUUCUAAUACUGCUUCUAUACAUCUCUAGGUCCUCUCUGAAAAUGGCCAAGAAACUGUGAAUACAGCUCUCAAAGCUGAUUUGGUUGUAUUGAACACCGCAGUUUCUGGGAAAUGGUUGGAUGUUGUUCUUAGGGAAAAUGUUCCCCGUGUUCUCCCAAAAGUGUUGUGGUGGAUUCAUGAAAUGCGUGGCCAUUACUUCAAAUUGGAUUAUGUUAAGCACCUCCCACUUGUUGCAGGUUCUAUGAUAGAUUCACAUGUAACAGCAGAAUAUUGGGAGAAUAGGACUCGAGAGCGUUUGGGGUAGGCUUCAAAUAUUCUUCCUUUUUCUUUUUUAUAUCAUUUGGUUCACCGUUGCAUUCAUUUUCUCUCUGCAGUAUCAAAAUGCCCGAGACCUUUGUUGUUCACCUAGGAAACAGCAAGGAACUUAUGGAAGUUGCUGAGGACAAUGUGGCAAAGCGAGUUUUGCGUGAGCAUGUCCGGGAGUCUCUUGGAGUUCGAAGUGAAGAACUAGUAUUUGCCAUCAUUAACAGUAUGUAUUUUGGUCUGUUUUGAUGGUUUGAUUGAAUUUGGUUAUAAUGUUUCACCAUGAAUUUACCAGUUUGUUUGUUUUUUAUCUUUAUCUUGUUUCUAGUAUGCUGGUGAAAUUUGUGUUAAUUUCCGUGGGGAUAUGACAAAUAAAAAGUAAUGUUCUGGUUAGUUUAUGCAUACAUUGUGAGCACUAAAUUACACUUCAUGUCUAUAGGUGUUUCGCGCGGAAAAGGCCAGGAUUUGUUUUUGCGUUCCUUCUAUGAAAGCUUGCGACUGAUCCAAGAGAAGAAGCUGCAACUGCCAAAAAUGCAUGCUGUAAUUGUGGGGAGUGACAUGACUGCUCAUACCAAGUUCGAGCAUGAAUUACGUAACUUUGUAGCGAUGAAGAAAAUUCAAGAUCGUGUUCAUUUUGUAGACAAAACUCUGACUGUAGCACCGUAUCUGGCUGCAAUUGAUGUCCUUGUUCAAAAUUCGCAGGUAUUAGAAGCAUUUUUCUUUUAUUAUUGUGUUAUUCAAUCUUGUUUUGAUGCAUAUAGAAUUCCCAACUAGCCAACGAAUAAAGAAUAAGAUCCAUACAAAUAGGUGUUCAGAUUAUUCUUUUUCAAGUUUGACCCUAAUGUGGUUGGAAUUACAUAAAUUUUAUUAAAAUAUCCAUUUUCAUCUUGUAUUUUUUUUUUCAUUCCGUACAGGCACGCGGAGAAUGCUUUGGUAGGAUAACCAUUGAAGCCAUGGCAUUUCAGCUGCCAGUAUUGGUAAUGAACCUUCCUCCUUUUCGUUUCGCGUAAUAUCUAAUACUGAUGCUGCCUAUCUUAUUGACCCAUUUCAUUGUCUUUUUUUUCUUUCCCAAAUAAAAUAUUUAUCAGGGAACAGCGGCAGGUGGCACCACAGAGAUUGUAGUGAACGGAACGACAGGUUUGCUGCAUCCUGUUGGGAAAGCAGGGAUCACUCCUCUCGCGAAUAAUAUGGUAAAACUCGCCACUCACGUUGAGAGGAGGCUUACGAUGGGGAAGAGAGGCUACGAAAGGGUCAAAGAAAGGUUCCUAGAACACCAUAUGGCAAAUAGAAUAGCUGCGGUUCUGAAGGAAGUAUUGCGCAAGUCAGACAGCCGCUCAGAUUCUUAACACAUGCUCUCUUCUCCUCAUGUCGAGAUUUCAGCGCUUAAGUAGGUCGAUUUUCCUUUUAUGUCGACAUAAUCGUCCCUCGGGUUUUUCACCUUUCUAUUUCCAAUAGGGCUGUACAUUAUGUGCAUAUUAAGGCAAGAUCGAGAUUGUAGCUUGUUAAAAGGUUGACAUUAAUGACAUGAUCGAUUUUGUUAUAGCAUGGGAUUGGAAAAAUUGGCAUCUCAUUGACAUGCUUGCAACUCUCUUGUUACUGAAUUAUGAGCAUUUAUGCUUGUUAACUCUUAUCAUCUUUUAUAUGGGCGGGUAGGAUGGUUUGCCGAAAUAACUUGCCGACACUCGUUUCAUGAAACGGGGCAUUUCACAUAUAAGCUCACGUACCUCUUGCAUGAUAUAGCAAAAAUGAAACGGGCAUAGGCAAGUUUUGUGCGGUUUUGCCAGCUUUUUGUUUGUAAGUUUUUGAAAAGAACAUCAUAAACAAAGCGUUGGUUCGUGCUCACUUCCCCCAUGCAUCGGAGUUUGAAUCUUCAUGUUCGAAAAUCACUUGGAUUAAAAGUAAAAUUAAAGAAUCACUGACAUGUUAACAAACGUGUCAAUAAUUCUUUUUUUUUUAACCGAUCCAACUUAAUGUGAAAAAGUUUUGUUGUUGUACCGACGUGUUAAAAAGAAAAAAAUAAUUACAACUAAGAACUUAGCUUAAGCUUUACAUUAUAGCAAAAAGUUCAAAUUUUUCAUUACAACUCAGAACAAAGCUACUGAGCUAGUAAGAAGAUCCGUAAGACUUCAAGGAGACUUGGGUUGUGGAGAAUCACUUGCUGGCUUUGGCUUCUGCUUGAAGUUGUGCUUUGUAAACCAAGUGGUGUACAGAAAGUGCUUCUGAGCUCCUACAUGGUUGCAUAUCAAUCUGAGCUUCUGCCUCUCCCUCAUCCACCUCAGCACUAUCUUCAUGUGCCUCUUGCUCGUCAACCCUCUCAACCCGACUUUCUGAAAGAAAAAACCACUCAGACAUUUCAUCAAACACUUGGUGCGCGAAAACGAAAUCACUGAGAUUACCUUGACGUGAUCCCAGGUUUCGGAAAUGGUGAGAGGACCGUGCUCCUUGACGAUGUCGAAGAUGGCCCUGGUGAUGGUCUGUGUCUGCUCAGGUGGGGUAUUGAGCUCUAUGGGUUUCAUCGGAGGUUUUGGUUUCCGAGCGAUGCACCUGAUCGCUGUCCCAAACAUGUUUCUGAUUUCCCUUUGCUAAAGAGAGUGGGCUAACAAAUAUAACCCGUUAGGUAAAAUGUUAUUCAUUUAAUUUAGCACAGAGUAAAUUGUAACAAUGAUUCUUCAACUUUAAUUAAAUUGGAGAAACAGUUUAUCAACUAAAAAUUAAUUACCAUUUAUCCCUCAACUCAUCAAAAUGUGUAGUUUGGUCAUUUUCGUCAAUUUCGUCAGAAUUUUAUCAAAAUAAGUUAUGUUGGAAUGACCAUUGCUAUAAUUGAGGUCUCUCAACUCAUCAAAACGUGUAGCUAUGAUCAUUUUUGUCAAGUACAUCAAAAUUUUGUCAAAAUGAGUUAUGUUGAAAAGAUCAUUGCUACAAUUGAGUUAAACUUGAGAGAUCAUUGCUCCAAUUGGGUUAAAGUCGAAGGACCAAUGAUAAUAAAUUUUUAAUUGAGAGACCAUAACUACAUGUUCUGAUGAGUUGAGGGAUCAAUAGUAAUAGAUUUUUAGUUGAGGGACCAUUGCUACAAUUUAAUCUAUAGCACGUUCUUAGCGCUACUGAAUCUUUUUCCCGAGUACGAAUACGAUGGUGUUGGUUUUCGACUCCCAUCGACCAUAGAGCUAAGGAUUGCUGCGUGAACACCUGGUAUAUGUCGACCUGAUCGAAGAAUUUGUCUUCGUCAUUACGAUCUGGGUUGAGGUGACUGAUCUUCCACACGCCAUUAUCCACAGUGAAUCGAAUCAUAGCCUUACAGCCUGUUCUUGUGUCUAGUCUUCCCCAAUUUCGACAUAAGCCCAGAAUAGACACGUGACGGCAAAAAAUAGCGGUAGAGUAAUACUUAAACUUAACUGGGAGCGUCAAAUCACCACCUUUGUUUUCUUCCCAACCUCCCAGUUCCAGUUUAAAUAGCAUGUUCACGUUUAAUUUUACCAAAAAAAAAAUGAAUGUGGGAAUCAACCUACAUCACCAUUCUUUGAUUUUUUUCAAACUUGCAUGGCACGGGUCCAGUGUGGCGUCUCUUGCCAAUAGUACAAAUACAUGUUAGUUAUCGUUGCAUUUCAAAUAAUAAUAAUAAUAAAACGUGUUAGUUGCCUUGUAUCGUUGGCACAAAAUGCCACCGUAGCAGUUUAUGCUGUGCCAUGCAUGCUGCAAGUGAAUCAAGAUAACUCUUCUACACCGUGCUUAAAAGUCGAGAAACCAGUGUGUCCAGACUCCAGAAGCACUCAAAGGGUUUAUAUUCAUUUCUAGCCAAGACUCUGCACAUAACCUAGAAAUAAAAUGCCAAGACAGUGUUCUAAACAGCAAUAACACAGCAGCACAUAAAUUAAACUAAAACGGCGCACAAGUGAAAAGAUGCUACUUCAGAUCAGUAAAAUCCAUUAAUAUUAAUGUACUAUAGCACUUAACGGCGAUACAAAGUAUAUAAAGAUUAACCGAGAUAAAUUAUAGAUUUCAAACUCCAGUAUUGACAACAAAUAUAAUAACCGGAUACAUCUAACAUCAAUGAACCGACACUAGAAAAAGAAAACGAUGUACAAUGUUGGCUUCUACAAAAGAAGAAAAAUAAGAAUCUAACCUUUCAUUCUGAACAUCUUAUGCAAUGAAGUGCAAUUUUUUUUUCAAUCUAGGAGACUUGUCCUUUAGCUGUCACAACCGGGGGAUUCCACACUCCCAUUAUCAAGAGACAUAUCGCGAACAGAUUGGUCAUCUACUUUGCUCAAAUUUCCUAGCAUGUAGGUAGUUUCCUCGUCACUUUCCAGCAACUUUAUGGUCUCCGCUAACUUUUGUUUGACAAUCCUUUUUCCCGAAUCACACAAUGAGCCUAUACUGAAAACAUUCGUUCCUUCAUGCAUUAACUCACUUAGGCGCAACGAUUGAGCAGAGUUGGCCUUUCUAUCUGAUGACUUACUGAACUUAUUACUCGCCACAAUCCCUUUUUUUGCCUCUCUAGUCCAUCUCUUCACUAUGUAUUGUGUCGGUAUGCUUGUGAAGUUUUUAGAAUCCAACACUUUGAGGGCAUGACGACACAACAAGCCCAUCGAUUCAAAUAACUUACAAGAACAAGAAACUGUGGAUGUAGUAGAGUUGUACCGAAUCAUGAAGACUCUUUGAUGACCUUCUUCGAUUGCUUCAUAAAUAUAUUGGUUGCCGUCAUUACCAACUUCCACCAUCCUCACCCCAAAAAUGCUCAUAAGCUCAUCUUCAAAGAAUGAAUACAUUUUGACAGUGUACUCAGUAGCUGCAUGCUUAAAUAUACUACUAUUUACUCUAAGACGAGGCUUCGCAUUUUUACAACGAAAAUCCUCUUCCAACUCUGUGAACCGCAUCUUUUUUAUUUUUUGCUCGUAGUGCUGUACAAAACUAACAAGAUCCACUAUUUUUCUGGAAACUUGAUGGAAAAUGGUGUUCGUAUUCUCACCCCUCUGGCUUGAUCCAAUAUUUGCUGAGAAAGCAUCUGAGCUAAAUGCUGGACACCAUUUAUCUCGAAGUGAAUACAACAUCUUUAGCCACGAGUUGCUUUCAAGGUUGAACAUUUUAAUCAUGUCAUCCCAGGCAUGUUGAAGUUCUUGUUCAGUAAAACAAUCGUAAAAGCAUUUGUAGAAGUGCUUCUUGAAUUCAGGAUCAGCAUAAAGACUACCAAGAUGUUGUGUAGCAUUCUUGGAGAUUUGCCAAUUGCAUAACAGAUGGCGUGUCUCUGGAAACACAAUCUCAAUUGCCCUUGCCUUUUCCAUUGCUUUAUUCUCAUCUGUGAAAAUGGUUACUGGCUGUUUAUUUCCCAUUGACUCCAAAAAUGUUUCAAACAACCACAUAAAUGAGGCAGUGCUCUCGUCCAAUAAAAAUGCACAACCAAAUGAGAUAUUCUUCCAGUGGUGAUUAACUCCCAAAAAUGGAGCACAAAUUAGAUUGUUGUUGGUUUGAAACGUAGUGUCAAAGCAUACAACGUCUGCAAAACAAUCAUAAUCCAACUUUGAUCUACCGUCUCUCCAAAAAUAAUUUGUGAUCCGAUUAAACUGAUCCACCUGUACACUGUAGAAAAAACUCGGAUCCUCCAUCUGUUUAUGCUUAAAAUAGUUUAUCAAGCUUUGUCCAUCCCCUGCAAUCAAUUCAUCCUUCCCCCUUUGCAAACAAUUAUGCGAAUCUUUAUUACUAACCCCGACAUUCUCAGCACUUCCAAAUUCCUUUCCCAAAUAUGAUUGCAACUUUGGUGGUCGUAUACUCCCAUCAACCUUAGAGCUGCCAAGUAUAGUUGCACGAACACUUGGUAUAUUUCUCCCCGACCUCAGAAACUGUCGCUCUUCAGGCCUAGCAAACUCGUGAUUAUGAAUUGGAUUAAUGUACGAGAGCUUCCAUACACCAUUUUCCACAUUGAACCGAAUCACAGCCUUGCAACCUGUCCUUGUGUCCAAUCUUCGAACUUUUCUCGCUUCACACAAGUCUUCAUCUACUUGAAACCCUUCUUUCGAGCACGUGUAUUCUCUCUGCCGGACAUUGUUCUGCGAAUCUCUCCGAAGAUGACCUUUCCGAAUACUAAAACCUUUGUUGAAGGCAUAGGUGUUGCAUAGCUGGUACGCCUCAGCUUCAUCACUAACCUCCAUUCCUACCCUCAGUUCAUCAAUUUCUCCGAAAAUUUCAUCAUUGUCGCUUUUUUCUAAUGAUUCCUUUUGAGAAUCACUAUCCAUUUAGCUCAAAUCAGCCUAAUCAUAAACGAAUAAUUAAUUUAUGUAAAUAAAAUUAAAAUUUAACUCCUAACAAAAUAAAGGUGCAAAAUUUAAGAUGAAUCCCAAAUUUUUCAAUAAAAUCGAAAUAGCCCAUUUCGCUAAAACAGAUGUUAAUUCAUAUUAUCAAUCGCGAAAUUAAAUUGAAAUAAUUGUCUGAUUCUUCCCCAAAUUUUUCUCAGCCAUUAAAAUUUCAAAACUUUCAACUUCAAAAUUUUCAGAAAUGAAAAAAAGAAGGCAACAAUCAUAUCAUCAAAGAACCAGAGAGGAGAGACGAUUACCUGGUUUUUCCGAUAAACGAGAGAGAAGAAGAGAGUCGAUACGUCGUCGUUUAGAGGAGGAACGGGAGGAGGAGUUUGGGCUGAGAGGAGUGCUGGCACUGUGUGAAUAGAAAAGGGUCUAGAGAUUAGGGAGGAACAAAACGCAGCGUUCUCAUCCCGUCUCUAUCAAAUACAAAAUUUCACUUUUGGCCUUUCUAAUUUACGCCGAGUUUAUUUUAGUCCUCCUAAUUUUUAUUGUGUCAAUGUUGACCUUGUAAUAUACCAAAAGUUGCAACUCGACAGCUGGUUUGAGAUUGUAGUGCUUUUAUAAAAAACAGCUUAUUAAAAUACCUGAAGCAUCAAAUAUAUUUGGUAAAAUAAAAAAAGCAUUUUUUUUUUAUAAAUUAAGUUUAUCCAACACUCAAAUACUAUUAUUUUUGCAAUUUGUUAUAAACAUUUUUACAUAAAAUAAAUUUACCAAACACUUAACAAAUUUAGUUUACAGCUGUUUAUUCUCAGAAAUAUUUUUUUCAAAAAGAACAACAACACCAAACUAACCCACAUUAUAACCAUCUUUUGAAAAAAAAUUCAAGAAAACUCCUUAAAAUCCCAUGACUAAUAGUGUAUUUUAGAAGUAUUUCAAGUCAUUCGGUCUUCUGCAGGUUGAAACAAACAAGGGGUAACUCAUGAGUUCUGUGCAGGUGAAACAACCCAUCCAGAAUACACCGAGAUUAAGACGACGUUGGAUGACAUUCUGGACAGAUUACAAGUUCAUGGCUACCAGCCAAACCUGGUUUCGGCCGCUUAUGCUGUGGGAGACGAAGAAAAGACGGGUAUAUUAAUGUCUCAUAGUGAAAAGCUAGCUUUAGCAUAUGCAUUGCUCAGUAUAGAUUCUGGUUCCGCCAUUAAGAUCAUGAAGAACAUUAGGAUUUGCGGACACUGUCAUUCGUUCAUGUGCGGCGCGUCCUAGGUUACAGGGAGGGAGAUUGUCGUGAGAGAUAACAUGAGAUUCCACCAUGGAAGAAGAUUACAGUGCAAUGUUUGAUAUGGCGGAAGGCCGGUUUUGAGUAAUAUGAUCAUCUAGGCAAAUGUUUCAGCCAAUGCAGUUGAUAUAUUAACAUAAUAGACAACAAAUUUUCACAUCACAAAGACAGACAUUGCGUAGUGCUCUCUGUGCAUUAGCCACACAAACAACUCAGCUCACACCAGAGGCACCAGUAGCUUAUUAUAUGACCGAUAUAAUAGUAACAAACCACUGUAUUUAUAUCUUGUGGUGUCCGCCGCGAAGCUUCUCUAUGAUCUUGUCCAUGAUCCCUUUCUUUUCGUGGUGCUCCUCCGUGUAAGCGGUGCCGCCGCCGGAGGGUGUGGUGGUCGACGUCGUAGUAUGUGAGUACCGGGGAUCAUCCUUGUGGCCAGUACUCGGCAGCUUGUCCUCGAUCUUGUCCAUCAUCCCUUUUUCCUGGUGGUGACCUCCUGGGUCGGCGGUGCCGUAUGCUGUGUCAGUUGUGGUUGAGCCUGGGAGCUUCUCAUUUAUCUUCUGUUUCAGCCCCUUUUUCUUCCUACUCCCACCUAGCCCAUCAUCCUCUGACUACAACACAAUAAUUAAAUACCCAACAUAUAACUACCAAGAGAAAAAUACAAGUUAACAAUUUCAUGGGAAAUUUUACAUUCCUUAUUUCUCUUGAAAUUGGGAUACCAAGUCCAUAAAAAAUCCACCGGAAGAAUUGAAUGCCUUUAUUGAAUAAUACUUGCAUAACCUAUCUUCAUCGUAGAAAUUUUAUAAUCAUAACCGUUUUUAUUUUUAAUCUCCAUUUAAGAUUAUGUGUACAAAAAUCAUUUGAAUAGAAUAUCGUUUUUAGUCAUCCAAAUGUAUCACAUAAAUCAACAGUGUAGAAAAAUCAUUUGAAUAUGAUAUCGUUUAGUCAUUCAAAUAUAUCUCAUAUAUAUCAACAGUGUAGAUACCAAGUAACAUAUAUUAUAAAGAUCAACAGUCCAUUUAUUCCAUAAAUUUGGAUGACUAAAUAAUGUUCGAUUAAAUGAACUUUUGUAAGGAUUGAUAAUCUUUAAAUUAAUAUUUAGAAAUUGAAUGGCCUCGAUUAUGAAACUUGUAGGAUGAAGAUACACAAUUGGGGAAAUGAGCUCAAUUCCCAGGAGAGGAAUGCAAAUAUUAUUCUUUCUAGUGACUAUAGUCAAUUCUAAUAAGAUGUGAUACGUUGAUUUGCAUUUACGGAGUACAAUACAUGAAACUAAUUUAAUCAGUAAGAUGAUACAAAUAAUUGUACAUAUUUACCCAAAAUUAAUACCAUUAGUAUCCUGGCUAAUUGUAUUAGGAUUUACACACAAAUUCAUUUUCGUGGAAAUUAUGCGGUUAAUUAAGUCUAAUCUUUUUGCUAGCAAGGUCUAAUCUUUUUAGACAAAACAAUGGUACAAAUUACAAUAUCCUACGAAAAUUAAGAUCAAAUCUUUAUAUGGGAAAAAGAGAUUACUUACAGAGCUAGAGCUUGAGCUGGCGGAGCGAUGAAGCAUGCCAGUGACACCAUGGUGCUCUUUCCUGCCGUAAUCGUGACCAAGUGUGCCGUGACCACCUGCCGUGGUGGCAGCAUAGCCAGUGGUCACAACGGCCGUGUGAUGAGCACCGUAUUCUCCGGUGGCAGCAGGAGCGAUGCCAGUAGUAGCACCGUGAUGACCAAGUGGGUUUCCAUACUUGUCCACUUGGGGAACCAAGGGGUUGCUGUUCUCGUCAGUUCCCUGAGUCGGGUUGCCGCAGGCGGCGGUGGGUGGUGCCCCGUAUUGAUGAUUUUGUAAAUGCGCCAUUCUCUAAAAACACAAUGAAACCUUUUCUUCUUCUUGGAAAUUUUUUAAUAUGCUUCGAUGAGGAUUUGAUUUUGAUGAAGUCUGACAAUUUGGGUCGGUUUAUAUAAGCAAAAUAACAAAACAUGCAUGUCACAGUAGGGUUCUUGCCGUUUGCCAAACUUUAAUAAUUUGUAAAACUAUCCCCACUCUCUCUCUGUAUACAUGUCGUAUACGGUAUACCUCACAUUGCCACAAAAGCAACUCCCGACAGCAAAAAUAGUGUUAGACAUGUCGUAUAGCUCACAUUACCAAUACCUUGAAAGCAACUGCCGACAUCAAAAAAUAAUAGAACUUGGAUUGUUCAUGCUACUAGCUUCCAUCGCUAGGACAUGUACUUGGAAGCAAGCUAUACAGCCACCUUGAAUCAAUGAAUGAACCUUGAAUCAACGAAUGAAUGAAAAGAAAUGGAAUUGAAAGCAAGCUACAGCUACCUCAAAUCAAUCAAUGAACGAAUGAAAAGAAAAGAAACCGCCUGCUUAUCUUGUGUGACAAGACCAUAGAGCGAGUGGCUCUUCUAUGUGUGAAAUUAUCUUGUGUGACAAGACCAUAGAGCGAGUGACCAUUCUAGGUGGGCAGCUGUGUGAGAGAGAGGAAUUCGAACUUGAUAUUGAUAUCAGCGGAGGCGUUUGCAAGUGGCAAACUAAAUAACAUGUUCAUGUUCUUAUUGCUACUCAUUUUAACAUAAUAGACAACAAAGUUUUGUAAGCAGUAUAUCAAUAAAUAAACUACUGCAACACAUCAUACCAACACUACCCUAGGAUUACCAACUAAUAUCAGAUUCACCAUAACUAGAGAAACACCAGUUUAUAAUCUACAAGACACUUACCUGGAGGCAUCGCCAUUGAAGAAACAACAGAAGAAGAAGUCUUCUACUUCCAACACUCGAAAGUCUCUUCUCUAAGUGAAUAGGGUUUUAGAUAAUAUUGAGAGCGUUAGUAAGGAAGCAGGGACUUCAACUAUAUAUAUAUCCAUCCAUUUUGCUACAGAUUCACUCGGUCCAACCUAUUAUCAGAAAGAGUGAUAAUCUCUAUCUCUUAAUAAGUUUUAGUCCUAUCAUGACUCUAUAUACUAGUAUAUAUUUGAUAAGGAUCAAAAUAGAACAGCUGCAACAUACAAAACUCCACGAUUCUUGUCAUACCAAAGCUCUCAGACUCCUUGUGUUUCACAUAACUAGUAUGACUAGUUAAACGCCACCCAAGUAGUCCAGUUGUAAUCUCAUUGUCAUUCAAACAAGUUUUACAUUCUCCCACUUGAAUGUCAAUGAUAUGCCUCAAUAUUAUAAGAAUCAUGAUGAUCAUACAGUUCACAAAAGCUUGCAACUGAUCCUUCAUAGUAACUUGUCAUCUUUAAGAAAAAUAUAGGACCACAAAAAACAAAGCACGAAUAGCUUGCACUUUGCACUCUGUGAUCACAUACAUAUUUAGCUUAAAAACACUAUGUCACUUUUGAGAGUCAUGACGUCAAGAACUGACAAUUCUCAGUUCCACAUAACAAAAUGAAAUAAUUCCAGUACCAAAGUUGUUUGUAGAAACAUAAUAAGCCAAUUUAAACAAAUCAAUAACGAUAACAAAUUUGCAAGAUAACUAACAAUCGUCAAUCAGUAAACAAAAUAAUUGAAACAAACCCAACACGGUUUAUGGAGUGCUUACUCCCACUCAUUAACUGAAUCAAGGACCUCUCUUACUCCCAUGUUGAAAACAUGUUUCUUGAAAACUCCCACUGGUAAAGCCUUUGUCAUUGGAUCAGCAACCAUUAAACUUGUGUUGAUGUACUCAAUUUCGACAGUUUCUUUCUUCACUUCAUCUCGUACUUUUAAGUACUUGAUGUCCAUCAAUCUGCUGGCAUAAGACCUCUUGUUAUUCUUCGAAAAGAAAACUGCAGCUUUGUUGUCACAAUACAACUUGAGAGACCUUUCAACACUGUCAACGAUUUCCAAUCCUUUCAUCAUGUUUUUAAGCCAAAUGGCUUGUUGAGUUGCUGCAUAGCACCCUAUAAAUUCAGCUUCCAUAGUUGAAGAUGCAAUACCUUUCUGUUUUGCACUCUUCCACGAUACUGCACCAUUAGCCAACAGAAAGAUAUAUGCAUUAGUUGACUUUCUGUCGUCCACGCACCCUGCCAAGUCCGAAUCCGUGAACCCUACCAAUUCCAGCUUGUCCACAUGACUAUAAGUUAACAUAAAAUCUCUUGUUCUUUUGAGACACCUCAGUACCUUUUUCGCUGCAACCCAAUGACAUACACCAGGAUUUGAUUGAAACCUACCAAGCACACUCAGUGCAAAAGCCAAAUCUGGUCUUGUGCAUACCUGAGCAUACAUGAGACCCCCUACAAGAGAUGCAUAGGGCUUGUCUUUCAUUCCCUCAUUCUCUAAUUCAUUUUUGGGACAUUAAACACUACUCAGUUUGUCUCUUUUGCCGAUAGGCAAUUCUCCAUUCGAACAUUUGUCCAUAUUGAAUCUUUUAGCAUCUCUAUCGAUGUACUACCUUUGAGAAAGACCAAGAGACUUCGUAACACGAUCUCUUACAAUUUAUAUUCCCAAAACAAAUCGAGCUUCCCCCAAGUCCUUCAUGUUAAAGUUUUGAGUGAGCAUACUCUUAGUUAACUGUAGUAGAGACAUAUCAGAGCUAGCUAAUAAUAUAUCGUCUACAUACAAUACUAAGAAUAUGACCUUCGCACCAAGGACUUUCAGAUAAAUACACUCAUCCAUUUUGUUCUCUUGGAAACCAGAAGCUGCCAUUACCUGAUCAAAUUUCUUAUUCCAUUGCCUCGAGGCUUGUUUUAAGCCGUAUAUAGACUUAUUCAGUUUACAAACCAUCGUCUCAUUCCCCCUUUCAACAAAUCCAGGUGCUUGUUGCAUGUAAAUAUCUUCUUCAAGAUCUCCAUUUAGAAAUGCCGUCUUGACGUCCAUUUGAUGAAGUUAUAAAUCAAAAUGUGCUGUGAGAGCUAGAAUUAUUCUCAUGGAAUCUUUUGUUGAGACUGGAGAAAAUGUCUCAUUAUAGUCAAUGUCUUCCCUUUGUGUAAAGCCCUUCGCCACUAACCUUGCUUUGUGUUUGUCAAUGUUGCCUUAUGAGUCUCGUUUUGUCUUGAACACCCAUUUACAACCAAUAAUUUUUGUUGUCCCAAUUGGCUUUGGAACUAAGCUCCACACACUGUUUUUCUCCAUGGACUCCAGUUCUUCAUGCAUGGCUUGUUUCCAUAAUGUUGAUCUUGAACUUGUUAUGGCUUGAUUGUAGGACAAGGGAUCAUCUUCAUCACCUAUAGUAUGUUCUGCCUCAUUUAGUUAUGUUUAUACCAUAUUUAGGGCCUCGUAUUUAGAUCUCGUACAAAUACUCGGAGGACUUAAAUGUAAUUAUAUGAUAAAGGAAUGGGCAAAUAUGUAAUAAAAGAUGAGUCCUUAUUCUAUAAAAGGACCACUCACCCUCACAAUUAGGGGAGGCCAAUUCCUAGGCCUUCUCACCCCCUCUCAAAGCUCUCACUCUCAGAGCUCUCUCUCCCUUAGAAAUACAAUAUCAGUGUGGACGUAGCCCAAACUUUGGGGUGAACCACGAUACAUCUUGUGUUAUUUACAUUUCAUGCAGAUUCACGGUCGGAUUUACGUUGUUCCAAGACCUUCAGUUUUGUGCAUCAACAAGGUAUACAAAAUCAGGCAACAAUGUUGCCUUACGUACUCGCUGUGAUUUUCGAAUAUUUGAUUCAAAAACUGCAGUUACUGGAUCAUUCAUAAGAUCUACUUCAGUUAAUUGUACUGGUGCAUGUACUUCAUGUUCCUGGACGUCUGCAUAGGGCACAUACUCCUCAUUUGUUGUAUCAUCUGCAUAAACCGUAUGUGAAUUGUCAUGAAAAGGUUAUGGCUGCAUGUUCAUGGGAAUAAUAAGGGUAGAUGGAUGCUGAUCAAUAAUGUCACUAUCAAGUGUGAUUUCUUUGAAUUUUGAGGAUGUAGUUGCUGAUAUGCUGAUGUCAGUUUCAUCCCCAUCUUCAAGAAAUCUUGCAUUAUGGGUUUCCAUAACCCUCGAGUGACUGUUAGGGCAAUAGAAUUUAUACCCUUUAGACUUCUCAGAAUACCCAAUGAACUUGCAACUGGUGGUCCAUGGAUCGAGUUUUUUCUCUGUUGGAUUAUAGAAUCUGGCAUCGGCAUUACAACCCCAUACACGAAAGUGAUGAAAACUCGGUUUCCUUCUUGUCCAAGCUUCGAAUGGUACCAUGUCAACGGACUUGCUCGGUACACGGUUCAAUAUAUAAUUUGUAAUUUUCAGUGCUUCUUCCCAAAGAAACAUUGAAAGCUUUGAAUGUGCAAACAUGGAUCGAAUCAUGUCCUUCAGGGUUCGAUUCCUUCGUUUAGCAACUCCAUUUUGAUGAGGAGUCCCAGGGGUAGUAUACUGAGCCACAAUGCCAUUUUGUUCAAGAUAAGUUGCAAAAGGUCAUUUGUGUUGUCCAGCCUCAGUGAACUUGCCAAAAUACUCACCACCUCUAUCGGAUCUCACAAUCUUAAUGUGUUUUUCUAGUUGUUUUUCAACUUCCAAAUGAAAUGUUUUAAAACAAUGCAAGGCUUCAGAUUUUUCAAAAAUAAGAAAAACAUAUGCAAACCGUGAAAAAUCAUCAAUGAAGGUUAUGAAAUAUGAUUUUCCACAUAUGGUCUUAAUUGGAAAGGGUCCGCAAAUAUCAGUGUGUAUAAUUUCCAGUAGAGAUUGGCUACGGUUUGACCCUAUUUUCCUAGUAUUGGUGAGUUUUCCUUUAAAACAAUCAACACACUCUUUAAAGUUGCUGAAAUCAAGUUGUGGCAACAAGUCUUGUUUUGUAAGUGUGAUGAUUCUUUCUUUAGAGAUGUGCCCCAACCUUUUGUGCCAAAGCAUUGAGGUUUUUUCAUGAGUGAGCACUUGUUUGAACCAGCACUUUGAACAUUAAAACAUUCAAUCUCAUACGUACAAUUCAUUUGCCACGUAUCAACUUUAAGAUAUGCUUCACUAAGUAAUUUAUUCAUGUCAUUGGAAUGGAAAAACUUUACACUUUGACUGUCACCCACUAAUGUAAAGCCGGAUUUAACUAACUUAGAUGCAGAAAUUGAUUUCCUUCUCAUGGAAGGUACAUAGAGUACUGGACUCAAAUCUAAAAUAAAGCUAGAGGAAAGAACUAAUUUGACACUUCCUAUGGAUUCGAUAGCAACUUUGCUGCCAUUCCCUACAUAGACAUUGUAGACUUCAUUGUUUAUCACCCUUGUUUUUUAGAAGCCCUGCAAAGAAUUAGUUAUGUGAAUAGAGCAGCUUGUGUCAAACCACCAACUUUUAGGAGGAAUGUAAACUAAAUUAGACUCAACACAUACAAAAAUAUUUAUUUCGUUACCUUUCUUAACAAGCCUAUUCUUGAAGCCAUUGCAGUUCUUUCUUAAGUGACCUAUUUCUUUGCAAAAAUAACACUCUUUUUCUUUCUCAAGUUCAAUGUUAACAUGCUUUAUUUUAUGAGAUCCUUUAGAGAUGAUGUUAGUAUUUUUAAAUGAAGAAGAAAUUUCUUUCUUCUUCUUCUUACCAGCAACCACAAUUGAACUUUGAGUGAAGUCCUUUUUGCGUUUUUCACCUUGCACAAAAUUCACAUCUACUGAUUUGUCACUCUUGAGCCGAUCUUCUUCUUGUGCACACAUAAUGAUCAGUUCAUCGAUGCCCUAUUUGUCUUUUUGAGUGUUAUAAAAAACCUUGAGCUGCCCAUAUUUUGAAGGCAAGGAGUUCAAGGCCAUAUGAACUAAGAACUGGUCAAUCAUGGGUACUUCGAGAUCCUUCAACUUCUAAGCAAGAUCAACCAUCUUGAGAAUGUGUUCUCUGACACUUCCCUCACCAUCAAAUUUCAUAGAGGUAAUUUGAAUGAGAAAAGUCCCAGUUUCAGCCUUGUCAAAUUCUUUAAAUUUUUCCCCAACUGCAGCCAAGAAGUCUUUUGCAUUGUCUUGUUUUGGAACACCCCCUUUAACUGAUGGAGCCAUAGCCUUCCUUGUAAUCAUCAGGGACAUUCGGUUUGUUCUCUCCCACUUUUCAAACUUUGCCUUAUGAUCUGCAGUGCUCUCUGUAGUAAUAGCUGCAGGUUUUUCCUCCCUUAAUGCCAAAUCGAGAUCCAUAAGGCCAAGAACCAUUUCAACAUCCUCCUUCCACUUCUUGUAGUUAGAACCGAUCAGAGUCUCAAUAUUGUUGAAAUUGAGAGAUGUCAUAUGAGGAGCUACAAAACCAAAUAUUAAUUUUUAUAGUUCUUAGUCAUUAUGUAUCAACAAACAGAAGAAAAGAUUACGCCUAAUCUUUUCCCAACAUAUAAUCAUAUAAACAUAGUAUCAUCUUUGGACAGAAACUAUUUAUACUAGAUUUGCAUAGCCAAAAUAUUGAAAACGAGGGCAGUUUACAUAACUCCAACACUUUUAAGCAGAUGAAGAAUGCAAUCUUGUCAAUUCAAUAUUUCACUAUACAUUGAUUGAUUUAUUUAUUUAACUUGAAUAAAUAAACACUUUUGAGCAGAUUAUUAUUCACUUGAUACAAAUAAAUCACAUGUCUAAUCCUUUAGACAACAACAAAAUCAACAAACUAAACACUUUUGAACAGAUUAGGUGUUGAGAUCCUUGUUUACGAUUCAAAUUUUAUUUAUUAGUUCGGUUUUGACAAAUAAAACAUGAAUCCAAAAGUUCUUCUGGGUUGAGUGUUCCAAUAUUGCAAUUGUUCUUUGAACGAUCUUCUCUAGACAAAAAUAGCAAACACAACUGGAGGUAUACACGGCAAUAUUUGAUUAUAUAUAUAAAUAUAUUGAUCAUGCAAAUUUCUUUGUAAGUAUGCAACGGAAGCAUUUAAUGACAUAGGAUCAAAAUAUAUAGAUCAAUCAAAUCGAAAGUUAACCAUAUAUUAAAUAAAGAACCCUAGUCAUGUUAGGUUGGCUCUGAUACCACAUGUAAGCAGUAUAUCAAUAAAUAAACUACUGCAACACAUCAUACCAACACUACCCUAGGAUUACCAACUAAUAUCAGAUUCACCAUAACUAGAGAAACACCAGUUUAUAAUCUGCAAGACACUUACCUGGAGGCAUCGCCAUUGAAGAAACAACAGAAGAAGAAGUCUUCUACUUCCAACACUUGAAAGUCUCUUCUCUAAGUGAAUAGGGUUUUAGAUAAUAUUGAGAGCGUUAGUGAGGAAGCAGGGACUUCAACUAUAUAUAUCCAUCCAUUUUGCUAGAGAUUCACUCGGUCCAGCCUAUUAUCAGAAAGAGUGAUAAUCUCUAUCUCUUAAUAAGUUUUAGUCCUAUCAUGACUCUAUAUACUAGUAUAUAUUUGAUAAGGAUCAAAAUAGAACAGCUGCAACAUACAAAACUCCACGAUUCUUGUCAUACCAAAGCUCUCAGACUCCUUGUGUUUCGCAUAACUAGUAUGACUAGUUAAACGCCACCCAAGUAGUCCAGUUGUAAUCUCAUUGUCAUUCAAACAAGUUUUACAAGUUUCACAUCACAAAGAUAGACAUUGCAUAGUGCUCUCUGUGCAUUAGCCACACAAACAACUCAGCUCACACCAGAGGCACCAGUAGCUUAUUAUAUGGCCGAUAUAAUUGUAACAAACCACUGCAUUUAUAUCUUGUGGUGUCCGCCACGAAGCUUCUCUAUGAUCUUGUCCAUGAUCCCUUUCUUUUCGUGGUUCUCCUCCGUGUAAGCGGUGCCGCCGCCGGAUGGUGUGGUGGUCGACGUAGUAGUAUGUGAGUAGUGGGGGUUAUCCUUGUGGCCAGUACUCGGCAGCUUGUCCUCGAUCUUGUCCGUCAUCCCUUUUUCCUGGUGGUGCCCUCCUGGGUCGGUGGUGCCGUAUGUUGUGUCAGUUGUAGUUGAGCCUGUGAGCUUUUCAUUUAUCUUCUGUUGCAGCUAGCUUCUAUCGCUAGCACAUGUACUUGGUGUUGGAUAAAUAUCAACAAUCAACGAUAAAUUUAUAUAUGUUAAUAAAUAAUAAAUACAAAUAAAUAAUUUACCAGAGUAUAAACAUAACGAAAUAAUAUUAGACAGACAAAUUGAAAAUCAAAGCUUGCGUACCGUAAUGUCCUUGAAAUAUAAAUUUCAUCCCUAUUCAGUGCUUGUAGUUCUACAAACGUCUGCUUCACCAAUAUUCAAUUGACACACCCCGACCUAAAUCAGGGCGUGUUGGCCGUCACGUAGAAGUGAAGUAACCAUGUGCAUAGUGCGGAAACAAUAAAGAUAUAAGAGAAAUAUGAAUGAAUAAAAACCAAACUACUAGCCUUACUAGUUAAGAUAAGGUGCUAGAACGAGAUUAAGUGUGAAAUACACAACUAGAGCAUAAAUAGCCUAAGUGCAAUCAAGCAGGACAAGUACUAAUUUACAACACUCAAGGGUGAUCCUACAUUUAUGAUGUUCUGUUAAAACCACCGUUGAAAUCCCCGUGAGCCACCAAAGCAUUUCCACCUAAAACCUAGAUGGGCGCAAAACAGAAAGUGUGAGUAGGCAAAAACAAAGUUUUGCAAAAUCAUUUCAUUUCUCAAAAGUUCUAACCCCUCGCCCUAAAACCUGUAUAAUUUCCCAGAAAAUAAUAAUAAUAAUAAUAAUACUAAUAAUAAUAAUAAUAAUAAGCUGUAUCAGAAAUCAUACUCAAGAUGAAAAUCCAUAGAAGUAUACCAUGCCAAAGUAUCUUAAUGCAAUGCCAUAAAUAAUCCAGACAAAAUAUAUCAAUGUCAGGUAUCGCAUCAGCUGAAUCCCUCUAACUCAAACUGUAUGGUUGAGUCUAUAGCUCAUAACCAAUCUCAAUCAUAUCAUAUCAAUUCUUGCACACGAGUCGGAACCACCUAAAGUGGUCUGUACGACAAGAGUAGGUGUAAAAUAAAUAUGCUCUAGUGCUACGAUCACAUGAAGGCUGUGCGAAUAAUCGCGGGUCACUUACGAGUCGGAACCAUCUAAAGUGGUUUGUACGAAAAGCCUUUGCACCUAACUUGGAUCCUAGGUGAGCAUAUGGUGCGAGAGGUGAAUGUCACGUGAAAGACUGUACCCUAACUUUGGACGGGAGCACUAACACCAAGGUGCAUGUUUAUGAGCUCUCAAUACAUCACAUCAUAUCUCACAUAACUGAAGUAACCUCAUAUCUUUAAUUUAUGAACUUACCUAGCACUUACCUGUGCGUCUGCAGCACCAAUCAUAAAUAUAUGCAACUACUAAUGCAUAAAUAAAAUAGGCAGAUACUUUACAUGGCAUUUCAAAACGUAAAAUCAUUCAAAUUCAUUUUUUGGGAAAAAUCUCAAAGUUUAUAGGUAUAUACGGAAAACCAAAAGCACACUCAUUGAUAUGUCGAAGGGUCGUAGCCCUCGAGCCUCGAUUGAUGGCACUCGUCCUUAGGAUAGGUCUCACCUAUAUGCGAAAUAACUGAAUAAACAUUAUUUAAAGCACAUACACAAAACUAAGAAAUAACUUCUCAUACAUUGCUCAAAUGAGGUAUUUGAAUAUACCACCAUGAUUUACUCAACCUCAGGAACAUCCUCAUAUUUUUAGAAAAAUUUUCCGACCUCCCACGCCCCGCCACGCACCGGCCAAGGCAUGGCCAAACGUGCUCCCAUGCGCGGCCAAACCCUAACUGAGCCUAACGACCAUUAGGAAUAUUCCGUUAAAACCUUAACAAAAGUUAAAUGCGUUACCUGACGCCAUUAGAAUAUUCUGUCAGACUUGACAAAAUAUUCUCCUUCAUAUUCCUGGGUUCGCCGGAGAAUGUUGUCGGAGCCGCUACGAUCGCCUGAAACUGGGAAAAUAAUCAAACCUUCAUAUCUUCCUCAUUUCUCAACCAAAACUCACGAAAUUUAUACCAAAUUGAAGCUUACAACAAGAAGAACAAAACCUUACCAAUUUCACGCCUAGAAAUCCAUGGGAUUUCAUCGGAUAAACCUCGAUAAUUCGGCCAAAAUUGAAACUUGCCAAACUUAACUUCCCGACAUCCAAAACACUUUGUUUUUCUUCUCCAAGCUUUGUGAAGACGUCCUAAGGCUCACUAGCAACUUAAAAUCUCCUAAAAACUUCACAUUCACGAUCAUAUGAACAGUGCCUUAAAACUGGGAUUUCUGGUUCUCGGGAAAACAAGGUCUUCACGUCAAACUAAAGGCAUAGAUGACCACCUGGACUCACGAGGAACACAUAAACAACCUCCUCGACGUCGAUCCGUGAAGAUAGGGUAAGGUUUGGGUGUUGUCCAUACGAGUACGAAAAUGGCAGAAAAUUCGAGGGAAGGAGAGAGAGAAAGUCAACGGGAAAGGGUUUGUGUGAGUGUGUGUGGUCCAGCUGGGUCACCAAUCAAAAUAAAUAAAAGCUUAAGUUUUAAUUGGAUCCAAUUAAUUAGGAAUAGAGCUAACUGGCCUUUUUUUCUUAGCCCAAUCUACACAACACCACGAAACGCUCAAGGGUACUUUAGUCUUUUCACACCACCGAUGAAAUAAUUCAAGACGGGCUGUGAUCAAUGAUCUAAGUUAGAAUUCCAACACCGGAAAACUUGACUUCUGGCUAAUUUCUUUGUGGUUCUCUCAGUAAGAAUGUUUGGGAUUGUAGAAGAAUUUUAUGUUUCUAUGUUCUAAAUGUCAUGCAGAUUGAUGUAUAUAUAAUAGGUUUAUGCAUGUUUGCAACAGGUAUGAGAAUGGGAUGAGUUUGUUAGGAGACAUCUUCUCAAAGGGGUGCUUUGUUCUCUGGCGUUCUUUCAUCACUUCAGACUUCAUCUGAAAAGAUGAGUUUAUUGAUAUAAAAAAUAAUUAAUUAAUUAAAAAUAAGUAAUUAAAAAAUUUAAUUAUAAAGCCCAAUCUCAAACUUGAGCCCAAUUUUAUGAUCUAUGACCCAUUACUCCAUUCACUCUCUACAAGGGACAAAAUCUUAUAAAAUAAAAAUCUUUUAAUAGUGACUAAUAUGGGAUCAUAAAAUUUCUACUCAAAAUUUCUAACACUUAAAAGCAAGCUACAGCUACCUCAAAUCAAUCAAUGAAACCGCUCCCAGUAGGUGGGCGGCGUGCUCGUCUUGUGUGACAAGACCGUAGAGCGAGUGGCUCUUCUCUGUGUGAACUUAUCUUGUGUGACAAGCCCAUAGAGCGAGUGACUAUUCUAGAUGAAUUCGAACUUGAUAUUGAUAUCAGCGGAGGCGUUUGCAAGCGGGCAAACUAAAUAACAUGUUCAUGUUCUUAUUGCUAAUUUGUAGGACCUUAUUAAACCAAUAUUGCAACAGUAGUUAAACCGGAAUUACCGUUACUCGAACGAGCACUAAAUAUAUUAAUAUAAACGACAGACAAAGUUACAUAUCACAAAGACAAACGAUACUGUGUAGUGUUCGGUGCAUUAGCCGCACCAGAGCUGAGCUCGCACCAGGCUCCGCUAGCUUAUUAUAAGAUUCAACAACACUAAACCACUGUAUACAUACUGUAGGCUUUUAUUAAUACAGGAAUGGUAUAUAAUGUCUACUGGUUUCCUCCGGGAAGCUUCUCUUUGAUCUUGUCCAUGAUCCCCUUCUUUUCGUGGUGCUCCUCCGUGUAGGUGGCACCGCCGUAGGGAGUUGUGGUCGUACUAGCAUGUGUUGUGGUUGAGUAGUGGGGGUCAUCCUUGUGGCCAGUACCCGGCAGCUUGUCCUUGAUCUUGUCCAUCAUCCCCUUUUCCUGUUGGUGCCCUCCUGGGUAGGUGGUGCCAGCGGUGCCGUAAGUUGUCUCAGUCGUGGUUGAUCCCGGGAGCUUCUCCUUUAUCUUCUGUUUCAACCCCUUCUUCUUCCUCCUCCCACCUAGCCCAUCAUCCUCCGACUACACCAAAAUAAAUACACGCCGACAUAUGAAUUUCUUUUUCAGAGGGAAUUACAAGUUAAUUAACAAUAUUAAUAUUAUAUAAUUAGUGUAUAAAAGAAAUUGAUGAUCAAAUCCUGCCAAUAAGAGUUGGAUCUUGCAUAAAAAUUGUAUCUACGCGAUUGUAUACAAGUUAAAAAUUUCCGAGGGAAUAACUUCUGUUUUAAAUGAAAUCUAUCUUGUUGUAUUAAUUAAAAAUUAGUAAACAUGCUACAGUACAAACAUUCUCAUGAAUAUAUAUUCAACCCUAAAUGUUGCAAAUCAAUCCACAUUUGCAAGGUGUACAUAGAGCAGAGAAAUGUUUUAGUUAAUCGAAACACGCCUAAUACACCUGGUCUAAUAAUGCUACCAUUAAAAUUUUUGCCUAUUGACCAGGUGACAUGAUACAAAUAACAAUAGGGGACCGCCUACAUAUAGAGAAAUUUUUAUUGUAUCAGAACACGCCUAAUUCACCAGGUCUAAUACUAUCGAUUAAAUAUUUUACUAGUUUCUAAUAAUACAAUUAUAUUGGGGUACUGGACCUUGCUACAGGCGCAUUGAAAAUUUUCUACGUGCUUAUAUUAGGAUUGAACAUAAAUUCAUGCGUGUGUGCCUAAUUAAGCCUAACCUUUUUGGCUAACUUGGUCAAUAGACAAAAUCAUGGUACGCGCUAUUAAGUGAAUCCUACGUAAAUUAACAUCACAUUUUCAUAUGAGAAAAAAAUAAGAAAUCACUUACAGAGCUAGAGCUUGAGCUGCCAGAGCGGUGGAGCGCGCCAGUGACACCAUGGUGCUCUUUCCUGCCGUAAUCGUGACCAGUGGUCGCAGCGGCUGUGUCAUGAGCACCGUAUCCUCCGGUGGUGGCACCUGUAGUAGCACCGCCAAGUGGGUUCCCGUACUCGUCGGUUCUCUGGAUCGGGUUGCCGUAGGCGUCGGUUGGCUGUGCCCCGUGUUGAUUAUGCAGAUGCGACAUUUUUCAAAUAACACAAUUUGAGUAUGGAAGUCUGGAUAAUUUUGUUUGGGAUUUGAUGGGAUUGGAGGGAAAAUAUGGCGGGAUUAUAUAGGGAACCAACAAAACACGCGUGUCACAGUAGGGUUUCUUACUUCUUACACCUACGUGAAUAGUGACCUUCGAUCCUGAUGACACGUUGGCUACUGGGACACCUGGCGACGUGAAAGAGGAACAAGUGUAUCCUGCUGUCGGCAUAGAAUAAUCAGAUAGAUAAGAUUAGAUAAGGGAGUCAGUCCUUAUCAUGGAGUUAAAAAGCUCGUGACACUCCACCGCGUCUGUGACUUUACGUGGUUGAUAGAUAACGACCUCUUGGAUAUGUUCAAGAUUGGAACUUGGAAAGCAUGGCAUGGUUACGUUUUUUACACAUGCAUGGCCGUGUAAUUAUCUUGAUUUUUCUUUUUUAUAGACGUGGGGAAUUUGGAUACGGAUGAAGGGUGACUACGUACACUUGCUUUGUAAUUAUCUUGAUUUAGAUUUUUUUAAUAAUUUAGAAUUUUUUUAUAAGAACUUUCAUGAAAAAAACUUGGACUAAAUUUAUUUUAAUAAAAACUCAUGUUAUAAUUUUAUCUAAUGAAAAAGACUUAAACUUUAAUGAAAAGACAUAAUUUUAAUAUUUUAAAAAUAAAAAAAACUGACACGCGGACUUACGCGCCCCUUACACAAACUAUUUAUGAAACUUAUUACAUUAUUUUGAAACUUAAUUGUACUACACUGUUUAUAAAAUUUAACGGUACGACACUGUUUAUGAAACUUAUUACACUAUGUAUGAAACUUUUAUGAAACUUAACGGUACAACACUAUUUAUGAAACUUUGUACACUGUUUAUGAAACUGUUGACCCUAAAAACUACCAAGCCUACGUUGUGUGCAGGCCGAGUAAUUAAUAAGCUAACUACGUCAUUCGGUUGUGUGCGGGGUGUGCCAACUUGUUGGCCGAGCUCGGUCAAGGAGUAAAAUUUGUUGAUGUUGCGUUGAUGCGCUACUGACUUCUCGAUCUUGCAAUUGCGGUUGAGGAAGGAACACUCUCGGCCUUCGGGUUCUAAAGCCUAAAGACAAGGCUGCUAAUUCUAUGAAGUUCAAUAUCAAAUUCGGCUCCCAGGGUGCCGAAUGUAGUAACCUGGUAACACCUCACUUUGCCGAGAAGGCUGAUGAGAUGACAUCUGCCAAUAAGGAUUCGAAAAUCCUUCUCGACCAAGACUUGGAUAGAUAACCAAUCGGUCUCGUCGCAGUGCUGUUUAUCCAAACUUAAGGUACUUCGCGAUCGGCUAAUUCUACGGCAACAAUGCUAUUUAUCCAAACUGAAGAUGUUCGCCGAUUGCCUUCACAGUGCUGUUUAUCCAAACUAAAGAUGUGCUGGUGAAAAAGAAAAUAAAAAUCUCAAGGUUGUUGACAGGUUUCUCGUAAAGCGAAAGUUUGCGUAGGGUAGUUUGUGUGUUGAGUUGGAGGGGCUUUUUAGCCGCUUGAUAUUUAUAGAUAUCUGCAGGCCCAAGUCACGAAAACCAAUCCUAAUUGCACUGUGACUCUAAGUCUUUAUUGGUUGCUAACCCCACGUCUUAUCAAAACUUGUUGUCAUCUUGUAACCCGAUGCAAUCUUGUUUUUAACUAAUAACCUUUAUCCAUUAUCAUCAUAACCUUUAUCCAUCAUCAUAACCUUCUGUUGAAGACCACAUGCAUGCAUGAUGACUAAUUCACCAACUUAAACUCUAAAAAGUAAUUUUAACUGAUGAAAUAUAAUCACCAUAUCCCUUAGAUACAGCCACGUGCACCAAUCACAUCCAUGAAUUCCAAGUCAACUUGAAUUGUACCACCCACUUCUAUAUCAGAAAUAGAACUUUGGUUUUAAUAAUAAUCAAUCACAUAGGAGAUUGCAUGCACCUGGGGCCUGAUAAGAUGAGCCUAUUCAAAUGUCCUCGCGCGCUCCUCUGAAGACGGAUCAGAUCAUCUUUUUCCAAAACAACUAACUGGAUAUAUCAAAUAUUAGGUUUAAAUAUCCUAGUUAUUAUUAAGAGAUAAUAUUAUAAUUAAAAUCACAAUAUCAUUUCUCAAUAAUAACUAAAAAUUAUUUCAACCACUUUAUCAUCCAACGGUCUAAAACCCUUCUCAUUCAACGACCUCGAUUACUCAGGCCGAUAAUGUAAAAACGGGUCCAAACAGAAACUUAACGAUACUACAUUGUUUAUGAAACUUAACAGUAGAUACUCGUCCUAGAUUUUCAAGUUCUUUCACUAGAAUGCAAUAAAAAGUUUUUUUUUUUUUUUUUUUAACAUGAUAGAGAUCAAUGUCCACACUUUUAAAGUCAUGCAUGGCUAAAAAAAACAUGAUAAAGAUCAAUGUUAACGCCCACACCUGACCAACUCCCUCCUAACCAUACAGCCGCAAAUGUGGUUUUGAAUCGAACGAAACCCACUUCAAUUUGAAAUUUUAAUUUUAGAGGAAUAAAAUAUGCUUGGAUUAUGUCAAAGGGUUAUGCAACUGAAGGAUUGGUUGGGUGCUCUUUGCACACGCUUUUAGUUAGGUUUUUUUUUUUCAUCCUCUUGUCCUUAUCAUUAAAUAAAGUUAUAGCAUAGUUUUUUUUUGUUAAAACUCAAAGUUUUGAAGCCAUUUUCAUUAGCUUUUUUUUUAUUGAUUUCUUUAUAUCUUUAAUUAAUCACGACAACAUAUAGAUUUCGUUUAGAAGUACUUUUAUAAUGACUAAAAUCGCUUCUAAUGGCAUGGAUUGUGGGUUUUAAAAACAUUUUAAGUGCUUUUUGAAAGAAGCUUAAGAUAUAUGCUUCUUGCAUGAAGCAUAAGAUAUAUGCUUCUUACAGGAAGCACAUAAAGUUUUUAUUUUAUUUUAUUUUUUUAAAUCCACUUGAAUUAUUAAAAAUUGGUUAAAAACAUUUAGACUGAAAAUGUUUUUUCAGUCAUUUUAAAUAUACUUCUAAGUGAGCUAAUAUAUAGAAGUUACAACUUUUCGCAAAGUUUUUUUUUUUGGUAAAUGUGUAAGAUUUAUUACUGAACCACACUAAAAUUUACAACAGGUGAGGUCCCAUUACAAGAAAAGCCAAAAAGAAAAUAUGGAUCCCCAAAACAAACCCAAACCAAAAGUUUGAGCCCAGAAAGAGCAAAAUAAACAGAAAACCCUAUUUUCCUUGUAACCGCCGAGAAUGUAUCACCGCAGAACGUUCAUCCAAUAGAUGCCAAAAAUCCAGCCAAACAAUUCCACAAAAAUGAUAGACAGACGACCCCACCAACCUUCACAAAGCACCAUAGAUGACAGAUUUGUAGCAAAACACAUGAAGCUAGUGAGAGAACUCAUUAGCAACAUAGUCACCAAAGGCAACAAAGUCGUCGAAGACAAAUCCAUGGGAGGUGGUGGUGUAAACACCCGAGCUAGAGCAAAACACACUUUUCUGAUCCAUGAGAGGUGGUGGUAAGAUCACCUGCAUUGAAGCUCUAUGCACAUCCUGAAAAAAUCGCGACAAAACACGAUUAAGAAAAGUAGCUACAAAUCAGAAAUCAAAUGGGUUUGAGGAAAGUCUAGGAGGUGGAGGAUGGGAAAGAUGGUGAAAAGAAAUUGGAAUUGAUGGUAUAGGAUUUGUAAAAUUAAAGCACAUAUUGGUGACGAACCAGUGAUUAUGCGAAGAGUUUGAGUCUAUUGUUGUAAGGCAUGACAAUAAAUGCUCAUGAAAUGUCAUCACAAGCACAAAUGCCAUCAUAAUUUUCAUAUUAAUAUUUUAUAGUUACUUUGAUAAGACAAUCGAUGUGUGAAUAUAACGAUUUACACAAGGUAUCCGCCUAUUAACCAUGGAAUCACGUAGUAUAUAUAAUAUUAUUCACUUGGAUAAUCUUUGUACAUUGUUGGGAACUUUUUGAUCUAGUUGAAUUUUGGCCAUGUGGAAACUUCUACUUCCUCUAGUUCGUUUCCAGUACUAAGUUCUAAGAUACUUUAAAAGAAUUAGUGCAUCUUAAGAAACAAUUGUUAAUUCAAUGACUCAAUGACUGAAUAAUUAUGAAAAAUUAUGAAUUGCCUAAAUGAAGUUGGGCGUGAAAGCUAAAAACUUAUCAAUUUAGCAUAAGAAAAUGUGUACAUGCUUGCAUGGUUUUAGGAAUGGCUAACUUAAGAGUUCUUAAUGGUAUGGGAAAUUUGAAGUGAAUAUAAGGAAAACUUGAAGAAAUCCGUGGAAGGUGAGGAUAAUUCCUCAUUUAAGAAUCAAGGUUUUUCACACUUAAGAGAAAAAUUUGCUGUGUCUGGUGCAAUCUUGUCUUGAUUCCUCUUCCUCUACGAUGUCUCCCACUUUCAUGUUGUCUCCCUCUUAAAUCUUUUUUUUUUCUUUCCAUGAGUGCAGUUAUAACUUCCCCUUUUAGUGUAAGGUUGAAGAACAUUACUAGCCUCAUGAAGAUUGCGCUGAACGCACUGGCCAAUCUUCUGGUCAAUUUUAACAAAUUUCUCUUUUAGAAAUGUCCAUCUUUGUUUUCUUUCUUUACUUUUCUAUGUAAACUUAGUUUAUUUUAUUUUUACACAACCGGACUUCGAGAUGUAAUUAAACUUGUACAUAAAAUUUUUGGACCUAACAUAUAUCAUCUCGUUAAAUAGGUUCCCGUUGACAAAGGAAGAACUCAUCUUUAUGUGUAUAGCAUUUUUGGACUACACGUCAAUGUGUUGUAAAAGUCAUAUUGAUGAUGUCCUAAUCUUUGACCAGUGCAACUUUGUGUUUAUCUCCAGCCGUGAGGAGAUAAAAGAGAAAAUAAACACUUUCAUUCUUUUAUGUUUUUUUCUUUUCAAAUUACAGAUUUUGUUAGAUUAUCCAAGAUUUCGUCCUCAUAUAAAAAUUUUAACAUUUUUUCACUAUUAUGGUAAAAUGCUACUUGCUCCAUUCAUUUAUGUUAAAAUAAAAGAAAAAAUGGAUAAUUGUUAAGCUAAAUAAAAAUUAGCUGAUGAAUAUGGCAGAUUGUUUUGUUAGUUAUGUUCGUUUCAGUGUAAUUAAAAUAGAAAUCUCAUGUUAAAAUUUAAAUCUCUAUGUAUUUCUCUUGUAUUUAAAAUUUUAAAAUUUUUUAGGUUUUGCUAUUUUUUUUUGUCCAUUGACAUUUUUACACUUACAGAAAAAAAAAUUCGGCUAUUUAACCAAUGAAUAACUUAAUUUGAUAUCAAAUUCGUCAUCCACUUAAUUCAAAACCUCACUUACAAGUGUGAGAGGUACCAGUAGAUCACUUGCAUGAUCAUUAGUGAAUAUCUUUUAGCUUUUAACUAUAUAAUUCAACGUAUCAAAAUUUUCUUUUUACUUGAUUGCUAUAUCGUUUUUAUUGACAUUAAGUAAUACCUGCUGAAUCAUUGAAUUUACUGGGUAGCAGUUAAACUUAAAAGCAUAAUACUAUUCUCAAAAAUAACAAAAACAAAUAUACUAUUAAUACAAAGGGAACGACACACAAAAUUACACAUAACAGAAACCAAAACAACAGUGCGCAACGAUGGAUCACCCACGCACGGAUCACGCAACCGAGGUCCGACCAGACACUCUUUUAUUAUACAGACUGGCAUUUACUUAUAGUUAUGUGAAACGGGAUGAUUAUCUACUCGGCGUGGCCACCAGGAAGCUUUUCUUUGAUCUUGUCCAUCAUGUUCUUCUUUUCCUGGGGCUCUCCGGUGCGCCCAGUCCCACCAUAAGCUGCAGCAGUAGUUGACGUGUCAUGAGAAUACUGGUCAUCCCUAUUCCCACCUGGCAGCUUCUUCUUGAUCUUGUCCGUCGUACCCUUCUCCUGGUGUUGCUCGCCUACUUUGUAAGUCGUCCCACCACCGUAAGGGGUAGUGGUCUGCGUUCCACCAGAGUACUGGUCAUCCUUGUUACCACCACCUGGUAGCUUCUCCUGGCGUUGCUCUCCUACCUUGUAAGUCGUCCCACCACCGUAAGGGGUAGUGGUCUGCGUUCCACCAGAGUACUGGUCAUCCUUGUUACCACCACCUGGUAGCUUCUCCUUUAUCUUCUCUUUCAGUCCCUUCUUCCUUCUCCCACCUAGCCCAUCAUCUUCAGACGACUACAAUAAUAGAAUGUUAGUUAGACCUGGUUACAAAAAAUAUAUGUAAAUAUAAUGCACAUAUGAUACUUGAAUACAAAGAAAUUGUUCCAUCUAGUAAGAUAAAAUGUUGAUGCAAUAUUUGAAUUUGAAGCAUUGAUUGUGUUGAUAUUCGAAAAACCAAAAUGCGCAGAUACAUAAGUUAUGUGAACAAAAUACGCUAAUUUCCGAAUAGCAUUGUUCGAGAUAAGACAUUUAUACUGUCAAAUAUUGUGUUAUUAAUUUAGAUCACUGAUUAAGUUCACCAUAGUACGCACAGUUUUUCUUGCAAAAGUACUAAAUUGGACAAGCGAAAAUUGUUGCUUGUCUGGUUUUCCUAGUAACAUACGUCUAGGGAAAAGUUUGUUCAUAGUGCCCACAUAUUUGCAGCAUAGCUCAUGCAUUUAAUGAAUUAAGUUGGAACUACAUAUAUAUGGAGGUGAAAAGAGAUGAACUUACAGAGCUAGAGCUUCCUGAGCGCUGAAGCACAGCGGGGCCGCCAUGAUGCCCAACAAUCCCUUCAUCACGAGUCUUAGGAUCAGCAGUCCCGUAGCCGGUAUUAGUCCGACCGUGUUGAACCGCGUUCCCGAACUCGUCGGUCCUAUCGGCUCCUGCGCUACCGUUGUAAGUUGGGUUCCCGAAGUACUCCUCGGUAGUUUUUUCGGCUGUUGUAUUACCAUAAUUCGACAUAUUUCAAAAGAUAAACAAACAAAUGAAACUGUAAUAACAAUGCCUUGCGAAGUUGCGACUAAUAAAACUUCAGUGACAAUACUUAUGAUUUGUUUGGGAUGAUGUGUUUAAUUUGGGUCUGGGUUCGUUGGUUUAUAUAGACAACUGACCUGCACCAGCAGGGCAUGCAAAUAUGGUUGUGAGCGUAAGUGCUUUUUAACAACUUGGAGACGUGGCACUGAGAGGAAAAUGAUGACAGGUGAAAAAUUAACGUCGGCAAGAUAUUUUGUUGCUUUUUGGGUCGGGCAUAUGGAUAAAGAAUGAUAUACAUAUCUGUUCCAUUAGUGACCAUGGAUUUGGUGACACGUGCCCUCCGUACCUGUUCCACUAGCUAGCUCCACGUGGAUACUCUCUUUUGGUUCUAGCCUUCUAGGUCAUAUUGUCUAGUAAUUUCAAAUGAGAAGUGCACUUCAAAAAUUACACUUUACAUUUCUAAUAAAUGUAUUUUUCUUUUUUAAUAUAUAAAGUUUUAAGUUUAGAAUGAGAUUUUUUGAAUGCUAAUAACAAUUCUCUUUCAAAUUUAAUCUAUAGUUUCUCAAGAAGCCUAUAGUCAUAAGACUCAUAACUUAAAGCCAUUACGAGAUGAUUUAGAGAUGAAUUUUAAAUUUAUAUUCUACGUAACAUGUUUUAAGUUCAAUUUCUACGACUGAUAAAUUGUACGAUGAUGAUAAGAGAAAACUAAAUUACCUCUGUAAGCUUUUUUCAUUCUUAAAAAGACAAACUACUGUAGUGAAGUUACCAACCUGUUCGUUUUUAAAAGAAAAAAAAUGCAAACUCACAACUUUGCUGGGAAACUGAGAGCUUUUUGACUAGGUAAUUUGGCAUGUCUGUUGGUGAUAGCCUUCUAGGUCUUCUUGAUCUUACCGACACUAUCCUACGAGUUAUUUUCUCGUUUUAAUUUUUAUUUAGAUUACAAUAUUCACAUACUGUUUUUUACACAAAAAUUAAUUUGAGUAUGAUCCCAUUUUUUUUUUUACAAUAUUCACAUAGUUUUUUUUUUACUUUUCACACAUAUUUCUUAAUUUUCAAUUAUUUAAUUAAAUAAAUUGAAGAAGAUCUAUGACGAAAAAUUAACAAAAGUGUGUUAAUAGAACUUUUCUAACUUAGACAUAUCUCGACAGACUUGGCACCAUUAAAUCUUCUGCUCCACACUAAUUUUAUACACUCCAAAUAAAAGUGAUAUUUUUUACAUAAAAUUAAUUUGAGUGUGAUCACAUUUUUAUGUCAUAUUGAUGUACUAUAUAAUGUAACAAAUGAUGCAGGUAUAUAAUUAGCAUCUAAUGAUAUAAAAUUUAUUAAUUAAUCUUGUUGAUGCACAAAAUCGGUGAGGACUUUGGUACAACAGAAAGUGUUAAGUUUGUGACCUUCGCUAAAUUGCUCUGGUCACUAGUGUGGAUAAGUAUGUAAAUGGAUAGAGACAGGGAAGCAAACAUAAGAUGUACGUGGUUCACCCAGAUUGGCUACGUCCACGAAGUAGAUGAGUUCUCAUUAAUUGUGAAGGGUUUACACAAGUACAUAGGUUCAAGAUCUCCUUUAGUGAGUACUAGUGAAUGAUUUAAUACAAAUUACAUUAGGAAAUAUUGUGAGAGAAUGAUCUUUAUUUAUAGAAGAGAAUUUCUAGUUUCAUUCUGACAUUGACACGUGUCAUGUUGUGAUUGGCUUUUGAUGUUGACACGUAUCACGCUAUGAUUGGCUUCUGAUGUCGACACGUGUCGCGCUGUGAUUGGCCUCCUGGUUGGAGGGAAACUCUUCUGGGUCCUUGACGGUAUAACGUUGAUCGGUGCUCAGUAGUUUCGGGAUUGGUCAAGUGUGGUACAAACAGUGCUCCCCUAAGUUCCCGAGUGAGGGAAGCUCCUCGGUUGGGGACUUGCAAGAUCCAAGCCAUUGAGUAAUCACAAAACUUCUAAGUACCGAAGUGUGGUAUCAUUUUCACUUGCCUUAUCCGUCUCAUACGUAGAUGUGGCAUCUUCUCUGGAAGUACUUUUCCUCCAUCCAGGGGUGGUAUCUUUAACCGAUGAAGAUGCACAAGGUAAUGUAUCAAUUUCACUUGAAGCUUACUUGUAGUUUCGAGCUUGGUCAAGUGCGAUACAAAACCCUAUGGUAGGAGUCCCCCAAGUCGCCAAGCUAAGAGAUUUGCUGAAAGAGGUAACAGACAAGGUAAGCAAUCCGACUUCCAAGCAAGCAACCUGGAUCGGAGGUUCGACUUCGGCUUCCGGUUGAUUUUUCUCCUUCUCCUUGUGUCGUAAACAGCAACAAUGAUAAGGAGAAGCAAAUGGAGAAGAGAUGAUAUAAGAUACUUUUUCUUUUGAAGAAGUAAUUUUCCACAGGCUUAUUCUUAAACUGGGCAUGAGGGUUUUCUGGUUUCCUCCAGAGUAUAAGGCCGACUCAAGAAUUUGAGGGUCAAAACAAAUCCAUCAAAUCAAGAGUGCGUUUGACCUUGAUGAUAUGGGAUACUUUUGUUGUUGACGAAGUAAUAGAUGAAUUAGCAUGUGUUCUAUUGCGAUUGUCUCCAUAUGCUUCCUUGUAUCAUUCUCACUUGCCCUAUUUGUUCCUCAGGCAGAUGUGGUAUCUUUUCUGGAAGCAUAAGAUGUUGAAGAUGAGUACUCGAGAGCAAUGCCAGGUAAGUAAUCAGGCAAGGGGUUCUAGGCAGUCAGUUCCUGACUGGAAGCUUGAUUCCAAGUGCUGAUUGAUUGCUUUCUUUCUUCUUGUCUUGCAGUUAAGAACAAUGGCAAAGGAAAAGACAGGGAAAAGGCAUGAUAUGGGAUACUCUUGCUUUUGACCCUGAUGAUAUAAGAUACUCUUGCUCUGGUGUGGCUGGUUUGCAUAGGUAUUAUUGGGGGAGGAAGAAAGCUGAGUAUUUCGAGAGGCUUCGUUGGGAAUGCCCUAUCAGAUAUGAGGAAAAGUUAAGCAUUUUUGCAGGUCUGCCUAUCCGUGGAGGAUGGAGUUCGACAUAUAUAGGAGUCUCCCUAACAACAAGUAGUAAUGUUAUUCCUUUACCCUUCUUGGUCGUAGCAAUGUAAUGGGAGCUGCAAGCUUCACGUGUUUUAACUUUGUUAGAGCACUUUGAAAAAGUGGUAUGUGGUAUUUAGAAAGCUGAUGUUGCGUGUGAAGAUUGCAGACAAGCUUUAUCCAAGGAAAUCUGGCUCUCGAAGUUCGGAGAGCGAUGUCUCUUUGGUUUUCGAACAAGCAAUCCUGUCAGGGAUUUGGCUCUCGAGAUUUGGAGAGUGGUACCUCUUCGAUUUUUGAGAAAGUAAUCCUGUUGGGAGUCUGGCUCUUGAGAUUCGGAGAGCGGUGCCUCUUCGAUUUUUGAGAAAAUAAUCUUGUUGGGAGUCUGGCUCUCGAAAUUCGAAGGGCGGUGCCUCUUCGAUAGCAAGUAAUAAUGUUAUUCCUUUACCCUUCUUGGUCAUAGCAAUGUAGUGGGAGCUGCAAACUUCACAUGUUUUAACUUUGUCAGAGCGCUUUGAAAAAGUGGUCUGUGGUAUCUGGAAAGCUGAUGUUGCGUGUGAAGAUUGCAGACAAGCUUUAUCCAAGGAAAUCUAGCUCUCAAAGUUCGGAGAGCGGUGCAUCUUUGGUUUUCGAAUAAGCAAUCCUGUCGGGGAUCUGGCUUUCAAGAUUCAGAGAACGGUGCCUCUUCGAUUUUUGAGAAAGCAAUCCUGUUGGGAGUCUGACUCUUGAGAUUCGGAGAGCAGUGUCUCUUCGAUUUUUAAGAAAGUAAUCUUGUUAGGAGUCUGGUUCUCGAGAUUCGGAGAGUGGUUCCUCUUCAAUUUUUGAGCAAGCAAUCUUGUUGGUAGUGUUUUCUCGAAUGUGAGUAAAGGUUGGGCAUUUUUGCCAGUCUGUCUUUCCACAGAGCACGGAGGUUGACACACAUUGAGACUUUCUAGUUAUUAAGCAAUGGUGCUGUUCCUUUACCCUUGUGGGUAAUAGUAGCGUAGCUAGACCUUCAAAAUUUAUGUGUCUAAACUUUUUCAGAGAUCUUUGGCAAAGUUAUUUGUGGUGCCUGAGGAGCUGAUGUUGCAUGUGGAAAGUGGUGCUUCUUCGGAAUCUGGAAAGUGGUGCAUCUUCGAUUUUUGAACCAACAGCCAUGUUGCUCUUUUUUUUAUAAGGGCACCAAUUGUGUGCAAGGAGUACAUUCAGAGAGUUAUUGCUUGUAGGAAUUUUCCCCUUACUUCAGAGAUUUAUUGCACCUCAUUUCUCCUUCAUCAUUUCUGAGAAUGUCUGGCCCAUCCGACCGUCGUUUUGACUUGAACUUUGGUGAAGAGGCAGCCAUGCCUUCUCAAGACAACAUACGACACCCAUCCUUCUUAUCUCCUACUGGUCCUCUUACCGUUUGGAACUCUGUGAUGAAGAAUGAUAUGACCGCUGCGGUGGUGGCCAAAAACCUUCUCACUCCCAAAGAUAACAGACUAUUUUCCAAAUGGUCUGAUGAGUUGGCUGUUAAGGAUUCUUUGGCUCUCAGUGUUCAGUGUGCAAGUUCUGUGUCUAAUAUGGCCCAACGCCUAUGUGCUCGAACCCGCCAAGUUGAAUCAUUGGCGGCUGAAGUGAUAAGUCUCAAAUAGAAGAUCAGAGGGCUCAAGCAUGAGAAUAAACAGUUGCACAUGCUCGCACAUGGCUAUGCUACAAACAUGAAAAGGAAGCUCGACCAGCUGCAGGAAUCUGAUUAUUAGAUUUUACUUGAUCAUCAGAGGUUUGUGGGUUUGUUCUAAAGGCAUUUAUUACCUUCGUCUUCUGGGGCUGUACCGCGUAAUGAAGCUCCAAAUCAACCUUCGGUGCCUCCUCCUUCUGGGGUUUUGCCUAGUACUGAGGCUCCGAAUAAUCACCCUCUAGUGCCUCCUCUUUUUGGGGCUCUGCUGACUGCUGAGACUUCUCCUAAGCAACCUUUGUGAAGGCUCCCUCUUGUUUGUUUAUUUUGAUUCAUGUCUAUGUACAUAUUUGUAACUUAUUGGAGAUAUCAAUAAACAAGCUUUGCUUCAUUUCAACGUAUUGUGUUAAAUACACCAAGACCUUCUUCACUAAGUUUCUUGAAUUUUUCCUUUUGUUGAAGCUUGUAUGUUGAAGCUUUGUGAGUGAAGCAUGUAGGUUGAGGUAAUGCUCCCUCCCUUAAUUUCCUAAGUGAGGAAAACUUCUCGGUUGGAGACUUGAAAAAAUCCAAGUCACUGAGUGGUCGUGAGACUUCCGAGUAUCAAGGUGCAGUAGCAUAUGGUAGGAGUCCCCGAAGUCUCUGGUUGAGGGAGUUGACGAAGGAGGUGUCUUGCUAGUAGCCAAGUUUCCAAAGUAACAAAACUUCACAAUUUUCCUUUCUAAGUGGUAGCCCAAAACUCUUUUUUCAUAUAUAUUUGUUAUAAAAGUUGUUAGGCCCAAAGAAGAGGAGGCCUAGGCUUUUUUAUUUUUUUUUCAAUUUUUUUUUGUUUUAAAUUUUCGAAUUUUUGAAUUUCCGAAUAUAUAUAUAUAUAUAUAUAUAUAUAUAUAUAUAUAUAUAUAUAUUUUAAGCUUUAUAGGUGAAGCUUUGUGGGUGAAGCUUUGAGGUUGAAGCUUUGUUGGGUACCAUGAAUUGAUUUUGCUUCACACUAUCUUGAUCAAGAUAGUGUGAAGUUUUUGUAGGUGAAGCUUUUGUGUUGAUGCUUUGUAGGUGAAGUUUUUGUGGUGGGUGAAACUUUUGUUGGUGAAGUUUUUAUGGGUAAAGCUUUUUGUGAUGGGUGAAACUUUUGUUGCUGAAGCUUUUAUGGGUGAAGCUUUUGUGGUGGGGGAAGUUUUUGUGGUGGGGGAAGCUUUUGUGGGUGAAGCAUUUGUUGGUGAAGCUUUUAUGGGUGAAGCUUUUGUAGGUGAAGCUUUUGUGGUGGGUGAAGCUUUUGGAGGUGAAGCUUUUGGGGGUGAAGCUUUUGUGGUGGGUGAAGCUGUUGUGGGUGAAGAUUUUGUUGGUGAAGCUUUUAUGGGUGAAGCUAUUGUGGGUGAAGCUUUUAUGGGUGAAGCUAUUGUGGGUGAAGCUUUUAUGUUGAAGUUUUGUGGGUAAAGCUUUUGUGUUGAAGCUUUGUAGGUGAAACUUUGGAGUUAAAGCUUUGUAGGUGAAGGUUUUUUUUUGAAGCUUUUGUAGGUUGAGCUUUGGAGUUGAAGCUUUGUAGGUGAAGCUUUGGAGUUGAAGCUUUUGUUGGGUACCAUGAAUUGAUUUUACUUCACACUAUCUUGAUCAAGAUAGUGUAAAGCUUUUGUUGGUGAAGCUUUUGUAGGUGAAGCUUUAGAGUUGAAGCUUUUGUUGGGUACCAUGAAUUGAUUUUGCUUCACACUAUCUUGAUCAAGAUAGUGUGAAGCUUUUUUUGGUGAAGCUUUUGUUGGUGAAGCUUUUGUAGGUGAAGCUUUUGUUGGUGAAGCUUUGAAGUUGAAGCUUUGUAGGUGAAGCUUUGGAGUUGAAGCUUUUGUUGGGUACCAUGAAUUGAUUUUGCUUCACACUAUCUUGAUCAAGAUAGUGUGAAGCUUUUGAGAAUUUAUAGUUGUCCUCCAUUGAUGAAGCUUUUGUUGGUGAAGCUUUUGGAGUUGAAGCUUUUGUUGGGUACCAUGAAUUGAUUUUGCUUCACACUAUCUUGAUUAAGAUAGUGUGAAGCUUUUGAGAAUUUCUAGUUGUCUUCCAUUGAUGAAGCUUUUGUUGAUGAAGUUUUUGUGGUGAAGCUUUGUUGGGUACCAUGAAUUGAUUUUGCUUCACACUAUCUUGAUCAAGAUAGUGUGAAGACUUUUGAGAAUUUGUAGUUGUUCUCUAUUGAUGAAGCUUUGUUGAAUUUCCUUUUUUUUUUUUUUUUUUUUUUUGGGAAACUAGAAAUUUGAAAAUUUGGGAGAGACAAUAUAUACAAAUUUUGCUUCCACACUGUUGAGUAAGAGAUUGUGAUGCAAGCCACACCUUGUAGUAGUCGAAGGUUUGGAUGAACCAUAUAAAUUGAAUUUGCUUCGAAGGUUUAAGAAUUGUAGUUGCCCUCUAUUGAUGAAGCUUUUGUUGGCACCACAAAUUGGUUUUGCUUCACACUAUCUUAAUUAAGAGUGUGUGAAGCUUUUGAGAAUUGUGGUUGUCCUCCAUUGAUGAAGCUCUUGUUGGCACCAUAAAUUGGUUUUGCUUCACAUUGUCUUGAUCAAGAGUGUGUGAAGCUUUUGAGAAUUGUGAUUGAACUCCUUUGAUGAAGCUUUUGUUGGCACCAUAAAUUGGUUUUGCUUCACACUGUCUUGAUCAAGAGUAUGUAAAGCUUUUGAGAAUUGUGGUUGCCCUACAUUGAUGAAACUCUUGUUGGCACCAUAAAUUGAUUUUGCUUCACACUGUCUUGAUCAAGAGUGUGAAGCUUUCUACGAGUUGUAGUGUUUGGAUUGUUACAGAGGGGAAAUGUCUGAAGCAGAUGCAAGAGAGCUGAAUAGCUUGAUCUUCGUAUGCCAUGCACUGAAGUUGUUGUUGACUUGUAAUAAGACUUUGUUGGUGACUAUAACUCUUGUUGGGCAUAAGUGCUCCCCUAGUUAAGUUGUCAAGCUUGAGGGUUUUUUAUUAUUUGUGAAUGCUAAGAGUUCACAUGUAUAAGUUAUACCACACAUCUUCUAGUAGGUGGAAUGAAUGGUGAGUUGCUUUCAUCACUUGGUUGGUGGUACGAAGGUGAGUUCCUUCAUCACCUUUCAUCACAUUUCAUCACCUGGUUGGUGGAACGAGGAUGAGUUCCUUCUUCACCUGGUUAGUGGCAUGAAUGGUAAGUUGCCAAAUGAUAUUAGAGUACGGGUUGUACAUAUCACAUGGUUGGUGGCAUGAAGAUGAGUUCCUUCUUCACCUAGUUGGUGGCAUGAGUGGUAAGUUGCCAAAUGAUAUUAUAGUACUGGUUGUACAUUUCAUCACCUGGUUGGUGGCAUGAAGAUGAGUUCCUUCUUCAUAUUUCAUCACCUGGUUGGUGAGAAUAAGGGCAAGGUGUCGAGGCACAUUGUAGCAAGUGUCAAGGACACAAAGUAUGUUGAACCCUUUCGAAGCACAGUUGGCUUAUGUAUGGAUGUGUUGGAAUGUAUAAUAUUUAUGUUGAUUGAUAUAAGUGAUGCUUAUGAAUGUUUUGCUAUGCAUGAAGGGAUUCAUGCUUUUGAUAUGUGAACCAUGUUGGUUGUAACACUUAGUAUCACAUACUUUGUGUCAAAGUACGCAUGUUGAAGCUCUGAGUUUGAGUAUAAGGGUAGGUCAGCAUAGACCCAGUGUUCCAGUGCUAGGAACGCAAAAGACUCAGAAGAAGUUCUCUGAAUUCCCUCUUCUUUAAAUAUUUUCCGAAUGACUUGUGUGACAAAAGAUCUCAAGCGGUUGAGGGUUAAAACAUUUGUAACGUGUAUGCCUUCUUAUAAUAGCAUUUCCUUCAGUACUUAGUCAUCCACUUUGAAAGAGUAAGGCUGACCCUAUAGUCAUAAUAGUCGACAGUACGUUCACCCCUGGUUGUCUUGAUACAAACUUUUAUCCUUCUUGUUGUAAUGGGCUUGCUGAAAGUAAAAUCAUUUCUCUUACCAAGAGACAGAUACGUUUGGUGACUUAGCAAGUAGCUAAAUAAGGCAAGAGAUGAUACAAUGGGUGUCUGAAUGGCCAAUAUCUCAUCACUUGGUAUAACUUGACUUCCACUUCCCAUUUGUUAAUAGGGGUUAACCAUAUGGGGCUUCCCUUGGUAUGUCCUUGCUUCGGUGGAGGCGUGGUUGUAAGCAUGUGUCAUCACCUCAGAGUAAGUCUUCCAAGUGUUGGCAUUGAUCAUGUACUUGAAGAAACAAUCACGUAGGCCUGCCGUGAAGGCCUUGAAGGCGAUCUUGUCAUCUGCCUCAGCGCAUCGAGAAUACUCAUGGCUGAAGCGACCGACAUACUCUUGUAGUGACUCGUCCGGCUUCUGGCAAAUAGUGUACAAGUCAUCUACAGAAUGUAAGUGAUCGGUCUAGAAGAUGUAUUGAGAGGCAAACAGUUUCCUCAAUUCCUCAAAUGAGUCUACUGUCUCAGGUAGAAGACGGCAAUACUAGUUUAGAGCUCCGCCAGAGAGGGUGGAGGGGAAGAGAAGACGUCGCUUUUCGUCGGUGUGUAUCCGAUAUGUCAUGGUGGACUCAAAGAGGUUAAGGUGUUUAAUUGGGUCAUCCCUUCCAGUAUAGAGUUGUAAACCAAGCUUUUGUUUUGUCUUUGCUUGAAUGGGGUGUCGAGGAUCUUUCUUGUGAGAGGGCCAUGCCGGGGUUGGUUCCAGUCAGGUAUCUUGGCCUGACGUUCGGCCUUCAACUUGUUUACUUCCUCAAUGAGCUUUAGGACAAGGGGGUCAUGAGUGGAGUUAUGUACCACUGGAAUUUUCUUUCGUAAGUCUCAAUCGCCUCUUGGAAGUAAGAAAGUUUGAGCAUGGGCAUGUGGUUUUUUCUUCGACUCGCCGUACUGACUUAUAUGGCGAGUAUAUCGGAAUACCUCAGAGUCCCCCGUACUUUCAUGCUUCUCUGGGACCUGUUGUUCCUUCCCUACAUUGGCAGCUGGCCUAGGUUAUGGGAGGGGACCGAAUCUUUCAGAAACCCUUGGGUCAUUGAUCUUCGAGCAUAUGUGGAAGGGAUUCUCUCGACGUUGCUUUAGGAAGUCUCGGUAGUCACGAUAAACGGCUUUCGAUCCUUCCAACCUUUCUGCAAGGAGGUGUCUUCUUCCACUUCUUUUACUUCGGGUCGAAACAUCUGGGUUGAGAGAAAUCUCAUGUUGAUCAAUGUUUUGAUGAUUAGCUCGCUCCUCAUCAGGGAUACCCAUGUCGAAUGGAGGUGACCCUCUGUGUUGAGGGGCACCCAGAUGAUGGUUAAUGUCCACAAGGACAACGAGCUCGCAUGUUUGAGUACACCUAGUUUCAUGGAGCAUCUCAAAGAGCUUCUCAUACUGCUCCUAGAGGACCUCAUUCUUCAUUGCUAUCUUGUUGUUCUGAGCUUCUAGCUUAUCAACUUUAGCUUGAAGAGCAACCUAUUUCCUUCGUUCUUUCGUUGCUUCACACUAGAUGCAAGAGAGGUGUCAUUCUGUGUGCUGUGGCUUCCUUCGCUCUACAUGUUGGAAAUGGAUGCCUGGUCAAAAAAGAGUGUAUGAAUGGUGGAAACCAGCUUGGCAAAGCUGAAGAGAGUGGGAAUAAGUGUCUUUCCCACAGACGGCGCCAAAUGUUGAUGCACAAAUUCGGUGAGGACUUUGGUACAACAGAAAGUGUUAAGUUUGUGACCUUCGCUAGAUUACUCCGGUCACUAGUGUGGAUAAGUAUGUAAAUGAAUAGAAAUAAGGAAGCAAACACAAGAUGUACGUGGUUCACCCAGAUUGGCUACGUCCACGGAGCAGAUGAGUUCUCAUUAAUUAUGAAGGGUUUACACAAGUACAUAGGUUCAAGCUCUCAUUUAGUGAGUACUGGUGAAUGAUUUAGUACAAAUGACAUUAGGAAAUAUUGUGAGAGAAUGAUCUUUAUUUAUAGAAUAGAGUUUCUAGUUUCAUUCUGACAUUGACACGUGUUGUAUUGUGAUUGGCUUCUGAUGUUGACACGUGUCACGCUAUGAUUGGCUUCUGAUGUCGACAUGUGUCGCGCUGUGAUUGGCCUCCUGGUUGAAGGGAAACUCUUUUGGGUCCUUAACAGUAUAACGUUGAUCGGUGCUCAGUAGUUUCGGGAUUAGUCAAGUAUGGUACAAACAAAUCUAAUAUGUAUAAUUUGUCACAUCAAGUGAUACAUAAAAAAUGGUGCAAAAAUUUCUCAACAUUUUCUUUGACAUAAAUGUGUUCAAAUAGUAUUAUUUUCAAGCACAUCAGUAUUCAUUCAAAAGUAGCUCGUCCUUUUUUUAUUUGCUAUUUUUGUUUUGAAUAUACCCUCCUUCCAUUUUCACUAUAUAUAUUAUUUAUUUUUUAGAAAAAAAGGAGACAAUUGGUGGUAAGUCAUUUUAUCUACUCCUUUUGAGUCCGAAAAGACUAUGGAAAUUUUCACUCUGCUCGUGACUACAGUCAAACAAACUACUCAGUUCAGAGCAUCGAACUCAGGACCUUCCAUAUUUUUUUGUUUUUUGGGGAGCUGCAAUCUAUGCCCUUACCACUGAGUCACUUGCUGUGGUUUUCCAUUUUCACUAUCUACUCUCUACGUUUAAGUGUGGAUUACAGAGUCCUCAGCGAAUUAGAGUUAACUAAUUCAAAAUUAUUUUAGUCAUUAUUGCAGGUAUAUAAGAUUGUACUUUUUAAUUGUAAUUAGUGUAAGAUUCUUAUUUAAAUAGGAUUAAUAUAACCAUUUAUCCACCCUUGGACUUCGUCGGACAAUGAUCAUACUCCACUAGCUAGUUCAAUGGAGGCGUUGUACAAUUAAAGAAUUGGGUGUUUAUUUAACUUAACUUUUUGAUUAAUGAGAUUACAAAUCAAACAACGCUUAAACAGAAACCAGAGUUUUAUUGCUCUAUUUGCACAUUUGUCUUAUUUAAUUUGUUCAAUUCUAUUGAUUCCUUUGAUUCAACGUGAUCUAAUCUGGAGUUUAAUUAUCUCAAUUUGUUCAUUUAUCUUGGAUUAAUUAUUUUUACUUGACUAAUUGUUGGAUUGGUUGGUUGUUGAUAUGGGAAGGUGUUGCAUGGACGAAGGAGAAGGACAAGCUGUUCUUGGUGGAUUAACUCUAUAAUCAUUUGAUCAUAUGAAAACAUGGGAUCCUCACAACAGCCAGUUUUCUCCCAGGAAGCGUCGCUCUCUCAUUCUACAACCCAUUUCGCAUUCUCCUCAUUUUUAGAAUGUAAAACCAUUCGUGCGACUCUAGAAAUCCAGAGGAGGUAGAAGGCGACAUGCACGAGAGAUUUUUCAGUGUAACCGUCACACGAGAUGGUACACCAUGUGUCGUUAUAUAAAUGGUGGGAUAUGUGUGUUAAAAAGUUAAUAACUUAAAAAAUAAAUUUUUUUACCAUUUACAUAAAAACACGUGGUGUACCACUCGUGUUCCUGCCACAACUAAAAAUCUAGCACUUUAGGGGGGAAAACUGAUCUCGCUUCUCCAAAGAAAGAUUAAUCCGAUAACGAUUCCAUGCACUAGAGAGUUGAUAGGGCCGUUUCAGUGGCCAGAAAAAGAAAACAAAGAAGUAAGAGAUGGAUUUCCAUUGCAGAAAAUAUUUGACUUGAUGGGUACACUUAAAUAAUUUUGCAGGCCACAUACCACAAGGGAUAAGAUGCAUCAGUUUUCCACCCGACUACUUUUUGAGAAGAAUGUUUCAGCCAGGAAGAUUUUCUAUCUUCUUCAACAACACAACCAAUGCAGACGUGAGUGGUAAGAUGUCGUACAAAGACAUGGUUUUUCUCCAUACUCUUAUGUAUUCCUCGGUUUGUUAGAAACAUCAGCCAAAAACACUCUUAAUCUUCGAUUAAUAAUUUAAUAUUACUGUCCCCCCCUUUGCCCAAAAGCACUUAUGGCCCAAGCAAUCAUUUUUUUCUUCUAUUCAAUAUCUAUCUUACAUGAUUACUAUAAUCUUGUGUAUUUUGGAUUGUGAAGGUUCAUAUUAUAUAACUCAAUCAUAAGAAGGUCGACUUCAUUUUACAUUUGUAAUCAGUUUCAUUUUCUCCCCAGUUGCGCAAGAUUUUACCAUAUAAUUGAUUGUUGCUUAUCUAUAUAUUGAAGAUUCGGAUAGACGCCAAAGACUUUAUAUAUGUUUAGAAGAGAAUGAUUUUGUUUGGAAUGAAUGUGUCUUUAGUCAUCUCUCACGGAUGGAUUUAUAAGAUGUUACAAUCCUAUCAUUAAGGAAAGAAAUAAUUUACAUAAAAUCAUAAUAAACUAAGAAUCCCAAGAUUACAUGAAUAUAUACACAAAAGUCAACAUUCCCCCUCAAGUUGGUGCAUAUAUAUCACACAUGCCCAACUUGUGUAAGAAAAUUGAAAAUUUAUGACUUGAAACAGCCUUUGUGAGAAUAUCUGCUAACUGAUGGUCUGUUCUUAUUGUCGGUACCUCAAUUAUCUUCCUUUCUAAUUUUUCUUUGAUAAAGAAUCGAUCAACUUCAACAUGCUUUGUUUUAUCAUGUUGUACCAGGUUAUGUGCAAUGUCACAGGCAGUUUUGUUAUCACAAAAUAAUUUCAUAGGUUGAUCAUGUUCCAUACCCAUAUCUCUUAACAAAAGCUUAAGCCACAAAAUUUCACAAAUCUCCAAGGCCAUACCUAUGUAUUCAUCUUCUGCACUGGAACAGACAACCACAUUUUGUUUCUUACUCCUCUAUGUAACCAAGUUACCCCCAACUAAUGUAAAGUAACCUAAUGUUGAGCGUCUGUCAUCCACUAAACCUACCCAAUCUGCAUCAGUAUAACCUUCAAUUCUAAGAUUCUUAUUCUUUUUAAAUAAAUUUUCUUUUCCUGGACUUCCGUUCAAAUACCGCAAGAUUCUCAUCACUGCGUUCAUAUGUUGUUCUCCAAGAUCAUGCAUGUAUUGACUCACUACACUUAAGGCAUAGGCAAGGUCCGGUCUUGUAUGUGCCAAGUACAUUAAAUGUCAUACUAACCUUUGGUAUCUUCCUUUGUCUAAUGGCACUUGAUUAGGAUCAACGCUAAGCUUUAAUCCUUCCUCUAAUGGUGUAGUUACCAGUUGGCAAGCUGACAUGCCGAUUUCGUGCAACAAAUCAAUAAUAUACUUCCUCUGAGACAAGAAAAUUCCAGAAGUACUUCUCGACACUUCAAUCCCUAGAAAAUAUUUUAGGGAUCCAAGGUCCUUCAUCUCAAAUUCUUUAAACAUGUAUCUUUGCAAGGCCGUACGUUCUUCCGGAUAUUUUCAUGUUAUCACCAUAUCAUUUACAUACACAAUGAGUGCAGUAAGCCUCCCAUUUUUCCUUUUCAAAAAUAGAGUAUGAUCAAAGUUACUUUGUCUAUAACCAAACGCUCUCAUAGAUUUUGUGAAUCUUCCAAACUAUGCUCGAGGAGACUGUUUCAAACCAUACAAGGAUUUCUUCAACCUGCACACCUUUCUCUUGUAAUUAUUUGGAGCAUUACAUUCUGGUGGAAGAUCCAUAUAAAUCUCUUCUGUCAAAUCUCCAUGCAAGAAGACAUUUUUCACAUCGAACUGCUGUAAAGGCCAAUUAAGAUUUGCAGCCAAGGACAACAAAACACGGAUUGUGUUGAUUUUGGUCACAUGAGCAAAAAUAUCUGUAUAAUCGAUUCCAUAUUUUUAAAUGUACCUUUUUGCUACCAGUCUUGCCUUGAAGCGAUCUCCCGUCCCAUCAGCUUUGUAUUUUACAAUAUAGACUCAUUUGCAUCCCAUAGGUUUUUUACCAGCUGGCAAGUCUGUGAUCUCCCAGGUAACAUUCUUCUUUAAAGACUUCAAUUCUUCAUCCAUUACUGCUUGCCAACGUGGAUCAGCUAAAGCCUUCUGCACAAUGUUAGGAAUAGAUAUAGUAGAUAAUUGAUAUACAAAUGACUUACUUGAGUCUGACAUGUGGCUGGUAGACACAACAUUACUUAACGGGUAUAACACAUUAGAUUUUGGGUUUGGUCUAUUAAUUAGGUACCUAGUUUUGCAUUUAAGGUCUGCUUCGCAAGUAAGUUUAGGAAUACCUUGGUUGACACAGUUAGGGAGACAACAUGGUGGUGGUGUAUCCGGGAGCGAAGAUAAUUGAUUAUGGAUAUUAGGGCUCAAAGGUGGUGAGACCGAUUGUGAGAUAGCAGGCAUCACUGAGUUGUUCAAUGGUGAGGAAGUUGGCAAAGAGUUGUCCAAUGGUGAAGAAGGUACAACAUUUUCCAGCUGUGUCGGUUCGUCCCUUUCGAAGUUUUCAACAUUGUUUUCAUGUGAAUGAUCACCACUUAACUCCAAGACAUCACCACCUAAUUCCAAGUUAUUCACAUCAUUAUUUUCUUGUGAAUCAUCACCACUUGUCCAAGACAUCACCGCUUAAAUCCAAAUGAUUCACAAUAUUAUUUUCUUGUGAAUCAUCACCACUUGUCUCCAAUAUAUCACCAUUUAAAUCCAAAUGAUUCACAAUUUCUAUAUCAGGAAUAGUAUAAUCAAGAGUUUGAACUUCUACUUGAUUCUGUCCAUGAAGUCCAGACUCGGAAUGGACAAAGUACAUAUCGUUUUCAUGAAAUACAACAUCCACAGUGACAAACAACUUAGUCGGAGGGUGAUAGUAGCGAUAUCCUUUUUUAUUUGAGGCAUAACCCACAAACAUACACAGUAAGGCUUGAGGUUCAAGCUUACUCAUCUGUUGUUUAUUGUGAUGAACGAAGGCCACACAGCUAAACGCAUAAGGUGGAAGAUUUGGUACUACAUGAGCAUCAACAUGUGAAGAGAGAACCUGAAGUGGUGUUUGAAAAUCAACUGACCGGGAUGGAACAUGAUUAAUGAGAUACACAUAUGAGGUGAGAACUUCUCCCCAAUAUGACAACGGGAGACAUGCCUCGAGUAAGGAAGCAUGAACAAACUUCAGAAGGUGACGGUUCUUAUGUUCUACAACUCCAUUUUGUUGUGAAGUAUAUGGACACAUAGUUUGAUGAACGAUACCCUAAUGUUCCCAAAAGGCACAAAGUUCAGACUUCACAUACUCGCCACCAUUAUCACUUCUGAGAACCUAUAUUCGUGACUUAUAUUGCACUUGCACCAUUUUGUGAAAUUGCUUGAACAAGGAAGUAACUUCACUUUUGGACUUCAUCAAACAAACCCAAGUCAUACAUGUGCAAUCAUCAAUAAAAGUAACAAACCAAUAACCACCACCAAAUGUAGCAGUUUUAGAUGGUCCCCAAACAUCAAAAUGGAUUAUCAUAAAUGGAACAUAACUUUUUGUCAAACUGGGCGAAAACGAAGUACGAUGACUUUUAGCCAAUUCACAAACACCACAUUUAAAGCUAGAAACAUCAUUCUUAAGAAAUAUUUUAGGAAACAGCUUUCGUAAAUAACCGAAAGAAGCAUGUCCAAGUCUAUGAUGCCACAACCAAACCUUCAAAGCUUUGUUCUGCUCCCCUUGAGGUCCUUCCACAGUAAUAGCUUGUGUCAACAUCUGGGUACUGUUCGAUGUUAUCUCCAAGUAGUAAAGUUUCCCCUUCUAAUACCAUAACCAAUCGUCUUGCGAGUCCGAAUAUCCUUAAAGACACAAAAGGAAUGCCAAAAACUCACAAGACAAUAUAGGGCGACGGUUAUUUGAGAAAUAGAUAAUAAAUUAUAAUCAAGAGAAUGAACAACAAGCACGGUAUCAAGACUAAGGGUAUCUGAAAGGGAGACAGUUCAUUCCCCGAUAAUAGGGGCAAGAUUACAGUUGGUGACACUCACGAUAGUUUUGGUGGAUGGUUUUAAGGUUUGUACCUGUCUAGAAUCACAAGUCAUAUGUUCAGUACCACCAAAAUCAAUUAUCCACGUAUUAUUUGUAACAGAGGCAGAAACCUUUAAAGUCGUGAUUCCAAUUUCGCCCAAAGUUCUCGAGCAAAAGUCACGCCAACCGUGAAAGGAAUUAAUGAUUUAUAAAGAGUUGAAUUAAUCCAGAUAAGAAUGUUUUAAUCAUUCUCAAACCAAGUGACAUAGGCUGGAUUGAGAGUUGCAAUCUGAUUCCCUAACAAAUCAAGAAGAAAUUUGGGCACUGCCGCCAUAGUUCUAUCAAUUAGACUAGUGAGUUUGUAACAACGGAAGAUCGGAGCAAACAAAGCGUUCCAUGUCAGAUAAUUUGUAGUAGUGAGCUUGAUCGGAACCAUGGAUCCAAUAUUUUGGAUUGUAAUGGAAGAAGAAAUUGCAGAGUUAUGGUUUGGAAUUACAUUAGGAAACGAAGGAACAGGAGAAUCCGAUUUCGAAGAAGGAGAUGCAGAGGUCUCCAUAACUGUAGGUUGAAGAAGAAAGCAUGGUCAAGAUCAAGAAAUCGAUCAAUUGAUUGGAGAAGACGAAGAAAAUUAGGCGGUGCAGAGAGAAGCGGGAAAAUUGGAUCGAAGAGGUGUCGUGAGACCAAAGGUGGUUGAUACCAUAUUAGGAAAAGUAAUUUUCCAUUCAUCAAAUGAAUAACAUUACACUUUGGGUAUUUAUACAAAAGCUAUCACAACUAACAGACAAGAAAAACCUUCAAAAUUAACUAAAUUUCCUUAGUCUAUAAGCAUUAUCUCUUGUAGGUGUAAUUACAUUUGUAUUCUUAAUACAUACUUGGUACCAUACUUUUAGAAAAAUAUAUCUUAACAAUUACAAUGAAAAACAACUAACGCAAGACAUCUUUAGAGGCGCGUGAUUAGAAGAAUGAUACCAAUUGUAUAUAAAUAAACUAAAACAUAUAGCUUACAAAUGAAGCAAAAACAUGAAACCACCCACCAAUGGGAGUACUUUGUUUCUGUUUUUGUUUUUUUUAAGUUUUAAAUUUUAAAUUCAUUCAAAACUAAAAUAUGGUGAAUUACUUUUAUCUUCUUUUGGUUCAACUGUACUUUUUGAAAUUCUUAAAAGGCAAUAGGGUUUAAUGUGAACAUUAAACAUUGUACAUCGCGCAUAAUGCAUCAUAAUUAUAAAAAUGUUUUUGUAAAUAAAAAAAUUUCAUGCCCCACCGUACCACGUCGUAAUAUAAAAAUAAAAAAAAUAAAAAAAAUUAUAAAAAAAAAACCUUUCACAUGUGUAAGUAAUAAUUCAUGUACCUCAAGUUAUUAUUAGUGAAUAUCUUUUAUCUUUUAACUAUUAAUUUUCAUACAACAAUAACAACAAAGUCUUUUCCUACUAAGUGGGGUCGGCUAUAUGAAUCCUAGAACGCCAUUGCGCUCGGUUUUGUGUCAUGUCCUCCGUUAGAUCUAAGUACUCUAAGUCUUUUCUUAGAGUCUCUUCCAAAGUUUUCCUAGAUCUUCCUUUACCCCUUCGACCUUUGACCUCUGUCCCGUAGUCGCAUCUUUUAACCGGAGCGUCAAUAGGCCUUCUUUGCACAUGUCCAAACCACCGUAACCGAUUUUCUCUCAUCUUUCCUUCAAUUUCGGCUACGAUGGUUUGGACAUGUGCAAAGAAGACCUACUGACGCUCCGGUUAGAAGAUGCGACUAUGAGACAGAGGUCCAAGGCCAAAGGGGUAGAGAAAGACCCAGGAAAAUUUUGGAAGAGACACUAAGAAAAGACUGAGUACUUGGAUCUAACGGAUGACAUGACACAGAACUAAGCGCAAUGACGUUCUAUGAUUCAUAUAGCUGACCUUACUUAAUGGGAAAAAAAUUUGUUGUUGUUGUAUGAAAAUUAAUAGUUAAAAAAUAAAAGAUAUUCACUAAUAAUAACUUGAGGUACAUGAAUUAUUACUUACACAUGUGAAAGGUUUUUAUUUUUUAUUUUUUAUAUUACGGCGUGGUACGGUGGUGCAUGAAUUUUUUUUAUUUACAACAACAUUUUUAUAAUUAUGGUGCAUUAUGUUUAGGGCUGGAAAAAAAAUACCGAAAAUCCCAAACCAUACUGAAACCGAACCGAAAAAAUACCGAACCAAAAAUCCCGAAAAUUUUGAUACCAAAACCGAACUGAUCCCGAAUAUUUUGGUUUGGGAUUCGGUCUCACACUUUGAAUAAUUCGGUAUUCCCGAACCGAACUUUGCUAAUGUAACAUAUAUAUAUAUAUAUAUAUAUGUUAGUGUGUGGUGUGGUGCUGACAAAAGUAGGAUGGGUGUGUGGUGUGGUGAAGUAGGAUGGAUGGGUCAUGGGUGCUUGUUUUCUAUACAGAACUAUGUCUGUCUCUCUCUUAUUUUCUGUCUCAUCAGUCAUUUUUCUCGUAUUCUCUCUCUACAACCCAUAAACCACCUAACCCUUUAUCUUUCACUUAUUUUCCAUAUCUUCUCUCUCGUAUUGUCUCUCUCUCUCUCUCUCUCUACAACCCAGAAACCACCCCUACUCACUUCAAAACCGAAACCACCCUUCCUUCCACUCAAUCUAAAACCGAGCUGACAUCGUACUCUCUCAUUUCAUUUUGCCUUUCUCAUAUGCCUUCACUUAGUCUCAGACUCUUUCUCCUUCUCGGAUUCGAAGCUCAGCAGCCACCCACCGUUUAACAAUCUCACUCUGACGAACUGUCUCCACUCCAGCAACCACCACAUCUCACGACUUCAUCCCCACCUCUGGUUCUCUCAAGUGAUUCUCUGUGUUUGGGAUUUCGAAUUAAGGUUAGGGUUUCGAAUUGGGGCUUAGGGUUUCAAAUUGGGGGCUCGGGUCAGGACGAGGACGCAUGUCUCUCUCUUCACUCACCCUACCAUAAAUCUUCGCUAAUUCACUAUCACUACGUCUCUUAUUUCAAUUAGGAUUUUUAAUGGAGGUUCAGAUGAUUUCAAUUUCUAUCUAGAUGAUUUCAAUUAGGAUUAUUAAUGUUCAGAGUAUAUCAAAUUUUUAUUUUUUGCUUAUAGCUAUUUCGGUUUUACUAAAGUUACGUCAUACGUACCGAAUCAUUAAAUUUCACUUAGCAUAAUACAGCUCCCAGAUAUUAGCGCACACAAAUAUAUUAUUCAUACAAAGGGAACGAAACACAAAGUUACAUGUUUAACAGAAUACAUAAAAGACAGUGCUGGACGACUGCGUAUCACACAGCUGAGGUCACACACCAGGCACUACCUUAUUAUACACCAGACACAAAGUUACACGAGUAAAGAUGAUGAUCUACUUCUUGUGGCCGCCAGGAAGCUUCUCUUUGACCUUCUCCAUUAUGCCUUUCUUUUCCUGGUGCUCUCCUAUGUUCGCUGUCCCACCAUAAGUUGCAGCAGUAGUUGACGUGUCAUGAGAAUACUGGUUAUCCUUAUGCCCACCUGGCAGCUUCUCCUUUGUCUUGUCCAUCAUACCCUUCUCCUGGUGGCGCUCUCCUUCUCCAUCCUUGCUGCCACCAAAUGGCAGCUUAUCCUUUAUCUUGUCCAUUACACCCUUCUCCUGGUGGUGCUCGCCUUCUCCUGCAUAGGUGGUCCCACCGCCGUACUGUGCACCGGUGGUCGGCUUUGCAUGCAAGUACUGGUCAUCCUUGCUAGCACCGCCUGGCAGCUUCUCCUUUACCUUGUCCGUCACACCCUUUUUCUGGUGGUGCUCUCCUUCUCCUGCAUAGGUGGUCCCACCGCCGUAAUGUGCACCGGUGGUCGGCUUUGCAUGCGAGUACUGGUCAUCCUUGCUAGCACCGCCUGGCAGCUGCUCCUUCACCUUGUCCAUCACACCCUUCUUCUGGUCGCGCUCUCCUUCUCCUGCAUAGGUGGUCCCACCACCAUAAGGUGUAGCGGUCUGCGUUCCAUGAGAGUACUGGUCAUCCUUGUUACCACCACCUGGCAGCUUCUCCUUUACCUUGUCCAUCACACCCCUUUUCUGGUGGUGCUCUCCUUCACCUGUGUAGGUCGUCCCACCGCCGUAAGGUGUAGUGGUCUGCGUUCCAUGAGUGUACUGGUCAUCUUUGUUACCACCACCUGGUAGCUUCUCCUUUAUCUUUUCUUUUAGUCCCUUCUUCCUUCUUCCACCUAGCCCAUCAUCUUCAGACUACAAUAAUAGAAUGUUAGACCUUGUUACAAAAAAUAUAUGUAAAUAUAAUGCACAUAUCAUACUUAUAACCCUAAGAAAUUGUUCCAUCUGGUAAGAUAACAUGUUGAUGUAAUAUUUGAAUUUGAAACAUUGAUCGUGUUGAUAAUUGAAAAAACAAAAUGCGCAGAGAUGCAUAAAUCUAACAAGGGAACAAAAUACACUAAUUUUCCGAACAAUAUUCUUCAAGAUACGAAUUUGUAAUAUGUUAUUAAUUUAGAUCACUAAUGAGCCCAUCGUUGGUGCGCGCAAUUUUUCUUGCAAAAAUGUUAAAUUUGACAAUAGAAAAUUAUUACUUCUUUGAUUUUUCUAGCAACAUAAGUACCUCUUACAAGAAAAGUUUAUUCAUAGUACGCAUAGAUUUGUAGCAUAUCUCAUGCAUCUAAUGAAUUAACUUAGAACUACAUUUAUAUAGAGGUGAAAAGAGGAGAACUUACAGAGCUAGAGCUUCCGGAGCGCUGAAGUACGGCAGGGCCGCCAUGACGUCCAACAAUCACUUCAUCACCAGGCUUGGCAUGAGCAGUCCCGUAGCCAGUAUCAGUCCGACCGUGUUGAACCACGUUCCCUAACUCGUCGGUCCUACCGGCUCCUGCACUACCGUUAUAAGUCGGGUUCCCGUAGUUCUCGUUAGUUUUUUCGGGUGUUGAACCAUAAUUCGCCAUUUUUCAAAAGAACAACAAACAGAUUAACUGUAGUAACAAUGUUUUGCGACUAAUACAACAAUUGCAGUGAGAUAUUAGUGAUUUGCUUGGGAUGAUGUGUUUGAUUAGGAGUUGGGUUGGUUGGUUUAUAUAGACAACUGAUUUGCACCAGCAAGGCAUGCAGAUAUAGCGGUGAGCGUAAGGCAUUUUAACAACUUGGAGACAUGGCACUGCUGGGAAAAUGAUGACAAGUGAAAAUUAACGUCGGCAAGAUAUUUUGUUGCUUUUUGGGUGGGGGGUGGGGGGUGGGGGCAUAUGGAUAAAGAGAGAUGAAUACCUGUUUGAACUUUGAACAAUAAAAAAGAAAACGAUACGAAUACCUGCUCCCCUGGUGACCAUGGGAUUGGUGACACGUGCCCUCUGUACUUGUUCCACUAGCUAGCUCCCACGUGGGUAGUAUCUAUUGGUUUUAGCCUAGGUCUUAUUGACUGGUUGGUAAUUUGGUAUAUCUACUGGUCAUAAACUUGUAGAUCUUCUAGGUCUUACCGACAUGCUAUAAGUUAAAAGGAUAAUCUUAUAGAGACUAAAAUUAUAGAAAAAGUGUGGAAAUUAAAUAAUAUGAAAAUUAAUAAUAUUUAUUAUUUAAAUAUUAAUAAAUGUGUUUAUUUUUUAUUCGUGACAUAUUAUUUAAUUUGUAAAUUUUAUUUCUAAAUAUAGUUUCUCUAAGAUAUUACCCUAUAAGUUAUAUUGUCGUUUUAAUUUUUCUUUUGAUUAGAACAACCCAGACAUUAAUAAAAAGAAUCCUAUGUCGACAAACUCCACACCUUUAAAUCUUCUGCUACACACAAAUUUUCUACACUUCAAAAUAAAAGUAGGUCACAUAAUAUUACGAUUUAUUGGAAUUUUAUUUUAUUUAUAUAUGAAAGGUCUAAAGUUUGAUUUUCAUAAAAUAACGAAUUUGAACCAUAUUAUUACUAGUCCAAGGUUAAGCCUGUACUUUCACUUUUAGUGUAGAUAAUAUGAUUUGUUGAAAAACAAAUAAUGUUAAAAAUUAAUUUCAAGUGUAAUGUUAGAAAGACCACCUUUUUAUAUUAUGUAUCACAUAUUAAAUAAAAUUAAUUAAUUAACUUGACAUGUUCGAUCACUUGUUACAUUAUGUAAUACACAAGAUUAUACAAAGAUAUCUCCUUAGCAUUUUCUUUGACGCAAAUGUGUUUUAAAUAGAAUUAUUUUUCAAGCAAAUUACUAUUCAUUCGAAAGUAGCUCGUCCAUUUUACUUGCUAGAACUAUUUCUCUUGAAUAUACCCUUCUUCAAUUUUCACUCUCUACUGUCUACAUUUAAGCGUGGAUUACAAAGUCCUCUAUGAUGAAUGAUGAUCACUGUUAGAUUAAGAUUGAUUCGAACCAUCUUCGUUUUUAUCGCAUGUAGUCUAUAAGAAAGCAAUUUUUAAUUGUAAUUAGAAUAGAACUACUACCUAAAAAUGGAUUUGAUUAAACCAUAAACAGAGGUGAUACUCUCUACAUCUAAUAGGUUAUACACAUUAAUUUGCGCUAUAUCUUUGAAGAGGUUGCUUACGAUUACCGUGCCCGACCUAUACAUAAAGGAAGUCUUGCCAUCAAAAUUAUAAAAAAAAUAUUGACUUUGCUGGAGAUGUAUCCCUUGUAUGGAAUUUAAUGAUAUUUUAUGAGUUUCGACUUUGCCGGAGAAUGAUUAUCCCUCCUCUAGAUUAUGCUCCAUUUCAGUGGAGGCGUAGUAAAAUUUAUAGAAUUGGAUGUUUAUUUAACUUAUCUUUUGGUACAGUAAGAUUUUCAAUCAAAGAACGCCUAAACAGAAACCAGAAUGUAAUUGCUCCACUGAUAAAACGACAUACAAAGUACAUACUACAAAAACACAAACGACACUGCGAACCGCUCGCGGCUCACUCGUGCACGUAAGAAAAAAGUUCACACAGUCACGCCAAGCACCGAUUAUUAGCAUAUUAAAACAACUGACAGGCCCUAUAAUUCAAAUAUACGAAUUCACAGAUAUGCGUAUAUUUGUAUUUAGUGGUGUCCACCGGGAAGUUUUUCUUUGAUUUUGUCCAUGAUGCCCUUCUUUUCAUGGUGCUGUCCGGUGGUUCCACCGUAUGGUGUGGUGGUGGAGUGGUGCUGUCCGGUGGUUCCACCGUAUGGUGCUGUGGUGGAGUGGUGCUGUCCGGUGGUGGAGUGGUGCUGUCCGGUGGUUCCACCGUAUGGUGCUGUGGUGGAGUGGUGCUGUCCGGUGGUGGAGUGGUGCUGUCCGGUGGUUCCACCGUAUGGUGCGGUGGUGGAGGUCGUAUGUGAUGAGUAGGCAUCAUCCCUAUGCCCAGUCCCCGGAAUCUUGUCCUUGAUCUUGUCCGCAAUCCCCUCAUGCUGGUGCUCUCCGGUGUAGGUUGUCCCACCGUAAGGUGUAGGAUGGUCCGUACGGCCCCCAGUCCCUGGAAUCUUGUCCUUGAUCUUGUCCAUCAACCCCCUUUCACGGUACUCCCCUCCGGUGGAGGGGGCGGCAGUAGUCCCGUACCCAGUUCCAGUCGUGCCAAUACCGGUAUGGGCAUGCGAUGAGUAGUGGUCGUCAGCCCUACGUGCCCCACCAGUCCCUGGAAUCUUGUCUUUGAUCUUGUCCAUCAUCCCUCUUUUCUGUUGCUGCUGGCCUCCUGUGUACGUAUCGUUAGUAGUCCCGUACCCGGUUGUGGCGGUACCGAAGCCAGUGGCUCCGGUAGUGCCAUGUUGAAUUGGGUUUCCAAACUGAUCUGUUUCUUGGGGUGUUGCACCGUGUUGGUUCUGAUAGUGCGCCAUUGUUUCAAACUGAUUGCAAUUUGAUGAAAUAUUUCCGACUAAUUUGAUCUCAGAUGCGGAUGCUUAUAUAGGCAAACCGCGUAGAAAAGCAUGUCAUGCACUAGAGUAAAUCCAUGCCUUCAUGCCACGUUAGCAGCUGAGGACACCUGGCAGUUUUUAUGACGACACGUGUAGUGUGUUAGAGUCGAACAAAAUAAGAUCCAUUCUUUUGUCGUCAAGCUGAAGGCUCGUGACGGUUCCACCGCGUCCAUAUGCGAUAGUUGGGGACUAGCUUACGUCCGUACAUCAAAAUCCGUCGUGUAUUGAAACUGGGGAAAUUUUUAUUGUUACAUGAACACGGACGGUACAUUACGUUUUUUUUAUGUAAGUGGUGAGAAAUUUUAUUUUUUAAAUUAUUAACAUUUUAACACACAUGUCAUACCAUAUGUAAAAUGACACGUGAUGUACUAUUUUGUCUGCCAGUCAUACUAAAAAAUAUCUCUUGAAACUGGGAUGGUGAGACGUGUCAGAUUUCGACACGUGUUGGUAUUUGGUUAAUCUUGAUCUUAUUUUUACCGACUUUAGUAACUGGAUAGGUGCCGAGGAUUUUAUCGUUUAUCGGGUCCCACGUCAAUAGAUAUUUUCCAUUGGUUCGUAAGCACUACUGAACCGGCCCAAUUUCAGCAAGUUGUGGUAGCCCACAUACGGGUCCAAUAGGCCUUGUCUGUGGCAUAGUGAUAUUGGGCUGAUCACCAUUUGUUGAGUGGAUUCGGAAAAUCUGCUACGUGAUACGAAAGAUGAAUUUUUAAGGCUUAUUUAAGCCCACAACUCUCGAAAAUCAACUUUAUUCUCACAAUUCAAAAUGUGUUUUAGGGAGUUUUAACGAAAAGUUCAUGGUAUUGUUCACUUUAACGAAAAAUUAUAUUUUUACACUAAAAAGUCAAACCUGCUAAUAUUCACUUUACCCUUUAUUUUGUCCUUAUAGUUAAAACUCAAAAUUUUCAAACCCUUUUCAUUAGUUUUUCUUAAUUUUUAUUCACUUUACCUCAUCCCGUCACAUCCGUCAAAAUUAUUUUGAAAGGCGGCUCUUCUACGGUGGAUCCCGAUUGCUAAUUUUGGUAUUUGAUUGAAUAUUAAGGUAUGGGAUACAUCAUACGAUGCUGCGGUUGCCCAAAGUUUUGGGUGUUCCAACAAGAUGAGCAGACCCCAAUCUGGACCUUCAUCUGGCUUGAAUACGAAGACGGUAGAUGCAUAUUUUUCUGUUCAUUUUUUUCCUCCUUUUUUACAAGCUUCAGAGCUUCUUCUAGGGAACUAGUAGCAUUUCCCAUCCGUACAGGUCUUCCUCUUGCAGUUUUUUUUAGUACGUCAAUAUUUUUAUACUAAGGGAAAGGGGAGUUCGGCUAAGUCACAUAAUGAGCAGUCUAAUUUGGUAUCGAAUUCACGAGAUUCGAACCUAAGACAUCUCACUUCUAAGUGAAGAGGAAUAUCACCAGAUCAUAGUAUUUAGUGGCCUCUUGCAGUUUUGGAAGCUUAAUUUUACGAUGUUUGGGAUACCCCUUCACAGCCUUUAGGGGAGUAUACUUGGAGGUUGUUUUGCUUUCUGUAUUAAUGUUAUUUCCUGUCCUUAGUGUAAAACUAUAUUGAUGCACUAAAAAAAAUGUUAUUAAAAGGGUAUGAAGAUCCUCUUGGGAUCCCUUUAUCGUAUCCGUUCAUCAUAUAUCGUGCGGCCAAUUUUCUUUAGGUACUGUUUAUGUUCAAUUUUAAAUAAAAAAAAUCAAAUAGAUUUAUGGUCACAUGAUGACAGAUGAACGGACAUGAUGAAGUGUUCCUUAGGAUCUUCACUAAGAGGAUCCGAAUAGGACCCUAUUCCAUUAAAAGGGAAUAUGAACAAACAAACGGUUUUUGAAAUUAUAACUUAUAUAUGUUAGGAAGUUUCAAAUUGAAUCUCUGGUCCAAUUUUGAGUGUGAAAAUAAUUUUUACACUCUUUUUCUUCGUACUCAAGUGCUCUAAGUUUAUUUUUUUUGUUUGAUUCUGUUUUGAUUGGUUCAAUCUAAAUGUUAAAAGGAUAAUACUAGAGAGACCAAAUUUAUAAACCAAAUGAUGUGGAUGUUGAUGAUUGAAUUAUUACUUAAGUGUUAAUAUACUUAUUUCCUAUUAAUAACACAUCAUUUGAUUUGCAAAUUUGGUUUAAAAUUUUAGUCUUCCUAACAUUAUUCGUAUUAAAAAUAAAUACGAGAGUGCAUAAAUCACUUUUUUUUAGUGGUUCGGUUCACAUUUUUCCAACAAGAUCCUCUCUGGAUUCUUUUGGUGAGGAUCCUAGGGAUCCGUAAAUCAUGUCCGUUCAUCAUACAUCGUGUGAUCAGUUUUUGUCAGGUAGUGUUUGUAUUUAAUUUUUAAUAAAAAUAUUUAAAAUGAUUUCUAACCGUACGAUAUACGAUGAACAGAUAUGAUUCACAGAUCUUUGGAAUCUCACAAAAAGGAUCCGAUUUCCACAUUUUUGGCACCUAAAACAAAGAAAUGACACCAUCCAUCUCUUUUCCAAAGUAGAAUCAUAAUCACCAUAGGAGUUGAUUACUUAUCAAUUUAUUGAAGAAGAUGUCAAUGUUUCCUUGCAUCCAAAGAUUUUUAAUAUAUAAGCCGCGAUGGUCAACUCAGGUGGCGAGCGAGAGUGAAGUAAUGGGUUAGAAUUGAGCAAGAGUAAAGUAAUUAAUUGGUUAAGAUCAAAAUACACAAUUUUUGUUUUCAAUAUAUGAACUACUCAUUAGUACGAAAAAUUAACGUUUAUGAUUGUAUGAUAUAUUAUUUUUACUUAAUUGCCAGUCUAAUUGAUAUAAAACCAGACAGCCCAAUAAUCUGAAUUAUCGAAGACUUACCCAAAAAUAAAGUAUAGGUUUCAACUCGUUCCAAUGUAAAAAACAAAUGUGCACUAUACAUGACGUCCCUUUGAAAGGCAAUAAACUAGGUAAAAUCUAGUUGAAGACAAGUCCUCACUCAAAAGAGGAAAGAAGAAAAAAAGAAAGGCAUGUCAAGCCAAUAAUUAAUUUAUUAGGUACUCCAAAGAUGAUCAAAGCCUAAUCUUAAUCGAGAAUUAAAAAAACCCUAAACACGCUUUGGAUUUCGCUUAUUAUAAUUAAAACUUUCUUGCUCAUGUGAGCAUUGGUGUCAUAAUUGGUUGGCCACAUGCUCUUAUCAACCUAUCAAUUAAGAAUAACUAAUUAUCAUGCUUAGCCUUUCUUUUCCAAAUGAUGUAGUGGGCGGCAACUAUUGCCUUGGCUGGGCCCCAUGGAUAGCGAGAUUUUACAAUAUAUUCAGAAUAUGAGUGGUAUGUCAUAUGUUAUUAUAGAAGUGCAAGAAUUUUUUUUAAGCGUUUAUCCACUUGUAUUCAAAUACUAUUUACUUCUAACAUCACAAGCCUUAUUUAUUCAUAUUGAAAAAAAAAAAAAAAAAAAAAAAAGCUCUCCAUUCUCUGUCGCUGAAAACACAAAGGAAAAGUCAUAGUCGCAGGCCCUAAGCCUUUUAAGCUUGGGUGCCGACAGCAACCCCCUCCCUUUUCUCCUACUUCCCUCUUUCUCUUCUUCCCUCUUUCUCUUCUUCCCUUUUUCUAUCUUUUCAUUUUUCCUUGAGUUUUAUCCCAAACUUUUUUAGCUUGGUCUCUAUUUAUUCUUGUGCUUAUCUCAGAUUUGAGCUUCAUGCUCCUUCUUAGGCAUUUUUCGCCACAUCCCUAGCAUUUUUCGUCGGUUUGCACUGCCUUUUAUUUUUUAGUUUUCCUUCCUCCAUCUCCUCUGGCUGUAACGUCCUGCCCCCAAAAUAUAUAUUUUCGGGAAAUAAUUCUAAUGAUGGGCCCAAUUAAACUCUUGUUUAUUUAACUACCAUUAAUCGUGAUUCUUUAAUUAAAUGCCUUAAUUCCACCCAUGAUUUAAUUCCAGAAUUCUCUCACCAAGACAUAUGAUUAUAUUCUCAAUUUAUCACCAUUUUCUUUUCUUAUGUUAAUUUCCAUUCUAAAGAUUAAGGAGGUGUAUUCAAUUGGGAAUUUGAGGCAUUUUAAUUCUUUUAAUGAAUCUAUGGGUAUUCAAUCAGGGUUUUAUGUGAUUCUCUGAAAUUCAAGGUGUAUUCAAUUAGAAUUUUAAGCUAGUUUAUUAAAAUCCUUAGAAAUCCGGGUGUAUUUAAUUAGGAUUUUAAAAAAGUUCAUAACAUUCUAGGUGUAUUCAAUUAGAAAUUGAUUUUAAAGAAUUUGAGAAAGUUGAAGAAUUAGAGGGAAUUAGAUAAAUUUCGUAGUGUAUUUUAAGCAUCCACAAAUCUCACCUCUCCCGAUGAGAUUUCGAGGGAAUUGAAUUAAAAUUUUAUAUAGAAUCUCUACAAAUCAAUUAAACUCCAUAAAAAUCCAUAGAUUUAUAAAUCCAUUAAAAUCUCUCAAAUUCUCAAUUGAAUACACCCCCCUAAUUCUUGAUUAUUUAAGGCUGCAUCUAACACUGUUAGACUACUUACGUACCCUUGAGCGGGAUCAAGUCUUUCGUAGUUCACAAUUCAUUCUUUUAUCCAUUACCGAAUUCAUAUUGACCAAAAGUCAACUCUUGAUCAACAGUAGGGUCCACAUGUCACAUCCCCGCCCGGGCCCGAUGUCCUCGUCGGCACACUUCCGACCAGGGAUUGGCUCUGAUACCAUUUGUCAUAUCCCAGCCCGGGGCGGACCACUUCCCGAGCCCAUUCCACUACCGUAACACGAUAUUAUCUGCUUUGGGUUUACCAUUCCCUCACGGUUUUGUUUUUGGGAACUCACGAGCAAUUUCCCAGUGGGUCACUUAUCCUGGGAGUGUUCUGGCCUCCUUCUCGCUUAUAUCCAAAAUGCAACUGUAAUCAACAUAAGCAACAACGAUGUACACAGUUCACAUCAACAAGAAGAAAAAAAAAAGCUAAAAUUUACAAUAACUUGGUCUUAAUACUAGCUGGAGAUUAAACAAGAUGCUUAUUAUAUAUACUAUGCAUACGAAACAUGAACCUGCAGCUUCAGUUCCAGCAACUUCCAAGCGCCCAGAUCAGAUAUUGAACCCUCCCAGAUCGCAAUUGGGUGAAAAAUUACACCGCAUACCAGAUAUUCGAGGUUGUUGUAGAAGAGGGUGUGCUUGUCCAGCAGGAUCAAUUGCACCAAAGAGUGGAAAACGGUCAUAAUCUCUACCAAUUAUUCCACCAAUCCUUGGAGGUACAAACGGGUUAGGGUUCCUCCUGAUACGGUUGAAAUAAGGCCUCUCAAAUGAUCUCCACGUCACUACUGCUUUCAUUUGUUGCUUCCUAGUCUCCCAAUUUCCAACAAAUCUAAACUUCCAAUUAGUCACUGUUCCUUCACCUCCGGUUCCUUCUCCUCCAUUACCAUUACCGAACUCAUCAGCGUACUUCUGCUUCCACAACUCAUCAUUAUUACCAAGAUUUUGCAGCUCAUUACAAACACAACCCACCUUGGCAAUGUUAACACCAACCAGUGGCUCUAGAAUCUUCAUUUUGAUCUCCGGUGGAAGGCGCAUAAGGCUUGGUGGUGCAAGCAAACUAGCAUUUGCGCAAAGAUCAAUCAGCAAUGGGAAUGUGAUCCCAUCUUUCACAAUCUUCGAUAACUCUAAAACGAACCCAUCUCUGUCAUUGAAAUUUUAGGUUCCAUAAACGAAUUCAAUCGUUUGCGCGAAAGCAAUCUCAGGAUAGGUGACCCACCGAGAAGUUCUCGUGUGAGUUCCAAAAAAUAAAACCGUGAGGGCGUGGUUGGGGCCCAAAGCGGACAAUAUCUUGCUACGACGGAGUCAUGCCCGGGAUGUGGUGGGGGCCCGUGCCAGAAUGUGACAAAUGGUAUCAGAGCCAAUCCCUAGCCGGAAGUGUGUCGACGAGGACGUCGGGUCCGGGAUGUGGUGGACCCGGGCCGGGAUGUGACAAAUGGUAUCAGAGCCAAUCCUUGGUCAGAAGUGUGCCGACAAGGACGUCGGGUCCCUAAGGGGGGUGGAUUGUGACAUCCCAAAUCGCCCAGGAGAGUGAUCCUUAAAUGUAUAUUCUCAUCCCUACCUAGCACGAGGCCUUUUGGGAACUUACUGGCUUCGGGUUCCAUCAUAACUCUGAAGUUAAGCGAGUUCGCUCGAGAGAAAUCCCAGGAUGGGUGACCCACUGGGAAGUUCUCGUGUGAGUUCCAAAAAACAAAACCGUGAGGGUGUGGUCGGGGCCCAAAGUGAACAAUAUCUUGCUACGGUGGAGUCAUGCCUGGGAUGUGGUGGGGGCCCAGGCCGGAAUGUGACAAAUCUUUCUUGCUUAACUUCGGAGUUCCUACGGAACCCGAAGUCAGUGAGCUCCCAAAAGGCCUCGUGCUAGGUAGGGAUGAGAAUAUACAUUUAAGGAUCACUCCCUUGGGCGAUGUGGGAUGUCACACCACAAUUCUACAUAAUUUGAUCUGAAAGAUCCACUGUAACAUCCCACAUCGAUCAACGGAGAUGGGUGAUAUGCCUUAUAUGUGCAUGCCCACCUUCUAUAGCACGAGGCCUUUUGGGAACUCAUUGGCUUUGGGUUCCAUCGGAACUUCGAAGUUAAGCGAGUUCGGACGAGAGCAUUCCCAGGAUGGAUGACCCACUGGGAAGUUCUCACGUGAGUUCCUAGAAACAAAACCGUGAGGGCGUGGUCGGGGCCCAAAUCGGACAAUAUCGUGCUACGGCGGAGCCGAUUUGGGAUGUGACAGAAUGGCAUUAGAGUCACUAUGUUGUUCGGUGCGAGUGUGCCGACGAGGACAUCAAGCCCCUAAGAGGGUGGAUUGUAACAUCCCACAUCGACCAACGGAGAGGGGGUGAUGUGCCUUAUAUGUACAUGCCCACCUCCUAUAGCACGAUGCAUUUUGGGAACUCACUAGCUUUGGGUUCCAUUAGAACUUCGAAGUUAAGCAAAUUUGGAUGAGAGCAUUCCCAAGAUGGGUGACCCGCUGGGAAGUUCUCGCGUGAGUUCCCAGAAACAAAUCUGUGAGGGCAUGGUCGGGGCCCAAAACGGACAAUAUCAUGCUACGGCGGAGCCGGUCUAGAAUGUGACACUAGUCGUGCUUUUCCUUCCUCUCCUUUGCUUUCGAUCCUCUUUCCAACCCAUAAUCAUGAACUAGAUCUCAAAGUGUUGAACUCAAUCUUAACACAAGACCUUACACUCAUAGUCCACUGCUGAACUAGCAUGCCGAGAAUUUUGGGCAAAUGUGGAAAGAUUCACUUCGAAACAAAGGUGUAGCUCUCAUUUUGGGCCUAAGUUCUUGUGGGCCUCCCGUUGGAUCUUAAGUUGUAACUCUCAUUUUACUUGAGCCUUUUUACUCUUUUAUCCCUUUUUGUUUUUUUAAUGGUUUUGUGUUUUGUUUGAACUUUAGUCCAUCUACCGCAUUUGUAAUUUUUCCUGUCUUUAAUGAAGUUUGUUUUAUCAUAUCUUGUUUUGUUUUGUUCAAGCGAUAUGUAGAGAAGGAACAUAAUAUGGUAAAUAGCUAGUGUUCUUAAUACGAUAAAUUUUUAUGGUUAUUAGAAAGACAAAUUAUGUGGUGUAUAAUUUUAUAUGUUAUAAUAAGGAUGUGUUGUAGGAUUCAUAUGUUCCAUUUCUAGAAUAAAUUAAGAAUAAAUAGAGACACUUAUUUACAAUUCAAGUAUAACAAUAACAUCGCAUAGCUGUGUUUCGAAUACAUCAAAAUAUUACUUUCUUAACGCAACUAAGAUAUCCAACCAACAAUAACAUGCUUGUAAUAGUAUACUAGUAGUUAGCUAGCUGGUAAUUAACUGGGAGUCUGAUAAUUAACUAUAGCUAGCUGAUAAUUAACUAAAUUAUGGCACAUCUUCUCUGACUUUAAUAUUAAGACUUUGGUCAAUGUGACAUUUUUGUUUCAUUUCUCAUGGCCUGAUAAAAUAAAAAUGUGAUUCCUGCUUGAUAAACUUUCAAUUUUAUCUUCUAACAUGACCAUUUUUUGCUUUUUAAAAGAGAAUAGUUCAUGUGACAUGUGAGGACUUGUUAACUAUUGACUGUAGGGUAUCCUUAAAUAUUAUAUUUUAUUCUUCAUAUAAAAUGACUGGAUAAAAGCCACCCAUUUUGUGUGCGUUUAAAUAUAUGAGAGGUCUUAGGUUUGAUUUUCGCUAAAAAUGUGAAUUUGAACCACAUUAUUGCUAGUCUAUUGUGAUGCUUAGCCCAUUUCUACAGUCCUUUAACGUAGAUAAUACAAUUUGUUAAAAAAAAAAAGACAAUUUAAAAAGGAAUUUGAAUAAAAUUAAAAUUAAUAAAUAGAAAUGUAGGAAGUGAGAGAAAGAAAGUGGAGAAGUAAAACUAUGGUUAUGUGUUAGUGGGAGAAGGAGAAAAACAGCAAAAACUUAAUUGUUUUGAAGUUACUUUAAUACUCAUAUUUUUUAUUUUCUAAUAUUUUCGUUCAAUUAUGUAUAAAAUGGUAUAACAGUAAUUUUAUUGAUUUUUAGUUGAUAAACAUGUUCUAUUUAAUAUAGUUUAGAUUAAGGAUAGUGCUAUUUUUUUUUAAGAAAAAGGAUAGUGUUAUUAGCACAUCCAUUUUUACAUUCCACAUACACUUAUUCAUUUUUUCUAUUGAUAUUCUUCAAUUCAUUCGGUCAAAUGACCGAAAAUUGGGAAGGAUGUAUGAAAAAUAAAACUGAGUGUGGGGAUAGAACUAACCUAGAUUUGUGUUUUAAUCAUGGCCUAUUUUUAUAAAUUAAUGUCCAUUGAUAUAUCUAAAGAGCUUCUUAAAAAAUAUAAAAAAAAUAAAAAUAAAAACUUUAGAGUCCACUAAAUUUGUCUAACCUUUAUCAUCCAAGUUCCAACUUUGAAAACCACACAAAAUUCCAGCACACAAUAUGCCAACAUUUUUAAUUUCUAAGAAAAUAAAAUAAAGUAUAUGCCAACAUUAUUGACACGGGAAAUUUAAAUAAAAAAUGUAUUGCCUAAAAAAAAAAGAAGCAAAAUGUAUACAAACAAGAAGUAUUUUAUUAAAUAAAUUGGCAACAAAACCAGAAGCCAAAAGGAAAACGGAAGUAUCGCUUACACAUCCUUACAUGUUCAACAGUAAAACAACAACCCAUGACCUACCCAUCAAUCAUUGUACGAACAAAUUUACAAAAGCCAUGGAUGUUCUAAGUAGUUAAAACUUACACCUCAAUUAAUUUCACUAAUCUCUCACUUAAUCCAUGAUUAACCCGACUGAGUUUAGCACAUAAACAUGUCUGCAGAGGCCAUGAUUGGUUGAUUAUUCAAAAAGCCAGUACCCCAUGGGUUCAGAAACCCAUCACCUCCACCAAUAAUAUUAUGAUUAUCUUCUUCCUCAUAGAUCCAUUUGCUUGAAUUAAUACAAUCCAUAAUAUCAUUGAGAGACUGCAAUCUGUUUGUGAGCUCAUCCAUCUGAGCUCUGAGGACUGAGUUUUCUGCCUCGAGCUUCAUGUAAAGCUGGUUGGUCACGUUCAUGGAUGUGAUGAUCUGGUUGUUAUCCCUUGUCAGGAGACCAAUCUGAGCCGUCAGAUCAGUCAGAUGCUCCUGUUUUCGCAUCCGGGAUCGACGUGCCGAUUCCCGGUUGGACAGCAUUCUUUUGCGCUUUCUCUGGUCCAUGACUUGGUUAAGAUCUUCAUCAGAUCCUGAGUUUUGGAGCUUGCUUGACUCUGAAGAAACCCCACUUGAAGAAGCCAUGUGUGAAAUACUUAUAUGCUUAUAAAAAACCAAAAAAAUCUAAACUUUUCUCUUACCCAAGAAAGUUAAAGAGUUAUUAUUUGAAGAACGCAGAUGCUAGAUUUAAAAAAUAAUUAAGAAAAAAGUAAAAAUUGUUUAUAAAAUGUUGUAAAACCAGUAGAGGAAAACAACAGAGAAGGAUUGGACAAGGUGGGUUCUGCGAAGGAGGGUGGAGUUUAUCAUACACCCAGAGAGCAGGAUUUCACUGAGUACCGGAAACAUGAUUAAAUCUGUAGGUUUGUAUAUUAAGCAUUGGAGACAAAGAAGAAGAACAAAUGUUAUGAACUUUGAAGCAGAAACAAGGUUUUCAGAACCGGGAGAGAGGUUAUGAAAUUUGAAGCAGACACAAGGCGUUCAGAACCAGGAGAGGAGAGAGAAGAGAGAGAAAGAGAUCAAAUUCUUGGGGUAGGCAGGAAAGAUAAUGGAGAGGAGGUUUUGAAGAGUGGUGGAGGGUUGAAUAUAUAGGCCAGCAAUGGCCACCUAAAAUAUAUAAACUACCAAAAACAAUUUAAGAACAUGUCUGAUUGUCUCAUAUAAUAUAAUUAUGAGGAAAAAGCAAUAACAUAGAAUGUGACUCUUAAUGGCCAAGUCCUCAGUAUUUGAAAAGUUCACAGUUGCAUAUCGGAUAUGUAUUCUCCAAAGAGUCAAUAUUUUCCACCGAUUUUUGUACCACACAUUCAGUAUGAAAUGGUUAGGAUAAACUUGUAAACUGAAACGUCUUAAGAGAAACUGUGUCUCUCAUCUCAUCUUAAGAUUAUGUAACAAUCAUCCCUGAAUUAUAUAUUGAUAUAUAACUUGAGAAAUACUUUCUUUAACCAAUGCUAUAAUUAUGGAUUAUUGUUACAAUUAAGCCUAAAUUAUUAUGUAACAAUAUAAGUUAUAACAUGUAAGCAUUUCCUUGAAGCAGCUAUGAAUCGUAAAUCUUUGCAUAAUAAAAAUAGACGAAUUGUGAUUACCAAAUGAUUAAAAAAUGCAUGAUCACUCAUCUUUAAAUUUGAUAUUAAAAAUAAAAAAUGAACAUGUUUUUAUGUUUUUAACAUAAGAUGAUAUUUUUUUCCCUCAAGAAUCCAUCAUAUAGUGGACAAGUGUUGCAAAAUUAGGUUACACCAACCAAAAGUCGCACAAGAGUCUUGUGCUAACAUAGUUCUGACUUGCUGUUCUUGUUGAAUCCCAACACCAACAGUACAUGGGCAUGCGCAUGUGGUCAGAAUUCUGAGAGAUGGUCCCUUACAAUGGAAAAUGAUCAUUGUCGGAUCUUUUUUUUCUAAGGAUUCCGUGAUCGUGAUUGUUUAUCGUAUAAUGUGCGAUCAGUUUUUGUUAAGUACUAUUUAUAUUUAAUUUUAAAAUAAUUUCUAACCAUAUAAUAUACGAUGAACGAUCACAAUUACAGAAUCUUUAAAUCCUCAAAAAAAGGAUCCGACGAGAAUCUUUUUCCCCUUCCAAUUAAUGAAUAAUACGAAGGGUAACGUCUUUCACAGGUUAGGCCCCAAAACCAGUGGUCAUUGGCUGCCCAGCGAUGGAGAUGCGUUUCAUAAAAAGAAAAAGUCAAAAAAAAUAUAGCCACUCGAGUCCUUGUCAAGUUGUUCUCGUGCCCUCGAGGAAUGCUCAAAUUACUUUUGAAUAUGCCGUGCUCGAGGGCACUAGAAGCUUCUAAUUAAAAUCUUGAUGGUUUUGGUUUUCAGUCAAUUCUCAUGUUUGAUGUUUGUAAUUUUAUUUGAGCAUGAAUUGCAUGUUUUAGAUAUUUAAGAUUUUAGGUGACCAAUUUUGUUUGUUCUAUAAACAAUAAUCUCCUUAGGACUUUGAAAUUUUGAAUUUGGAAAACACAUAUGAUUUAUUGGACCCUUCCUCAACUUUGAUUGGUAAUUGAGGUCUACCCCAUUUAACUUGUUAUACGCUCACAUACAUACAUACAUACAUACAUACAUACAUAUAUAUAUAUAUAUAUGGUGGGGAGGAAGAGAGAGAGAGAGAGAGAGGAUAUUCCACUUUUUGUAUGCCAUGUGCUUAAGAUUUAGGUAAUCUUUCAUUUAAAGAUGCCAGCUCCAGUUACUUUUCCCCAAGCACACUUUUCAUAUUCAACACUGAACAAAAGGCAAUAGUAAGUACUGGUGUUUUUUUUAUAAAAAUGCGUAUAAAAAAAACAGAGCUAAAAAAGAUGUUUGGUAAAUAUUUAAAAAUAAUUUAUUUUCAUAGUUUUGAGUAAAAAAAAGCUAAAAACGCGAAGCAGCAAAAAUGAGUUUAUUCUCACAAUAUAGCAGAAACAAUUUUUUUUUCAAAGUACAGCAAUACCAAACCAGCCUGUUGACUUUCACACUACAAAUUUAAAGGGGGCAUUUUUCUCCUCCAUUAUAAACUAUGGUGUAUGCUUAUUUUACAGUUAAUAAUCUACCACGUGUCCUUUUAUUUGGCCUUGAUUAAUUUUUUUUUCAAAAUUAAAAAAAAAAAUUAAUGUGAAAGUAACUAAAGUUAAGUGAAAUGACACGUGACAGAUGAUUAAGUGUAUGGUGAGCAUACACUAUGAUAGUGAGAAAAAAUUGUCCCAUAAAUUUAGGGUGGCAUUUUUGCUCAAUGCCAUAACUAUGUUGUAUGCUCACUAUACACUUAAUCAGUUGUCAUGUAUCUUUUCACCUAACUCUAGUUAAUGUUCACAAUAAAUGUUACUUUUUCAAUUUUGAAAAAAAUUAAUCAAGGUUAAUUGAAAGGACACGCGACAAAUGAUUAAGUGUAUGUUGAGUAUACACCAAAAUUUAGAGCGUUGAGCACAAAUAUUCCUAUAAAUUUAGCGUGCAUGGCACUGUUUUUUUCUGUAUAGAAAAAUUCUGAAACAAGUGAAAUGCCAAGGAGACUUUCAAAAUGAGACUCUCUAUAGAAUCUCUGACAUCUCAUAUUUUAAUAUCAAUUUUCAUGCUAACAUUAUAAAUAUUAUGCUAAAAGCAUGAGAUAGCAAAAAGUACAUGAAAAAUCAUACUUUUGAAAGACUCAUGCAUAAAACAAAUCAUUUAUAGUGUGAGAAGCUAAAUUGACAGUACCAAAAUCGCUGCCGAAUCUAAAAGCCAGUGAAAUCAUAAGCAACUCAGGGCAUAUUUGAAGUCUUUCUUGGACCUUAUUUUUCGUUAAAGUGAACAGUACCAAAAUUUUUUCAUUAAAGUUUUCUAUGAAAAAAGGAUAUGGUAUUGCAAGUUGCCGUGGAGGGCUUGGCCCCUAGUGUCAUUGAAAAAAGAAGGGGGAGGAAACCAGGCAGGCAAGCGGUGGGCAGAGCAGAGGUCAGUGAGUGGUGGGAAGUUGGGGGUUGAGAAGAAAAGUUGGCAGACAUAAAUAUCCAUGCUCAUCAACUUCUUCUGUGGAGGUCUCUUUCCUUGGGUCUCAACUUGUGUGCUCUUUUUCCUUUCAAGUGCACUUUUGAGUGUCAUGUUUUUAAUUUUUUUUUGUGUGUAUAUAGUUGGAUAUAAAUAUAUAUGGUGGAUGUUUCCCUAGUUUGUUUGCCAAAAUAAAUUUAAAAAGGCAGCAUAUCCAUGCAGCAGCUUUAGAAAUAGGGUGAUGCUAUAUUUUUACUUCUUAAAUACUCAUUGUUAAUUUUUGUUUUUUUUAUUUUCUUCAAUUCAUCCAAUUCGAUGACCGGAAAUUAAAACGAGUGUAAAAAGUAAAAAAGAGUGUGGAUAGCACUACAUAAGAGAGAAUGCAUAUAGAAAUGAAGAAUGGUGAGUGAAGGUUCAAGGAAUAAAGGAGAAGAAUAUAGGAAAUAAAAACAAGAGAAAAUAUAAUAGACAUAGUUUUUUGUUUUUAUUUUGUGUAUUCUUCUAUAUCCACUUCAUUCCCACCACUUAUCCUCCACCUCUGGCCGUCCAUCGUUUCUCUCUUAUAUUUCCUCUUUAUUGUUAACAAAAUAGUAAAAACGAAAUAGUUUUCAGACAACUUUAUAUUCAAUUCCGGUAGACAUUGACCAACCAAUUUCUAAACAAAAACGAGGGGCUAUUUAACCACUCUGCUAUCCAUCCAUAAUGGUUUUCUUCUCUAAGGAAUAACGUUUCCGUUAAUAGUUUUUAGUUUUCAAUUUUUGUUCGCGAUAGAGAAACUACAUGGAGGAAAAGAGGGACGAAGAAGGGUGGAGGUACAAAUGAGGGAUAAACAAAGGACGAUGAUUAAAAUAGAAAUUCGAAAUUAUAACUUAAAAGUUUGUUUUAGUUCUUCCUUUUCAUUUUAUGUAGCAUUUCAUAGACAUCUUCGACCUCCCUCCCACCACUGUUACUCCACCGUUCUUCAUCCCUCAUUUCUCCUCUUUCUCGACAUCUCUGUCAAGUUUUCAUAGCUCUAGGGCAGUCGUAGUCUCCGAUUAGUGCCUACCACAGAAGUACAAAGCAAAUGACACAAAUCAUAUGGUGAAAUUCUAGGAACGAUUAUUCCUUUCGCCUUCUGGUAAACCAGCAUAUGCUUCUGCAUAUACACUAAGCUUUGAGCAAGGGUCGCCUUUGAGUAAAGAAACCUAAAGAGAGAAUGAAAACAGAAGAGAAGAAUGGAAUAAAAAUGGACGCGUCUUUAUUCAAUUCCCUUGGUUAUAAUCAGGAAUGUCUUACAUGCAUUAUCCGUAAUACAGAUUCAUAGCCGUAGACUACAAAUAACAAGCGUAAAAAUACACAGAGUUACACGAUAGACCAACAAUACGUUUCUCUAAUGCAAGGUUUUCUAUAAUUAAUAAACACAUUGCACAAAGAAACAGGAAAGCCUUUUGAAAGUUUACCUAGGCAUGCACAAAAGACGCUUCUGGAUAAUAGUGAAGCAUCUGAGCAGCUUCUGGAUGGUAGUGAAGCAUCUCGUUCCACAUCAUCUCCCUAAUCAUUGGUUCCUCCAUAUUCUCAUCUAUGUCGAGACUGAUGGGAACCUGGGCAAGAGGAUUGGAUCUCGGAUCGUAUAGCCCUGACAUGUAAGGGUGUUGGAGUGCUUCUGUGACGGAGAUUCUCUUAGUUGGAUCAAACACAAGCAUCCUUUGCAACAAGUCUAUAGCUAAAGGAUCAGCUUGAGGGUAUAAACGGGACAAAUGUGUCCCUCUAGAAUAGGGCAAUGAUUUGAUGUACUUCCUGGCUUUUGGGUUGUCAAUGAAUGCAAGGUCAGGUUCCUGCUGGCUACCAAGAACAUUGAUAAUUAGUUUUAGUUGGUUGAGGCAUUCAGUUCCAGGGAAGAUUGGCUUCCGGCCAAGAAUUUCAGCAAAGAUGCAUCCUACGGACCAGACGUCAAUGGAUGUUCCAUAAUUGUCACAGCACAAUAGCAGCUCCGGUGCACGAUACCAGCGAGUGACAACAUACUCUGUCAUGAACUGGCCACUACCUCCGCUGGUUCGAGCCAACCCAAAGUCACAUAUUUUCAAGUCGCAGUUAGCAUUGAUGAGCAGGUUCCCAGGCUUCAAGUCCCGGUGAAGGAUGUUUGCUGAAUGAAGAUACUUGAGCCCUCGAAGUAACUACAAUGCAGAAUCAGAUUAGUCACAAGCAGAAUAACUAUUAGAAGAAUAGAACUCACAAAUUAACUGAAGCUUGGUAACAAAUCAAACUUUUAGAAGCUUAAAUGCAUAGAAACCCCGGAGUGUUAAGUUCUACAUAAGAAAAUGCAAGAAGCUGAAACAUCUCCUCAUACUUGGUCAAAAUGUGCUUUGGUAACAUGCUUUCUAUUCAUUCAGUUCCUAAAUCUUUUCCAGAAUCGUUUACAUUUCCAUGAACUAAUUCAGCUCAAAAUUAGCAUCAACCAAUUAGGAUGACUACUUAAAGAAUUAAUGAGAUAAAAUAACACAAGUUAAGAGAAAGCCUGUACCUGAAACAGAAAGUAUUUGCAAUGGUCACUGGAAAGUGGUUGUGAGGACUUUAUAAUUUGAUGAAGAUCCGUAUCCAUGAGCUCAUAAACGAAAUACACGUCCUUGAAGCUUGUCCUGUGGAUAGGCAUCAUAACAUCCUUCAGAGCAAUCACAUUCUCGUGCCGGAUAUGUUUAAGAAGCUUCAACUCCCUCAGAGUCCUCAACGCAUCAAUGCGGUUCUCAAACACAUUAUUGAUCUUCUUGAUUGCAACUUUCUCAUUCGUUUCCCUAUUGAUUGACGAGCACACUACACCAUAUGCCCCUCUCCCUAUGGGUUUGAUUGGUACGUACUUGAUGUCAACCUCAAACAAUGUCUGCCACAUUGAGUAAUAAUGCUUCCCCCGUUGCCUAAUUCCGUUCGGAGGCUCAACUAAAGUUGCCAUUUUCCUGCAAACCACUGUAAAAUGAUCCAAAUCACUCAAAACCCCUCAUAACAUAAAACAUAAUUACUUCUUACAAUUCCCUGUUUAUGAUAAUAUUCUUGCUACUUUUUCCUACUUUUAAUUACAUACAAUUCACGUCUACUUUUGGCUUCCUUUUUUACUUUCAACUCCUAAUUUUUUCAUCUUUUUCUUUUACUUUUCAACCCAGCAAUUUUCCAAUCCCAUUCACACCACAAAUUCUCCAACUUCCACACACCCUAAAAAACUACCCAAGAAACCAAACUCAAAACUGAAACUGAGAAGCACACUUAUUCCCCGAGUUCGAACUCCCUCCCCCGAAUUUAAAUUAGUUUAAAGUAGAAUAUCGAUCACAUCAAAACACUAGCUGAGAAACCAAAGUUUUACUUUUUACCAACAUGAAGGCUCCCAAGUUCACUUUCCCAAUACCCAAUUCACGAAUUCAUAGCUAAAUUCUAAAACUUUAUACAAAAUUCAACAGCAAAAAAAAAAAAAAAAAAAAAAAAAAAAAAAAAACCCAGAAAAGAAAUAAGAACAAACCUCAAUAAUUGGCGAGCAACAUUAACAGGAGAAGAGAGAGAUCCUCAAAGGUCGUGGGGACAAGUAACUGGCUUGUAAAUAGAUCUUCCCUUAUCUAUAUAUAAAUACAUAUAUAUUUAUAUAAAUGGCUCAAAAGCUCACAGUGGUAUCAGAUCAUCACGAGUUACGAUUCGUUAUUUCGUCGUGAUCAGUGAGAGAGAUCUUAGAGAGAGGGAGGAGAGAGAGAGAGGGGGGGGGGGGGUUAAUGUUAAAUGCAAAUUAGUUUUGGGUUUUGGGGGGUUUGGGGAAUUGGGGGAGAGAGAGAGAGGAGAAGGAGCCAAACCCAUGACACCAACACGGCAAAAAUGGGUGGGUGUAUAUGUAUAAUAUCACAAAAACGACAGCUUAAAAGAUCAACGCUUUCUUUCGGUCCUCGUUUUUGUUGCUUCAUGCACAAUCAAUCAAACACUAAAAAAUCAUGCUCUCGAGUUUACGAUCACGCCGUCGGUUGACGGCUCCGGUUCAGCUCGGCUGGCUUAUCAGUUCAUCUCACACUUCACUCGUUUUUGUAAUGGUAAAUUACGUUUUACCCCCUUAGGUUUUGGGUUAAUUUCAAUCCCUUACGCAUCUUUAAAACAUUUCAAUUUCAUACAUUUACUUAUCAUUUUAUUUCAAUUUCCUACAUCCGUUAGAAAAUCUGUUAAGUAAACUGUUAACUGAUGACGUGGCAAAUAUGUAAUCCACAUUUAUGCUGACGUGGCAGCCAUAUUUGUGUCACGUGACAAAAAAUUAAUUUUUUUAUUCAUUUAAAAUAUAAUAAUAUUUUACCUAUUAAAUUAAAAUAAAUAUUAUUUUUUUACCACGUGGCACAAAUGUAACAGUCACGUCAGCACAAAUAUGGAUUCCAUAUUUGUCACGUCAUCAGUUAACGGUUUGCUUAACAGAUUUUCUAACAGAUGUAUGAAAUUGAAAUAAAAUGAUAAGUAAAUGUAUGAAAUUGAAAUGUUUUAAAGAUGUUGUAAAGAAUUGAAAUUGAUUCCAAACCUGUGGAGGUAAAGUAUAAUUUACCCUUUUUGUAAUUUGCAAAUGUACCUUUUUUCAACCCUAUUUAAUUGGAAAUUUAUACCAUGAACGGCACAAGAAUUCAUUGUACUUAUCUAUUUUUGCAUAUGGUAAAUGUUUUAUUUUUAUACUUUGAUUCAAUGAUAUUUUUAGAAUGAGGAUCCUCUCCAAAUCCUCUUUGUGAGGAUCCGAGGAGCAUCAAAUCGUGUUUAUUCAUCAUAUAUCGUACGGUCAGUUUUCGUCAAAUACUAUUCAUGUUUAAUUUUAAAUAAAAAUAUUUAAAAUGAUUUCUAGCCGCACGAUGUACGAUGAACGGAUACGAUUUGAGUAUCCGUUGAGGAUCCUCAUUCAUAUUUUUAUACUUGAGGGGUGGAUGACUUGAGUUAAGGAGCUACAAAAUACGCUAGUUGUAAUAAUUAGAUAUCAAACUCGUUAUUUGAUGAAGUUUAAUAUGAGAUUUUUCAUAGUAAGAAGAAAUGUAAUGAAAAAACUGUGUUCAAUUUGAAGGUAGAAGUUGUGUUACUCAUUGACGAAACUUACCACUAACAAAAUUGUUGUCCAAUUUGACAAGAUAAAGAAAUGCUAGUCAUCUCCGCCAUUCUUCUUCAAUUACGAACCCAUCUCAUCUCCUUUGACAUAUUUGGAAAUAAGGAUGUAUAUGCUCUUAGAUAAUGCUAAACAAUUGGUGGUUGAUGUUUUUAAGUAUUUCUAACGUGUAAUUUUAGGAGACCUAUUACUUCGUACUCAUCGGUACAUUUUAUAAUGCUAAGUUCCAUAAGUUUGGUCAUAUCUUAAAUUUUUUAUUUUACUAUUAUUAAUGGGAGUGGGAGAGUUCGAAAUUAUUAUAAAAAUUUAGAGGAAGACGGAGUUUCAAACCAGACUCAUGGAUAAAAAUCCAACACCCUAUUUACUAGCAUAUAGGACCACAUGUGACCGCCCCUCCUUGCUCUUAUAUGACUUUGCCACUGGGGUAACAUAUACUUAACUACAAUGGUAUUAUUAAGAGUUAUGCACCACAAAAGGAACAUUAACAUAAUACAUGAAUGCUUUGUGUAAUCUGACCUCUAAGGAAACAUAUUUAACCCAUUUGAUUUUAGAAAUCAAUGCUAAUAACGAUCGCAAGAAUUUUGUGAUAUUGAUCAUACCGUGCUCUUAUUAUCUUAUUGAUUCAUGAUUUACAUGUAAAUAAAAAAGAAUAUAAUGUAUUAAUAUUGUAAUAGUUGAUGUAUAAUUAUAUGUGUAGGGAAUAUUAAGGUAAAAAAUGCUACUCUUACCACAUAUUUGUAUUAUCAUUUGUAUCAUCUUUUUAAUGAAGAUAAAACUUACAUGUGUUGGCUGUCCCAACCUAUCAGAGAGAUGUUGUACAAAUAGAUAGUUACGUGUAAUGUUACUCUAUUAAACCCUUUUGCUUUUGGUGGACUUGGCUUAAGCCAAACCAAAUGGCUAUAAGCCUAAAACUAAAGGGAAGCAGUCCAACUUGAAGAAAUGGUAAAGAUUGUGAAGAGUGUUGUCUUUGCUUUCCCUACAAUUCAGUAAUCUCUCUCUCGUGCGAAUCUUUCAAAGAAACAUUCUCUAAACGCACACUUCCUCCGCCGCCCUCCCCCACCUCUCAAGCAACCGGCGCAGCCACGUGGAGAUGCGGUAGCUGCCAGGCCGGUUCCUUUGCUGAGUUUUGCUUAUCUUGCUUGGUGGGACCCGCAUGAGCAAACCCUAUUUUGUUAUCCAUCUAGAUCUAAUAAUCUAAAGAGAAGUAGCUCAACUCUCACUUGCUUCCCAACAAGCAAAUCACAAAGUCUUUGUCUACAUCAUGAUGUCAUAUCAUGCGUAAUGCACCCAAACAAACCCAGCUGGGUUUGUACCAAACAAUUAAUACUUACAUCAACAACUAUCGCCGACAAGAUUGGAACUCAGAACCGACUCCAGCAAAAUUAGAGACUGAAUGUCCGUUAAAAUUAGGUUAUCUACAACAUGAUCAGAUCAUGCAUGCAUCCAAAAUCCAGUUGGGUUUGUAUCAAUCCCUAAAUAGUUUUUCCAACAACUAUCGUCCUUCUAUGAGAUUUGAACGCAUGAUUCCUUUAACAAAAUAGAGACUGAGUGUCGCUAGACCAAUAUUUAUUGCCUAUCAGAAACUUAUAUUGAAAAAAUAAAGAUAUUUACAUAAAUUAUAAUAGUUAAAAGUGAUAAACUUGCAAACUAUGCACAUGGCCAAAACUUUGUGCAUUCAUAAUGUAAGUGGUAAGAGUUUGAUGGAACAGUAAGUAGAGUACAGGGGCGCAUUUGGGUGGGGGGUUUUGAUAGCCAAAACAUAUCUUCUUCUGUGUCUAACAUUCUUCACCAGAUAUUGAACUGCAUUACAACCCAAAACAUAUUAGAAAUGUCACAAACUCCACCUAAAAGUCGAAUAAGUGAUGUUUUCGUCUCGGUUGCUCACCAUUUUCUUCUUCAUGUUGUUCUUCCUCUUCUUCUUUUUGUCAAGAGAGCCAAAGAGUUCCUCUUGCUGGGUAAGCGACUCCUCGAGAGCCUAAACAAGAAGCCAAUUCAAAUGAAGAUCAUACACAUCUAACGUUAAUAGUACCCUGCUAGUGAUUGAUGCAAAUGACAGAUUUUUACUUUCCUAUUGGAUUAUGUUUCAUGAUUUAUAGCGGAACUUAUAGAAACCCUACCUGCUUUGUUGCCAUAAGCUCUUUCUCCAAGGCACCAACCCGGCCUAGAGCAGUAUUCAGCAUUUCCUCCUUCUGAGCUGGCACGGUGGCUGGUUUCAUGUUCAAAACAGUCAUUCUCUCUUCCAACUCAGCCAUGCGUUUCAUGACAGUCAUGAGAUCUGAGCCGGAGAUGGCAGCGUGUGAAGAGCCCUGGCCUUUGACCAUUGUGUCACCGUCGCAGACAGUGCUGGAGUAGAAGGUGGAGUCAGUGAGCCUCUUCGGCAUGCUACGUGUUAGUCUGACCAUGGCGACAAUGCCCAUAAGAAACGUCAGAAUAGCAGCCAUAAUCUGAGAGCCGAACCCUUCAGGAAGUUUGCAAGCAUUGUUCCUGGUGAAACAAUCUCCUGCUGCAAGUAAAGGAAACUCAGACCCUACGGAAUAUCUUAGAGCUAGAAAAGGAAAGGAAACACAAUAUACAAGGUCACCUAAAUUCUUAGAUGAUUUAGCGUUUGAGAGGGCAAAUUUAACAUUCCCCGUCGCCAUUGGCCAACUUGAAUCCACGGAUUUACCAACCAUCGAGGCACUGUCCUCGCGCCUGAAAGACGCUUCGCGAGUUUUGGCUAGCGAUACCUGCGAAAAUUAUUUCACAGAGGAAGUUAGAACUGUCGCGACAAGAGAGGAGGGAAACUUCAGCUACAAGAUACGCAGAUAACAAGUAUAUGUGUGUCUAUGCUUAGAAACAUAUACAUGAAAAAAGGAAAGCUCUCAGUGUACGAGACAAUUGCUCGGUUGAAAAUUAAAUUGAACUUGGAAGCUUUUUGCACCUAUGCUUAGAAACAUAUACAUGAAAAAAGGAAAGCUCUCAGUGUACGAGACAAUUGCUCGGUUGAAAAUUAAAUUGAACUUGGAAGCUUUUUGCACUUACUUCUUCAUGGAAGCGAGAAAGUGCAUGAUUAAGUUUAGGAGUGGAACGGCCGAUGUUUAGAGCUGCACCGAGUCCCUAGGAAGAUUAUAUGAUCAAGGUAUAGAUGACAUUUACGAACCAGAAGCACCAAAAUAUAUUUUCAAAAAUCAUGCGACUGAGAAUUUUGAGAUGAUCUAAUGUCCGAAAUGUGACAAUCCAAAAAACUUGUCAACUAGGGGCAGGUUUAUAAGGAAAAAGAAAAGCAGAAGAUAUGUUCAAGUAAGACCUACUUGAACUCCAGGUUUUCUUGAACAUUUAUGAAUGCCGUUUUGAACCAUCUGCAAGUACAUAAAUCGAUACUUAUGAAUUCUAAUUAAAUUAGAAGUUAAAAUAAUGCAUAGUAGUAAUGAUGCAUAAAGGGGGGAAAAAAAAAGAAGAAGAUACAGAACGGUCUUUAUCUACCUUCACGAUCUCAGGUUGUUUCCAGGGUCCCUUGUCCGAACGCAUACAGCCUCCUUGAUCAGAACAAGUACAUGUACCUCCUAAAAACUUGGGCAAUUCGCUGGAGCAAAGUCAAGCCAGAAUAUGUACAUCAAAAUAAACGAACUGAUGGAGCAGCUUAUAUGGUAGUGAAGAUCCUAAAAAGUCUGCCUCGUUUUGAACAGACUUACCUAGCAUCAAUUAUUUCAAGCAACUUGCUCUGAUACUUGUUGCCAAGGACCUGGAGGAUGAUAGUUUUCCCCGAUUAAUGUAGCCCUGACGAAAACAAGCACUUUUUAGCAUCAUAAUGUAUAUACUCACAUUAAUCUUUGCUGUAGUCUUCGGGUCAAGGAACGACUUCACGCUGUUCCACAACAUUCUAAAGCCAGAACCAGCGUUGAUGAUAAACAUGCGAUUCAAGGUCUGCGGUAAAAACAACAAUUUAUGUGGCAUCAUAAUUCUGCCAUCGACAAAAUAUGUUCUGAAGUUCCCGAAAUUUAUAGACCAAAAGAUGUUAAGGUACCUCAGGAUAAUUGUCACCGUCAAUCUUCUGAAGGCGAGUAAUAAGUUCCCUGGCAGCUUUGUUGAAAUUCUUAAAUCCCUGAGGCAUUACAGUACAACAACAACAACAACAACAAAGCCUUUUCCCACUAAGUGGGGUCGGCUAUAUGAAUCCUAGAACGCCAUUGCGCUCGGUUUUGUGUCAUGUCCUCCGUUAGAUCCAAGUACUCUAAGUCUUUUCUUAGAGUCUCUUCCAAAGUUUUCCUAGGUCUUCCUCUACCCCUUUGGCCCUGAACCUCUGUCCCGUAGUCACAUCUUCGAACCGGAGCGUCAGUCGGCCUUCUUUGCACAUGUCCAAAUCAUCGGAGCCGAUUUUCUCUCAUCUUUCCUACAAUUUCGGCUACUCCUACUUUACCUCGGAUAUCCUCAUUCCCAAUCUGAUCCUUUCUCGUGUGCCCACACAUCCCACGAAGCAUCCUCAUCUCUGCUACACCCAUUUUGUGUACGUGUUGAUGCUUCACCGCCCAACAUUCUGUGCCAUACAACAUCGCUGGCCUUAUUGCCGUCCUAUAAAAUUUUCCCUUGAGCUUCAGUGGCCUACGACGGUCACACAACACGCCGGAUGCACUCUUACACUUCAUCCAUCCAGCUCGUAUUCUAUGGUUGAGAUCUCCAUCUAAUUCUCCGUUCUCUUGCAAGAUAGAUCCUAGGUAGCGAAAACGGUCGCUUUUUGUGAUCUUCGCUAGAUUGCUCCGGUCAUUAGUGUGGAUAAGUAUAUAAAUGGAUAGAGAUAGGAAAGCAAACACAAGAUGUACGUGGUUCACCCAGAUUGGCUACGUCCACGGAAUAGAAGAGUUCUCAUUAAUUGUGAAGGGUUUACACAAGUACAUAGGUUCAAGCUCUCCUUUAGUGAGUACAAGUGAAUGAUGAUUUAGUACAAAUGACAUUAGGAAAUAUUGGGGGAGAAUGAUCUCGUAAUCACGAAACUUCUAAGUAUCGGAGUGUGGUGUCGUCUUGACUUGCCUUAUCUGUCUCAUAGGUAGAUGUGGCAUCUUCUCUGGAAGUACUACUCUCUUCCUCCAUCCAGGGGUGGUAUCUUUAACUGGUGGAGAUGCACAAGGUAAUGUAUCAAUUUCACUUGAAGCUUACUUGUAGUCUCAGGCUUGGUCAAGCGCGAUACAAACCAUGUAGUAGGAGUCCCCCAAGUCGCCGAGCUAGGGGGUCUGCUGAAAGAGGUGACAGACAAGGUAAGCAAUCAGAGCUCCGACUGAUUGUUCACCUUCUCCCCAUCUUGCAGCAGCAUGAAGGAUAAAGAGAAGAAAAAUGAGAAGAGAUGAUAUGAGAUACUUUUGCUUUUGAAGAAGUAACUUUCCACAGGCUUAUUCUUGAACUGAGCUGGAGGGUUUUCUGGUUUCCUCCAGAGUAUAAGGCCGACUGAAGAAUUUGAGGGUCAAAACAAGUCCAUCAAAUCUAGAGUACGUUCCACCCUGCUGAUAUGGGAUACUUUUGCUUUUGACAGAGUAAUGGGUGUAUCGGCACGUGUGCUGUUACGCUUGUCUCCACAUGCUUCCUUGUAUCCUUCGCACUUGCCCUAUCUGUUCCUCAAGCAGAUGCGGAAUCUUCCCUGGAAACAUAAGAUGUUGAAGAUGAGUACUCGAGAGCAAUGCCAGGUAAGUAAUCAGGUAAGGGGUUCCAGGCAGUCAGUUCCUGGCUGGAAGCUUGAUCCAAGUGCUGACUGAUUACUCUCUUUCUCCUUGUCUUGCAGGUAAAAACAAGGCCAAAGGAAAAGACAGGGAAAAAGCAUGAUAUGGGAUACUCUUGCUUUUAACCCUGAUGAUAUGAGAUAUUCUUGCUCUAGUAUAGCUUGUUUGCAGAGGUAUUAUCGGGGGGAAAGAAAGCUGAAUAUUUCGAAAGGCUUCGUUGGGAGUGCCCUCUCAGAUAUGAUGAAGGGUUGAGCAUUUUUGCAGGUCUGCCUGUCCGUUGGGGAUGAAGGUCGACAUAUAUAGGAGUCUCCCUAACAACAGGUAGUAAUGCUAUUCCUUUACCCUGCUUGGUCAUAGCACGGUAGUGGGAGCUGCCAGUUUCACAUGUUUUAACUCUGUCAGAGCACUUUGAAAAAGUGGUCUGUGGUAUCUGGCUCUCGAGAUUCGGAGAACGAUGCCUCUUCGAUUUUUGAGAAAGCAAUCAUGCUGGGGGUCUGGCUCUCGAGAUUCGUAGAGCAGUGUCUCUUCGAUUUUUGAGGAAGUAAUCAUGUUAGGAGUUUGGCUCUCGAGAUUCGGAGGGCGGUGCCUCUUCGAUUUUGGAGCAAGCAAUCCUGUUGGGAGUGUUGUCUCGAAUGUGAGUAAAGGUUGGGCAUGUUUGCUAGUCUACCUUGCCACGAAGCACAAAGGUUGACACACAGAGACUUUCCAAUUAUCCAGCAAUGGUACUGUUCCUUUACCCUCUCUUCGCUUUUGAGAAAGUAGUCAUGUUGGGAGUCUGGCUCUCGAGAUUCGGAGGACGGUGCCUCUUCGAUUUUGGAGCAAGCAAUCUUGUUGGGAGUGUUUUCUCGAAAGUGAGUAAAGGUUGGGCAUGUUUGCUAGUCUACCUUGCCACGAAGCACAGAGGUUGACACACAGGGACUUUCCAAUUAUCCAGCAGUGGUACUGUUCCUUUACCCUUGUGGGUAAUAAUAUGGUAGCUAGACCUUCAAAAAUUUAUGUGUCUAAACUUUGUUAGUGAUGUUUCUUUGCUAUUCUUUUACCUUUCUUGGUCAGAGCGAUGUAGUAGGAGCUGCAAGCUUCACGUGCUCAACUUUGGCAGAGAACUUUGGCAAAGUUAUCUGUGGUACCCAUGAGCUAUUGGAAGUGGGUGAUUGAACAGUAAGAUUCAUGUGCUUUCUACUUCACCAGAAGUCUUCGACAGAAUGCCCAUAAUUUCUGCAAAGCUGAGUGUGCGUGUGUGACAGGUGCUGACAAGGCUAGAAAAGUAGGUGCCUCUUCGAUUUCUGAGAUCGGCCCUCGUGGUCUCUGAGCAGCCCAGCUUUUGAGAAAGCGAGCGCCUCUUCGAUUGAUUCGGAGAACGAUGCCUCAUCGAUUUUUUGAGAAAGCAAUCAUGCUGGGGGUCUCUGGCUCUCGAAGAUUCGGGGAGCAGUGUCUCUUCGAUUUUUGAGAAAGUAAUCACGUUAGGAGUCUGGCUCUCGAGAUUCGGAGGGCGGUGGUGCCUCUUCGAUUUUGGAGCAAGCAAUCUUGUUGGGAGUGUUUUUCUCGAAUGUGAGUAAAGGUUGGGCAUGUUUGCUAGUCUACCUUGCCACGAAGCACAGAGGUUGACACACAGGGACUUUCCAAUUAUCCAGCAAUGGUACUGUUCCUUUACCCUCUCUUCGAUUUUUAAGAAAGUAGUCAUGUUGGGAGUCUGGCUCUCGAGAUUCGGAGGACGGUGCCUCUUCGAUUUUGGAGCAAGCAAUCUUAUUGGGAGUGUUUUUCUCGAAUGUGAGUAAAGGUUGGGCAUGUUUGCUAGUCUACCUUGCCACGAAGCCCAGAGGUUGACACACAGGGACUUUCCAAUUAUCCAGCAGUGGUACUGUUCCUUUACCCUUGUGGGUAAUAAUAUGGUAGCUAGACCUUCAAAAUUUAUGGGUCUAAACUUUGUUAGUGCUGUUUCUUUGCUAUUCUUUUACCCUUCUUGGUCAGAGCGAUGUAGUGGGAGCUGCAAGCUUCACGUGCUCAACUUUGGCAGAGAACUUUGGCAAAGUUAUCUGUGGUACCCAUGAGCUAUUGUUGCGUGUGGGAAGUGGGUGAUUGAACAGUAAGAUUCAUGUGUUUUCUACUUCCCCAGAAGUCUUCGACAGAAUGCCCAUAAUUUCUGCAAAGCUGAGUGUGCGUGUGACGGGUGCUGACAAGGCUGGAAAAGUAGGUGCCUCAUCGAUUUCUGAGAUCGGCCCUCGUGGUCUCUGGGGAGCCCAGCUUUUGAGAAAGCGAGCGCCUCUUCGAUUUCUGAGAUCGGCCUUCGUGGUCUUUGAGCAGCCCAACUUUUGAGAAAGCAAGCGCCUCUUCGAUUUCUGAGAUCAACCCUCGUGAUCUCUAAGCAGCCCAGCUUUUGAGAAAGCAAACGUCUCUUCGAUUUCUGAGCAGGCGCCUCUUCGAUUUCCGAAGCUCCGUCGAGUGCAGAUUUUUAUAGAGGCUGACAUUAAGUUCCAAAGCACACUUGAAUCUCCACCAGUAGAAGCUUCAUUCUUGCACUUCUAAGAUCUUGAUUUGUCCGACCUCUUCUCUCUUCAACACCUUUGAAAAUGUCUGGCCCCUCCGACCGUCGUUUUGACUUGAACCUUGUUGAAGAGGCAGCCCCGCCUUCUCCAGACAACAUAUGGCGCCCAUCCUUCGUCUUCCCUACUGGUCCUCUUACCGUUGGGGAUUCCGUGAUGAAGAAUGAUAUGACCGCUGCGGUGGUGGCCAGGAACCUUCUCACUCCCAAAGAUAACAGACUACUUUCCAAACGGUCUGAUGAGUUAGCUGUUAAGGAUUCGCUGGCUCUCAGUGUUCAGUGUGCAGGUUCUGUGUCUAAUAUGGCCCAACGCCUAUUUGCUCGAACCCGCCAAGUUGAAUCCUUGGCGGCUGAAGUGAUGAGUCUCAAACAGGAGAUUAGAGGGCUCAAGCAUGAGAAUAAACAGUUGCACCGGCUGGCACAUGACUAUGCUACAAACAUGAAGAGGAAGCUUGACCAGAUGAAGGAAACUGAUGGUCAAGUUUUACUUGAUCAUCAGAGAUUUGUGGGUUUGUUCCAAAGGCAUUUAUUGCCUUCGUCUUCUGGGGCUGUACCGCGUAAUGAAGCUCCGAAUGAUCAACCUCUGAUGCCUCCUCCUUCUAGGGUUCUGUCCAGUACUGAGGCUCCAAAUGAUCCCCCUCCGGUGCCUUCUCUUUCUGGGGCUCUACCGACUGCUGAGACUUCUCCUAAGCAACCCUUGUGAAGGCUCCGUCUUGUGUGUUUAUUUUGACUCAUGUAUAUGUACAUAUUUGUAGCUGAUCGGGGAUAUCAAUAAAUAAGCUUUCCUUCAUUUCAACGUAUUGUGUUAAAUACACCAAAGCCUUCUUCGCUAAGUUCUUUGAAUUUUCUUUUGUUGAAGCUUGUAUGUUGAAGCUUUCUGAGUGGAGCAUGUAGGUUGGGGUAGUGUUCCCUUAAUUUCCCGAGUGAGGAAAACUUCUCGAUUGGAGACUUGGAAAAUCCAAGUCACUGAGUGGGAUCGGCUAUAUGAAUCUUAGAACGCCAUUGUGCUCGAUCCUGUGUCAUGUCCUCUGUUAGAUCCAAGUACUCUAAGUCUUUUCUUAGAGUUUCUUCCAAAGUUUUCCUAGGUCUUCCUCUACCCCUUCGGCCCUGAACCUCUGUCCCAUAGUCGCAUCUUCUAAUCGGAGCGUCAGUAGGCCUUCUUUGCACAUGUCCAAACCACCGUAACCGAUUUUCUCUCAUCUUUCCUUCAAUUUCGGCUACUCCUACUUUACCCCGGAUAUCCUCAUUCCUAAUCUUAUCCUUUCUCGUGUGCCCACACAUCCAACGAAGCAUCCUCAUCUCCGCUACACCCAUUUUGUGUACGUGUUGAUGUUUCACCGCCCAACAUUCUGUGCCAUACAGCAUCGCCGGCCUUAUUGCCGUCCUAUAAAAUUUUCCCUUGAGCUUCAAUGGCAUACGGCGGUCACACAACACACCGGAUGCACUCUUCCACUUCAUCCAUCCCGCUUGUAUUCUAUGGUUGAGAUCUCCAUCUAAUUCUCCGUUCUUUUGCAAGAUAGAUCCUAGGUAACGAAAACGGUCGCUUUUUGGUAUUUCUUGAUCUCCGAUCCUCACCCCUAACUCGUUUUGGCCUCCAUUUGCACUGAACUUGCACUCCAUAUAUUCUGUCUUUGAUCGGCUUAGGCGAAGACCUUUAGAUUCCAACACUUCUCUCCAAAGGUUAAGCUUUGCAUUUACCCCUUCCUGAGUUUCAUCUAUCAACACUAUAUCGUCUGCGAAAAGCAUACACCAAGGAAAUAUCAUCUUGAAUAUGUCCUGUUAACUCAUCCAUUACCAACGCAAAAAGGUAAGGACUUAAGGAUGAGCCUUGAUGUAAUCCUACAGUUAUGGGGAAGCUUUCGGUUUGUCCUUCAUGAGUUCUUACGGCAGUCUUUGCUCCUUCAUACAUAUCCUUUAUAGCUUGGAUAUAUGCUACUCGUACUCCUUUCUUCUCUAAAAUCCUCCAAAGAAUGUCUCUUGGGACCCUAUCAUACGCUUUUUCCAAAUCUAUAAAGACCAUGUGUAAAUCCUUUUUCCCAUCUCUAUAUCUUUCCAUCAAUCUUCGUAAGAGAUAGAUUGCCUCCAUGGUUGAGCGCCCUGGCAUGAACCCGAAUUGGUUGUCCGAAACCCGUGUCUCUUGCCUCAAUCUAUGCUCAAUGACUCUCUCCCAGAGCUUCAUUGUAUGACUCAUUAGCUUAAUACCCCUAUAGUUCAUGCAAUUUUGUACGUCGCCCUUGUUUUUCCAUUGGCGAUUCUAGUUUUUUGUUUUUCAAAUCCUUUGCUGAGUAAAAGUAGAGGUUAUGGUUAUCACAUACCACUCCUUGCACAUCGAGGAUAGUUGUACUUUGAUCAAUGUUCUUCUUUGCUGCAAUUGAACAAGCUGGAAACUUAACCGCAAAUGUCCUUUCAAACUCCUGCACAUGGUACUUGAGAUAGCGGUCCAUAGUUGUGGCUUGCAUCAGCUUGGUCGCAUCUACUAGGCCUAUUCUCUCGAUUUACACAGGUCGUCCUUCCUUGUCUAUGCCAUGAUGUCCUUGGGGGUAGUAUUGCAAGACUUCAUCGAGUUCCUUGAAGUAAAAGUCCUAGAAGAAAAGAUAGAUACAUGAGUAACUAGAUUGAUGGACAAAUAUAAACAAAAGAAAUUCUGCUCUUACUAAAAGAAAACAAACAUAAAAAUCGAACGGAAAGAAGUAAAAUGAAAUAAUUAGCAAACUUCAAAAGCCUAAGCACCUAUUUCUACAGAGAAUACCUCCAUGAUUGUGUCAGCACCGAAUGCCUUCCUCCACUCGAGCAUGUCAGACCACAUUUUCUUGGUUUUGUCGACAUCAAAUUUCCUGGCCUUCAAGAAUCUGUCUUCCAAUGGUUAAGUUAGAUUGAAUAAGAAUGAAGUAUCUAUCUUAAAAACCAUCGAAGACAAAAACUUCUAGUGGAACAAGAAGAGGAAGAAACCUGAGCAUCUUAUGAUAAUCAUCGUGCUUGAAAGGAAGAAGCUCCUCCAAUAUAAGAGCCUGCCGCAGCGAGUCAACAGCCUGUAUCUCCUCUAAGUCAUGUACAUCCUCAAUGUCGAUAGACAAGACUUUACUACUGCUUGUUCUACCCCUUGUUGAAAAAGAAUUUCUGAACCUAACAGAGGCAUUCAUUGCCUUCUUCUUCAACGACCCGACUUUAGUCUUUCUAUCUUCCUCAGAGAUUUCAGCAUCAGAUACUGAAAAUUACACAACAUAAGAGAUUCAUACCUAUGCGCAUCAAACGCGAGGCAUCCUAAUAUGCAAAGAUUUAUAAGUCUACCUAUCAAUGCAUUAAAUUCCAAGGCUUUUUGUUCAUUCCAACAUCCUAAGGUCCCUUUAAAGUGGCAACGCGCAUUACAAAUUCAAGACAAGUCCUCACGUUUGAAGCAUACAGUUAUCAAGAUGUGAAAAUACGUUGAUUAUAAAUGAAAUAUCACCUGGUAGAGAUCCAGACAUGGUGUUACUUGUGAGGAAAACGGUGUUUACUUGUCCGAAAACAUUGCGAAAGUAGUAGCUGAAGGGCGGAAGAAGAAUCAAGCACUCGUAUCACAAUUCACAGAUGCAGACCCAGAAGCAAAACCCUGCCCAAAUGCCUGCAAUUACAGUCCCACUUGUAACCAAAUGCAGCUUAAAAAAAUAAAAAAUAAAAAUAAAUAAAAAUAAAAAUAAAAAAACCAAACCGAAGAGGAAAAUCGUCUAAAAUGAUCAGAAAUUAAACCCCAAUUGUAAAAUAAGAUAUCCACGACAUAGUGACCAAAUAAUAAUGACAUACUGAAAAACUGAUUAUUUUGCAAUUGGAAUUUGAAAAAAUGAUCGUUUUGGCAAUUUCCCAACUAGAAAAGCAAAUUACUUCCAAGUAAAUUUUAGCAGUAACAAAAAUGAGAAAACUUAAAGGGGAAUCCAAUUGAACAAAAUGCUUGCAUUUACAUUCCCACUCACAAAAUCACAACCACAAUGCAGCCUAAACUAAAAUUUGAAAAUACAACUAAGGAUAAAAUUAAAGGAGUUUUAACGAAACACUAUCGGUACUGUUCACUUACCAACACUUUUGUAUCAUUUUUAUUAAAACGCGAAGUUUUUAAAUCUUUUUUAUUAGUUUUUCCUUAAAAUUAAUUCGAAUAAAAUUGUGCAGUAAUAAAGACAGAAAGAGGCCGAGCCUUGACACAACGAAAAUAUUGUUUUUUUAUAACCGAAAGGUUACGAAUUCGAGUCGUGAAAACAACCUCUUUGCAAAGCAGACAGCCUUGUUGGCUUGAGUCGCCACUUUAGUAAAAAAGACAGAAAAACAAAAUGGAAUUAUUAUUGAUUUCAUUACGUCUAUCCUCUGGUGAACAGUGUUUGGGGGGCGGGGGUGGGGGGAGUCCCGAAAAAAAAAAAAACAAAAAUGGGGUUUUGGGGGGAGAGGGAAAAGGAUGGAUAUAAAUAUCCUGAAUCCUAGUUGGGAUUUGAGAGUUCUUAGAAAAUGGCGGAGAGACAGCGAGGCAGACAUGUUUGGAAGACACAUAGAAGAAAAUUAGUAAAUCUUGUUUUCUCUUUUUAAGGUUUCGAUUCAGUUCAGAGCUUGAUGUUUGACGAGGUCUCGACACAAGGCGAAACGCAAGGCAACUCCACUCAAAUUUAAAUAACGUCUCUUUGAUUCUCCCGGUAAAACUGUAUUGCCUUCAUUUCAUGUAUGGUUUUGUUUUCAUUUUUAUAAAAUCUCGAGAGAACAAUUUUAUUAACAAUAAUCAUGAAACAAUAUAGGGCAUGUAAUUUGAUCAUGGCUUACUAAUAUCGGGCUCGUUUAGAAAUGUUACUUUGAAAAACAUACUUAGAAGCACUUCCAUCGUAAUACAUUGAAAAAUUUAAUAAAAAUUCAAAAACAACCUGAAAUAUUUCUUGAAAGAAACAUCUGGCAAGUGUUUUUCUUAUAUAGCAUGACCGGAUGCUUUUCUAACCCAAAAGCAUUUUAACUUUUCCUCUUAAAUAUUAUGAAAAUCGGUUUUGGUUAUCUAAAAUCACUUCUAAAAGAUCGUUAUAUCAAUAAAAUCAGAGGCACCUUGAACCAACAAAAAACAAACCAAAAUAAAGAAUAGUAAUGCAACAAAAUAAGUGUUUCAACUAACUGGAUUAGAGAGAGAUAUACAUUGUGUAUUUGUUGUCUCUUUUCUUCACCUGCUGCCUUCUUUUAUUUUUGGGGAUAAGAAGUUAGAAACCAACAUCCUCCCAUUAUAUAGCGCUCCAGCAGACUCCUAUGAGUGUUCAUAUAGAACUGUAGAUUUCCAAAUCUACGUAUUUGGGAUUUGAUAGGAGAAAAAUCUUGAGAGUUGGAUUACGUAGUUAAUUGUUUGAUUUUACUAUGAAUAACGGAUCAUAGAUCUUAAGUUGUGAGAAUGUAUCUUGCUCGACGUUCACAUGCAUAACAAACUUUUAUUCUAACUAAAAAUAAAGGAUUAUAAAUCUUAGAUUGUUACUUGUUUACGAGAUAAUUUGUAAAUGUUGUCCUAUCACAGUUGUACUUUCUGUUUUUAUAGUUAACUUUUUUUGCAUUUUUCUUACUUUAUUAUAAAAUCCACAUCCUUUCUUUUAAAUCGUUUCAUGCAAAUGUACGUUUAUAUCAAAUCAUGUUAUAAAUAUGUCAAAGUUAGAGGGAUAACCUUUUUAGUGAAUAGAACGAAGCAGAUGUAAAAUGUCAUACUGAAAUUAUAGCACUAGGGAAUGACAAAUAAAAGAGGGAGGAAUAGAUGAUAUUAUUGAGCAUUCUUUCUUUCUUUAUGUAUAUUCUCUUUGUAUGUAUAUCGAUGGCAGUAAGAGUGCUCUAUUUAUAGAGCAACUCCAUAUGAAUAUCUUCUUACACUUUGAAAAUUUACAGCAUACCUUUUGAAAAGCAUGAUCUCCUGCAUCCAAAGUCAAUUUCUAUUUUUAUGGGCAUUGAAAACUUUUGCCAAAUUAAUGUGGGCAUUCACUACCCACCAGUAUUUUCAACAUUCCCCUUGGAUGCCCACAUAUCAACAUCAGUUGUCUCGUUAAAACCUUGAUAGGAAAAACCCAGUGGGAAAAAAACCAUAGCGAAGGAAAAAGAGUACAACUUUUCCUGGAUUGUUGACAUAGUGUUAAAUAUGCUUAUGUUGCCUCGUUAAAACCUUGAUAGGAAAAUCCCAGUGGGAAAAAUCCUAAUUGAAGGAAAAAGAGUACAACAUGCAUGUAUCAUGGAUGCUCCCCCUGAUAUGUAUCUCCCCCUGAUUCCGCAUUCUACAAAUUUAGUUGUUUGGUAAGUCGACGUAAUCCGAUACUUUACACUAACUUUUGAAACGUGCAUUUUGGUAGAGGCUUGGUGAACAAGUCUGCCAGAUUUUCAUUAGAACGGAUUUGUUUGACUUUAAUAACUUUAGCCUUCUGGAGCUCAUGUGCACUGAAAAACUUUAGAGAUAUGUGUUUAGUUUUAUCGCCCUUGAUGAAUCUUUCCUUCAUUUGGGCAACACAGGCUGCAUUAUCUUUAUGAAUGACAGUUGGAGUGUCUGUCUUUGAAGUUAAACCACAUGAAUUCCUGAUAUGAUGGAUCAUUGAUCUUAACCAAGAACAUUCAAGACUUGCUUUAUGUAAAGCAAGUAUUUCUGAAUUAUUUGAAGAUGUAGAACUAAUGUUUGCUUUGUUGAGCAUCAUGAGAUUGCUAUAUCUCCAUUCUUGAACACAUAUCCAGUUUGUGAGCGGGCUUUAUACGGAUAAGAGAGGAAACCAACAUCUACAUAUCCAACAAGGACCUGGUCAUUUGUGAAGUUCUUUGAGUAGAAGACCCAUGUCUGUUGUCCCACGAAGGUAUCGCAAUACAUCUUUAACACCUUUCCAAUGACGAAUUGUUGGAGCAGAGCUAUAGCUUGCUAACAAGUUGAUUGAAAAAGCUAUAUCAGGUCUAUUACAUUGUGCUAAAUACAACAAAACACCUACUGCACUUAGAUAUGGUACUUCUGGACCAUGGACCAUUUCAUCAUCUUCUUUUGAACGGAAUGGAUCUUUCUUAAUGUCCAGAGAACGAACGACCAUUGGCGUGCUAAGUGGAUAAGCUUUGUCCAUGCCAAAUAGCUUCAGGAUUUUUUCAAUAUAAGCUGAUUGGUGGACCAAAAUUCCACUAGCACAGAGCUCGAUCUGCAGGCCGAGACAAAAUUUUGUUUUUCCAAUGUCUUUCAUUUCAAAUUCGCUUUCCAGAUAUUCAGUAGUUUUAUGGAACUCUUUAGGGGUUCUAACUAGGUUCAUAUCAUCAACAUAUACUGCCACUAUAGCAAAUCCAGAGUUGGAUUUCUUAAUGAACACACAAGGGCAAAUGACAUUGUUGAUAUACCCUUCUUUGAUCAAAUACUCACUGAGACGAUUAUACCACAUUCGUCUAGAUUGUUUUAGCCCAUACAAUGAUCGCCUUAAUUUGAUCGAGAGCAUACCUCGUGGUUUGUUACUUGUUUCAGGCAACUUAAGUCCUUUUGGGACUUUCAUAUAUAUGUUAGUAUCUAAUUCUCCAUAUAGAUACGCAGUGAUGACAUCUAUAAGUCGCAUGUCAAGUUUUCUGAAACCACUAAACUUAUUAAGUAACGGAACGUAAUUGCGUUUAUUACAGGAGAGUAGGUCUCCUCAUAAUCAAUUCCAGGUCUUUGCGAAAAACCUUAAGCAACGAGUCGUGCUUUAUAUCUUGCAAUAUCAUUUUUCUCAUUGCGUUUCCUUAUGAAUACCCAUUUGUAACCCACGGGAUUUACAUCAGGCGGGGUUUGGACUACUGGUCCAAAAACAUUUCGCCUUUUCAAGGAAUUUAAUUCUACCUGAAUUGCAUCUUUCCACUUAGGCCAAUCUUGUCUCUGUUUACAUUCAUCAACAGAGCGGGGCUCAAUAUCAUCACUUAAUAUGAUUUCAGUGGCUACUGCGAAUGCAAACAUAUCGUCUAUAAUUAUUUCAUUCUGAUCCCACAAUUCAUUAGUGCAUGUAUAAUUUAUGGAGAUUUCUUUGCUUUCAUGUACUUUUGUCUCUUCAGGAACAUGUGUCUCAUCAACGACAUUUUCUUCUUCUGGAAGUCCAGAAUCAUGAAUUGUGGAUUUGUCAUUCAUUCUCUCUUCCCCGAAUGAUUUCAUUUGGAUUCAGCUGUGUCCUUAUCUUUCUCUUUCGAAGGGGUAAAUCUUUUGAACCUGGGGGUCUACCACGCUUCAGGCAUGCACCAUAUGAAUCAUACGCUGCCACUUUAUUUUGUCCAAUAAGGACAUCAAUUCUUGCAAGUGCAUUUGCAACUGGUAUAUGUGAUUUUUUCACUUUCAUAGCAUCAUUAAAUGUAUCUGGCAUUUGAUUGGCAAUGAUUUGAAGAUGGACGAUCCUUUUUACUUCAUUUUCACAUUGAAUGCUUCGAUGAUAAAAAUGAGACAAUGUGGGAACAACCCAUGUCAGCUCUUUCCAUUCUUCUGGAACGGUCUUUUCUUCCCUUAACGACGGGAAGACUGUCUCAUCAAAGUGACAAUCAGCAAAACGAGCUGUAAACAUAUUACCAGUUAAGGGUUCCAAAUAUCUAAUGAUAGAUAGUGAAUCAAAACCCACAUAAAUUCCCAGUCUACGCUGAGGUCCCAUUUUAGUGCGUUGCGGGGGUGUAAUAGGCACAUAAACAGUACAACCAAAAACUCGUAAGUGUGAAAUGUUUGGUUGAUAUCCAAACACGAGUUAUAUUGAGGAGUAUUGGUGGUUGGCUAUAGGUCUCAAUCGAACCAAUGAUGCAGCAUGUAGGAUGGCAUGUCCCCAUGCAGAAACUGGCAAUGUGGUUUUCAUAAGCAGAGUGCGAGCUAUUAACUGAAGCAGCUUGAUCAAUGCUUCUGCCAAACCAUUUUGAGUAUAGACAUGAGGAACAGGGUGUUCAACAUCAAUGCCCAAUGUCAUGCAAUAAUCAUCAAAAGUUUGAGACGUAAAUUCACCAGCGUUAUCAAGUCGGAUUGACUUAAUGGGAUAAUCUGGGAACUGUGCUCGUAACUUAGUUAUCUGAGCAAGAAGUCUCGCAAGAGCUACAUUACGAGUAGACAAGAGACAAACAUGUGACCAUCUAGUAGAUGCAUCAACCAAAACCAUAAAAUAUCGAAAUGGUCCACAAGAUGGUUGAAUAGGUCCACAAAUAUCUCUCUGAAUUCUUUGUAGAAAUGAUGGGGAUUCAGCAUCAACUUUUAGUUGUGAUGGUCUGAUUACUAACUUCCCUUGAGAACAAGCUUUGCAAGGGUUAUCAUUUGUGAUAGCAUGUCUUUGCUCAAUAAUGGAUGUCCAUUAGAGUUGGUAAUGAUCCUACGCAUCAUGAUGGAUCCUUGAUGACCCAGACGGUCAUGCCAAAACAUGUAAACUUUUGAAUCAAUGAACUUCUGGUUCAUGACAGUAUGUGAUUCAACUGUCUUUAUGUAUGUAUAAUACAAUCCACUCGACAAACCAUGCAACUUCUCCAAUAUACGCUUUUGGGUAUCAUUGGAGGUAAUGCAUAUAUACUCUACAUUUUUUGCACUUUUUGUUUCAAUGUGGUAUCCAUUUAAACCUAUGUCUUUGAAACUCAACAAGUUUCGAGUAUAUCGAGUAGCAUACAAUGCAUUAUGUAUGGACAAUAUUGUUCCAUUUGGUAACAUAAUCUGGGCUUUCCCUGAGCCUUCAAUUACAUCUGAUUUGCCUGAUAUUGUUGUUACCCUUAUUCUUGUAAGCAUCAAGCUUAAGAAAUACUUUCGAUCACGAAGUAUUGUAUGUAUAGUUGUGCAGUUUGUAAGACAAAUGUUUCCGCCAUUUCUCAUGUUUUGAGAAUGACCAUAGUUUUUAUCCAUGCUUUCUGAGUAAAGAAAUCAGAGUUAAAAGCAAGUUAUAACAAGAAUUUACAUGCCACUUUUAUUGAAUCUGAAAUGCCAGUUUUAAACUACAAGUUCAGCAUAAUAAAAGUAUAUCAAACAUAAAAGAUUUAGUCGGACCGGUAUACUUCAUUCCCCAUUUCCACAAUGAAGUCUGAAACAUCUAGGUGGGUUGUGUUCAAUUGUCUUGAUAAGUCACACACUUGAUCAGGUAAAUCCAUUGGUUUAGCCUGGUCGAGAAAAUUGGUCUCGACACCCUUCUCUUUGAAGAAGGCUUGAUACAGAUCCACCAGAUGUUUUGGGGUACGACAAGUACGCGCCCAAUGCCCAUUGCCACCAUACCUAUGGCAGGCUCUUUCAGAGUUCCUCGGAGCAUUGUUCAUGUGAACUUUGCCUUUGUGGCGAUUCGCAUUUUAAAGCUCGAGCCUGAAUUAUGCCUUAGAACCUGGUUGUGAAACUGACCACCAUGGUUCUUGCCUUUCCUGUUCCACCGACCUCCCUUGUGGCCACGUCCUCGUUUAUGAUUAUCGCCACCAGAGGCUGUGGUGUUCACUUCGAGGGAAGCAGCAUUCACUUCUGGGAAUGGUGCAGAUCCAGUAGGUCAGGAAUUAUGGUUUUUUAUAAGGAGCUCAUUGUUCUGUUCAGAUACCAGGAGCACAGAUAUCAGCUGGUUGUAUUCAGUGAAACCUCGUGCUCUAUACUACUGCUUCAGGAGCACGUUAGAGACAUGAAAUGUGCUGAAAGUCUUUUCCAGCAAAUUUUCCUCAGUAAUAGUAUCCCCACAGAGCUUCAGCUGAAAGGUAAUUCUGAACAACAUAGAAUUGUACUCUGCCACUGACUUGAAAUCCUGGAUCCUUAGGUAAGUCCAUUCAUAGUGAGCUUUUGGAAAAAUCACCGUUGUCUGGUGAUUGUAUCUGCUUCUCAAUGCAUUCCAAAGAGUUAACGGAUCUUCAACCGUUAAGUACUCACUUUUUAGUGCCUUAUCAAGAUGACGACGAAUAAAAAUCAUAGCCUUCGCCUGCUCUUGAAAGGAUGAGCUGCUCUCUUCCCUGAUGGUAUCUCCAAGAUUCCCUGCUUCCAGAUGGAUCUUGGUAUCCAGUACUCAGUUAAGGUAAUUCUUCCCGGUAAUGUCCAGGGUAGCAUAAUCAAGCUUCGCCAAUGUCGCCAUUUUCUUUUCUGAAAGAAAAUGAGAUGUGUAAGAACUUGCAAUAAUAUGUAUUCCUGGAGGAAUAUAGUGUUAGAACUUCUGGUUCUUACAAAUUUUUCAUUUUUAUCUUUAGGCCAAAAUGAUAAGCACUCGAAACUUCUGGCUCGAAAUUUUUAGGGUGAAUGAGGAGGGCGGUUGUACCACACCAUUCUCAUUGAAAUGAUGUAAUAUAGAAUGGACGAUUAUUCCGCACCACUCAAGUAGCAGGAAAAUUUAAAUACGCAUAACAAUGUGGGUGAUUAUACCGCACCACCUAAAAUUGUAAUGAAAUUAAACUGCAGGCAAAUUAAAUAUGUAGGGUAGGGCAGGCGAUUAUACCGCUCCACCUAAAAUUUGCAGUAAAAUUAAAUCUGCAGUCUAAGAUAGACGAUGACAUCGCACCAUCUUGGAUCGUAGUAGAUUAAAUUUGCAGUUCAAGAUGGCUGAUUGUAGAGCACCAUCUUGGAUUGCAGUAAAAUCAACAUAAAUAAAUACUAGAUUAGUAAUCAAGAUCUACACCAAACAAGAAAUCAAAGAUGUAUGUAACCGUUAGGUUGAGAACUAGAAGCAGGCAUGGAGCAAACAAUUCGUCGCAAGGGUAUACUGAGCAGUUGAGGCAGAGGAAGAAGAUGAACAGUAAAAACCUUAGAGGAAACUUUUUUUUUUCUUUCGUUCGGCGAAGAGAAAUGAUUUGCAUUCGGCGAAGAGGAAUGAGAAAUAUUUAUAUUUUAGAGACUCGUGCUAAUAACGUGUUACAAAUAUGUUAAAGUUAGAGGGAUAACCUUUUUAGUGAAUGAAACGAAGCAGGUGUAAAAUGUCACACUGAAAUUAUAGCUCUAGGGGAUGAUAAAUAAAAGAGGGAGGAAUAGAUGCUAUUAUUGAGCUUUCUUUCUUUCUUUCUGUAUAUUCUCUCUGUAUGUACAUCGAUGACAGUAAGAGUGCUCUAUUUAUAGAGCAACUCCAUAUGAAUAUCUUCUUACACUUUGAAAAUUUACAGCAUACCUUUUGAAAAGUAUGAUCUCCUGCAUCUAAAGUCAAUUUCCAUUUUUAUGGACAUUGAAAACUCCUGCCAAAGUAAUGUGGGCAUUCCCUACCCACCAGUAUUUUCAACAAAUCAGAUUUUUUUUUCUGAACUUUCUUUAAAAACCAGGAUUUGGGUUGAUUAUUUCCUGCUCUGUACAAAAUAUUUGGAUACCGAAUUUCCUAAUUCAGCUCUUUUUCGUUGUCGCCCUAGGCACACGAAAUCUCAGAACCGGCUUACAUUUACCAUUUAUCAAGGAGAAGAUCUUGCAUGUAAACAGAGUAUAUAUCAAGUAAAGUUUAUCUCAAACUGAGGGUUUAGCAAUAAAAUCGUAUUUCCAUGCAAUUGGUUUACUAUGCUAGCGUAGUUUGUUCACGACAAACUAACGUGUGGUACACAAUUUAAGAAAGAGGAUUAGAUACAGUGACUGACUUAACAUAAAUAACAAAAUGAAUGCCUGGAAGAAAAUAUUUCCACUGCAAAUGUGUUCCACAAAAAGAGAAAACAAAACCGAUCCCAAUCAUAUGGUAACAUAAAUCAGAUUUCACAACAAGUGUACAAGCGUACAACGCAUUUGAAAACUCAUGAUCCGGUUUCAGUCCGAAUCCGAAUCAAGAUUCACAGACGAUCUCACUAUCCUACGACCGCCUUCAAGAUAUCCAUCAUCUUCAUCAUCGCCUUCUUUCUUCUCACUAAUUAUACCUGUUAAAUUGGCAGUUUAGAGACUCCGCAACAGGAUGUGAAUUGGAAAACACGCUUGACAAAGCCAUUACCUUUCUUGAUUAGUGCAACCUCGAGCGCCCUUGUGCUGAAAUCAUCUUUCGUUCCCACUUCUUGAAAUCCAACCAACCUAUCCACAGCAACUCCUUUUCUGCAAACGCCAAGCCUUUGAAUCCGUAAAUAAUUUCAAUGAAGAACCAAGUGUAUGAUGAAAUUAGCAUGACGGAUUUCACAUGCUCUUGUGGCAAAUUCAAAUAAUUGCGGUAUUACUAUAUUUCCAGCUUUCGUUGUUCAAUUGCCUUUUCAUACAACAGCGAAAUGGUGCAUGCUGGUAUGCCUCUUUAAUGCUCGAAAUGAACAUGGAUACAGAAUUACAAUAAUUAAUACAGAGAUUGCCUGACCUGAAGAGUAUGACACAAGGCAAAGUUUUGAUUCCCAGCUUGGUGACGAAGAACGGCGCAUUCUGCAGUUCAUCAUCAAAUACUCAAUUCCCAAUUCUAAACCCUUUAAAAAGUAAACGACUAAAAAACGGAAGGUUGCAAUCAAGAAAGCUCAAUCCGAGUAAACACGAAAAGUUGCAUCAACUAUAACAACACAAAAUGGGGGAAUGAAGUUCACACUGUUGAGAAAAAAUUAGAGCACACAACUCUAAUAUAAGUGCUGGAAAGAUAAACCAAGCAAACAAAUUACUUGUAUUAAAAAAUUUAAACACUCUCAAAGACAGAAUUUAGAAGCUAUGAUACUCACUUUCUAGAGACAACACUCUAGAACACUCACCCUCUUACUUCUCACUUGCUUUCUUCUCUUCUUAAUUCGUUACAUAACAACACACACUUAUUUAUAAGUGAGUUUGCCGAUUUAAACCAUUGCCCACCGACUUGGGCUUUUGCUAAUGACCACACAAGUUUUAGCUUCUAGAUCAUUCUAGCAAACAAUAUUAUAGCUAGAACUUUCUAGCUUGCUAAUCAAAUAUGUAUGCUCCACCGACAUAACCUGCUAGAAUUAUCUAGUGUAUUCAAUAUGCAUCAACUGCCAUUUCCAUUACUAGAAUUAUCUAGCAAAAUCUUAUGCAUUCUAAAACACCAAGGACUUCCAUGAUAGGCUGGCUUAAUGGGCUAGCGUUGAUCUUUAACACUCCCCAUCAACACUAGCUCAUUCUUUUAUCCAUGUUGAGUUGAUGACGAAAGUUUUCGAACUUGCUGGUACUCAAACCUUUUGUGGACAAGUUCGCAACUUGAUUGUUUGUCUUAAUUAGGCACAUCUCAAUUUGUUGUAGAACUCUCUCUGAUAAAAUAUGUAUCUCCACAUGCUUAGUUCUCUCAUGAAAAACCGGACUUUCUUCUAAACAAAUUGUUGAUUGAUUGUCGCAAUAUAAUGACACUUCAUAAUCCACACAUAUCAUUCAUUAGUUGCUUCAACCACAUAAUUUCCUGAGUUGCCACCACUGUCGCCCUAUACUUUGCUUCCGUGGUUGACAAAGAUAUCGUUGGCUGUCUCUUAUUGCACCACGAAACUACUCCAAAACCAAUUCUGAAGGCAUACCUAGUGGUUGAUCUCUUGCAAAAUCUGUGUCACAAUAGCCAACCAACUUAUAGCCUUCUCUUUUUUUGUACAAGAGACCAUAGUCAAACCGCUUCUAGACGAGGCUUUUUUAAAUUUUGCAUUUACGACUCACCACACCAGUUGCAUAAGAAAUGUUAGGUUGAGUUAGAGUCAGGUGGAUCAAACUACCUACCAAUUGUCCAUCCAUUGUUGCAUCUUCCAAGUCCUUUUCAUGUGCGUACAUCUUGGCCUUCAAAUCCGUCGAUGUUAGAGAUGGGCUUGCAAUUAAGCAUCCCAAACUUCUGCAACAAAUCUUUUGCAUAUUUUGUUGACAUAGAAAUAUCCCUUCUUGUGUUUGAUCAACCUCUAGUCCAAGAAAGUGCUUGAGUUGUCCAAGUUCUUUCAUUGAACCGAACUGACAAAUUCUCCUUUGUUUGACAAAUUUAUGUUUCGUCAGCACUAGUGAUGAUUAGGUCAUCCACGUACAUCAAUACGACAUCUAACUUUCUUCUAUUAGCUUUAACGAAUAAGCCAGAAUAUGCAUUUGUCACAGAGUAACCACUUUGUGUGAGAAAUUCUGCAAUCUUAACGUACCACACCUUUGGUGUUUGUUUCAGACCGUAGAGUGCUUUCCUCAACCAUCCAUCAUGGAAGUCUCUUGGUGUUCUAGAAGAUUCAUGCAUAAGAUUUUGCUAGAUAAUCUAGCAAUAAAAAUGGUGGUGCACACAUAUUGGAUAUGCUAGAUAAUUCUAGCAGGUUAUGUCGGUGAAGCAUGCAUAUUUGAUUAGCAAGCUAGAAAGUUCUAGCUAUAAUAUAAUAUAGGUUUGUUUGUUAGAAUGACCUAGAAGCUAGCAACUUGUGUAGUCAUUAGCAAAAGUCUAAGUCGGUGGACAAUGGUUUAAGUCGGCAAACUCACCUAUAAAUAGGUGUGUGUUGUUGUGUAACGAAUUAAGAAAAAAAGAAAGUAAGAAGAGAAGCAAGUGAGAAGUAAGAAAAGUGAGUGUUCUAAAGUAUGUCUUUAGAAACUGAAAGAGUGUCAUAACUUCAAACUAUCUUGAGAAUUUGUGUUGUUAUUUUUUAAUACAAGUAAUUUGUUUACUUGUUUUGUCUCUCCAAUACUUAUAUUAGAGUUGUUUACUCUAAUAUUUCUCAACAGGUAUAAGAGUGGUAAAGUCAAUGCUGUGAAAUUUUUGAAUUAAAUCCUACUAUUGCCAUUGUGGAAUCCAGGAUAGAAAGAAUAAUUAUCCAUAGGUUGAGACCCGAAUACCGAGGCUUUGUCGCCCCUGUACAAAGAUGGCCAACCAGACCAUCACUUGUUAAGUUUGAAAAUUUGCUUGCCGAUCAAGAAGCCUUGGCUAAGCAAAUGGGAGGGGUUUCGUCAAGAGGUGAGGAAGAAGCACUCUACACCGACAAAAGUAAAGAAAGCUUUAAGCAACAUGGUGAUGGUGGAUCUAAAAGAAAUGAUAACAAGGCGAAAGGUCAUUAAGGAGGUGAAAGUUCUUAGCAGAUGGAGCUUUAAAAUAUCACGGCAACCAUGGCCAGUCCCAAAAUAAUAAAAGGUUUGAGGGCAUGUACUUCAAUUGUGGAAAGAAGGGCCACACGACGAAGGAUUGUUGGUUUAAAAGGCAUGCAGAGAACAAUGCUGCUACUUCCAGACUUCCAGACCAAAGGAGAAAAGCGAAGCAUCGUUCGCUAUGAUGGAUCAGGAGUUAGCACAACAAGAAGUCCAUAAUCGAUUGACCACAACAAUGAUUGGAUCGUCAAUUAAGGCUUUUCAAAUCACAUGACGGAUGAUAAUGAGAAGUUGCAUAAUCUAACUAAGUACAAGGGAGGCCGCUUGGUGGUGACAACCAUUGACUCGAGGUUACCGACUGCUCAUAUCGGUAGGACAAUAAUUGUGUCCUAGUACAACACUAACCAGGUGCCGCUUCAAGACGUCUACCAUGUUCUAGGUACGAAGAAAAAUCUGCUUUCAAUGCCACACUUGACAUCACUAGGAAAUUAUGUCUUGUUUGGUCCACAAGAUGUGAAGGUGUAUCGGCACCUUAAGAUCUCAGGGACGGCAACUACAGUCAGUCUAUGUAAUGUCAGCAGAAACUGCAUAGGUAGACAAGACAAGGAAGAAAAAUACAACAAAUUUAUGGCACAUAAGAUUGAUCACGUUAGCUAUCACAAGCUAAAUGUGAUGAUGAUGAAGUCAAUGCUUAAGGGGCUAGCUCAGCUUGAUGUAAGAACAAACACAGUUUGUGCAAGAUGUCAAUAUGGUAAAACUCAUCAACUACCAUACGAGGAGUCGAAGUUCAAAGCAAAAGAACCAUUAGAGUUGGUUUUCUACGAUGUGUUUGGGCCUGUCAAGCAACCAUUAAUAAGUGGGAUGCAAUACUUGGUGACGUUCAUUGAUGACUUCUCCAGGUACGUGUGAGUUUUCUUCAUGUAAGAAAAAUUAAGACAAAUUUUCAAAGUUUAAAGAGUUUAGGGAGGCAGUUGAAGGAGAAGUGGGAAAGAAGAUUCGUUGCCUACGCACAUAUAAUGGAGGAGAAUAUACCUUGAAUGAGUUUUUCUACGGGAAUGUAGAAUACGCCACCAAUUCGCAUGUGCCAACACACCACAACAAAAUGGUGUGGCAGAAAGGAAGAACUGACAUCUUGUAGAGAUAUGCCAGUGUAUGCUACAUGGGAAAAAUGCACCAGAAAGGUUUUGGGAUGAAGCCACUAGAACUGCCGCUUAUGUGAUCAACAAGCUUCCUCAACCAAGGUUAGAAUUUGUAUUGCCCUUUGAGAAACUGUGGGAUAUGAAACCUAUAGGUAGCUACUUUCGAGUAUUUAGCUGCGUGUGCUACGUUUGUUCCUAGUCAUCUACAUAGCAAGUUUGACAAGAAGGCAGUCAGAUGCAUCUUUGUGGGAUACAACAGAAAAAGGUAAAAUGUUGUAAUAUUUUGUGAGUGUAAUACAAGUAAUUUGUUUACUUGUUUAUCGCUCCAACACUUAUACUGUGUACUCUAAUUUUUCUCAACACACACCAACCUCUGCAUCCAGCCUGAUGAACUUAGAAUCCACAUGCUUCAAGGCAAGCGUCUUCAAAUGCUUAUCCAUUAUCCUAGAAACAACCAAGCAACGUAAGUUCGAAACACACUCACUAAUUCAUGUCAUAAUUUUCCAGACCAAAAUGCACUUACUUGCAUCUGUAGAACUCCCGGUGAUAAAAAUGGCAGAUGACCUUUUCGGUUCCGGUAACUUCACCCAAAAAAUCCCCCUCAGUUAUAUCCCUGUACUCUCCAUGCCCUUUCCUCUUCAAAGCUUCUCGCUUCUCAGCUUCUUUCUAUCCAAAAUUAAAAAAUUUAAACCAAACCCUCCGAACAAAAACACAAAUCCAAGAACCUCACAUCCCCAAAUCAAUCAAACACGAAAAAAAUCGAACCUUUAGAGCAUUAAUCCGAUCCGCGUGCAGUUUUUCAAGCUCCGGAUCCUACCCAUCCAAAAUAAUCACACAAAUCAUCGCUUUGCAAAUUGGGAACUUGAAAUGUACAUGAAAGAUGCAGAAUUGAAUCAAAUCGAACCUAAACUCGGAACUUACAUCCAUCAACUCGUCAAGGUCGACCUCCUGGUUGGCGGAGCUCGUGGCGGCCGCCUUCUCGUUGGAGAGCAAUUCCUUUUGGUAAUUGCGGGCCGCUGCGGCCAUUACAUUUCCAAAGGCUAGAUUUUGGAGAGUGGAUUUCACUGAAUCGGGAUCCAUGAUUCCUGAAAAUUGAAAAUUCUUCGAAUUUGGAAGCUGAUUGUACUGUGCUUCAGUGAUCGAUGGAGAAUUACAGAUCUAGAGUUAAGGGUUUAAUUCAAGCGCGAACUACCACUGAGGGGAGGUUUUGGUUCUGGAGAAGAAGUGAUAAAAAAGACUCGGUGUUCGGGUGAGAGUAUAUGAUUGGGCCUGGGCUUGGGCCCAAAUAAUACUAUUUUCAGCGCACCUUUCCCUACCGUAGGUUUUCUAGAUUGCACUCACAAUUCAAUCAAAACACCCAAUUUCGCUUACCACUCAACCCUUUUUGAAGAAAUUAUUUUUACUUCUUAUGAGCCAUAAAGGCACUUUCAAGCUUCUUUUUUUUUUCUUUUCCAAAAACGCUUAUGAGCAUGUAUAUAUAUGUUUAGUACUCAUUUGAAAGUGCUUUUAAAAUGACUGAAAAUACUUUUGGUGAAAUGUUUAUGGAACUAAUCCUUAGUGAAAAUGUAAGAGAAUAUUGGAAAAACACUUGAAGUGCACGGAAUUCAAACACAUUUUUUCUAAAAACACUUCAUUUAAAUGUAUUUUCAAACGAGCCCUAUAAAACAAAUCUCAAAUGAGCCAUUACCCAUAUGGCUGGUAUCCUUGUAAAUUGAUCGCUCGUUGUCUUUGAGUUGAUGUCCUUGAGGUGCCGUGUCGUAAAUGCGAGUCUUUAUAAUCUUUUAGGUCAAGUUCCGUCGUAGAUAAAAGAGAACCAUGAAGAUGAACAGAAAACCAAACGAUUUACACAAUGUAACAAAUGAACAAUGACAUCAAUGCAACAUAUACCACGAAGUUAUGUUCAUAGCCUCAUAUGAUUAUUCACAAGAAGGAAAACUGAACUGAACAUUUACUAGAACUCAACAAUGGCACAUGGAGUUUUCAUGUUUUCGUUUCUUCCUUCCAGACACCACCUUUAAACCCGACAUCCUCAAUCGGAAAGGACACCAACUCCGGACACCAACUUACAAUCACAACUCUUAACGCCGGCAUAACUUGUCCAACCCUCGCCCAUUCUUCGUGGAAAUCCGAAAGAGAUUCCAACAUUAAGCCCUCAAUUUUCCAAACAGCAUUGUCAUUAAGCCCCCAGAACCUUUCAUUCAUCUUCUCAAGAUUGCCUGAUGAUAUCGAAAGGUACCUCAAAAUAGGAAGCGAGAUGGGAUUGAGCCAGACUGGACUAAUCUUUCCGGGAUAAAACUUUAGACUCAGCUCAUGGAGCUGCUGAGGAGGGAACAACUUGUCAAGCUUGGUGACGAGAUCAUCAUUGUGGUGACUAUCGAAACAACUUAUUGACAGAUGCUGCAGUUCUUGUAGAUUUAUCAACACAUUGACCUCAGUAUCUCCAAUCUCAUCGGAGCAGGUUAGUUGAAGCCCGAGUGUCCUAAGUCGAAUUAAAUUUCUGAUCUCGCCGAUCCUGCAACCUUCUAACUGGCUUGAUUUGGCGGGUCUGAAUCCUGAUAACACUUCAAGAUUUGAAAGCCUUCCUAAGCCUUUAGGUAGAUAUUUGAGUGAACCGCAAUUGCUUAUGUCUAAAACCCUUAACUUCUUGAAUGUCACAAUGCAGGGAGGCAAUGUUUUUAAGUUUUGACAGUAGCUGACAUCCAAUAUCUGAAGGUUGUUAAGCUUGUCGAGCGAAGGCGGGAGUUGAACCAAUGGAUGCGUGUUGCUUAAGUUAAGGUAUGUUAGGUGUUGCAAAAAUCCAAUCUGAUUUAAAAGACUAGAGAGAGGCAUACUGAAGAUUGACCUUGAAAUAUCCAUUGCGCGAAGGUAUCUAGACUCGCAAAAUUUCUUUGCAGUGUGUGAACCAAUCUUGUUCACUUCACCGGUCUUAGUUGUAGACAACAAUGCUCUCAACUUAUGAUUGUCCUUCUGAAGUAUACUACUUGUAAUGCCCAAAUGGCGGCAAUUUCUACCAUCCGGUCUGAAAAAUGCAUCAUCUUCCGCCAUUUUUAUCACCACAUCGCGUACCAUGUCAUGAAUUUUACAUGUGGAGAUUGUUCCAUGAUAAGUCUUGUUGACCACUUCUAGCAAACAUCGAUUUGUUAGCCCUGAGAAGCAAUCUUCCCCUGCUGCAAUUGCUGAUCUACCACUUCUCAAAGGAAUAAAACCUUCUCCAAGCCACCAAUGGACCAACUGGUCUUUGGCUAUGAUGCAAUCCUCCGGGUAAAGUGACAAGCAGAGGAAGCAUGACUUCAAGUAAGAUGGAAGUUCAUCGUAACUCAAUUGUAGAGAAGCCAUAACCGAGUUAUCAUUUUCUGCUAACUCAUCACGAAAAUGGUCUGCAAUUCUCCUCCACUCAUGAUAGCGCGAUGGUUUACAAAGCAUUAUUCCUCCAACGGCCUUGAUUGCUAGUGGAAGGCCCUUACACUUCUCAACAAUCUCCUUUCCAACAUUUUCUAGCUCUGGAUACAUACACUCACCUCCAUUUUCCGCAAAUGCAAUCUUCCGAAAUAGCAGCCAACUAUCAUCUUUGCUGAGGCAUUUGGGCCAAUGUGAUCUUGCUUCCUUCACUCCCAUCUUCUGUGCAACCUUCUCUAUCCUCGUAGUAAUGAUGACACUACUUCCAUUUCCUUUUGGCAAUGCUUCAUUAAUUCUGAGCCACCAAGUAACAUCCAAGCUCCACACAUCAUCCAUCACAAUCAAAUACCUCUUGCCUAAAAGAUAUUCAUUUAUCUUCUUCAAUAAUUCACCCUUGUCGUCUCCUACACUAGCAUCUCCCAAGUUCCGUAAAAUACUUCUCAUGAUUUGUUCUUCAUCGAAUUUUUGAGAAACCGAUACCCAAAUUCUCCUUUCGAAGCGCUCCUCAAUUUUCCUGUCAUUAAAUACUUUUUGAGCAAUAGUAGUCUUGCCAAGUCCACCCAUUCCCACAACUCCAAUAGCUAGUAUGCCCUUGUCAGCCUCAAAUAACCAUUGUUUGAUCUUACUCGCAUCACCUUCCAAACCAACGACCUGCGUAUGGUCAUACACAGGACCGCUCCAUCUAGGCAAUAGGUCAUUUUGUGCAUCCAAUGGCUCCACUUGAUUCAAAAGUGGAACUCCAAGAUACGACGUAAUGUUCUGCUUAAUGUUACCAAUUUUCCGGUUGAUUUCUGCAAGGCUCUUCCCGGUUUGAUAUUGGAAUGGAAUUUUCGAAGGGUAGAUGCACAUGAACCAACCACUCGAAAGCAGACCAUCAUCUCUCGGGUGAAGUUGACAAUCUGCUAGUAUGUCUUCGGCUUCAUAAAUCAAUUCUCGCAAAGUCGCCAUGAUGCUGCGAACGGUCUCGUUCUUCCUCUUGAGCCGCUCUGCAUGUUUGAGAAAGCUUUGCAUUAGUUGGAGUUCGGAUUGUAAUGUUUCGAAUUGGCCCCUGAAUUCGCUAAAAAUUCGGCUCUCCUCCGAUAGAGCUCCUAGCAACUUCUCCAAGAACACAGUUACUACUGCAUCCACCAUCUUGCAGAAAUCUAAUAAGAUUAAAAGAAAAAUAUGUCAUGAAUUUUGAACAUUUGAGAAUAUACAAUCUUGCAAUUUAGUAGAUUAUCAAUCAUAUUUUACAGUUCUUUUUCCUAAUAUUAAUUGCCUCCUCAACAUUAACAGUUUCCAAUCCCUUUAUACAUUUGAACAACAACCACGACAUGUUAAAACCUAUAAAAAUUAGGCUCGUUUGAUGACCAUUUCAGCGUUCAAUUAAUUUUUCUGAAAAAAUAAACAAAAUGGUUAUCAAACGGCCAUUUAGAAAGAGAAUUCAAUCGCACUAGCGAAUUAUAAUGCAAGAAGAAGAAAUUGUAAUGUUAAAUCAAGGAAAUUAAAAGUUGCAUCAAUUGGGUUUUAUUCACUUUGUUAAUAUUCUCUGCAGACCAUGAGAUUAAUACUAAUUAGAGCAAAAUAAAGGCAAUAAAUGAAUAAUUAAAAAUAAUGAAGCAAAAUCCAAGAGUUAAUUAUUAACAAAACUUAGGAUCAAAGGGGAACUUACAACUCAAGUUCUGAACAAUCCUUUGUGAUUCUAUCUGCUUAUGACAACUUGAUGCUGCAAUCCUUUGUGCUUCUACGAUCUGCUUAACAGGUUCAAGUUCAACAACGAAUUUUACAAAACUAUCCUCGUUAGGUAGACCAGCAAUCCGUGGGUUUCGAAUUUCAGAAAGGCAAGAUGGUAAUUCCGUUCAACAGUCCUUGUUAACGCGUAAAAGUCAACUCUUCAUGUUUGACGAAGCUUCUUAGUGCCUUACUUGUAGACCAAAGACAUCCCUGUUUGCAAUGUAUUUUGCCAACUCAAUGGGGACAUUAUAGGGAGGGAAUUUCCUUACUCUCCAUCCCUCUUGCAUCCUCCUUAGUUCUUCUAACAUUAUGAGGAUUUUCUACUCUACCCCUGUGACAGGAUGUAUUAGUAUUUGAACGGCUAAAUAAAAUACAUAUAUAUAUAUAUAUAUAUAUAUAAUUUGUCAUAUAAAAAUCGAAUCUAUAUAUUUAUUAUGACACUUAAAGGGCACAUAUCAAACUAAGAACAUUUAGCAAUUUCAUUCUUUUUUUUUUUUAAGGAAAACUAAUGAAAAGAGUUUGAAAAUUUUGAGUUUUAACGAUAAGGACAAAAUAAAGGUAAAGUAAAUAGUACCAUGAUUGAUUUUUUAAUGUAAAAAUGUGGUUUUUCGUUAAAGUGAAUAGUAUGGAGAACUUUUCGUUAAAGUUCUUUUUUUUUCCUCAAGCUAAGAUGCCUCAUGACUUUUUGAUAUAACCAAAAACAGUGCAUGAGCAUGAUCUUGUCACGAGUGAGUCCGAACAGUGCCAGCCCAGGCUCAGUGCGAGCCGGGCGACCGUUCAAGCUCAAAAAAAUUAGGAGCAUCAAAAUUAUUAGAGUGGUAUAUUCGUAUAUGUUUUCAUAAGAGUAUAAGUUUUUUAAAUUUGAUUAAAUGACAAAGAAUUUAACUAGAACUAGUGGUUUUUGUUGUUGGAAAUAAAUUAGGAGGUCUUGGGUACAAAACAUCAUGUGUGUUUAUUUACCUUCCAAUAUUUACAAAAAUUCUUUUACUAAGAGUAUAAAUAUAUAAAAUUUGGCCAAAUGUUCAAAAAGUUUGACCAUAAGCGGUGUUUAUUUUGUUUAAAAUUAAUAAGGAGGUCUCAUGUUCGAAACACGGUGUGUUUUUUAAUUUCCAACUUUUACAAAUUUCUUUUCAUAAGAGUUUAAAUUUAUGAAAUUUGGCUAAAUUAUCAAGAGGUUUAAUCAGAAACAAUGUUUUUUUUUGUUUAAAAUUAACGAGAGGUCAUGAGUUCAAAAUGCUAUGUGCAUGUUUAUUUUUUUCAACUUCACUUAUCAUCUAUUUACUUGUAAUCUCGGGGGUUUUUUGGUUCCCUUCUCUUGACACAAAGUUUUUCUGUAUUUCUAAAAUAUUGAGUUUUUUAAAUAUAAUUUUAUCGAAGUCAUAUGUGAACAAAUAAUUUUCCUUAUAUAAUAAAGUUAGGGCACAUUUUUUGGCAUCGUCCUGGACCUCAAAAAUCUUAGGAACGGACCAUGAUCAGGGUGCUUGUGAGAGUCUGAGGCCAAGAAAGGAACCGAAAACUAUCCGAAUAUAAUUAGUUAUUCUCUGCCCUAGCCCAGCUCAUGUUAGUUCAACGAGUUCUCACUAUCCUGAUCAUCAACAUGAAAGCGACACGUUUCCUGCAUUUUUGCUUCUCGAUCAGUAGUUUCAGUUUUAUUAGUCCCUUCAACCUUCUUACAUUUGAGAAAUUUGACGAGGCCUUCAAGAACAGCAUCAACGUCAUCUCUCCUCAUGCGCUCCUCACAAACCUCUGCAGCGUCAGUUCCCUAUCGAGUAUCAACCCUUCAUUUUCUAUGUAUAUGCAAAGAUGAUGCCGAUUGCCGUUGUGAAUACCCAAGGUAGUUCGAUGAAGCAGAGAAAAUCAAGGAAACAAGGAAACAAGGAAAGUGCAGUGUUUUGACAGUAAUGAAAGAGAUAAAGAUACUUCAAAUCGACGUCAAUGGCAAAAAAGGUUUUUAUAGAGGGAAAAUGGUUUCAAAAUCCAAAGGCACACGCAGUUUUUUCAAUGCUUGGCACCUUGAACAUCUGCAAAAAGUAAGUGAGGUGCCAUCUUCUAAUAUUCUUGUAAGUACACAAUAGUUUAAAGAUUUAAAACAAAACAAUUUAGAGCUGUUAUUAGCACUCUAAAAAAGUUAUCAUGCAUGAUGCAUGCAAACAAGAUUUAACCAAGGUUGCUAGAGCAUUAUGCUCUACCUUUUGCACUCAAGUUUGAAUCUCCCUUCUCAUAUUUUAGAUAAAUUUAAUGUAAUUAUCCUAUUAUUUGUCAAAAAGUCAUAAGCAAAAAUAAAAGAGAGAAUAUACUUAAGAACCUAAAACCAGCUGAAAAUGUCCUUGGAGUCCACUAUCCAGACCAAUUUACAGGAACUGAAGAGUACAUCUAGAUCAAUUAAUUUAACACUUUUUAUUCAAUUGCAAAUUAUUGUGUAGUUUUGUUGUGCAGUGGAGAAAAUAUGUUAAUCUAAACAAGAUAGAACAAGUAGCUUACACACACAUUUUGUAUAAUUGUUCACCUAUACUACACACAAGGAACCACACGUUUUAUGGAUCGACAAUACCGACAUCAUUAAACCACAUAAACUGACGAGGGGCUGGAAGAGUUAACGGCAAGUUCAGGACAAUAAACGGGUAUGGGUCGGGUUCGGAUAUUUGAAAAAAAAAUUUGAGUCGGAUAUAAAGCGAUGCUGGUAUUUUUAUUUCCCAACCAAAUCCGAUCCGAUUAUGUAUGUAUAUUAAUAUAAUUUUUAUAAAUUAGCAUGCAAUAAAUACAUAGAAAAGUAUGCGGUUUCACUUUUAAACAUAAAUUUAGGGUUGUCGUCUUUAACCCUAAUCAUAUUCCCUGUAUAAUGCAUCUACAGUUCGUGGUAAAACUUAUAUGAAAUUUUAUUUUUUUGAUGUCAUGGGAAGAUCAUGUUUGGUUUUAAGUUACUCAUGUUUUGAUGUUACGCAACACUGCAAGUGGGUUGUGCGCAUGCAAGACAUAAAACCUAACACCUCUCUCUUUCACUUUAGAUGUAGAGAACAACUUGUAUGACACAAAUUCAACGUGUUACGGUGGUGUCCCAUCUCAAUAACACAUAAACAUGUAUAAACUCAUGACACGCAUGUUGUAUCUCUCGGUCCGACUCACAAUUCCCAUAGUCAAAAUUCAAACCACUGUGGUACAGCAUGUACCGAUUCUUCACGUGAUUGAGAAUAUUUUUGGACAACAUAUUAGGCAAGAUAUUUUGUUUAGACACUGAAAUUUGUAUGCUCGUACUCUCUAUGUCUUGCCAUUUUUGCUUGCACUACAAGACAACAGUUCAUCUACCACGGGUUUUAUCAGCUUGUUGUAAAAAGUAUAAAUUUACCACAGACAUAGUAAGUGCGUGAUGAAUAAUAAUUUUUUACCACGGGUAAAUCUUAGCCCGUUAUAAAAUAGUAGUUAAUAAUCACGCGCAAAGUUGCACAUUAUAAAUAUUCUAAGUAACUACGGACAAUGCUCGUGGUCAAUAUUGUUAGUAUCCACAAUGUCUUUUUAUUAUCUACCACAAGCAUAAUGUGUGAUAGAAUCAUAAAUUCACAUAUUUGGAGGAGGCGGGACACCAAAAUUUUAGACAUCUUUUGUUGAAAUUUCAAAUUUUUUUGACAAAUCCACUUUUUGCUCUAUCUCCUUUCCAUGUCCAUCUCUUCCACUUUAUCUUCCUUUCCCUUUUCCAAAAACAAAAACAAAUUCUACCCCCUUUCAACUACGCUCCCACGUUUUUCCAAAGCUCAACCGCUUCGGUUUCUUAAAACAAAAAAAAAAAAAACAUCAUAAUUUGUCUCUCCCCGAUUUCCCAUAAUUUAAUUUGCAUCUGCUACAAUGGUGUGUUGUAUGUUAAUCCUAUCAAUGUUCUAUCCAGUCUCUUCGGAAUAUUUCUCUGCCCCUGGUAAGUUUCUUCACUAAAUCUUCAAGGACCUGUUUGAAUUUUAAACUCUCUGUGUUAUUUAAAUUCAGUUUUUCUUUUGUACUUUUUUUUCUCAAUAUCUUUUUGUCAGUUGCUACAAUGAUUGUUAAAUUAUGAAGCAGGGGAAUCUUAGGUGAUGGAAAUAUCAACAAAUUUUACACCGGUGAUUUCAUAUAAUUUUUUUUUCCGUAACUAAUUUAAUUUUUCCUUUGUGAAUGUUGGUAUUGUAGGUAACAAUCACAAGAAGCUUACAGAAAUGAAGCAGCAAAUUGUCGAGACCAAUUUGUGCUUGACAAUGGCAUUUUUUUCUUAAACCCAUCAGUUUAGAUUUACUUGAGUUUAUUUGUUUGCGUAAUCUAUUUUACAUGGUUUGAAUGCAACAAUCAGUUUGUUCCUUUCUUUUUACUUUUGUUUCUUUCCAUUUGGUUUCUUUGCAAGUGUCUUUGCAGUGAAGUCUGCAGACCUGAAAGAAAUUUGUGCAUAGCGAGGUAACAGUUGUGGAGGAGUGUAGAGAGGAGAGGUUAGUGACUAUCUUAAGAGGACGGGUCACGUACUAUCCUACAUAUCUAACUUCUCUUUGUAAUACGUAGCAUGAUCAUUUUUAUCUUCAAGUAUAUCUAUAUCAGAUGGAAUCAGAUGGAAAUGUAUUUUUAAUUUUUUUUUCAUACCUUGAUAUGAAAAUGAUUAUUUUUGUUGAUUUGGUGGUUAUGUUCAGUAACAUAUGAAGAACUACCAAAUUCGACACUAUGUACCAUGCGUUCGAAUGUUUUAAUUAUGCACAAAAUAAUAAAAAAGACCUUAUUUUUCUUUCUUGAUAAAAAGUGUUGGUGUUUUGCAGGCACUUGCAAACUUAAAGUGUGAUUGGCUUGCUGGAGAUGUGUGUCUUCUGGAAGAAACGAUUGAAGAGAAGAAGAUCAUCAUUGGAGGACGAAUGUUGGAACUAGGACUUGAGUUUUGUUUUAUAGUGUGAAAUAAAGCCUCUACAUGUUUUGGUGAUUUUGGUAUUUCUUAAUAUAUAUAUAUAUAUAUAUAUAUAUAUAUAUAUAUAUAUAUAACUACUCAUUUUGUUGUUAUUUUUGGUGUAAUAUUUGAAUAUGUGAAUUUUUAUAGAUUAAAUUUGCAAUUUUGUAUAUAAAUAUCUUUAUAUAUAUAUAUAUAUUACUUGUUUAUUUAUUAAAUAAUUUUUUUUUAAUUUUUGGAAAUCUUUUUAUAACGGGCAUUAGCCGUGGUCAAUUUGUAAUCCACAAUGGCCAUAGCACGUGAUGUUAGAUCCCAAUCUACCAUGGGCACAAUCCGUGGUUACAUUGCAUUUGACAAUGUGCAUAGUCCUGGUAAAAGCAAAGACUUUUUAUCACAUCCAGAAUACUAACGGGCACGAUGUCCGUGGUAGAUUGCACUUUACAACGGGCAUCCAACGUGGUAGAUGAGCUUUUUUCUUCUAGUGUUGUGUACUUUACUAAGAAUGAGUACCAAUUCAAACUUUUAUCUGCAUCUCUCUGAAUCUUUCUAAGAACAGAGACAGAAGAAAGAGAUCACUGCUUGGACACUAAGCUGCCUAUAAGAAUUAAAAUUAAAAUUUAAAAAUUUAAAUAUACAAUUUGCUCAACUUCUCCACAAGACACACCUUUUUGUAAGAUGAAGACAAUGUUUUCUCUCAACAAUCCCAGAGAAAUGCCCACAACGGUGUCGUCUUUGUUCUCAGCCUACGCCUCCUUCGCCGGAUCCAUGAUGCUGGUCCGUUCCAUUGCCAGAGACCUCUUCCCACAGCCCCUCAGCUCAUACAUUUUCUCAAAACUCUCUCGCCUUUUCAGUACCCCUUUCUCCUCCAUAACUCUCGUCAUAGAAGAGUUCUCCGGCGCCGCACGCAACCAGGUCUACGCCGCCGCCGAGGUCUACCUCCGGACCAUCAACAACAUUACUCCUUCCACUCACCGCCUCUGUGUCGGAAAAAAUAUCCGGCAAAAGACAGUCAGCCUCGCCCUUGACAACAGCGGACAGCUCGAAGACGCCUUUGACAAUGUGAAUCUGACGUGGCGUUUCAAGGUGAGGAAGGAAAAGUCUGGUGCUGAACAGCGUCAGUUCGAGCUGAGCUUCCACAAAAAACACAAAGACAAAGUGAUGGAGUCCUACUUCCCCUACGUGCUUGCUAGGGCUGACGCCAUCAAAGAAGAGCAAAGGGUUGUGCAGCUUUAUUCCCGCCAUUUAAUGUCUGAUACUGAUUUCAAAGGCAGGUGCACAUGGGGUUCGGUGAAUCUGGAGCACCCGUCUACGUUCGACAUGAUGGAGAUGGACCCCGUGACGAAGAGGAUGAUUGUGGAGGAUUUAGAGAGGUUUGUAAGGAGGAGGGAGUUUUACAAGAAGGUGGGGAAGGCUUGGAAAAGAGGCUACUUGCUGUAUGGUUCUCCCGGGACCGGAAAAUCCAGCUUGAUUGCCGCCAUGGCUAAUUAUCUCAAGUUUGAUGUGUAUGAUUUGGAGCUCACUAGCAUUCAAAACAACAAUGAGCUGAGGAGGGUUUUGUUGUCCAUGACAAAUCGUUCGAUUUUGGUGAUUGAGGAUAUCGAUUGCUCUGUGGAUAUACAGAACGGGGAAUCGAAUAAAAGGUCUCAAGAUAUCUCUCAACGAUCUGCUUCUAACAAGGUUAGAGUCCCCAUUAGUUCUCGUAAUUUUUUUAGUCUAAUCUAAUUUUUAGUGGACAUUUAACUAACCUUCAAUCCAUAAUCUUAGAUGAAUAGUAGUUUACUAUCGUCAAAUCUUGUUGUUUGUAACUCCUUGUUAGCUAGAUGGCUCUGGAAUAGAUGCUAUAACUCAAUUUAACAUGGUAUCAGAGUCAUCGACAUGUUUAUCUAACGUAGCUCAAUUAUAUUGAGUAACAUUAAGUAACAAAUUUGCACGCUCUAAUACAGUAGAUUAAAGUAAAAAUUUUGAAACAAAUCAAUUGGUUGAGAGGCACAAAAUGUUGUAUGCAUUGGGAUAAGACUUGCACUGCGCAUAUAAAGCUAGGUGAGAUGAUAUUAUAUUACGUUCAUUUUGGUUCGAUUCGAUUAGGAUUUCUUUUUAUACGAUUUUUCCUUUUUUUUUUUUUUUUUUUGCCUCAGUUUGGCUGCUUUUUUGUGUUUGUUUUUCGAACCCACCCCUAAUGAUGAUGCAUUGACAUGUUAUGACAAAUUGGAUAUAGCAGUUGACACUUUCAGGCCUACUGAAUUUCACCGAUGGGCUGUGGUCGAGCUGCGGCGACGAGAGAAUUAUCGUGUUCACAACAAACCACAAGGAACAGCUAGACCCUGCAUUGUUGCGUCCAGGUCGAAUGGACCUGCACAUUUACAUGUCCUAUUGAACCGCAGCUGGGUACAGGAUCUUGGCCGCCAACUACCUUGGCAUUCAAGAAAACAACCGUCAUCGCCUCUGCGGAGAAAUUGAAGCGCUGAUAGAGAGCACAGAGAUUACCCCGGCAGAGGUUGCUGAGGAACUGAUGAAGAGUGAUGAUGUUAAUGUGGCUCUUGAAGGACUUGUCAAUCUGCUCAAAUGUAAGAAGGCCGCCAAAAGCAAUGAAACGGAGGAUUAAGGGAAAGCAAGGAGUUCAGGUUCAGAGGAGUAAUUAACUAAGCUAGUUUUAUUUCAUCUAUGCUUUUAUAGACAUCAACGUUAAUUUCAUGUCGUAUCAGUUUGAACUUGGGAUUAGUAAUCCAUCUGUUGCUCAUAUGUGCCCGUUAAUUUGGUUAGUUCGUUUGAAUUUAAUUAAGCUAACCAAAAGUUAAUCAUGAGGUUGUUUACUUUUAUUCUUAAGUUCGCAUACUUGUUAGUAAGCACAACAGUCAUGUAUAUGUCCGCAUGAAUUCCAGCUCAAACUCGAUCCAUCCAGCGGAGUCCCAAAGUAAGAAUAACCACCUUAUAAAAUGAGUAUAAAACAAAUAUAAAGACAAAAUGAAUCUCUAAUGAAUCAGAAAGUGAGUUUCUAAAAUAUAGAGGACUCACCGAAUACUUGGUGUAUGUAUCUAUAUAUAAAGACUUCAUAGGGGCUCAACCUGUAAAACCAUUUUGUGAAUGACAAUGAAUUAUGCCGAGAAUAAUUGAGGGAAUAGUUGACUUGACAAUCAAGUUAAUGAAAUUUCUAGGACUCUUGGUGCCUUAAGGAACUAAACAUAUUGGAGUCCUAAUUCUAUGUAAUCAAUUAAGGGUCUUUAUUAAGUAAAUAUAAGGAAUAAGAGUCAUGAUGAGACUCUAAUUGAUUAGAUAUGAUUUGGGUUGAUAUCUUUUCCAAUAAUAGGGAGGAAUUGGUUGAAACCCUAGCUAUAUAACUUAAGAGCAGUUUCCAUACUAACUGAAUAUCACGAAAACUACAAGCUUAUUUCGAUAAUAGAGUUCAUUGAGAGGUACUGGAAGCAGAAGACUACUUCUUCUUUGUUCACUUUGUUCGCAAGGAUCAAUGACUUCAUCUUCAUAAUCAUGUCUUCCGUAUUCUACAGAUAAGUUUAAUAUAAUUAGUCGAUUUUUAUUUUAUAUAUUGAUUUGAUUUAUUCGUGAUCCUAAUGUCUUGUUGUUGUGAUUUCAGAAUAUGUCUUACACAACCUUCAUUGAAAAACAAGACCGACAACCUUGGUUUCUGUUGUGUGGUUGGAGUUCAAUCGCCUCCGACUCUCGUUGGAGAAAUUUUUUAUUGUGACGGGAAUAUAGGUGGUAUACCACGUAUUUUUAUGUAAAUGGUUGGAAAUUUUAUUUUUUAAGUUAUUAACUUUUUAACAUACAUAUCUCACCAUUUAUAUAGUUACACUUGAUGUACCAUCCUAUGUGUCGGUCAUUGAAAAAUCUCUCCAGCUGCUGCUGGAUUCGCCUGCAGCUGGCCCCACAACUUGAUCGCCGCUGUCCUAAACCCCCAGCGCACAUGGCCUUUUGCAAGCAUGAAAACCACAAACAUGAGUGAUGACCGACGUUUCCCCUUAAAAUUUCAAACGUUGUGGAUUAUUUCUCAAGGGCUUGUUUGGUAUUUCGCAAUCAUUUUUCAAGUUGCGGUAAAAGGACAAGCAUAAAUAUAGGUUUUGAAUGAUGACCAAAAAAGAAAUCUUGGUUUUAAAUGCUAGUGUUUUUGGAAACUUCGUCGACAAGCGAAAAACAAUUGGUGUCAGAUUUGAAUUUUUUUAAUUAAAAUGUUUAUAAAAAUAUUUUACAACAACGUAACGGUAAAUUAAUUCAAGAAAAAAUUAACAUAAAUAAAAAAUAUGUACCUAAUCAAAUUAUCACAUGAAAUUGUAAAAACUUCAAAUUUAAGACUUCUACUAUAAGAAUUCUACUAUUCGAGGCAAUAUCCCUUGAGGACACAAAGAUUCUUUUUGUGUUAUCAAAGGUGGUGGUGGGAACAGGGACUCCCAUUGAAAAUGCUAUAACCUUUCAAAAUCAAACCGAACCGGAUAUAAUCGGGUUGGUUUAUGAUUCUUGGCUAAUUAAUCUAAUAUGAAAUUAAGUAGACCGGUUUGUCUUAUUUUUAUUUUGUUAAUUUUAUUUUCUACAUGUCUAAUUCUUGAUGCUUGAUUCUACAGUGAAUCUUAUAGAAUUGAUCAUGAUGAAAAUGCUCAAGCCAACGAAGGUUGCCUCAGUUGGUUGUGUGUCGCCCCAUCAAAGUUUGAGUCCUUUUGCAAGCAAUUUUUGUGGGUGUGCGAUCUAUAAAUUUCUAAGUAAAUCCAUUACAGUGGCAACUGGCAAUUAGAUGCCACGCGUAAGCUUUCAGCUCAAAAUUGUGAAUAUACCAUGAUGUUGGUGGUAAGAGUAACCAAUCUCCCUCUAAACUUUUAACAAACAAACAAACAAAAAAACAAAACAGAGGUUGAGGGAGCAACGGUUGACAAAUCUGAAGGGAGCAAGGAUAUUCCCGAUUGGUGGGUUUGUACAAGAGAUAUUAAACCCAAUUUCUCAAAAGUCUAAUAAAUGUGAGCCAAACCAAACCAAAUCAAACCAUUUUUAUAUUGGUUCAGUUGAUCAAAUUGAUACGGUCAUUCUUGUGGAAGAUCAAAUGUCCCUAUCCGAUUAAAUAUAGGGCUUGAUAUUUAAAAGGAAAACUAAUGAAAAAUGCUUGAAAACUUUGAGUUUUAAUGAUAAGGACAAAAUAAAGGGUAAAGUGAAUAGUACCAUGAUUGACUUUUUAGUGUAAAAAUAUGGUUUUUCGUUAAAGUGAACAGUACCGGGUGUUUUUCGUUAAAGUUCCCAUAUUUAAAAUGUUCAAAGAAAUUCAAACUGAACUGAAUCAUGCUCAACCCCAACUAAACCUCCACAAGUAGGAUAUCAAUUUCUAAAGCCUUGCUCUCCUGCGCAUUUAUUUCAUAAAAGAGAAUGACCAAGAUUUUUUUUUAUUUUUUUAUUUUUUUUAUCAACAAAGCGCCCAAGAUUAAAUUAAAGCUCAUUUAGUUAAAUCUCAACUAUUCACUCGCGAAAAAAAGAAGAAGUGAAUUUUCAUAAUUUCCUAUUCAACCAACAAGAACAAAAACAAAACUUUUGAGCCCAUAAUAUUAUGGGGUGUGAUAUUCACAUACCCUAUUUUACUUUUCACACACCCUUCUAAUUUUCAGCCAUCGAAUCAGAUGAAUUGAAGAAAGUCAACAGGUAGAAAUUAACAAUGGGUGUGUAAGAAGUAAAAUGGGGUGUGUGGAUAACACACCCUAAUAUUAUAACCCACAGCCCAAAAAUAACUUCUAAAGGUUAGAUAAAUUUUUCGUUAUGACGGAAAUAUGGGUGGUACACUGCAUGUUUUUAUAGAAGUAGUGGGAAAUUUUAUUUUUUAAGUUAUUAAAUUUAACACAUAUAUUAUACCAUUUGUAUAGUGACACGUAAUGUAUCAUCUCGUGUUACCGGUCACAUUGAAAAAUCUCUCCAAAGGUUGCAUGUGCAAUGUGCAACUUCCAAAUAUGGACAUGGAUCCUCUUCGGAUCCAGUUGUCAUAAUCCACCUAGUCAAAUCAUCCAGGCCAUUGAAAUUUGAUCAAACGGUUAAAAUUAUUAUAACUUUUAAAGUGAACUCCUGUUUGUAGCAGUUGAAUCAAAUUUCAAUGGCCCGGCUAAAAUUAUUAUAACUUUUAAAGUGAAUUUUAAUUUGUAACCGUCGUAUCAAAUUUCAAUAGUCCAGAUGAUUUGAUAGAUUAGAACAACUGAAUCGGGAGAGGAUCCAUGUCCUCCAAAUAUUAGAGGUGAGUCAAACCUCCAGACCAAAUUGGACUGUGCCUGUGCAAUGUGCAUCGCACCACAACAGCUCCUUCCAGCUCAACAAACAAUAAUGGUAGUUCCAACAAGAAAAGGACUAGAAAUUGACUAAGUUAAAGUAAACCAAUUACCACGUUUACUACUAUUUCCAGUUUCAAACUGCAUACCAAAAAGCAUAUAUCAAACCCAAUCAAUUAGCUUAAUUAAGUAGUUCUCAAUUACUAACUAUAUAUCUAAUUAACAACCUUCAAGUUCACUGCAUGUCGUUGUACUUUGAUUCUUUUUAGUAAUUUAGAAACCAAGUUGAACAAGCUGUUACUCUACUGCUUCACCUUCAUCACUGGCAUUGUGAUCCGUUUUCGGCCUCUUCGCUUUUCUGGCCUCCUCCUCCUCCUUUCUUUUUUCGCUCUCGAUCCUCUUACGUUUGAGAAAAUUGACAAGUCCUCCGAGGGCAACAUCAGCAUCGUCGCUUUUCAUGAGCUCUUCAGCAACCUCUGCAGGGGUCACCUCUGUGCUCUUGAUCAACCCUUCGACUUCCCCGCAAAGACUAUGAAGGUUGUCCUCAUGAAUAUCGAGGUAAUUAGAAGCCAAGACCUUGAAUCCACUUGGAGUGCAGUAUGACAUGUGAAUGUGCACGUCCAUUCGCCCCGGACGUAACAAUGCAGGGUCUAACCGAUCCUUGUGGUUGGUCGUAAACACGAUAAUUCUCUCGUCGCCACAACUCGACCACAAACCAUCGAUGAAAUUCAGUAGCCCCGAAAGCGUCAACUGCGGCAGCCAAUUUUUCAGGAUUAACAAAUGAACAUCAUCUAAUCCGAAAUCAUCUAACAAAGAGUUGAGAGACAAAAAUCUAACAUAGCUAGGCUUUAAUAUGUACAAAUUACCAAAGUAUGAAAUAAAAAUCGGAUUAGAUAUAAGCGAUUACAAAAAAAAAAAAAAAAACAAGUAGAGACUGACCUUGUUAGAAGUAGAACGUGUAGGGUCUUGAGACUUAUCCUCCCAGUUAUCCCGGUUCUGCAAAUCCACAGUGCAAUCGAUAUCCUCAAUCACCAAAAUCGAACGAUUCGUGGUGGACAACAACAGCUUCCUCAAAUCACUGUUGUUCUGAACGCCACUGAGCUCCAAAUCAUACACAUCAAACCUGAGAUAAUUAGCCAUGGCGGCGAUCAAGCUCGAUUUUCCCGUUCCCGGUGGACCGUACAGCAAGUAACCCCUUUUCCAUGCCUUCCCAACCUUCUUAUAAAACUCCUUCCUCCUCACAAACCUGUCCAAAUCCUCCACAAUCAUCUUCUUCAUCUCCGGUUCCAUCGCCACCGUGUCGAACGUCGACGGGUGCUCCAGAUUCACCGAACCCCAUUUCCUCUUGCUGUACGAACGAUCGUACUCGGAGCACAAAUGGCUGGAGUAAAGCUUCACAACCUUUUCCUCUUCUUUGAUGGCGUCAGCCCUAGCAAGCACGUACGGCAAGUAGGACCCUAUCACUUUGUCCCUGUGCUUCCUGUGGAAGCUGAGCUCGAACUGAUGUGUGUUCCCGUGCUUUUUAUUCUCCGUCACCGUGUACUGCCAUGUCAGAUCGACGUUCUCGAAGGUGUCGGCGACUUGCUGGUUUUUGUCCAUGGCGCGGCUGAUGCUCCUCUGCCGGUUUGUUUUUCGGACACGGAAGCUUUUGGUAGAAGGGCUGAUGUUGAUGGUCGGAAGGUAGACCUCGGCGGCCUGGUAGACCUGGUUGCAGGCAGCGCCGGAGUACUCUUCGAUGACAAGAGUUAUGGAGGAGAGGGGGGUGAAAAGGUAAGAGAGUUUGGAGGAAAUGUAUGAGCGGAGGGGCGGCGGGAGGAGGUCGUUGGCCAUGGAGCGGACCAGCAUCAUGGAUCCGGCGACGGAGGCGUAGGCUGAGAACAGAGACGACGCUGUGGGGGGCAUUUCUUUCAGAUUAUUGAGAGAAAACAUGUGUUGUAAUCUUCUUCUUACAAAGUGGUGUCUUAAGAAGUUUAGAACUCGAGAGUAUAAUUUAUAAGAAAACUAAUCAAAAUGAUUUGAAAAUUUUGAGUUUUAAUGAUAAGGACAAAAUAAAGGGUAAAGUGAAUAGUAUCAAGAUUGACUUUUUAGUGUAAAAAUGUGGUUUUUCGUUAAAGUGAACAGUACCUGGUGCUUUUCGUUAAAGUUCCCUAAUUUAUAUGGGUAAAUUUUAGAAAUGAUCAUUUAACUUUAAUUAAUUUGGAGCAAUGACCUUUAACUAAAAAUUUGUUACCAUUGAUCCCUUAACUCAUCAAAAUGUGUAGCUAUGAUUAUUUUCGUCAACUUUGUCAGAAUUUUGUCAAAAUAAGUUAUGUUGGAAGGAUCAUGGUUACAAUUGGGAUCCAUUAACUCAUCAAAACUUGUAACUAUAGUCAUUUUCGUCAACUUCAUCAGAAUUUUAUCAAAAUGAGUUAUGUUAGGAGGAUCAUUGCUACAAUUGAGUUAAAGUUGAGGCUCUAUUAAUCUAAUUGAGUUAAAACUGAGAGACAAUUUCUCUAGUUGGAUAAAUGUUGAGGGACCAAUAAUAAUUGAUUUUUAGUUGAGGGACCAUAGCUGCACGUUUUGAUGAGUUAAGAGAUUAAUGGUAAUAGAUUUUUAGUUAAGGAAUCCGUAUUCCAAUUAAGUUAACAUUAAAAGACCAUUGCUACAAUUUACUCAAUUUAUAUUUAUCAACUAAUUAUUGGAGGUUGCUUAAUCUCCAAGCAGAGUGAUAUCUUUUUUCUGUCUGUUUUUUUUUUCAGAGUUUCAGAAUUGCAGAGAGAGAGAGAGAGAGAGAGAGAGAGAGAGAGAGAGAGCAGUUAGAUGUAGUCAAUUUUUUUCCAAGAGAAGGAGUUUUCCAGACAAAUAUGCCAACCUUUCCUUGCCUUAAAACGCGUGAUAAAUUGACCAGACAAAAAAUAAAAUAAAAACAAAAAUGCUUUAUUUUUUUAUUUUUUUUAUACUGUCACUAAUCUAGGUCUUUUACCUCCUAAAAAAUGUGGUAAUACUUGAAAUCGUAAAAGCAUUACUCUUAUCAUAUUCUUUUUCACACCACAUUCAUAACCAUCUCUAUAAUAGAGAUAGACCCACAUGUGUUGAUGUGUCUUAUUUUAUUAAAAAGAUAAUACAAAUGUAGUAUAAAAAUGUGAUGAGUGUAGUAUUACAAAAUGUGAUGAGUGUAGUAUUACUCAAUAAUAAAGAGCACAAUAUUGUUAUGUCCACAUGAUUUGAAUCGUAUAAAUAAAAGGGAAUUUUCCUCACAGAUCUUUGAAGUGCAAGUUGGACCAAUGAAAGCAAACUUGUAUGAUAUAUAUACAUUAUCAUGGUUAUUUAACUUAUUUGUCACGUUAAUAAUACAAUGACACGUAAAAGAAAGCUACCGCAUAUCUUUUUAAUUUUUCACACAAAACGUCAAUACAAGUCCAUUUCACACAUGACCCUUUUGGUCUCAUUAAAAAUAACACAUGGUUUUUUACUCUUGAUCCACAAACAUCCAAAAGAAAGAUGGGCCGGGUCACAAGGCCCACAACA
rnacentral:lncRNA from 1 species